rnacentral:lncRNA from 1 species
GAGACAAUCUUUCCAGUUCCGGACCUUCUCCAAGUUUUCCUUGAAAUUUUGUUCAUGCUCACCGAAGGCUUCCUCGUAUUUCCGUUUCCGCUCGGUUACCUCUGAGGGAUCCACAUCAUAAAACUCUGAGGGAUCUACAUCAUAAAAAACUGGCAGAACAGUUUGCCCCAUCUCUUUCAUGCACUGAACAAUCUUGACAAGUUCAUCCAAGCACCAUGGUGAAGAUGCGUAAUCUCUUGAAAAUAUAAUGACUGAAAACCUUGAUUCUUCGAUGGCCUUCCAGAGAGCAGGUUCUAUGCUCUUUCCUCUCUCGAGCUCCCUAUCAUCCAUGUACACAUCGAUGCCUCUCUGUGCCAGAUUAGAAUAUAGAUGACUAGUAAAGUUGUUCCGAGUGUCUUUGCCUCUAAAACUAAGGAACACAUCAUGCAUAUAUAGUGGAGGAGGAGAAGAUGAAGAUGAAGAUGAGGUUAUUCCUUGCACGCUGGUGGAAGCCAUGAAAAUUCCUAUAGCGAUAAACUAGUACCGAUCCCUUCUGGCCUCAACUAGCUCGCUUGGUUCAGCAAUUGCUUUCCACGCUAUUUUGUAUAAGGCCUGCUCCUGUGCUCAAACAUGAAACAGAAGGUAAGAUCAAGAAAUUUGGCAAUUAAAUAUAGUAAUCUACCAAUUAGCAAUUUCAAGCUGGAACAUGUAUAAUUCUACUUAGAAAUCAGAAAACACCAAAUUUCUACGAGUAUUUCACGAAUCUAGACCAAACAAACCGUGUGGUAAGUGUUGGCUAAAGUGGCACAAUAUCCAGCCAAGCCCAAUAUUUUUUCUUCUUCUGGUAUCUUAGUAACCAACUUCCAAAGCCCUUUUCUUUCUUUUUAUUCCAAUGACUUCGAAUUUAUUCCGGUUUCUUGAGGUCAAGAACUCGUACUGGUAAGUUUCCAAUGAUUUUCUUACGGAUCUUUUUCUGACACUGUAAAGAAGAUGGAGUUUCGGUGGAGAAAAAACAAAAAGAGAAAUGAAAGGGAUAUCGAACGCCCCAUUGGGCAGCAGAGGCACCUUCCUGUCAAGAGCAGGGGUGGGCGACGACUCCUUUUUUUGCUAUAUUUAACAAAAAGAUUUUGUUUUUGAUAUUGGGGGAAAUGAAAAUUUUAUUGGAGUCGCCAUCUAGUAAUAUAAGGGAACUAGAAAUCCCAAAUUAGACACUGGUCUCAUAGAUUCGGGUACUGGGUUAGUUAUGAUUAAGGGAAGGUAGACACCACUCUUAAAACAUCCUUUCAAAAGAAAGGUUACCCUUACUUGUGUGUUUUUUAUUUGAUUCAAAUGCUAUUAUAUUUCGAGCUUAUUUGCAAAUUUUGAUUUUUUUUAAAAAAUGGUUAACGCCGGUCCCUAAAAAUAGGAGACACGUUAAAAAUGACAUCAGUCCCUAAAAAUAGGAGACUCGUCGAAAAUAUCAAUGUUAUUUACGUCUGAGUUACCAAAAGGAAAUUAUAAAAAUAAUCCAUAUUUGGUAUUUAAACUUUUGACAUCGGUCCUUUUCAGUAAAAAGAGACAUGUCGACAAACAAUAUUCGUUUAUAAAACAAAUUUUAUUUUGAUAUUAUUGAGAAAUGGGUAUAACCAUAUUCGAGAAUUGGGCUGUGGACCCAUGAACGAUAACAUGAUAAGAUGGGUGUUGGACCCGCAUCGUUUUUCCUUUUAUACUUUUUUUUGUUUUAUAACGUGCAAGAAAAUUUACAUACAAAAUAAAAAAAUGUUAGAAAUCUCAAAAAAAAUUAUCUGAAUGCCACUGUAUAGGUAAAAGACUAAAAUACCCUCGGAUUCUAGAAAAAUUAUGAAAAUGCCACUGGCAGUGCAUAUGGCUCAUACGCGGUUACUGUUGACGGCGGCAAAAUUUUCCGGCAAGAUUUCUGGCCAACCGAUGGUCGAUCCUGGUAGAUCUGAGGUCAAGGAUUCUGAUGGUGGUGGUCUUGACGGCCGUUGAUGGCUGAUGAGGGAGAAUAGACAACUUGAAGCUUCGGUGGUCGGCGAUGAUUGCGACCUUUUUCCGGCCAGAUGAGGCGGAGAAAACUAUGAAAACCACGGGGUUUUUCUUUAUAGCAGGGGAGAAACCUUUCUGUGGUGGUGCGGAGGCUGAAGACGGCCGGAAAGUGGAGAUUGGAUGAGAGAGAGGGCGUUGCCGGCGAUAGGAGAGAGAGAGUCCAAGAUUACGCUACGGUGUGAACGCAUGCAUGGUACACCGGUACCGCUGAACACUGUGCGCUGUUGGAUCUCGGACGAAACGACGGAUGGCUGUGAUUGGUUAGAUCUGCAGGUUGAUCGGACGGUCUGGAUGAACGGAGCUUUGAUCUGGUGUGGCGCGGUGCACCGAAAGCUCGGUACAUCGGAUGACGUGGCACAACGGGAUCAAAUCUUGGAUUAUUUCAAGGGCAGAGAUGUGUCGGGAUAUAUUUGGUAUUUUUCAAAUUGUUUUUUUUAAAAGACAAUAUCCUACUCUCGUGAAGAAAAGUUAAAAAAAAUGUGAACAAUAUCAAAUCAAUUCUUUCUCUUCUUUUCUUUUCUUUUUUUUUUCUUUUUUUUUUUUUGCCCUCUACUCUCAUGGCUAUUUAUAGUCAAUGAGCAGGGGACAACAAAUUUAAUUCUGAAGAAAUAAUUUGCAUCGCUGCAACUAACAUUACCUAACCUUACCUAAUAUAAUAAAUUUUUGAAUUAUUAAUUUUUUUUUUAUUAUAUAUUAUAAUAAAUAUUUAUAUGGGUAAAACUAAAAAAUUUAAAUCAGUAUUAGAAAAAGCCCGUUUCAACCGCUAACACAAAAAAACAUUUGAUGGGUAUCAACCCGGUGAACCGUGUUUUGACUUUUGACCCGAAAUAGCCUGAAAAUUCAUUUUUUACCCCGGUCGACAUGGUUUGACCCAUAUUAAUCCAGUGGACUCGGUUUUGACCGAAAAUGAUGGUUUUGACCCGAAACGUCAUGAAAACUCAUUUUUUACCCUGGUCGACAUGGUUUGACCUGUAUUGACCCGGUGAAAUCGGUUUUUAUGAAAAAUGACGGUUUUGACCGAAAAUGACGGUUUUGACUCGAAACGUCAUGAAAACUUUUUUUUACCCUGGUCGACAUGGUUUGACCCGUAUUGACCCGGUGAAAUCGGUUUUUAUGGAAAAUGAUGGUUUUGAUCGAAAAUGACAGUUUUGACUUGAAAAUCAUAAAAACUCAUUUUUAUCCUGAUUGACAUGGUUUGACCCGUAUUGACUUGGUGAAAUUGGUUUGUGGUCGGAAAUGACGGUUUUGACCCGAAACAGUCCGAAAUCAUUUUUAACCCUGGUCGACAUGGUUUGACCUGUAUUGACUCGGGUGAACUCGGUUUUGGUCGGAAAUGAUGGUUUAGACCCGAAACAACCUGAAACUUAUUUUUUACCCUAGUCGACAUGGUUUGACCUAGUGGACUUGGUUUUGAUGGAAAGAUGCGGUUGACUUGAGAAAAAUAUAUUUUUGAAUUUUAAACUUUUUCUUAAUUUUUUUGGAUUUUUAUAAAUAAUAAUAGAAAUAAAAUAACAUUCAAGAAAAAUCUUGAUGAAUCCAAAAUUGGGUUAUAACACACAUCACAGUUGAAAAGUAUUUUUUAAUGAAUUUUCAAACUAAUAACUUUUAAAUAAUAUUUAUGUAGUUUUAUUUAUUAAGGGUAGAAUAGUACUUUCAAUUUAACCUAUAUAUACUUUAUUUAUAUUUAGGUUAAGUUAAUGAACUCAUAAUAUACAGAUACAGAUUAUUCAGAAUUCUAGCCUCCCUUUUUGUAUUUGAUCUUAAUUAUUUCAACAUUGUAUUAGAGUUGGUUUUAUGAAACGAAGCUUAAUUCUAAACACAGCUUCACGGAUUCAAUUGUUUUUUUUUAGUGAUAUUUUGUCUUCCACUUCUGCAAAUUUUGGUAUUUCGAUAAUUUAUGUAAUUAGUUUGGUAUUUCGACAGUUUCUGCAAUUAUUUUGGUAUUUCGUCUUCCCUUUAGCUUCUGCAAUUUGAUAUUAACGUUCAAUUUUUGCAAAUUCUGUUUUGUGUUUUGGAGUGAUUGUAUAAUUUCGAGAAGAUAUUUGUUUAGUUUCUACAAUCUCUAUUCAGAUUCUGCAAAUUGGUAAUUAGUUUUCCACUGCUCUUGCAUUCUAGUUCUUUGUGACUGUUGAUUAUGGCUACUGAAAGAGAUGAUUAGCUUCAGUCUAUGAGUGUGAGGUUGGAUGGGAAGAACUAUUCGUAUUGGAGUUAUGUAAUGUGAAAUUUCCUUAAGGGUAAGAAGAUGUGGGGGUAUGUUAGUGGAACUUAUAUGAUACCUAAGAAUAUUGAGGAGGGGGAUGUUGUUUUAAUAGAUACAUGGGAAGCAAAUAAUGCAAAGAUUAUUACUUGGAUCAACAAUUCUAUUGAGCAUUCGAUAGGUAUGCAGUUGGCGAAGUAUGAGACAACAAAAGAGAUUUGGGAUCAUCCGCAAAGGAUUCACACAAUCAAAUUUUGCAAAACAGUAUCAAUUAGAGAAUGACAUACGAGCUCUUCAUCAAAAAAAUAUGAGUAUUCAAGAGUUUUAUUAUGCUAUGAUAGAUCUUUGGGAUAAAUUAGAUCUUACAGAAUUGAUAGAAUUAAAGGCAUGUGGUGCCUAUAUUGAGCGUAGAGAGCAGCAGCGAUUGGUACAGUUUUUAAUAGCACUUCGCAGUGAUUUCAAAGGACUUAGAGGUUAAAUUCUGCAUCGUUCUCCACUGCCUUCUAUUGACUUUGUUGUUAGUGAGUUAUUGGCUGAAGAAAUAUGUUUUCAGUCUUAUUCUGAAAAGGGAAUUUUUUUUGCUUCGAAUCCUUCAAUAUUAGCAGUGCCUUCUAAGCCAUUCUCUAAUCAUCAGAAUAAGCCUUACACAAGGGUUGGCUUCGAUGAGUGUAGUUUCUAUAAGCAGAAAGGUCAUUAGAAGGCUCAGUGUCCCAAAUUGAGACAACAAAAUUAAGCUUGGAAGUCUGGCAAUCAGUCACAAUCUAAUGCUCAUAGACCACCUCAGGGUUAUAAACCACCACACCACAAUACUGCAGCAGUAGCUUUCUCAAGCUCUAUUACCGAUCCUAAUAUUUUGGCUGAGUAAUUUUAGAAGUUUCUCUCCUUGCAGCCAUAAGCAAUGUCCGCUUCUUCUUCCAUAGGUCAGUUGCCUCAUAGUUCCUCAGGUACGUCAAAUUCUGAAUGGAUCUUGGAUUCUAGUGCUUCUCAUCAUAUGUCUCUAGAUUCCUCAUCUUUUACCUAUGUGUCCCAUUUGUCCUCCAUUCCUGUUAUGACUGCUGAUGGCACUCCUAUGCCCUUAGCAGGUGUUGGUUAUGUUGUCACACCUCACUUGUCUGUCCCUAAUGUUUAUCUAUUCCAAAACUCAAAUUGAAUCUUGCGUCUGUUGGUCAAAUAUGUGAUUCUGGUGAUUAUUUAGUCAUGUUUUUUGGUUCGUUUUGUUGUAUACAAGAUCUGCAGUCUCAGAAGCUGAUUGGGACAGGCCGUAGAGAGAAUGGACUAUAUAUUUUAGAUGAGUUAAAAGUGCAGUUACUGCUGCUGCCACUACCGUUGAUUUGUCUUCCUUUCUUUUGAGUCUUUCAUCUUCUAGUUUUUAUUUAUGGCAUUCUCGUUUAGGUUAUGUUUCAUCUUCUCAUUUGAGAUUUUUAGCAUCCACAGGAGCUUUAGGAAAUUUGAAAACUUGUGACAUUUUUUAUUGUAGUGGAUGUAAAUUGGCAAAAUUUUCCGCUUACCUUUUAAUCGAAGUAUUUAUGUUUCUUCUUCACCAUUUGAUUUGAUUUAUUCUGAUGUAUGGAGACCUUCUCCUGUUGCCACAAAAGGAGGGUCUCAAUAUUAUGUCUCUUUUAUUAAUGAUCAUACUCGUUAUUGUUGGGUUUAUUUAAUGAAACACCGUUCUGAAUUCUUUGAGAUAUAUGCAGCUUUUCGAGCUCUUAUCAAAACUCAACAUUCUGCUGUGAUUAAAUGUUUUAGGUGUGAUUUGGGUGGGGAAUACACCUCUAAUAAAUUUUGCCAAUUGCUUGCCCUAGAUGGAACCAUCCACCAAACUUCAUGUACAGAUACUCCUGAGCAAAAUGGUGUUGCUGAAAGAAAACAUAGGCACAUUGUUGAAACUACUCGUUCUCUCUUGUUGUCUGCCUUUGUUCCUAGUGAGUUUUGGGGAGAAGUUGUUCUUACUGCUGUAAGUUUAAUUAAUACAAUUCCAUCUUCUCAUAGUUCGGGUCUAUCUUCUUUUGAAAAGUUAUAUGGGUAUGUUCCUGAUUAUUCCUCAUUUAGAGUCCUUGGUUGUACUUGUUUCGUUCUUCGUCCUCAUGUAGAACGAAGUAAGCUAUCCUCUCGAUCCGCUAUUUGUGUUUUUCUAGGCUAUGGUGAAGGUAAAAAGGGUUAUCAUUGUUUUGAUCCAAUAACUCGGAAACUUUAUGUGUCUCGUCAUGUUGUCUUCCUUGAGUAUAUACCUUUUCUAUUCCAUCCACUACUUAUAACCUGACUAAAUCUGAUGUUAUUAGUAUAGAUCCGUUUUCUGAGGAUUCUGAUUAUGAUAUCUCUCGCUAUGUUCGAUCAAUUUGUACACAUAACUAUGUAGGUACUGGUACUUUACUCUCUGGCACACCUGAAGCUCCAUUCUCAUCUACAGCCCCUUAAGCUUCAUCUGAGAUUGUGGAUAUCCACCUCCACGUCAGUCCAUCUGUAUUUGUAAGUCUACAAAACUACCAAAUUUUGCUUAUUCUUGUUAUUCUUCAUCAUUUACUUCCUUUUUAGCUUCUAUUUGUCAUAACCCAAUUUUGACCUUUUUUUAUUAUUUUUAUUAUUUUAUUUUUAAAAAUGAUGAAAAACAAGUAAAAAUAAAUAAAUGAAGAGUGAAUUAAAAUUUGAGUUAAGGGCAACACGAUUGGAAGUUUAAAGAUUUAAUUAAACUCUUGACUAGUUUAAUUAAUUAAAUCAAAGGCUUAAUUGGAGAAUUGAUUUAAUUAAAAUUUAGAUGAUUUAAUUAAAUCAAGAGUUAAUUGAAGAAUUAAUGAGUUUGAUGACUUAAUUAAACUUUGAUUUAAUUAAUUAAAGGAAUCAGGGGUUUAAUUGAAAAAAUACCAAAGUUUGGAGCUGAUUCAAGGAAAAAUUGCUAGAAAAUUAAAGUCCAAUGACCAAAUUAAAUAGUCCAAAAAACCCAGGAUUGUUGUGUAAAUGGCACUAUAAAUCAAGGAUUCAAUUGAAUUAAUCCAAGGGUACAAUUAGAAAUUGAUUAUUAAUGAUUAAGAUCUCAAUUGUGAAGUUUAGAACAUCUAGGGACCAAAGUGAAAAUUGCCUCAAACACACAAACGGCGCCGUUUGGAAGCUGUGUUCUUCAUCCCUUCCAUUGCACACGAAGAAAAUCGUUUCAACAGAAAAUCUGCAGCAAAUCAUGGACCACGAUCCCGUUCGUGGGGGGGAUGGUUGGGGAAGCUCUCUGGCAUUGUUCCCAGAGAAAAAAGGAAGAACACAGAAAAAAAGACCUAGGUGACAGAGGAUCGAAAACACAGACUAAGAAAAGGAAGGAGCAAAAAGCCAUUGUUCCCAGCUUUGCUUUCGUAGAACGCAAACAAAGUGAACGAAAUAAAGCACAAUAGAGAGAGGGAGAGAGAUCAGAGGAGACGAAUGAACCCAUAGAAGUAAAGAAAGAGAGGGCAGGGAGAAGGAAGACCAGAGGAACACCAAAAGGAAAACAGAGGAGGAGAAAAUAGCAUCAGCCGGCCAGCCCUCCAUCACGUCUCCAUCUCCCUGCUUCCAAGUAAGUCUCUCCAGCUUUGCAAAAUAAUUCGCCCACACUGUACAAUUUUUUUUUUAUUUUAACGCUUUGAUUACUAGGGACUAGUAAUAAGCUGGUUAGGGGGUGUGAUUAGUACUUAAAAGUGCAUAUUUAUCAAGGUUUUAUAUCAUCAUUUUGCACUUAAAGUAUCAAUAACUCCUUAACUAAAACAUGUUUUAUAAUAACAAGUCUAAUACUAUAAAAUGCCUUAAUAUAUGGUAAAUGUUCAUCUUAAAUGCAGGCCUAUCAUAUAAAACAAAGGAUUGAUUGAUGAGUUCAAGUAUGGGAAAUUGAAAGGAUAAAGAGAGGGCCAAACUUAAAAAAGAAAUGUUGGUGCAGUCCAAACUGGAACAUUGUUCGGUAAUUGGGUCAUAUCUCGAGUUUUAGGUGUCCAAAUGACCUCCAAUUUUUACACAGAUUCAGUAAGAUAUAGGCCUACAACUUUCAUUUUUUCAUCAAGAUCUAAGAAAGCCGUUUUCAAGUCCAAAUUAUAGCAACAACGGAGAAGUCCAAAUCUGUCCUGCAGCCAGAACACUGUUCAGUGUUUGGCCCAUAUCUGGAGUUCUAGAAGUCCAAAUGACCUCUAUUUUUUUUUCCUGGAAAGCUGAGUCAGUUUCCUACAACUUUCAUGUUUCAAUUGGACCCAGUUCUGAUGCUAGCAUCUUUAUUUUAUUCAGACAAAAAGAUAAGGAUUUUCACAAAGUCAAGAGUUGGCCACCCACUCAACAAUUUGUCAUAAAUCAAUAAUUCGAAUUUUGGCCUAUAAAAGGAGGCAUUUGCCAUGUAUUUAGGGGCUUGGUUGUUCAGAUCAAGUUCAUGCUCUUUAUUUCUCUCUUUAUAUUUUUUUUGUAAUUUUUAAGUUUUGCUUUCAUUAAUAUCUUGUUUAUGCUUUUCAUUUCCUUUCCUUUCCUUAGUUAACUUGUAUCUUAUUUAUGUUCUUGUUUUGUUUAUUUAUGUUUCUCUUCUUCAUUAUGUUUAGCUAAGUUUAUUAUGUCAAGGUGAAAAGGUAACACUAAUGGUGUAAAAACAAGUAUAGUGUAAAUUCAACAUGGACUUAAUGUUUAAUAUUAACAUGUCUUAUCUUUUUAUCUUACUAAUUCUUAAUACCUUGCUUGUUAAAUGAUUAAUCUAGAUUUGUGUUGUAUAAUACUUGGUACAACAAAUGCUUGGCACUCUCAUAGCCCAACCGUAUGGUAUUACCUACAACUCGGCUAUGAAAGGAACUUGAUUUGUUGUUAACAUCAAUUAACAUCAUGAAUUCCUGACAAUAUUUAAAAGUUUGGUGUUAUGUAAAUAAGAUAAUUAAUAUGAUCAUGUUAAUAAUUUAUAAUGAGCUAUUAAUGACAAAUCAUCCGACUGGAACCUCCUUCGUAUGUAGUUUUCAAAUUGAGUAAUAAGAGUUUAUACUAUACUUGUUUGAAAUACCAUUGGUGGAUCCUCUAACCUUGACAUUUGUUUUUAUCAUUGUUUAAUCCUUACAUUAAUCUUCCAUCUCAAAGUUCUCAUUAAUUUCUUCCUCCUCUUCUUUUUAUUACUACUACUACUACUACUACUACUACUACUACUAGUAUUAUUAUUAUUAUUAUUAUUAUUAUUAUUGUCGCACCCCAAAAAAAAAUCAGCGCGCGGCAUCGGCUGGCGAUUUAAGUCUUGUUGUGGUUUGCUGGAAUUUGGUUCGUUGGAGUCGCCACCUAGUAAUUGAUUGCGGGCUACUAGGAAACCGGAUGUACUGGUCUUGUCAGAGAUUCGCGGGUAAGGGACUGGUUGUGGUUAGGGAAGGUAUUAGCACCCCUAACGCACCCUACCUGAGGUAAGCUGCUUCGUGAAUUUGAUGUGUUAAAGAAGUUUUAAUAAUUUGUCUUUUCAUCGGAAAUUAGAAAUAUCACUUACGUAUAAGUUAAUAAUUCCUAACCGUGAUCCGAUCAAAAUAUUAAAUUCUUCUUUAAUAUAUUUGCAAUUUUAUCAUCAUUAAAAAUAUAUACAAAUAAAUAAAACAAAAUACAAACACACACAUUCACUUUCACUAUUUUUAUUUCUUUUCUUUUCUUUUCCUUUUCUUUUCUUUUCUUUUACAUCCAUAUUUACAAAAUACAAUACUAAAUAAAAAAUUACAUCAACAACUCAAAAUUACAAAAUAAUCCCUAAAAUUCAUAACUGUGCUGGGACGACCUUCUGGGACCUCAGGAACAUCGGCGGAGCGUCUUCCCACGCGCCACCGCCACUGGCGGCGCGUGGGUUCACGCGCCGCAGGAAAAAAAACGCAGCAGGGGAGACCUUCCCUUCUUCCUCGCCGGCGGUGACUACUUCCUCUACCUGCAACAAGAAACGCAAAAAGGGGGCCACAAACAAUUGAUUUUAGAUUUUAAUUCCUUUGUUUUUGAGAUCCACUUCGGUCUCUUUCUUCUCUUUUUUUUUUCAGAUCUGCCUCCCUCCUUUCUCCUCUUUUAGAUUUGUUUCCUUUUUCCUUCUUCCCGGUUCGCUGUUAUUUCCUUCUUCAGAUGGAAGAUCUGGUGGAGGCGGGUCGUGGUGGCGAGGCCAAGGGGGGAACGACCGUGCGUGGGCUGCUGCUGUGUGGUCUUCACUCCGGUCGGUGGCAGCGGUGGUUGGCUUUUGCUGCCGGUGUCCGGCCGCAGAGGGAGAGGCUGUCUUGGGGCUGCUCUGGGUCGAUUGCUCUGACCACUGCUACUGGAGGAACACGGCGCUGCUGCUCGAGGAUGGGGCCGCCGCUGCUGUAUACCGUUUGAGAUUAGAGGAGCGGCGGCCGGUCUCUGUCGGGUGGAGCUGGAGACCGUGAGAAGAAAAUGGGAAGCUUAGCUAAACAUGGGUGGUGGCUCCGGUGAGGAAAAUGGAGAGUGAGACUUGACCGGCUGAAGGGAGAAGAAACUGAAAAUAAAAAGGGGGGGGGUCGGCUGCAGAGAAGAUGAGAGAUUAAGGUGGCCCGGGGAAAAAAAAAUGGCCAGCGGGAGGGAGACGGCUACUGUUUUUUUUGUUUCAAAGGGGUGAAGGAGAUGGUUGGACCGUGGGUUCAAAUGUGGGGGUCAGAUCCAGAAGAGAUGGGGGCGGCGGUUUCCAGAGAAAAGAGAAAGGGAGGGGGCUGCACCCUUUUGAAAAAGAUAGGUUUUUUUGUAUUUUUUUCUGAUAUUUCAAAACUACCCCCUUUUUUGCAAGUGUUGGAAACCAGUAUUUAUAGGCAAAAAAUAUUGCCAAGUUUUUCAACUUGGUCCCUCAACUUCUUUAUUUUUUUGUAAAUUUUGAUUUUUCUUAUUUUUUUGUAUUUUUUGAAAACGAGCAAUAUCAACAUCGACUCAAAUGAGGAAAAUCAAUGAUUUAAAAAUGACGCGUGAAAAGUCGAACGCGUUUGAAAAUCUUUUUUUUUUAAAAUUAAAUUCUUUUUUAGACGACAUUGAAAAUGCUAAAAUGAUGAAAAUAUAUUAAAAAACAUAUUUUUUGGAUUUUCUUUGUUUUUCUCUAUUUUUGAUUUUUUGAAAAUAUAUCAAAAACAUGGGUCAAAAAUUGGGUAGCAACAGAUGCCCCCUCUUUACAAUGCUUACGAAGCAAAACUCCUCAAAAUUUUACAGAGUAAGCUUUGUAAAGAAAACAAAAGGAAAAUGAUUUCAUUAUCUUGGGCGACCUACCCACACACUCACAUUGAUCUAUUUUCAGGGGCGACCGGCCCACACACUCACACUGGUCUACUUUCACGGGCGACCUGCCCAUAUAUACUCAAAGUGGUCUAUUUUCAGGGGCGAUCUGCCCACACAUACUCACUCUGGUCUAUUUUCACGGGCGACCUGCCCACACAUACUCACUCUGGUCUAUUUUCACGGGCGACCUGCCCACACAUACUCACUCUGGUCUAUUUUCACGGGCGACCUGCCCACACAUACUCACUCUGGUCUAUUUUCACGGGCGACCAGCCCACACCCUUACACUGGUCUAUUUUCACGGGCGACCUGCCCUUUUAAUUGGGUUUACCUGAGAUCCCAUCUGGCGACCUCAUUCAAUUGGAACGAAAAUAUUGUGUAACUCGGUUAACCUGAAAUCCCAUCUGGCGAUUCCCUUUAACCAAAGCUACAUGAGAUCCCAUCUGGCGACCUCAUUCAAUUGGAACUAAACUGUGUGUAACUCAGUUAACCUGAAAUCCCAUCUGGCGAUUCCCUUUAACCAAAGCUAACUAAGAUCACAUCUGGCGACCUCAUUUAACCAAAACAAAAGAAUGCGUAAAAAAUGGUCUCAUUGUACGGGUGACCUACCCAGAAAAAAUAAUGGUCUCAUUGUACGGGUGACCUACCCAGGAAAAAUGAUGGUCUCAUUGUAGGGGUGACUUACCCACGAAAAAUGAUGGUCUCAUUGUAUGGGUGACCUACCCAAGAAAAAUGAUGGUCUCAUUGUAUGGGUGACCUACCCAAGAAAAAAUGAUGGUCUCAUUGUAUGGGUGACCUACCUAGAAAAAAUGAUGGCCUCAUUGUAUGGGUGACCUACCCAAUGUGGAAAGAAGCGGUCUCGUUGUGAUGGGUGACCUACCCAAAUGGAAAAAAUGUGAAGUGCGGUCUCAUUGUAAUGGGUGACCUACCCAUGUGGAAAGAAUAUGAAAAAGUGGUCUCGUUGUGAUGGGCGACCUACCCAAAUAGAAAGAAUGUGAAAAAAAACGGUCUUAUUAUGAUGGGCGACCUACCCAGAUGGAAAAAAAAUAUGAUGAAGUGGUCUCGUUGUGAUGGGCGACCUACCCAAAAAGAAAGAAUAUGAAGUGCGGUCUCAUUGUAAUGGGUGACCUACCCAAAAAUGGAAAAAAUAUGAAAUGUGGUCUCGUUGUAAUGGGUGACCUACCCAAAUGGAAAAAAUAUGAUGAAGUGCGGUCUCAUUGUCAUGGGUGACCUACCCGGAUGGAAAAAAUGUGAAGUGCCAAGUGUGAAAAAUAGGACUUACCUGGCGAAGUCUUUGAGGGGAUGACAGAAGAAGGGCUGGAAAACUUGGUGUUUCCUGAUAAUUCUCGAUCAUAGGGUUUGAAAACUCGAUGUUUCCUGACUGCAAGGGUUGAAAACUCGAGGCUUCCCGAUUGCAAGGUUGAUCUUUUCAUUUCUUUGGGAUUUUCCUAAUGGUAAGGUUUAUCCCAUCUUCUUUUUAUUCCAUGAUCAAAAUCGAUUCUUUAUUAUUAUCACCACCAUGCUUCCUUCUUUUUCCACCAUCUUGCUGGACCUCAUUAAGGGUUUUCCUGUAACAAUUCAAAAAUAUGUGUAAAUUUUUUUUUUUUUUUUAGGUUAGAUGAUAUGCAUGCAUCCUUACCUGAUUCGAAAUAUAGGUCCCCAUUUCUUCAUGGUGUGUUUCUUUUCUCAAACGUUGGAGUGUUGGUAGUGAACUUCAAUGGCUUUUCGCUCUUGCUUACUCGAGUCAUCUCUUGUGAUUUUGACCUCUAGGAAAGACUUGAUACCAUCAUACUUCUUUGUCCUCUGCCUCUUUAUCUCAAGGGUUGCCAAUUUUGCUUGACAUUUUCUUAGAAUGGGAAUCAUGGAGCCAGCCCUAUCAUAUGUUUCGUUAUUGCCCCCUAGCUUGAUCAUGCCCCAAGUGUUCAAUUCAGGUUUGGGGAUGAGGCUAUGUGAAUGUAGGUUUGACAAGGAGGUGUUUUCAUGCAGAAUUUUUGGAAUUCCAAAGCUAUUCCAGACACAAAAAUUAUUUUGACAUCGAUUCAAAGCAAACUCAAAAAUUCAAGUGAUUCCUAUGGAGAGGUUAUCAGAAGUGAUGAAAACUUUUUGUUUUGGCUUUUGGUAAAAAAUAUGAAGUGACCUCUGGUUUGUCAGAAAAGGUUUAAAUUUCAAUUUGAGGGUUAUUGAGAACCGAGGUUCAAAGCAUUUAUUUUAUUUGCAUGAAUAAUGAUUUGGUUCACAUGAGAAAGCAUUGCCUACCGAUCCAGAUUGCUUGCCUUUGAUAAGAAAGGGCUUGAUUAGGCAUGUAAUGUAGGCUUGGGCUCUUGGUUAUGAAGAAAAUGAUAUUUGUAGGCUCAAAAGGUGUUUAAGGGAUUUGAAGACUAAGGAUCACUUGUGCUUGUUUCUUGACCUUUUGUCAUUUGACUGUCUUUCGAAAAUUGUCUGUGCCCCCUUGUGUUGGGAUUGGGCUUGUUCUCUUUGUUUUUGUUUUCUUCAUAUGGUUUUGAGCAUUAUAAUAUUGUUUUUUUUUUUUAAUGCUCAAAACUCUUGAUCCUUUGGAUUUUUCUUCAUGCCCCCUAACUUUGUUUGGGCACCUUUGAUGAUUGAGAAAUUUCUUUUAUGCCCCCUAGUAUUGCUUGGGCAUUUUCCAUCAUUUAGGUUUUCUCUAUGUCAUCGCACUUGCCCCCAGUGUGGGGUGUGAUCCUAGCCAAGGUUAUUUUUUCAAGAAAUAUUUAUUAGGCUCAAAAAGGGACUACAAAUGAUAUAUUUAAGCCUUGUGAAAGAAUUAUCAAGGAUGGCCUUUCUUCAUCUCAAAUGCAUGCAUUUAGGAUCGGUAAGUCUUGCUUUCAUGCGAGUAUGCAAAGUGAUUUCUCAUUAUUCAUGCAAUCAAAACUCAGCUUUAGAGUCACUCCAUGGUUUUUUUUUUUUUCUAGGUGUAUGGUUACCUUUCUAAGGAAUCACCUGAAUUUCCAGAACUCGUUUGUUUUGGACAAACAUCAACAUGAUUUCAGUUUCUGUACUAAACUUUGAAUUCCCAAAAAUUCUUGUGAACAUGUGCGAUUAUGCAUAGUUUUGAAAGAAAGGAAAACACACCCAAAGAUUCUUGGUGUGAUGGUUUCAUGCUUAAAGAUUAUGCUCAAUAUGUUAUUUGCAUGAAACAACAACAAAAAUGAAGGUAUGUUAUAAACACAUGAUCUUAUUAACAAGAAAGGCUCAUUUGACAAGGAAAGUGUUGUGCAAUUUUGAGCCAAACAAAAAUCAAGAAAUUUUGCAGGCAUGAUCAAACUAAGGUUUAUUAUUAUUAUUAUUAUUAUUAUAUUACUAUUACUAUUAAUAUUAUUGUUAUUGUUGUUGUUGUCUUGUUAUUUAUAAUUUAUACAAUUAACCUCUCUGUGGUUCGACCCCGGUCUUGCCGGGUUAUUUAUUAUUUCGACACUCCUGUACUUGGGAGAAGACAUCAAUCUUUUGGUCGUGUUAAAUCUCUAUUGACCAGUUAGGGUUCCUAGUGACCACAAUACUGAUAUUACUCAGGGAACAAGAUGCCAAAAAUUUGUUCUUUAAAAAUAAUCAAGGAUAAUUUUUAAGGCUGCGCGAUGUUGGGUGUGACAGAAUGACGACUCCACUGGGGACUAAUGGACUAAGCUUUGCCUUUUGUUUAUCAAUUGCUAUAAUGUUUGUUAUGUUAUGUUUAUUUGUUUAUUUUUCUUGAAUUUACUGCUUUAGCAUGCAUCCAUGUUAUAUUGUCAUGCAUCACGUUGAGAGCACACACCUGAAAAUCUAGGAUAGGUGGGAAAGUAACGGUACCCCAACGGCUUUAGCCUGGGUAAGACUCGUGAAACCAUCCAACUCUCGUUUGAUCGUUUACUUGGAAGUGGUUGAUAUGCCAAACUGAUAUUACUCAGGGCCUCUAUUUUCAUACUACUUGUAAGCCUCAUAUCAACCUUCCAUGGACGAUCACUGAGCAUGCAAGAGAUCCUUCAAAACUAGAUAAUGACCAACCUUUUGAUGCACUCAACAAUUAGGAUCUUUCUAUUAAGUUGUCAUCCCGUGAAGGGCGAGUCUACAUUUCAUACGCAUUUUUUUAAUUGCUUCAACAUUUUUGACAUAAUUGUAUGAUUUACAUAAGGGCAGGUUGAAAUAUAGGUUCCCCAUUGAAACCCAUUCGAGAAAAGGACAAAUGGAAGAUGAAGAAAGAGCCCAGUUGGAAGCCCAACAUCAAAAAGAGGUGGACAAUCUUAAAGAAGAAGUCGCAAGGCUUAGUAGUCUACUCGAGCAGGCCUUGAGAGAUAAAUUAGGAAAAGCAACACUUAUAGCUCAGCCUGAACCUAUGCUUGUAAAUCCCUUCAAUCCACAGAAUCUGGGGAAAUGGGUUGUCAUCUGAUUUUCAACAAGCCAUGCAUUUUCAACCAGCAUACCCCACGAGAAUGUCGUUUACCAUUGAUUCUACAGAGAAUGAAUCUCAAAAGGGCAAAAUAAUAAAAGAAGAUGAUCUGAACAAAUUCAUUACCUUAGAACAAAGGAUGAGGGCAUUUGAGGGAAUUCGCCUAUAUGAUCUUAUAAAGGCUGGUGAGAUGUGUUUGGUGCCUAAUGUUGUCAUUCCCAAAAAGUUUAGAGUGCCAGAAUUUAUCAAAUAUAUGGGAACUCAAUGCCCUAUAACUCAUCUCAAAGCAUACUGCAACAAAAUGGCUGAGGUGAUUGAUGAUGAGAAACUGCUGAUUCAUUUCUUUCAAGACAGCUUGAGUGAUGUUUCCCUCACUUGGUAUAUGCGGUUGGACAAUACCAAGGUUAAAAAAUGGAAGGAUUUAGUUGAUGCUUUCAUGAGGCAAUAUAAGUAAUAUAGACGUGGGCCUUGAUCAUUUAAGCUUGCAAGCUAUGGAGAGGGACAACAAGAAGUCCAUAAGGGAAUACGCCCGAAGAUGGAGUGAGGUAACUGCACAAGUUAACCCUCCCAUGUUGGAAAAAGAAAUGAUUAGUUUAUUUUCCAACACCUUUAAAGCUCCAUGUUGCUACCCAAACCCAUGUUUUGAUAAUUUUUCAUAUAAAAAUCCAAAAUAGAGAAAAAAACAUCGAAAAUCCAAAAAAUACUUUUUAAUAUAUUUGCGUUGUUUUUAGCAUUUUCAGCGUCGUCUAAAAAGAAUUUAAAUUUUUUAAAGGUUUUUGGAACGCGUUCGACUUUUAGCGUGUUAUUUUUAAAAUCAUUGAUUUUCCUCAUUGAGUCGACGUUGAUAUUGCUCGUUUUCAAAAAUACAAAAAAAUUUAAGAAAAAUCAAAUUUACAAAAAAAGAAGAAGUUGAGGGACCAAGUUCGGAAACCUGGCAACAUUUUGCCUAUAAAUAAUAGCUUCCAACACUUGCAUAGGGGGAGGGCAAUUUUACACAUUUAGAGGACACAAAAAUACCCAAACCCUAAACCUAACUCGAUCUUUUUUUCAAACAGCCGCCCCCCCGGCUUGCUUGAAUUUUUUUGCUCCCCCACACAGACCCCUCUAACCGGGACAGCCACAGCCGCCUCACCAUCUCCUCCCACUCUCCCUUGCCCUCCGCCAAACAAACCAGCCGCCACUUUCACUUUCCCCUCUCUCAGCCGAUCCCUCAUCUCCUUUUUCCUACAAACCAGCAAUACACCCGAACAAACCCCCACACACGGCCUCCUCCCCAUUUACCCUUUUUCCCCUUCAACCAGCAGACGACAGCAACCAAGAGGCAGGAGCCACUCCCUGCUCAACAGCAACCCCUCUCUCUGUAAAAAAAAUUUCCAUUGAAAAGUUAACAGUGCUCACAUUUUUUUUUUUCCAUUGAAAAGUAACUUUUAAUCCGAUCCACAACAAGAACUAGACAAGGACACGUUAUUUAUUGGAAGAACACGUGGUGCUAUGUUUUCUCGAGAAUGCUUCGAUAGUCAGAAAAUCAAGGGCCACCAUUCAUGUGCAUCCUAACACCUUUUUUCUUCAGUAAAAACAAAUCCUCAAACUCGUCCUAAUAUCUUCUGGAGACCUACUUCUAACUUCAAAAUCUAUUACAAUCCAAUAUAAUCGGUCUUAAAUUGAAAUCAAUGUUUUGAAAAAAAAUAUAUGAUCUAGGCUUCGAUCUAUCUAUAGUAAAACAUCAUGGUCUUUUAUUUCUUUAUUAAUUCUAAUAAAAAUAAUAAUGUUUUUAUUAUUAAUUUUUAAUAUACUAGCUAGUGCUUGUAUAACAAAACUGAAUCCAACCUCUUGGAUAAUGUAGCUAGCCACCAUAGCUUGAACACUAAGUUCAAACCCAAUAUUUGUUUAUUCUUCUGGUAUCUUAGCAACCAACUUCGAAAGCCCUUUUCUUUCUUCUUAUUCCAAUGACUUCGAAUUUUUUCAACAGGUUGCACGGUCUCGGAGAAAAUAGGCUGGGGACCAAGGAGAUCAAUUUCCAGGAAAUCCAUUUCAUUUAAUUAGGGUUCCUGCAGACCAAGGAGAUCAAAUUCCAGGAAAUCCAUUUCAUAGUCAGGGGAUGAAUGCGAAUGCAACGCCAUGUGCCUGAUGUGAUUGCAAUUUUGAGGUAGUUGGGUGGUUGAAGUUACAGCCAAGGUGAUUACAAUUUUGAGGUAGUUGGGUGUUCAUGUUUCGGAUCGAUCCAAUUUAGAUCUAAGAAAUUCACCAAACCAGGACAAUAAUUUUUUUAAAAAAUCAAAAAUCAAUUCAAAACAACCUCGUUCAGUUGGUCAAAAUCAGGAAACCAAAUACCUUGAUAAAGUCUGCAAAAAAGCAAAAGUCGUUCAAAUAUUUUAAAUUAUAUUUAUCUUUCAGUUUUUCUUGAUUUAGUCUUCACUUUACAUCAAUAUUAUAUUCUAACAUUUAUUUUUCUAUAUAAUUCUUGAUAUCACAUGCAUCAAUUCUUCUAUUAACAAUAAAAAAAUAUAUGUAGGCUUCGAUCUAUCUAUAGUAAAAACAUCAUGGUCUUUUAUUUCUUUAUUAAUUUUAAUAUUCAUUAACAAUAAUAAUGUUGUUAUUAUUAAUUAUUAAUUUUUAAUAUACUAGUGCUUGUAUAACAAAACUGAAUCCAACCUCUUGGAUAAUGUAGCCACCAUAACUUGAACACUAAGUACAAACCCAAUAUAUAUUUUUUCUACUUCUGGUAUCUUAGUAACCAACUUCGAAAGCCCUUUUCUUUUCUUUUUAUUCCAAUGACUUCGAAUUUUUUCCGGUUUCUUUAGGUCAAGAACUCGUACCGGCAAGUUUCCUGGAUUUUCUUACGGAUCUUUUUCUUACACUGUAAAGAAGAUAGAGUUUCGGAGGAGAAAAAGCAAAAAGAGAAAUGAAAGGGAUAGCGAACGCGCACUGGGCAGCAGUCAGCAGAGGCACCUUCCUGUCAAGAGCAGGGGUUGGGCCACACACAUCACAAUUGAGUUGAUUCAUGUUUUGUAAUGAAUUUUCAAGUCAAGCAUCUAUUUUUUAAAAGUAAAUAAGGACAUUUUACAUACAAUAAAAAGUAAUUACGUUGAACCUUGAUCAUUAUAUAUAUAGUUUAAUCAUUUUAUUUCUAUUUUUUAAAGAAAUUAUGAUUUAUGAUAACAUUUUAUGUCCUCACUAACAUAUAAAAAAAUCAAUAAAAAAUAUCUAAUUAUAUACAAAAAAUAUUAUUAUUUUCAAACUAAAAACUAUAAAGCUAGCUCUUAUAUUAAAUAUUAUAAAAUCUCAUUGAUUUUAUUUUUUUAAAAAAAACUUAGCCACACACUAUUAACUGAAUCUAAUUAACAAAAAAAAAAGAAAUUCAUAUUAAAUUGAGUUUAGAAUCUCAAAUUUUAAUAUUUUUUUAACAAACAGUCCAACUUUGAUUUUCUCCAAUAAAAAAAACCAAUUCUUCUCGCAUUGCUAGCAUACCAUCUCAAACCUAUUGUUGUAACCCAUUUUUGGAUCCCCACAUAAAAAAUAAUAAAAUACAAAAAAAUCAAAAAAAUACAUUAUAAAAAAAUAUAACAGUGAAAAAAAUGCCAGAGCGCCCUAAAAAUGCUCAAAAAUUGAUUGAGGAUGUUCAAAAUAAAAAAUUAAUUUUUGACAGUAUAUCAUUGACUGAUAAGAGCCCUGAUGAUAAAAACAAAUUCAAUUUGAGGAAGAAAAAUGCAAAAUUAGAAGUUUAUGGACUCAAUUAAAUUUUAUUGAAGGUUUAAUUGAAUUUAUAGAGGUUUUAAUUGCAAAACAAUUGAUUUUGGACUUAAUUUGGGCUUUAAUUAGAAGAAAUUAAUUUUCUGGGGUCAAAUUAUAAUUUUUGGAAGUUAAAUUGGUCAAAUCAGGGGCUUAAUUGCAUAAAUAUUGAAGUUUAAGGCCAAUUAGGGACUUAAUUGAAGAAAUCCGAGACUAGGGACCAAAAUGUAAAACGCGCGCAAAUUGAGGGCUUAAUUUUAAAUCUGACGCGUUCUAGCGCCAAAAUCCUUUUAAAUGAAACGACGCGUUUUGACCAAAACGACGCCGUUUCAAGCACUGUUUAUUAAAAAAAAAAAAGAGAAAACGCAAAACGGUGCUGUUUUGAAACGGCACCAUCGUCUUCUUCCCUGCGCGCGCAGAGAACAGCGGAGAAGAAUUUUUUUCUUCUCCACUUUUCGCCGAACUUUCUUUCCCAUUUUUUACGCAAUAAGACACCCACCAUUCGGCGCCCACUUGCCUCCUUUUUCUCCACUGAUCGAUAGUCGAGGGGGCGGCCAACAGUGGCCGCCCCACCGUGACGUCCUGCCCCUGUUUUUGCCUAUAAAAACAGGGGAAGCAGACCAAAGAAAAGAGAGAGAACAGAAGGGAUAAGAGAGGGAGAAGAGGGAGAAGACCGAGAGAAGAGAGGAGAGAAGGCAGAGCAGAGAAAAGAAGAAGCAGAGAAGAAAACGAAAAAAAAAACACAGAGGAGAGAGAGAGAAGGAAAACCGCAGGCCACCGUGCCUCCGCCACCAUCGCCACCGUGCCUACACCGCCAGCAGCACCGCCUCGACGCCACCGCAGGUAAUCUCCCGUUGCCCCGUCUCCUUCUCCUUUUGCAGCUCCUUUUUUUUUUUCAUGCAACGUGAAUUAAUUCACGUUCUGCAGCAGUUGAAGGAGGCUGGUUACUGUGCUUAGGCACAGUAACCAGCCCAUUUGGUAAUGGGCCGGGUCCGGCCCAUUUCAAAUUGUUUUUAUUAGAAUUUUUACAAUUUUUUCAGCACAUUUUUUUAUCAAUUUUGCUUAAUAUCGGUUUGUAUUUUACAUCGUAAAAAUAUAAAUCUGGUAUUAAAAUACCCGGUUUUCGUCCCACGGUACUGUUCACAUUCAGAAAGAAAAAAAUAAAAAAUAAUUGUUUCAGCAUUUUAUAAUUUUUCCGCGUAAUUUUUUAUGUCAUUUUGAUUAAUAUCGGGCAGUAUUUUUACAUCAAAAAAUAUAAAUCCGGUAUUAAAAUUCCAAAAAAUACAAAACAAAAUUAAAAAAAAAAUAAAAAAAUGUUUUUGUGCAUACGGCCAAGUGUCUCAAAUCUAAAAAUCAUAUCAUAUUUUUCAUAUGUCAAAAAAAAAAUAUUUAGCAUGCAUUUUGGCUUUAAUAACCAAUUUAUUAAAGUCAAGAGAACAUUGGCCAAAAUCUCAAAAAUAAUAAAAUAUUUUGUUUUGUUUGAUUUUAGUAUCAGGGAUUAUGAAUUUAUACGUAAAUCGUAUUCCUGAUAUUAAAAAGAUAUUUUCUUUGGACGACUUCAAAUUGUUAGUUUUUUACCCGAUAAAGAUAAGGAUCUCCUUACAGAGGAGGACUUUUCUUAAACCAUAAACGAACCAACAAUUCAAAAACCACAACACGAUUUUAGAUUUUUAUCAGACAUCAAAACAAUGCAGCCUACCUUAGGUAGGGCGUAGUUGGGGUGCUAAUACCUUCCCUUUACGCAACCAGUCUCCGUACCCCAUCUCUGAGACUAGUUAGGGUUCCUAGUAACCAGAAUACUAGGUGGCGACUCCCAGUCCAUAUUUUCACAUGUAUAGACAAGAAUUCCUUGUCUCUCCCUAUUUUCAAGGAAUAAAUAUUCCGAUUUUUCCUUGAGGGUGGACGAUCGCCGCGCCGCCGCACACGUGCGACACCUAUGAUUAUAAACAUAUCAAAACAAUUCAACAACAUAAAAAAAAAAAAAUUCAAACGGGUCAUGAACUGCUUUCCCAGCCAAAUUUGUAAUGCAGGAUGUUGUUUGUAAUGCUUCUUGUUUUUUGAAUCAUCAAUAUCCAAAUGAUGUGGAUGAACACACUAUGUAUAUAUAUGGAUUGUGUUGCUCUCGCUAUUUAAGCUGCUUCGCGAAUUUGAUGUGUUAAAGAAGUUUUAAUAAUUGUCUUUUCAUCGGAAAUUAGAAAUAUCACUUACGUAUAAGUUAAUAAUUCUUAACCGUGAUCCGAUCAAAAUAUUAAAUUCUUCUUUAAUAAAUUUGCAAUUUUAUCCUAAAAAAUAAAUAAAUAAAAUAACAAAAUUCAUAAAACAAAUACAAACACACACAUACACUUUCACUGUAUUUCUUUUCUUUUCUUUUCUUUUCUUUUGUUACAUCCAUAAUACAAAAUAAAAAAUACAAAAUACAAAAUACAAAUACAAAAUAAAUAAAUAAAAAUUACAUUACAUAAUUUAAAAUUUACAAAAACAGUCCCUAAAAUUCUAGAAAAUUGCAGGGAAGGACUUCUGGGGGCUGUAUGAACAGUCCCUAAAAUUCGUCCCUUGCUCCUGCAACUGAGAAGAAGUUGUGGUUGUCCAAAGGCGAAAGGAAAAUAAGGGCUGAGUUGGGAGGAAGACGAUCUAGUAACGGGGUGCUGGUGUUGGGAGAUUAUAGCAGUGAUGGGGGAUCGGCUAUGGGUUUCUUUUUUUUCAAGGCUGAGGGCCGCCGGCUGGCUUUCGUUGGCUGGGAGUUGGGUUUCCCUGAAGGCGCUGCUAUUGAGAAUAUAAAGGAACGGCCGGGGAUUGGAGAAUGAUUCAAACCGGGGAGGGGCUGUUUGGCCGGUUUUUGCAGGGGAUAAGAGCGGGUUGGUGUUUUCGUUUUGGUUUUGGCCGGGGCUAGGAGAAGUCAGGGGGCUCCAGUGUGAAAAAAAAUUCAAAACCGAGAGCCUAGGGGGGCGGCUGUAGAGGCAGCUGUGAGGAGAAGAUCAAAAACCAAGAGGGGUGGCCCGCGGCUCCCUUGUUAGAGAUAGACUUAGGGUUUUCUUUUUUGUAUUUUUGGUGUUUCCAAAAUUAGCCCCCAACCUUUUUUGUGUUGAGGAAACCAGUAUUUAUAGGUAAAAUGUUGCUAGGUUUUUCAACUUGGUCCCUCAACUGUUUUUUUUUUUGUAAAUUUUGAUUUUUCUUAUUUUUUUGUAUUUUUUGAAAACGAGCAAUAUCAACGUCGACUCAAAUGCGGAAAAUCAAUGAUUUUAAAAAUGACGCGUGAAAAGUCGAACGCGUUUGAAAAAUUAAAUUCUUUUUUAGACGACGUUGAAAAUGCUAAAAUGACGAAAAAUAUAUUAAAAAACAUAUUUUUUUUGGAUUUUCUUUGUUUUUCUCUAUUUUUGGAAUUUUUGAAAAUAUAUUAAAAACAUGGGUCAAAAAUUGGGUAGCAACAGAUGCCCCCUCUUUACAAUGCUUACAAAGCAAAACUCCUCAAUGUUUUGCAUAGUAAGCUUUGUAAAGAAAAACUUGUAUUUCUGUUUGCUCAAUAUCUACUUCAUCUAAAAACCUUAAUCUGUUCUUCGUUUUUUUUUUUUUUCAUUAUCCUGAGAUCCCAUCUGGCGACCCCUUUUAACCGAACCAAAGAAUGUGUGUAGCUCAGUCAACCUGAAAUCCCAUAUGGAGAUUCCCUUUAACUAAAGCUACAUGAGAUCCCAUCUGGCGACCUCUCGACUGACACGAAAAUAUGUGUAACUCAGUUAACCUGAAAUCCCAUCUGGCGAUUCCCUUUAACCAAAGCUACAUGAGAUCCCAUCUAGCGACCUCAUUCAACUGGAACGAACAUAUGUGUAACUCGUUUAACCUGAAAUCCCAUCUAGCGAUUCCCUUUAACCAAAGCUACAUGAGAUCCCAUCUGGUGACCUCAUUUAACCAAAACAAAAGAAUGUGUAAAAAAUGGUCUCAUUGUAAUGGGUGACCUCCCUAAGAAAAAUGAUGGUCUCAUUGUAUGGGUGACCGGCCCAAGAAAAAUGAUGGUCUCAUUGUAUGGGUGACCGGCCCAAGAAAAAUGAUGGUCUCAUUGUAUGGGUGACCGACCCAAGAAAAGUGAUGGUCUCAUUGUAUGGGUGACUGACCCAAGAAAAAUGAUGGUCUCAUUGUAUGGGUGACCGACCCAAGAAAAAAUGAUGGUCUCAUUGUAUGGGUGACCGACCCAAAUGGAAAAAAUAUGAUGAAGUGGUCUCGUUGUGAUGGGCGACCUACCCAAAUAGAAAGAAUGUGAAGUGCGGUCUCAUUGUAAUGGGUGACCCACCCAAAAAUGGAAAAAAUAUGAAGUGUGGUCUCAUUGUAAUGGGUGACCUACCCAGAUGGAAAAAAUAUGAUGAAGUGGUCUCGUUGUGAUGGGCGACCUACCCAAAUAGAAAGAAUGUGAAGUGCGGUCUCAUUGUAAUGGGUGACCCACCCAAAAUGGAAAAAAUAUGAAGUGUGGUCUCAUUGUAAUGGGUGACCUACCCAGAUGGAAAAAAUAUGAUGAAGUGGUCUCGUUGUGAUGGGCGACCUACCCAAAUAGAAAGAGUGUGAAGUGCGGUCUCAUUGUAAUGGGUGACCCACCCAAAAUGGAAAAAAUAUGAAGUGUGGUCUCAUUGUAAUGGGUGACCUACCCAGAUGGAAAAAAUAUGAUGAAGUGCGGUCUCAUUGUCAUGGGUGACCUACCCGGAUGGAAAAAAUGUGAAAAGUGCGGUCUCAUUGUCAUGGGUGACCAACCCAACUGAAGAUGUGAUAUGAGAAGUGUGAAAAAUAGGACUUACCUGGCGAAGUCUUUCAGGGGAUGACAGAAGAAGAGCUGGAAAACUUGGUGCUUCCUGAUAAUUCCCGAUCAUAGGAUUUGAAAACUCGGUGUUUCCUGACUGCAAGAGUUGAAAACUCGAGGCUUCCCGAUUGCAAGGUUGAUCUUUUCAUUUCUUUGGGAUUUUCCUAAUGGUAGGGUUCAUCCCAUCAUCCUUUUAUUCCAUGAUCAAAAUCGAUUCUUUAUUAUCAUCACCACAAUGCUUCUUUCUUUUUCCAACAUCUUGCUAGACCUCAUUAAGGAUUUUCCUGUAACAAUUAAAAAAAUAUGUGCAAAUUUUUUUUUUUUUUUGAGGUUAGAUGAUAUGCAUGCAUCCUUACCUGAUUUGAAAUAAUAGGUCCCCAUUUCUUCAUGGUGUGUUUCUUUUCUCAAAAGUUGGAGUGUUGGCAGUGAACUUCGAUGGCUUCUUCGCUCUUGCUUACUCGAGUCAACUCUUGUGAUUUUGACCUCUAGGAAGAAAUUGAUAUCAUCAUAGUUCUUUUUCCCCGUCCUUUACCUCAAGGGUUGCCAACUUUGCUCGACAUUUUCUUAGAAAAUGAAUCAUGGAGCCAGCCCUAUCAUAUGUUUUUUUAUUGCCCCCUAGCUUGAUCAUGCCCCCAAGUAUUCAAAUCAAGUUUGAGGAUAAGGCUAUGUGAAGGAAGGUUUGACAAGGAAUUGUUUUCAUGCAGAAUUUUUGGAAUUCCAAAGCUAUUCCAAACACAGAAAUCAUUUUGACAUCGAUUCAAAGCAAGCUCAUUUUGAAGAAAUUCAAGUGUUUCCUAUGGAGAGGUUAUCAGAAGUGAUGAAAACCUUUUUUUUUUUUUUUUUUUUGGCUUUUGGUAAAAAAAAAAUGAAGUGACAUCUGGUUUGUCAAAAAAGGUUUAAAUUUCAAUUUGAGGGUUAUUGAGAACCGAGGUUCAAAACAUUUAUUUUAUUUGCAUGAAUAAUGAUUUGGUUCACAUGAGAAAACAUUGCCUACCGAUCCAGAUUGCUUGCCUUUGAUCAGAAAGGGCUUGAUUAGGCACGUAAUGUAGGCUUGGGCUCUUGGUUAUGAAGAAAAUGAUAUUUGUAGGCUCAAAAGGUGUUUAAAGGAUUUGAAGACUAAGGAUCACUUGUGCUUGUUUCUUGACCUUUUGUCAUUUGACUGUCUUUCGAAAAUUAUCUAUCGUGCCCCCUUGUGUUGGGCUUGGGCUUGUUCUCUUUGUUUUUGUUUUCUUCAUAUGGUUUUGAGCAUCAUAAUAUUGUUUUUUUUUUAUGCCCAAAACUCUUGAUCCUUUGGAUUUUUCUUCAUGUCCCUCUAGAUUUGUUCGGGCACCUUUGAUGAUUGAGAAUUUUCUUUUAUGCCCCCUAGUAUUGCUUGGGCACUUUCGAUCAUUGAGGUUUUCUCUAUGUCAUCGCACUUGCCCCUAGUGUGGGGUGUGAUCCUAGCCAAGGUUAUUUUUCAAGAAAUAUUUAUUAGGCUCAAAAGGGGACUACAAAUGAUAUAUUUAAGCCUUGUGAAAGGAUUAUCAAGGAUGACCUUUCUUCAUCUCAAAUGCAUGCAUUUAGGAUCGAUAAGCCUUGCUUUCAUGCGAGUAUGCAAAGUGAUUUCUCAUUAUUCAUGCAAUCAAAACUCAGCUUUAGAGUCACUUCAUGGUUUUUUUUUUUUUUAGGUUUUUCUAGGUGUAUGGUUACCUUUCUAAGGAAUCACCUGAAUUUCCAGAACUCGUUUGUUUUGGACAAACAUCAACAUGAUUUCAGUUUCUGUACUAAACUUUGAAUUCCCAAAAAUCCUUGUGAACAUGUGCGAUCAUGCAUAGUUUUGAAAGAAAGGAAAACACACCCAAAGAUUCUUGGUGUGAUGGUUUCAUGCUUAAAGAUUAUGCUCAAUAUGUUAUUUGCAAGAAACAACAACAAAAAUGAAGGUAUGUUAUAAACACAUGAUUUUAUUAACAAGAAAGGCUCAUUUGACAAGGAAAGUGUUGUGGAAUUUUGAGCCAAGUUACCAACAAAAAUUGGAAUAGGUUGAAACAAAAAUGAAGAAAUUUUGCAGGCAUGAUCAAACUAAGGUUUUUCUUUUUUCUUUUUUCUUUUUUUGCAGAAUAGGCUCCAUUAUGCACCGGUAGUGCAAUUCCCUUUGGUUAGCCUUCCCACCAAAGCUUUUUGUAGAAAAUACAUGAUGCGCCGAGGCUCUUGACAAAUUUUGCCCCCAAUUUCUUCGGGCUGAGUCAUUGUUGGGUUUUGAAUAAAGAUGAUAGGUCGGUUGGAAGAAACUUCCCUAGAGUUAUUUUUCAGUAUCUACUCGAGUAAGCUAGAAGCAAGUCACACAUGUCUUCAAAAAUUACGACGAGCAUAUUCUUCAUCUUCAGAGUUUUUCUUCAUUCAAAGUCGGGUGUUGUAGACUCGUAGGGGACCUACUUUUCAUUCUGGUGCAUGCAUGACAAAUGUAUGAACAUGUAAUCUAUAUGAUGAACUCACCCUUCGAGAGGUGACAAUAUGGUCGUAACUCUUGUAUGAUGGAGCAAGAAUCGUGAUUUUUGCCCAAACUUUACAAUGAAAAUUUUCGGAGUAACGGCCAAUGUGUCACCCAUAAGUCUUGAGUUCAAGAUGCUUCAAGAAGAGUUUGUUCUUAUGCAAAAAACGAUAGCACAUACAACCUAAGGACAAGUUCUAUUCAUUAUGUGAACAUGGGUAGGUCUUCUAUCUGGUCUCAAAAGGGUCUCAUAUCUGUCCAGUGACGUUCUUCGUAAAGACAGUAUGGGGGCGUUGCAAGGAAUGGUUAAGGCACGUAUACCCACCAUUACCAAGCAGGCACUCAGAUAUGAGUUGGGUGUUUCACGCAUCUGAACCCUGACCAAUAGCCUUAGGGCAGAUCACUAGUUCCCCACCUAACCUAGAAGCUUGUGUGUGCUUUUAAAAAUAAAUACAGGUGAUGCAUGAAUCAAUUGUAUAAAAUGCAUGGAAAAAAAAUAUUAACAAAAAGAUAAAAAUGCAAAAAACUUAAACACAUCAAAUACACAAAGCUUAGUCCAAUAAUGUUAGAAACAAUACCUUCCCCAGUGGAGUCGCCACUUUGUCGCACCCAAAAACAAAAUCAGCGCGCGGCAUCGGCUGACGAUUUUUCUCUCGUUGUUAUUGUUUUUGCUUGAAUUUAGUUCGUUGGAGUCGCCACCUAGUAAUUGAUUGCGGGCUACUAGGAAACCGGAUGUACUGGUCUUAUCAAAGAUUCGCGGGUAAGGGACUGGUUGUGGUUAGGGAAGGUAUUAGCACCCCUAACGCACCUUACCUGAGGUAAGCUGCUUCGCGAAUUUGAUGUUUUAAAGAAGUUUUAAUAAUUGUCUUUUCAUCGAAAAUUAGAAAUAUCACUUACGUAUAAGUUAAUAAUUCUUAACCGUGAUCCGAUCAAAAUAUUAAAUUCUUCUUUAAUAAAAUUGCAAUUUUAUCAUUAAAAAAAUAUAUAUACAAAUAACUAAAACAAAAUACAAACAUCCACAUUCACUUUUACUAUAUUUUUCUUUUUUUUUCUUUUCUUUUACACCCAUAUUUACAAAAUAUAAAUUACAAAAAAAAUGAAAACUAAACAAAUAUUACAUUAAACCAUUUGGAAAUUACAAAAAUGACCCAAAACAAAUUCAGGAACAAUUCUGGGCUGCAUUCUGGGCUGCCUGAACAGUAGCGGCGCGUGAACCGCCCCGAAAAUCAGGCAGUGUGAGGGGGCUGUAAUGCUUCCUCCUCUCUUCAAUCUCUUGUUGUCCGUCACCUGCAAAUCCAAAAAACAACACAGCAAGGGCAGUCGAUUUUAAGUUUUUUUUUAGUUUUUCAAAUCUGUUUUUUGUUCUUUCUUUCUUCUCCGAUCUGCUCCUUCCUCUUCUUCUUCAGAUCGUCUUCUCCCCGGGUCAGUUCGUUAGGGUUUAUGUCUUCUUCUCUGCUUCCGGUGGUGGCGAGGCCAAGGGGGAACGGCUGCGCGGGUGCUGCUGGUGGCCUGUGAUGGUGCGGUGGAGCUGUGAAGGAGAGGGGACCGUGGAUCUGCCACCGUUGAAAAGGGAAGAUCUGUUGCUUGCUGCUGGUUGCUCGACCGCCGCUGGAGGCUGAUUGAAGAGGUGGUGUCGCCGUGUUCGGCGGUGACAGGAGGAGCUGUUGUGGUCGGCCGGUUGGAGAAGAAAAAAUCAAAGCCAAGGGGAAGGAGAGGAUGAGCGGCGGCUGCAAGCGGGGAAAGGAAGAAAAGCUUUUUGGGUGAUGACGGGGGGGGGGGGCUUUGGGAGAUGACAGUGAAGAGGCUGGGUUGUGUGAUCGGGAGAGGAGGAAAUACCGUGGGAUGAGCGGUGGUUUCCGGAGAGAAAAAAAAAGUCGUGAGGGGGCGGCUCCUUUUGUUAGAGAUGGGUCUAGGGUUAGAGAUUUUUUUGUAUUUUUUCAGAUGUUGUCAAAAUUGCCCCCUCCCUCUUGCAAGUGUUGGAAACCAGUAUUUAUAGGCAAAAAAUGUUGCCAAGUUUUUCAACUUGGUCCCUCAACUUCUUUCUUUUGUAAAUUUUGAUUUUUCUUUUUUUUUUUGUAUUUUUUUAAAACGAGCAAUAUCAACGUCGACUCAACAAGGAAAAUCAAUGAUUUUAAAAAUGACGCGUGAAAAGUUGAACGCGUUUGAAAAUCUUUUAAAAAUUUAAAUUCUUUUUUUUAGACGACGUUGAAAAUGCUAAAAUGACGAAAAUAUAUUAAAAACAUAUUUUUUUGGAUUUUCUUUGUUUUUCUCUAUUUUUGGAUUUUUUUGAAAAUAUAUCAAAAACAUGGGUCAAAAAAUAGGUAGCAACAGAUGCCCCCUCUUUACAAUGCUUACGAAGCAAACUCCUCAAAAUUUUGCAUAGUAAGCUUUGUAAAGAAAACAAAAGGAAAAUGAUUUCAUUAUCUUGGGCGACCUGCCCACACACUCACACUGAUCUAUUUUCACGUGCGACCUGCCCACACAUACUCACUCUAGUCUAUUUUCACGGGCGACCGACCCACACUCUCACACUGAUCUAUUUUCACGGGCGACCUGCCCACACAUACUCACUCUAGUCUAUUUUCACGGGCGACUGACCCACACUCUCACACUGGUCUAUUUUCACGGGCGACCUGCCCUUUUAAUUGGGUUUACCUGAGAUCCUAUCUGGCGACCUCAUUCAACUGGAACGAAAAUAUUGUGUAACUCGGUUAACCUGAAAUCUCAUCUGGCGAUUCCCUUUAACCAAAGCUACAUGAGAUCCCAUCUGGCGACCUCAUCCAACUGGAACGAAAAUAUUAUGCAACUCGGUUAACCUGAAAUCCCAUCUGGCGAUUCCCUUUAACCAAAGCUACAUGAGAUCCCAUCUGGCGAUCUCAUUCAAUUGAAACAAAAGAAUGUGUAAAAAAUGGUCUCAUUGUAUGGGUGACCUACCCAAGAAAAAAAAAAGAUGGUCUCAUUGUAUGGGUGACUUACCCAAGAAAAAUGAUGGUCUCAUUGUAUGGGUGACCUACCCAAGAAAAAAUGAUGGUCUCAUUGUAUGGGUGACCUACCCAAAAAAAAAUGAUGGUCUCAUUGUAUGGGUGACCUACCCAAGAAAAAUGAUGGUCUCAUUGUAUGAAUGUAAAAGAACUUAUCCACAUUGAAAAAUGGCAAGGUACACCCUAUCUUUUGAAUGGGCCAAAAAAAAGAAGGAAAAGCAUGAAACAGUGUUGACCCAAUAGUAACUAAGCAAUCCUUUAGUGACAGGAGACCACUCUGGUCAACAAUCAAAGCAUGCAGAAAACCUGGUUAAUUAAUUCUUUUGCACGCAAUGCAUCAGGAAAAACAUCUGGAUCUUUCUGUGCAUCCCUCAGCAUGAUAUCAAGUACUCUGCAUCACAAAAGUGCAUGUUUAUCACAGCAUCCUUUUGCAGAUAUCUGCUUGCUUCACAUCCAGAAAUGCACUACAGAAAUAUAGGAUUGAAAAAGAAAAAUUCUUGUAGAGGCUUUACAAAUUUGGCUCCAAUCAAACAUAUCCAAUGAAUACUACAGGACUUUGACUACUGCACAUGAAGGGCUAACAUAUGGAUCUGGUAAUAGGCCAUGAAAUAAGAGCAUUGCUGACUAAAGUUUUGCUUUGAUUGAAUUGAAACAAAUUAAAGUUCCUAAUAUAAGCAGAAAUAUUAACCUUCGAUUGGAUGUUACUACUUCAUUACAAAUGCCUGGAUUUCCUUGAAAGCCAGAAAACUCGGCCAGUGAAAGACAUUCUUCUUUUAGUUUUGUGAGAGUAGGGCUUCCAAACUCUUAGUCUUUGGGAUGAUAAUGUUAAUUGCAGAUUUCUAUUCGAUCCAAUACAUGCUGGCAGGUAUGUUUCAGAAAAACUGGGACCCAAUUAGGAAGCAUUUUUGGUUUAUAUCCCUAGGAUCAUAUUUGUAGGUCAUCCUAUUAAGAGUUGGUUAUAAAUCUAAAAAUUCAGAUUCUGUCCUCAUGUAAUUAAAUGGAACUUCAGAUUUAAAGAAGGGUAUCCCUUUAUUAAGCCCACUAACAAAGAGUUUCCACAAUUUUCAGCACAAGUUUUUUAGUUUCUCAAAAAAUCUGUGUUUUCAAAUCUUCGACCUAAUCUUUAAAUCAGUCUUGAGUAAAAACAACCAGCUCCAUUGGUUUGCUUCAACAAAAGCUCAUCUUAGCUCAAAUCUUUUCUACUGUAUCAUGAGGAAACCCCUUACCUAGCAGCUAUUCCCGAGUAGACAUCUGCAGGCUUCUCUCCUGCAACUAGAUUAACAGCAGCUGCUCCCAACUGUUCAAGAUUCCAAUGAUUUAACAAAAGCAGAGGGAUUCAAAAUAUAAUCAAAUGCAUUACUUUCCUUUUUCAAAAUUAAAAACGAAGUUCAAAAAAUAAAAGUUUGCAGACCACUUCUAAAAAACACGACUUGAAUUCAACAAUGAUUGGCAUCAGCAUAGUGCCUUAGGAAAUGAAAAUCAGACAAACAGAUUGCACAUAUUGGGUUUUUUUUUAUCAGCAGUAAUCAUAAAGAAAAGAAAAACUUCAUAACAUCAUCUAAUUCAAGUUAAGGACGUUACCUUGUCUCUUCCAAGUGCAGCGUAGUGUUGUAGGCCAUUGCAGGAACCAUCCUACAAAAAACCAUAAGAGGGAAGGGGUCCAUCAGAAGGCAGAACAGGUUAUGAGAAAAAUUAUAGGCCAGAAGUACAAAGAUAAGCCCAGGGAAGAGUACUUAAGUUGAUUGUCCCACAUAGUCCAACAGUUUUUUAUGUAAUACAACCAAUAGAAACCACUUAAGCUUAUCAUUUUAUUUGUUUUCCUAAAGCAUACAAGGUACAAUAACAAAGAAUCUUGACUCUCCUUUUACCAUUCAUCUUCCUAACACCUCUGCCUCUCUCAAUCCAUUCCCUACCAUUCCAGUAAAACUGUGCUCAAUUGGGUAGGAUGCUUUACAAUCCUUAAAAAAUGUCCAUAAAAAGUUUAUAUGAGCACAAUGCAAUACAUUGAUAAGAUAUACCUGAUGAACAGGAAUAUGUGAAAUAUAUGUUUCUGGCGAGGAGCUUCUCAAAGCUUCAGUUAGGUUAAUGCACACAGCCAAGAACUGAAAUGGAUCUUCUGCAUGCAACCACCAAUGCUUUCCGUCAAGUGGUUUGUCUGCAGAAUCAAAUAUAUCAUCAAGGUGAUUCUCAGUACGUAAAAGCUAUCCGUCCCUCAUAAGAUAGCUUGUCUACACCACCAGCAAAUAGAUUUGCAAUGUGUAUCUUCAGCCAGCGUAAGCCUGACUUUCCAAGAGGGCGUCCCUCUGCGAACUCCAAAAUCCCUCGGCACAGAUCUGAUCCAAGAUGGUUUAAGUAUGGGUGCAUGGGGUAGGCACGCCCACGAAAGUCAAUAUUGUGUGGAUAAUAGAAACCUUCUUCAUCUUUCAUCUUCCGUGCUACCUGGAGCCAAUUAAGAAUGAUGGCAUGAACGCCAUCAAGAAGAUUGAAAGUGUACUGUCUAAAAUAAAGUAAAUUGAGUCUUACAGCAAGUUUAAGUUCUAUGUCACAACGCUGUGCAUGUCUUUCCCUGUUCUCUUUUUGCACUCCUCUGAGUUUCCACUUCCACUUCUUAAGAAGUGCUUCAUCUUCUGUUUCUGGCUUCUCAGGUAAAGGAACCUGAAAUGAAGAAAUUAAAUGAGAAAGGUUUUUUAGUUGCUAUCAUGAUCAAUUCUUGGAACACAAAGGUAAAGGUAAAAGAGUUUCUCAGAAAAAAAAAAGUUACAUUGAGGAAAGUUAGAAAAGAUACUCACAUCACUGUGGUCUACCAAAUCAGCAAGACAGCCUCCAUUACUCCAUAUUCUAUCAACAACACUAAGUACCCUCUUAUUUACCCUCCAUCUGGUAUUCCCUAGUGUAUCCAGGGCCUGGAAAAUUAAUUCAAACAAAAGAGAAUCCUUGUUAAACCAGAAGCUAAGCUGGUAAAAUCUACACAUGUGAUAGCAUGUGAAGGUAUACACAAUUAUCAGUAUAAGAUUGUGUUCAAUGAACAUCACAUGUUAGUACCAAAAGAUGAUUUAGUUCUAACAAUAAAAUACGCAUCAGUAACCAUGCAAUGCAUCUAAUGUGUACAGACCUCAAAAACUGGUUGUAGCUGCCUCCUAGGUGCCCUCUAAACUGCUUCACGUUGCUGUUUAGCACCAUGUAUCCGCAUGACAUAGGAUGGUAAAAACAAGUGAGCUCCUUUAUCAUAACUGCAAAGGGCAUUGAGGUUAUGCUCGACACGAGUAAGAGAGAGGUAAAUAUCACAAGCUAUGACACAAUUAUCAAAGAAGAGCUUAGAACACACCAAAAAGCUGCUUAAAUGCCAGGUCCUGAUUUGUUACUAGAAGCAAUGGUGUUAAGAGUUGCUACAACUACAUGGGAACCAGCAUCCAACCACAAACUCAUUAGAUGCCAGAUUAAAGUAGCGUAUGUAAGGAACAUGUAUGAAGAAUUUGUAUCUUCCAAAUUUGUAUACAAGGAUCUAAAAUUAAUUUUAGUGGGGACUAUGCUAAUGUGCCUCCUGCAACUUGCAUGAUGAUUGAGUGAAAGAGCCAAGACCACUAUAAACUUGCUAGUAAACAAAGUGCUCUUUCCCCAAAACCAAUUCAUGAAACGGUUUUCAUCUGAUGCUCAAUCUGAUCAAAUUAAGAUAUUUAGAGUGCAAUCACUGGUUUAAAUCUUUUCUUUUUGUAGAUAGAAAGUGUGUCCAGGAAUCUCAGUCCUAAUGGGCAAUUUACAACCAAAAGCGCUAGGGAGCUUAUCAGAUUUAAAGGCAAUAGGUUGAAUGGCAGAAGCUGCCAUAGAGGCCUAUUCAUAUUCCAAAGCAUGUGUAGUUUUUCCAAUGAGGAUUGUGAUCACCUAUUCAUGAAAAAGUUAACCAAAGUCCAUGAAAAACAUAUCCUAACUAACUUGCCAAACAAUAAGGUUAAAAAAUCUCAGUUUGACAGCAGAGAUCUGUCUGUGCCAUUUCUCUCAUGUAAUCAUCUGUUGUCUCCUUGCGCUUCUGGCACAUUUGAAAUUUGAAAUAAAUACCUAUAUAUGAAUCUUCACCUAAAGAAACUAAACUACUUCAAUCAAGUUCUCUAUGUACUAUCCUAAUCCUAAAUUAACUACAUGUCUGACUUCACAUGAAAACAACAAUUCGAUACUCUUAUCUUUUCUUGAGCUAAAAUAAUCCACCACAACAUCCUUGUAGAAAACCUAACACCUUUUCUUUCUCUAUAUUUUAUCUCUAACUGCCAGCCAUUCUUUUCCAUGAAGUAUACCUCUCCCUUUAACAUCAAAAACAUUAUAAUAAAGAAUUCCAUAGCAAUCCCUAAAUUCUCCUGCCUGUGGCAAUAAUGUUAAUUUUCCGGUAUUAGACAUGGCUGUGAUUAGCAAAUGCUCUUCAAUGUUUAAAGACAGUGUUCUCCGUUUUGUUGAGAAUCGUAGACAAAACCUUCCAUCUCAUAUCUCACAUUCACCAUGUUUUGAAUAAACACCUGCAAGACAAUUAGUUUCCCUUCCAAUGGAGGUUACAGAAAUGGAGAGGCAAAGCCUUGAAACAUGCUGAAAUGUUAAUUUCAAUUAGCUGAAAUUGGGAUUGGAAUUCCAGUCUUUAUAAUCAGAGAUUCAUUCCUUUAUCUAUUAUACCAUUUUAAGCAUUUAACUUGACAUGAAAAUUGAAAACAGCUCCAGGCAUCAAACAGAAGUAACCAAAACACUAUGUUAAUAUUUCUAAACUUGGAAUAUAUCCAACUAAAAAAUAUAAAAUUAAAACAAGACAAUCGUGGAAAAAAUGUGGUGGCACCAACAUUGGCAUAUAAGGAAUCACCAUGUGCCUAGCCUGUUUGGAGAAACAACAUUUUUAUGACUUCUUGUGCAAGAAAAAAGAAUGAAAGACAAACAUCUGCAACUUAAGAGGCACCAUGGAAAUUGCCUCCAAAUCUGAUCUGUUUCAGCUCUAAAAUCUAGAAACUAACCUAUCUGCUUUGAAAGUAUAACAGGGUUACUCACAAUUUUCUCUAGGCCUUUGAGGACUAGAGGGUCACAUUGUAUAACACCAUAUUUUUUCGCGCCCUUCCUUUUUAAGAAAAGGCCAUUGUGCAUCAGUUAGGAGCAAUUACAAGGAAGAAAAGAUAAAUUGAGCACAUCGAGUCAAUUAAAGAAUGACGCCAUACUUAUUUUCAUAUGACACAGUUCUGAAUGUAUGUACAAAUGCAGGUCGAGGUUCAGAUGGACUAUCAGCUAACUGAUCACAGGGAGGCUGUAUAUAAGCUGUUUGUAACAGCAAUUCAAUUAGAUGGCUUCCAACCUUCAAAGUGCAACGACAGAAAUCAAAUUCGCACACGAUACAUUUGUUCAAGAAAAUUAGCUUUUAUCAAUGAUUACAAGCACACAAACCUUAGCCCUAGCAUCUGCAUUCCAUGGUUUUGAAUCAUCCUUCCCCUUCACAAUCUUCCUCACAGCUGGUAGCUUUUGUUUUUUAAUCAAAUCAGUAACCUUUUUUCUUAGGUUUUCUUGUUCCUUCAUGACAGCAGGGGAUUCACCUUCUACACCAUUCUUAGGUUUUUUAAUCAAAUCAGUAGCCUUUUCUUGUUUUCUCCAAGAUAUUUUGUAUUCUAAUCUGUUUCAUCACAGAAACUGUUACAGAUUCAGUCCUCAGUUCAAAGAAAGAGAACAAAACUGAAGAGUUAGGAGGUCCAAAACAUGGAUUAAGAAUGGUACACCUAAAUAUCUCUGCAUUCUAAAGUCCUUUUUUUAAAAAAAAAAAAAAAAGGAAAAGAAAAGAGGAAGCAACUCCCAUAGUCAGAAGAGACAGUAGAGCAAAGUGUCAUGCAUGCCUUUAACGUCUAAACGAAGAGAAAAACUUAAACAACUUACAAAACAAAGGCACAAACAAGAACACACAUAAUUGAAAUGAUAAAGAUAAUUGCUGUCCCCAACAGGGAAAUGCAAAAGUAUAAAUCCAUAGUGAAACAAUGUCGAAACAUGAGAUGAGCUCUGACAAAGGAAAGUUGAAUGUCACUCUUAUGAGUCCACCAUGCCCGUGCUUUGAAGAAAUUGUAGCUCAAAAAAGAAAGGCGUAAUAGAAUAUUCAGCCUAAUAAGGCCCGUGAUAUGAAAAGUUUAACACUUAAUGAAAAAAAUUGUAAAAACUUACUAUCUAAAGGAUCUUACACUACAUUGUUUUUCGUACCUACAUUUAGUGUCCUCCCUGGAACCAUGAACAGCAGAAGAACUUGGACUGAAAGUAAAAACUAUAGAUAUAUAAAAAAGAAAUCCAGAAAAACCCCAUUCAACAUUCGACGGAACGUAACUUCAAAAUCUAAUUUUCCAGGCACUACUAGCUCCAUAGCUGAUUUUUAUCUCAUGAUUGUACAUAGUAACUUUCAUCUUUCUUCCUAGUUCAUCACCUCAGAUGAAGGUUGUCUAAAAGUUAAUUUAAGAAACUUUAUGUUUUCCCUUAUCUUUCAAUACUUUUAUACGGGCACUCAUUAUCCUCUGUCUACAAAUCAAACCGCAAGUAAAAAUAAGCAAAUAAAACAUUAAAAAUUACUUACCUUCUGCUCAAUUGCAUCACCAAUCAUACAAGCAGCAGUCACAACUCUUGCACAUCCAUGUUCCCCACCUGUCAUUACCAUUGCUGCGAGUUGAUGCAUUGCAAUAACAGACAUCUUGUCAGCUGGCAACAGAUCAAAAUACGGAGCAUAACCCUGCCUACUCUUCCCCGUUCCAAUCAACUCCUGCUCUUUCGCAAUUGCAUCUCUAAAAGGCUCAAACCAACCAAGGAACAAACUCUUCAUAUAUGGUAAAUUAGGAGCCAACUUAUGUUCACACAUAUCCUUCAAAAGCUCCUUAUAUUCUUUCGUUGACAGUUCCCAUGCUUCCGCCUCAAUCUUCACUUGCCUUCUCCUUAAGACCCUAUGCUUCCUUGACCCUAUUCCAGGGUUAGCAUGUAGCCUCCUCCUCCUAAAGUGCUCCUCUUUCUCCUCUUCUUUCCUCAUUUCUGGCAGCAAUUCUUGCACUUCAUCCGCACCAGACACAUUAUCUUCAACAUCUGUUGAUGACACUGCCUCAGCUACACUCACAUACCCUCUUGGACAAAAUCCAGCACACCGAUUCCCGUUAGUACUUUCACUAUUUCUCAAAAAAAUAGAACUGGGUUUUCCCAUAAAAUCUUCAUGGGUUGAUAAUUCGCCAAUUGCUCGAAAACUCAGUCGUGGACUUGUCUUAUUAAGCAAAUGGAACUUGAGUUUCUCAAAAAAGAUGGGUUCUUUAGAGGCUCCUAAAAAGCUGUAAGUUCUUGGAAAUGAAGGGAAAUUGAGGGACUUUGAUUGGGAUUUCAAAGUGGCUUGUUUUGCGACGUUUCUCCACAUAACUAUGGAUGGUUUAGAGAUAGAAUUGUGGGUUUCUUAUCAAAAUCAAAAGAUCAAAAGUUUUGGUAGAAAAUAUAUGGGAGUUGGUCCUCUAAUUAAAGGAAAUGAAAAAAGAAGAAGAAAUGGAAUUGAAAUGAUUGAGAGAUGAAUUGAAAUGCGCGGGUAAUGCAACUUGAGAAAAGAAAUGAGUUCAUAGAGAGGGUAUGGUAGUGGUAUUAGCAUACCGGCCGCCCUAAACCCUGCAUAAACCUUCUUUGGGGUUUUUGGCUAAAUCGUCUUGUUUGUUUCUCUCUUUUCACUACUUGUGUUGCCAUGAAUCGACUAGAAGGGGCAUUUGUAUGAUCUCAAAAGUUUCCAAGGGCUUGGGGUUAUAAAAUUGCAAGUCAUGUGUGGAUUCUUAAGAUAAAGUUGGGCCAAUUUGAAAUAACAAAGAAAAAUAAUUUUGGCAUAUAAUUUUAUUAAUCUUUAUUGUUUGUAAUUUGCAGAGCAUAAUUAGGAAUGUAGAAUUAAAUUUUAUUAUUUUUGUCUCAAACCAGUUACAAACGAAGCAAGUCCAAUUUUGGAGUAAGUGAUUAUAUAUAUUAAUAUUUAUGUGUUUAUAUAGUUGUUAAUAUAAAGCUAUUAAUAAUAAAAAUUGUUGGUGCAUCUAAGAGAAAAGUAUAGAAGUUUAUCAAAUUGUCAUGCUUAUAAAAAAAAAUUGUUACUAAAUUAAUUUUUAUUAAAUUAUUGAAUUGAAUUAAUUAUUUUAACAGUUAGAAGAUAUUAGUUUUAAAACAUAGUUAUUGUAUUUAAAUUUUAAUCAAAAAUUAAAUUGAUUAGUUAAGAUUUUGUUGAAAAAUAGUUUUUUGCAUGAAUAUUAAUUAUAACAUAAAAUAUUAAAAUAUUUAAAAUUAAUUAUAGAUAAAUAAAAAAAUAAUUUCAAAGAAUUCUAAUGAAAUUGAUGUAAAAAAAAUUCAUAUUGAUAAGAAAUUAUUGGUUUUAUCUUUGAGAAAUAUAUAUUGUUUUUAAUUUAAAUCUAACACAGACACCAAAUCUAGAGUUAAAAAAAUACGUUGUCAAAAAACUAUAUCAAUCCAAUAGCUUAACCUGAUAAGUAAGGUCAUCCUUAAGUGAAAGCUUUUUGAGCUUGAAACUUGCACAUAUUCACAUUAUCUUGUACUUUAAUACUUAUCAAAUAAAUGGAGAUAAUAAAAUUUAAAUUUAUGACCGUAUACCACGUCAAAAAACCAAUUCAAUCCAUAAAAAAUUUAAAAUAUAAUUUAUAUUAUUCUUUAAUAUAAGUGAAACCAAAAUAAUGGUUGAAAUUUUCCAAGGAUGGGCUUUCCGCAAUGUAAAAGUUUUAGAUCUUGUUUAAUACGGAAACAAUCCUUCCAUCCGCAAACAUGGGAUUAUCCUAAAUUUAAGAAGAAAAUCCAUACAAAGUAAAAUGUGAAUCUAAUUCCCCAAACCAAAACCAUGAGCAAAAACUACUGAAGAUCUUCAAGCUAAAGCAACCGCUGGAGCAGCUGCUGCAACUCCCGCUGCUCCUGCUAUAGCCGCUGCGGCUGCAGCUGCACCUGCUCCUGAUGUAACCCCUGCAGUUGCUGUUGCCAGAGCACCUGUUGCCGCCGCUGCAAGAGCACCUGCCGCCGCUCAUCGAGGUGCUGCCGCUGCUGCUGCUAGAGCACCUGCUGCAGCUGCUACUCCUCCUGCGUGAGCUGCUGCUGCAGCUCAGGUAUAGUGAAACUAUACAUGGAAUCGAUGUUACAUGUUUUGUUGGGUGUUAAAAAAAAAUUUCAACAUGUUUUUGUAUUUAAAAAAUUCUAAAUCAUAAAUAUAAUCAAAUAAAUUAAGAAUUAUGUGUGUUAAUAAAAAAAACAACUAUAAACUAUAACUAAAAAUAAAAGUGAAAAAAUCAAGAAACAAGUGUAGAUUAAAAUAUUUAAUUUCAAAAAACAAGAUAUUUAUGUGAUUGUAUUUACUAAAUUUAUUAAUUAAAACAAGUUUUUUAUUCAAUCAAACGAUAAUAAAAAUAGAUAUACACAUCAAAUUGAUUGAAUAAAAUAAAAAAAAUAUGCAAGGCUGCAAUUAUUAAAAUAUUAUUUGAAAAUAAAAAAUUUAUUUUCAAGAAUAAAGUUUAUUUGUACAAAAAGUUAAAAAAAUUAUAAAUGAAUCAGAAAAACUUUCUCAAAAAUUAAAUGCAUAACUAAAAAAUAAACUAUCAUACAAAGAGGACCUCUAAACAACAUAAAAAAAAAAAAAAAAAGAGAAGGGAUGUUAAUCAAAAUAUAAAAUAAAAAAAACAUAUAAAAAAAAAAAGAAGAAGCAAAGGUCAUUCGUUUUGGGCUACUAAGUUAAGCAAGUCCAAUUGCCGCAUUUUGUUAAGGCCCCGCUCACUAACCUUUAAUUUUUUGUUGCAAGAUGUUUGCGGGAAAAAAAAAGAUGACAGUCUUUUAUAGACCAUAUAUUUUUUUCUCUUACAAAAAAGUUGUGCAUGCAUGUUUUUUCGAUGCAAAUUUAUACAUAAAAAAUUUAAACCGUAAAUUAAAAAGUUCAUACAUAAAUGUAAUCAAAUAAAUUGAUAACUAUAUGAAUUAAUAAUAAUAAAAAUAUAUUAACAAUAACUAAAAAUAAAAUUUUAAAAAAUUCAAAUGUGUUAAUAAACGGAACAUUUACCUAGUUAUAUUUUUGAAUUUAUUUAUUAAAAUUAAUUUUUUAUUCAAUCAAAUGAUAUUAAAAAAAACACAUACGUAUUAAAUUGAUUAAAUAAAAUAAAAAUAGAAAACAUAUUAUGCAAGGUUGCUAUAUAUAUUAUGAUAUCUGAAAAUAUUUUUUUAUACAAAAAGAUAAAAAAAAUUAUCGAUGAAUCAUAAUAAGUUUUUUAAAAAUUAAAUAUGAACAACACCAUAAAAAUUAUAUCUAUCCAAAAAUAAAUAAAUAAAUAAAUAAUAAUAAUUAUAGAUGAGUAAUAUUAGUUGAAACAUAAAUUUAAAAAAUAUUUUUUAAAAAAUAUAUAAAAAGGAAGAAUUAAUUAUUACCUUUUCGAUACAUAUGAAAUCUCAACUUUAUUGAGAAUAUGCAUCCAUCUUUGUACCUUCUCCUUGUUUUCCCUGAAAUUUUCUUCAUUCUUAUCAAAACAAUUGUGUAACUUCUGUUUGAUCAUCUAUCUUUGAUUGUUCGACAUCAUAAGAAACUGGAAACACAGUGUCCGAUCUCAUCUCAUCCAUGAAUCCGAAAAUCUUGACAAGUUCGUCAAAGCACCAAGGUAAAGAAGCACAUCUCUUGCAAAUAUAAUAAUUGACAACCCUGAUUCUUCAAUGGCCUCAAAGAGUCUGGAUCUAAUUUCCAUUACUUUCUCUGGUUCCUUCUUGACCGGGAUAAUGACUCUCCGCGCUAGAUCUGACUUUAAAUAGGUGAUAGCAUUACUAGUGCCUGCGGCUCUGAUGCUAGGGAAAACACUAGCCAUCCAAUGAUGGUAAGAUGAAGAAAAAGCUAAAGAAGCUUUACAUGAAGAAGCUGUUUGUAAACUUGUAACAAUAAAAUGGGCAGAUGGUUGUGAUGAUAACAAACAAACACCACAAUUCUUCACCUUUACUCGUCGCUGGUAGGAAUGAAAUGACAACUCAAUGUUGCUAAAGGAUCCAUGCUUCCAUUCUUUAAGCUCUUUAAGGUAAUCAAAAGAUAGAUAGAAUAGCCAAAUAUGAUCUGACAGAACUUGGAUAGAGUUACAACUAAUACUCAUCGGCGAACGAUAAUUCUCUCUUCCAUUGGCUUUGAAAUGACAAGAAAGAGAAGGACUUUCACCAUUUGCACUGAAUGCAACACACGCAACAAACCCCAUGCUCCAACUAGGCACUUGCACACUAAUUGAAGAUCCCUUACUUUGAUGGUUAAACCAGCCUGGAAUUUCAUUUAACUGCGAUACCAAAUCUAGGUCUUGGAUUAGGCAAACCCUGUACCUGAAGAACCAAAAUGUUAGAUAGAUAAAGGGAGAGGGAGAGAGAUACAAAGAGGUUGAGUAUGAUUAAGAGAAGACCUUGAGGUAUCUUUCAAGCAUCGCCAACCCCAUGUUGUCCUGGCCAUUAUGCUCGUACAAUUCCCAGCAGUUAAGACAUAUGAACUCUGAUCUUUUGGAACUGCUUAGCUUUAUCGGAUCUGGAAUUUCUUUUAGGCGUAUACAACCAUUCAAAUUUAAUGUUUGAACUUUUGAUGGAACCUCAGGCAAUGAUUCAAGCAUCCUACAAUCCUCCAAGACAAGCAUUUCGAGUCUAGAAAGCUGAUUUAUGCUUUCAGGCAGGGUAAUAAAGUUAUUCUGGCUCAGAUCUAAAGACUUCAAUGAAGAUAAGCAGCCAAUAUCUUCAGGAAGUGCCCCUUCUCUUAGAUUGCAGGCGCAUAAAUCCAAUACUUCUAAAGAACACAAACCCAACAAAGAAGGCAACUUGUGAUCCGUGGGAUUCACAGCUAUUCUUUUGCAUCCAUCAAAAGAUAAUACUUUAAGAUUCUUUAAAAGAAAAAUGGAUGCUGGCGGUUGUCUUAUUGAAGUUCCACUUACAUCAAACUCCUCCAAACUUUCAACUUUCCCCAAAUUCUCUGGUAUAUAUUUAAGUUUAGAGCAACCAGACAGAUCAAGUUUUUUAAGGGAUUUCAAACAACCUAUGCUACUUGGAAUGCUUUCAAGGUUCUUGCAAUUGUUCAUGCUCAAUAGACCUAAGCUAAUCAAAUGAUGCAUCGAUGAAGAUAGUUUUGUAAUACCAGUCCCAUCCAAUCGAAGCACCAUCAAACAGUUCAUGUUUCCUACUAUAUCUGGAAACUUCUCAAGUUUUGAGCAGCCAUCAAGAAUGCAAACUUUAAGUGAUUCCAUUUCUAGAUUGUUCGGGAGAAUCCUAAUGCUUUUGCAGUUCACAAGAUAUAUAUUGAAGCUUUUGUGAUGUGCAAGUGAUGGAUGGACCUCAGACAAACUAGUACAACCUUCAAGAAUCAGGUUCUUGAGAUUCGGAAUUCCAGUAAAAUCUGGAGUCUUGAUCAGGUUUAGUGAAUUGCUGAGAUUGAUGAUUUUCAAAUUAACUGCACUCUGCAAUCAGUCAGGGGAGAAUAAAUAUGGAUACUACUAUCAUACAUAUAUAGAAAACGAUAAAAAAAUACAAAGGCUUUAAAUUAGUUGAUCUCACCUUAUACCCAUACCAUAAUUGCUCAAAACUACUGUUAGCCAUGUGAAGUUCAACUAGCUGAUCCACCUGCAAACCAACUGGCAAUGAUUUUGAAGGGUAAGAAUGCCAUUCAAGAAAUUGUAACUUAUUAAAAGAUCUUCAGGUCCUUCAGAAAGCUGCACGUUGUUGAUUUUGAGCAAUCUUAGUCUGCUCAUUUUAGAGAAGGCUUCCAUGUUCCAUUGUGAAUCUUUUUUUCAGGCAUGUCCAGGAAAAUGGCUUCUAUUUUUUCUUUUCCCUGUCAACCAAAAGGGGAAUACAAAUAAAAAACAAAUACAAAGUAGAGAUGGAGUGUAAAUUAAAAUAAACUUCAUGAAAUCUUAUGGAUAAUGUUCUCUAUCAGCUACUUACUGUGUUGUCCAUCAGUGCAAGGCAAACAUCCUCGUAUGUCCACAAUCUACUACGCCUUCCAGGCUCUUCAGGGGAUUCACAACGAAUAAUUUCCUUACCCAUUAUCUGUAAUAAAUUAUGCAUCCAGACUUGAUCCCGAGAGACACUUAUGAGUGAUUUCUCAAUAAGAACUUGUGUUCCAAUAUGUGCAUGGAAUCCACAACUGUCAAGUAUCCUUAUUAUUUGAUCUCUUUUAAAUCCUUUAAGGAAACAAGCAAUGUCUAAAAAUAUUUUCUUCUCUAAUUCAUGGAGGCCAUCAAAACUAAUGCGAAGCACAUCAAUAAUUUCACGGUCAGGAAUAUCAUUUAGUCUAUUAAUCGCACUUCCCCAUUCAAGGAUACUUCUUCCAUGCAUAAACGAACCUAUAACUUCAAGAGCCAAUGGAAGGCCAUUAGCAUAACCCACAACUUGCUUGGAUAGUUCCACAAAAUCUUCAGCAGGCUGGUCAUUUUUGAAAGCUUUCUGGCUAAACAACAUAAGAGCAUCAUCAUCAUUCAAUUUCUCAGCCUCAUAAAUUCUAGCAACACCAUUUCUAGUUAACAUUUGUCUAUCUCUGCUUGUUAUGAUAAUUCUGCUCCCUGGACCAAACCAUUUACUCUCUGCAGCCAGGGAUUCUAGUUGUUUAUGGUCAUCUAUAUCAUCAAGAACAACAAGAAUCUUUUUAUGUUGUAGCCUCCGCUUUAUCAUUUCAAUACCUCUAAAUGAAUCACAUAUAUUAGCACGUUCCAUUAAUAUUUCAGAAAGAAGUUGUUCCUGCAAACGACGUGGUCCAUCUUUCUCAGCAAAAACUUCUCUGACAUUUGCUAAGAAGCAGCUGCCUUUAAAUUGCCAACGAAAGCUAUCAUAUACUACCCUUGCAACAGUCGUCUUACCUAUGCCACCCAUUCCACAAAUCCCUAUGAAGAUUGCUUCGCCAACAUCUUCACCUAUAAAACCAUUUAAUAUCUCUAGACGAGAAUCUAUUCCCACUAAUUUUUUGCUAACUGGCAUAGUGAUGCUUAGUUUGUAGGAUAUGUAUUCAACAAUUAUAUUAAUUGAUUCCGAUUCUUUCCUGCAUAGGAGGGGGCAAAACAUUAAUCAUGUUGUGUGCAAAUCAAAUCAGAUAGUGAUAAUGGGAAAAUAAAUAUGUAGCUAGAAAAUGUAUGGCUGUUAGCCAGAAAUUAAUACAUCAAUCUUUGAGAAAGAUAGGGCUCUGACAAUAGAUAGCUUCAACAACAAAGAGAAAAGGAAAGAAUAAACUGAAAAAGAAACUAAGAUUGUAUUAAUGCUAAGAAUGGUCCGUACAAUAGUUAUCUUAUUGCCAAUAAAAUCACACAGUUACUAAAAAAGCAUGCAUACAAGAACAAAAACUCUCCAUUAAGUUUGGUUUUGACAGACCAAAAGGAAAAUGGAGUUCUAUCAUAUUUUUUGCUGACCACUAAGUUAUUUUUAUAAUUAUUUUUAACAAAAAUUUCAAUUAUCUUGCAUAGUAAACUUUUAAAAAACAACUUUAAAUUUAUUAAUUUUUGAGUUUUUUCCCAUAUGCUACCCAAAAAACAUUUCUUAGACUAACAUAGUUUAAGUGGAUGCCCAAAUCCAAUCCACGCACCUUGAGAUGCACAAAUAUCACAUAUGUUAAUAUUCUUCUUUUUUUUGCAAAUUAAUGGAUGAAAUAAUCGUAAUAAUAGAACUAAAGUUAACUAAAUAUAAAAAUUGAGAAGGAAUUGUGAUAGGAAUUGUGAUUCAAAGUGUUUUUUUGCUUAGAAAUGCAUCAAAAUAAUUUUUUUUUUUAAAAAAUUAUUUUUGAUAUCAGCACAUCAAAACGAUUUGAAAACAUUAAAAAAAACUAAUUUUAAAAAAAUUCAAAAUUUAAAAAAACACGGCAAACCACGUUCCCAAACGGACUCUACAACUCGUGAAACAAUGCUAGUUUGGAAAGUUUUAUUACCCACCUAUACUAGUUUGAAAUUGUUUUUACAUUAAUUUUAUAUUUUUUUAACAAAAAGGCACCUAUCAAAAUUUAAUUCCAAAUUAAAAAGAAAAACAUAAAAAUAAAAAUAUUCACAAUAUAUAUAUAUAUAUAUAUAUAUCUUUUAUUUAUAAAUAGUCAGAAUUUUUUUAUUAAUUCAUGAUGGAAAAUAUUUUUAUUUUAUUUUGAAAAGUUAAAACCAAUAUAUUCAAAAAAUUUAGUCAAAUGUUUAUUUCUUAUGAUGAAUAUGUUGUCAUUUCUUCACAAAUUUUAUUUUUUUAAGCUAACUUUUUAUUUGUUCAUGCUAGAUUUGUGUUUCAACUUUUUUAAAAAAAUUUCAUUUUUCUAUUCGAUAUUUUUUUUUUUCAAAAUAUAUAUAAAGAAAAACCAAAGAAAACAAAGGAAUUUUAUGUAAAUAUUAGAAUGCUUGAUCACAUAAGAUCAAUAUUUCAUAAGAAUUAAAUUCUAAAAAUCAUGCAUAUGAAAAAAUAUACAUUUACUACCAAGUGUUUCAUCAUCGAAUCCAUAAUUUUAUCAUUCAUUGAAUAUUAUUUACCAGUUUUUGAUUAACAAAACUCAAAGAACACUAAAGCAUUUGCUAAUUGAUUUGCGAUAAAGAAUAUAUAAUAAAUUGAAAAAUAAAUUUUCUAGUGUGAACAAAACAUUCAAAAAAGAUUAAAUAAAAAACAAACAAAAGGAUUUUCAUUGGUAAAUAAAUGAAAAAUUAGCAAGAAAUUUGAGAUUUUUUCUUUAAUUUUUUGUUCAAUAUGUAUUUCUUAAAAACUGUAACAAUUGAAAUUUGAGACGUGCUCCUCUUUUAUUUUAAAAGUCAAAAUUAAGGAAAAAUUAGUUAGAUCAUAGAGAAAAGAAUCGUUAAAUAGCUAUUUAAUGGAUAAAAAACAUAUACUAAUAAUUAUUUAUUCAAGAAUUAGUUUUGAAAUUCUUGUUGUAUUGUGAUUAUUUUGAUAUUUAAUCACACGUUUUAAUUGAAAAAUAUUUUAAAAAAAUAAAAGAAGCAAAGUUGAAACACUACAGGGUGAAUUUGAGAAUAAAAAGAUGUAGAUAGAUGAUUUACCUAUUCCGUAAGUCCCAGCCUGAUAGAUUGGCCACCGUAGAGAGACAAUCUUUCCAGUUCCGGACCCUCUCCAAAUUUUCCUUGAAAUUUUGUUCAUGCUCACCGAAGGCUUUCUCAUAUUUCCGUUUCCGCUCGGCUACCUCUGAGGGAUCCACAUCAUAAAAAACUGGCAGAACAGUUUGGCCCAUCUCUUUCAUGCACUGAACAAUCUUGACAAGUUCAUCCAAGCACCAUGGUGAAGAUGCGUAAUCUCUUGAAAAUAUAAUGACAGAAAACCUUGAUUCUUCGAUGGCCUUCCAGAGAGCAGGUUCUAUGGUCUUUCCUCUCUCGAGCUCCCUAUCAUCCAUGUACACAUCGAUGCCUCUCUGUGCCAGACUAGUAUAUAGAUGACUAGUAAAGUUGUUCCGGGUGUCUUUGCCUCUAAAACUAAGGAACACAUCAUACAUAUAUAGUGGAGGAGGAGAAGAUGAAGAUGAAGAUGAGGUUAUUCCUUGCACGCUGGUGGAAGCCAUGAAAAUCCCUAUAGCGAUAUAGUACCAAUCCUUCUAGCCUCAACUAGCUCGCUUGGUUCAGCAAUUGUUUUCCACGCUCCUGUGGUCAAACAUGAAACAGAAGGUAAGAUCAAGAAAGUCGGCAAUUAAAUCUACUAAUUAGCAAUUUCAAGCUGGAACAUGUAUAAUUCUACUUAGAAAUCAGAAAACACCAAAUUUCUACGAGUAUUUCACGAAUCUAGACCAAACAAACCGUGUGGUAAGUGUUGGCUAAAGAGGCACAAUAUCCAGCCAAGCCCAGUAUUUUUUCUUCUUCUGGUAUCUUAGUAACCAACUUCCAAAGCCCUUUUCUUUCUUUUUAUUCCAAUGACUUCGAAUUUUUUCCGGUUUCUUGAGGUCAAGAACUCGUACUGGUAAGUUUCCAAUGAUUUUCUUACGGAUCUUUUUCUUUACACUAUAAAGAAGAUGGAGUUUCGGUGGACAAAAAACAAAAAGAGAAAUGAAAGGGAUAUCGAACGCGCAUUGGCCACACCCAUCACAAUUGAGUGAUUCAUAAUUUUUAAUGAAUUAUCAAGUCCAUAUUAUUUAACAAAAUUUGUCUCUUUUCCAGCGCAUAAAGCUUUUGCAUUCCAAGAACUUUGCAUUAAUAUGUGCAUGCAAAAGUUCCAAGGUGAAUCACAAAAAUCGUUAAUUAUUGUCUACAUAAAAAUAGUUAAAAUGAAAAUAAUAAGAAUUUAUAGAAAUAUUUUUAAGAGCAGGGGUUGGGACACACACAUCACAGUUGAAAAGUAUUUUUUAAUGAAUUUUCAAACUAAUAACUACAAAACUCUUACAUUAAAUAUUAUAAAUUCCAAUUGAUUUUUUUUAAAAAAUAAACUUAGGCGCCACCACCCGAUGAACUGGAACUAAUUAACGAAAAACAAAAAAAAUAUUCAUAUUAAAUUGAGUUUAGAAUCUCCAACUUUAAUAUUUUUAUCACAAACACCCAACUUUAAUUCCUCUCCGAUCCCAAAUACCACUUCUUCUCCCAUUCCCAAUAUCUAAUCUCAAACCUUUUAACAACGGUGCUUGGAGAUAUUAUAGCAGCUAUUUUUUUAAAAUAUGUUUUUUUAAAUAUAUUAAAAUAAUUUUUUUAUUAAUUUUUUAAAAAAUAAUUUUGAUUUAAGUAUGUUAAAACAAUUUAAAAAUAUAAAAAAGUUAAUUUAAAAAAAUCAAAUUUCCAAACGGUCUGAAACUGCUUUUCCAAUCCAACUUUUUGGGAUAUUAAUUCAAUCUCUUUAAGCACUCUGCUACACAAAUCAUUAGGAUUAUUCUUGAGGUACCAACACUAUUUUUAUAGAAAGGCCUUAUUGAAAUAAUCAAAUUCUUUAAAACUUAUGUCGUCGUAAGCUUUUAUUUUAACGGAUAUUUCCAACUUCUCCGGUGCACCUUCCAAUUUUCCAUAGAUUUAUAAGUUUCCGAUUAAAAACUGGUAAGGAAUAAGAUACACAAUUUGCCGCCGCCAUAGCUUUCAAUAACACUUCCCUUGGUGAUGCCAUUUUUUGCUUUCAAGAUUGUAGUUUUUCUCCAUUUCUAUCAAUACAAAAACCUCAAUUCUUGAUCGCCCUCACCUUGUCAGAAACCUUAACCAAUGAACUAGCCCCUCUGUCAUCGUUGCAACAACUCCACUCCUUCACUCCAACCCAAAUAGCCACAUCAAACCACCACAACAUCCACCACCCACACCAGCAGCCCCAACAGCCACUCUACAAUCACCUCUUUCCCUCUCGUCAACAAUUCAAUAAUUAUAGCUUUGUUGUUAGUAGGUCUUUUCUUUUUAUUGCUCCCCCAAAAAUUGGUCCUUCAAUAAAUUUUUUUUAUUUUCAUCAUUGAGCCUUUAAUAAAAGUUUUAUUUCUUUUUAAUUUAGUCCUUCAAUUCUAAUUUAUAAUACAUUAUACUUUUUAAUUUGGUCCUCAAUUUAUAUUUUUGUUUCCUUUUGCCCUUUUGUAUACGUGUUAUUUCUUUUCAAUUUAACCUUUCAAUUUUGAAUUUUCACAUAUUCUUUUUUUUAUUUGAUCUAUAUUCUUUGGAUUUUUUUUUCCUUAAUCUUUUAUAAAGUUUUAUUGGCUUUUAAUCUCACCAUUCAUCCAGUUUAUGGUGGAUUAUUUUUUUCAAUUUUAUCUUCAUUAUUUUUUAUUUUUGUUUUUGUUCAAGUUUUUUUCUUUUCAGUUAACCUUCAAUUGAAAAUUUUAGUUAUACUCUAAUUUAUUUUAUAUUUUGAUUUUUUCCUUAUUUUUUUAUUAUUUUUUUUAAAUUUUAAUAUAUUAGUGUUGUAUAACAAAUUGAAUCCAACCUCUAGGAUAAUGUAGCCACCAUAGCUCGAACACCAAAUGCAACUCAUAAAAAUGGUUCUCCGUCCAAUAAUGAAAAUUCUUAACGCCGCUAAUCAUUAAUGAAUCCCAGCCAUCAUCUCCCGAGACUUUCUACCCGUAAUGAAGAUAGCAUAGACGAAGACUCCAAGAGAUAAUCCAAUAUUUCUUCUGCUGAAGCACCAUUAAUUGCCUGCCUCAACUGUAAUGUGGUUGAUGUUAAUCUCCGAGGCCGACGGCCCAAAUACUCACAAAGGAGGAAGAGAACAACCAUCAGCGACAUCACCCUCUCGCGACCUUUAUUUUCAUUGGCUCAAAGUAUAAAUUUUGAUGGAUUAGCACAAACACAUCAAGCAGUUGGUUGGAAAGGAUUGUCAAGGUGUAAUCAUGAAUACGUUUCUCUCACAUUGGUGGAUGCCGUUGCAAGAGCCAAUAUAUAUAUGAUAGUUGGAAGUAUCUCCUAUAAUUAAAAAAAAAUUGAAUUUUAAAUAUGCACCUCGAGUUAGUUAUGCAAAGCCACGUCGUCCUUGUGUAUUAUUUUUUAUGAAAGUUACUUUAUAUAUAUAUUUAAUUCUAAUUUUUUUAUUGCUGUUAAUUAUACUAUAUUUUUUAAAAAUUUCUUUUGAUUAAAAAAAAAUAUAUUUUAACGUUGGUUCCCAAAAAUUGAACACACGUUGAUUUUAUUGUUUAAAUUUAAUAUCAAUUCUAAAAAAUAUAUGAUAAUAAAUAUGCAUAAAAGAGACUUUCAUAACCAUGAGCUUAUUCUUCAUUCAACUAAAUCCUUUACCACAGUUUUUAGUGGAGCUAUGUUUUUUUUUUUUCCAUCAUCCCUGUAUGGCUAUAUGACAAGUUGGUUAAUCUAUUAUAUAUAUAUUAUAAUUAAUGACAAGCCCAAGCAUUUAUUCCUUAACAAACAUAUAAUCAACAUAAAUCUAUGCAUUCAACCAUCAUAAUAUCAAUAAUCCACCUUCACAUAUACCAAUUCUACUCUUCCAAGAAAAACAUGAAAAGCAACAUGAUGGAUCAUCAUGGAAAGUUUUCUUACACUUAGAAAAUAUGAAGAAUCAAAAGCCAAAACAAAUUGAGUCAAGUUCUCCUCCACCCCUCCCUCUUUUCUUUUCUUGUUGACAGUAAUCGAGAGAAUUAUAUAUAAGGCAACCCCAUUGAGUAGGUGGAGCUAAAAGAAAGAUAGAAUACAAGGGGAACUUGUAAAAAAAAGAACUAAGCAACGAUGGACCUAAUUAGUUAAUUCAGUUCAUUAUAAUUUAGGAUUUCUAAAACGAUCUGGUCUGUAGUUGAAAUUUUUAACUGAAGACUUCAACUAAAAGCUAAACGGUAAAAGGUGAGAUAAAAUUCACAUCCCAAUCUGGAGCCUUAGACUUGAGAAUUAGAUGGUUGCGUGCUAUCCAGAUUGACCAGUAUAGACCUUUACAAAGAAGGGUAAUGGCACGACGUUGAAAAUUUCCAUGAUCAAGCCGACCAUUCAACCUGAACGACCGAGCCAGUUCAAGAAUCUACCCUAGAGAAACCAUGUUAUAGGACACAUAUGGAAAAGAUGAUUUAUUGUCUCAAUUUCCUUGCAGUAGAAAGGGCAAAGAGCUUCCUUAUUAAUGUCCUCCUCUCAGCUAUAAAACAUUUGUACUAAGGCUGCCAUUUAGAAGGAGCCAUAUGCCCACAUCCACUUUUGGAGGGGCAUACCCUUUCCAAAGCAGAACAGGGAGGGUGAUUUUCUGUAGCCGAGAGACUAUCAAAGAAGAGGCAUCUUGAGUGAACUGAGUAGAGUCAGAGGUGUGGAAUUUCCAUAUCUUGCGGUCUUCACCAUCAGAGAAGACGAGACCAUGUUGCACCUCUACAAUCAAGCUCUCCGUAUGUAGAUCUCACAGGGUCGAAGGGGUCUUCUCCAAGUCAGGUUGAGCAAAGUAUCUAUCGAAUUAUAUAUAUCUGCAAGGCUGGUUGUUUGCUGCAGGGAGAGGUUAUAAAGUCUGGGGAAUAAGAGCUAGAGAGUGGUUGCAGAGCCUAGCCAACAGUCAGUCUAAAACUGGUGCUCCUCCUGUCACUCACCUUGAACCCGACAUUGGGAUGUAGAGGAGUGGCUAUGCUUUGAUUCGAGGAGAUUGACAAAACCAUGUCAUGCUAAGUUGGAGAUAAAGAACCUGCAAACACAAAAAAGCAUUUGUAAAUGAGGCUGGUAUUUUUGAAGUAUGUAGUCUUGCCAAAUUUUGUUGUGGAGGGAUCCCAUCUGAGACCGCUAUAGGAUUUACUCUUGAUUACCUCGUGCCAAGCCACCUUAAAAAUGCCACGAGGGUUUGAGGUUCCCUUCCAAAGAAUGAGUGGAUUAUAGAGAAGAUGACUUUAGUAAUUCCCUUUGGUAUAGCAAAACCAGGCACGUAGUACAAAGAAGCGAGCUCAAGACUGAUUUAAUUAGACAUAUCCUCCCAGCCAUACUCAGAAAUUUUGUUUCCAAGUGCUUAGCUUUGCUUUGAUUAUGGACAACACUAGUUUCCAAGUUGAGAGUCUGCUGGGAUUGGCUCCAAGAGGUCCAGGUAUCUGACCAGGAAAGUAUCGCUAUGACAUAAAACCAAGGUUGUCAAUUCUGUUCCGGUAAGUGUUUUAUUUUUUCAAUUAGAAUGGAAUGUUUCAGUUGUUGUAACCCAUUUUUAGGUCCCCACAUAAAAAAUAAUAAAAUACAAAAAAUCAAAAAAAUAUAUUAUAAAAAAAUAUAACAGUGAAAAAAUGUCAGAGCGCCCUAAAAAUGCUCAAAAAUUGAUUGAGGAUGUUCAAAAAUAUAAAAAUUAAUUUUUGACAGUAUAUCAUUGACUGAUGAGAGCCCCGAUGACAAAGAAAAAUCAAUUUGAGGAAGAAAAUACAAAAUUAGAGUUUAUGGACUCAUUAAAUUUUAUUGAAGGUUUAAUUGAAUUUAUAGAGGUUUUAAUUGCAAAAAAAUUGAUUUUAGAGUUAAUUUGGGCUUUAAUUAGAAGAAAUUAAUUUUCUGGGGUCAAAUUAUAAUUUUUGGAACUAAAAUUGGUCAAAUCAGGGGCUUAAUUGCAUAAAUAUUGAAGUUUAAUGGCCAAUUAGGGACUUAAUUGAAGAAAUCCGAGACCAAGGACUAAAAUGCAAAACGCGCGCAAAUUGAGGGACUUCUUUGAAUCUGAUGCGUUUUGGCGCCUUUUCCUUUUAAAUGAAACGGCGCGUUUUGACCAAAACGGCGUCGUUUCAUCCACUGUUGCAAAAAAAAAAAGAAAAGAAGCCCAAAACGGUGCCGUUUUGAAGGCACUGUAGGUCUUCUUCUUCCCCUGGACGCGCGAGGCAGGGGAAGAAGAAGAUUUUUCUUCUCCCUUUUCGCCUACUUUCUUUCCCCUUUUUUGCGCAAAAAGACGCCCACCAUUGCCUAACGUUUAUCCUUUGAAACGGUAGUGGAGGGGGCGGCCAACAGUGGCCGCCCCACCAUGACGUCUCCCUUGUUUUUUGCCUAUAAAAACAGGGAAGAACCAAAGAAGGAGAAGAAGAACAGAAGGGAGAAGAGAGAGGGGAGAGAAGGAGAGGACCGAGAGAGAGAGCAGAAGAAGAAAAGAAAGAGGUUCUCACCUCUGCACCGAAGAAGAAAAACAAGGGAGAGGCUGCCACUGCCAUCGCCAGCACCGUCUCCGCCUCCGCUGCCACCAGCAGUCACCGGCGUCGCCGCCUCUCCAGGUAAACACUGCCCCCUUUUAUUUUUAUUUUUGUUUCUUCCCUCGCCAUGCAGGACGUGCACGGUGCACGCCUGCAGGCGAGGUGAAGCUGCUAAGGUGGGCUGGGCCCGAGCCCAGCCCAUGCAUUUGGGCCAGGUUUGGCCCAGCCCACUGAAAUGGGCCGGGUCCGGCCCAUUUCAAUCCAUUUCAAAUUUUUUUUUUUAAUAUAGAAUUUUUACAAUUUUUCCAGCACAUGUUUUUAUCAAUUUUGCUUAAUAUCGGUCUGUAUUUUACAUCGUAAAAAUAUAAAUUCGGUAUUAAAAUACCCGGUUUUCGUCCCGCGGUACUAUCUUUAUCCAAAAAAUUAAAUUUUAACAGCCCAUAAACUUUCACAACAUGGUCAGCUAGGUGAUCGACGAUGACAUUCAUGGCUUUCCUUGUCAUAUAUACUAUGUUGUACUCAGCUAGUAGAACUUGCCAUUUUUCAAUUCAACUCGAUAGAUAGGGGUGGAUUCAGUAGGUAUUGCUUGAUUUUCGUGAAAGCUUCUUCACAUUCUUAUUCCAAAUUCCAAGAUUCUUCUUCCUUAACAAUUAAAGAUGAGGUCAUAAGUCGUGGUUAAUUGGGAUAUAAAUUGAGCAAUGUAAUUCAACCUUCCCAAGAACCUCCUUACAUCCUUCUUAGGCAUAGGUUGAAUAACCUUUACUUAAUCAGGGUCCACUUCUAUCCCUUUGUCACUCAUCAUAAAUUCCAACAACUUCCUAGAUUUCACCCCGAAUGAACACCUUGCAUGGUUAAACCUCAACUUGUACUUUCUUAGUCUUUCAACUAAUUCCUUCAAUAUUUGGACAUGAUUCUCUCCUUCUCUAGGUCAUGUCAUCCAUGUAUACUUUAAUCUCUUUAUGCAUCAUGUCGUGAAAUAGAGUCAACAUAGCCCUUUGGUAGGUGCCCCCAACGUUCUUUAACCCAAACGGCAUGACCUUGUAGCGGGUUUCCAAGCUUGUUCAUGUUGUUCGUUUUUGUGAAUCCCCUAAUGUUAUUUUCCUACCAUUCUUCCUCUUCUACAACUAAUAUGGAUUCUUUAAAGUCCAGCCAUUCAUUCUUAGUGUAAAGUGCAGGUGUAGUUAUGGAAGAUUCGUUUUGAAAAGAAAAAUGAUGUGUAAAAACACCAAGAUGAACUUUUGAAAAGGCAUUUGGAACCUCAAUUUUAAAAGUUGAAAAAGGAAAACAACACAAUAUCAUGAUCAAAUAAGCAUUGUUGAUUAAAUUUUGAACACCAAUGGAGCUUCUUGGGUCUCCCAAUUCUAGAACAUCUCUCCCUUGGCUAGCUUUUGAAUAAAGGUCUUGAGAUUCAAGAUGCUUUGAGCUUAGGCUUGUUUGGAUGCAGAUGCAUACAUCCUAAGGAUAGGCUCUAGUUCCUUUAUUGAGACAUUGGGUAGGUUUACUACUGGGUCUCUAAAAGAAGGUCUAGCAGAUAGUGGGAUGGUACGUGUACCAAUCACAAUCAGUCUAAACACUCAGCAAAGAGUUGGGGUUUACACAAACUUAAACCUUGACUCAAGUCAUAAGGCAAGCUGCUAGUCCUCCACUUAAUCUUAAAGUUACAUGUGUGUGCCCUCCAAAAUAAUAAUAAUAAAGUGAUGCAUGACUAUGCCAUGUAUGAUAGAAUGUAAAAUGUAUGCUAAAGCUUUUAAACAAAGAAAACCAUUCAUAGUAAAAAAAGAAAAACAACAACACAUAGCAUAAUAAAAAAAAAUUACCAAGCUUAGUCCUAGGGUCCCCAGUGGAGUCGCCAUUCUAUCGCACCCCAUAAAAAUUCCUGGCGCGCGGCAUCGGCUGGCGAUUUUUCUAGUAUGUUGCGUUUGCUUUGAAUUCGUUCGUUGGAGUCGCCACCUAGUAUUUUGGUCACUAGGAACCCUAACUGGUCUUUCAGAGAUUCUAAGGUAAGAGACUGGUUGCGUAAAGGGAAGGUAUUAGCACCCCUACCCUAAGGUAAGCUGCUUGGUGUUUGGUUUGCUCUAUAAUUGCUAUGGUAUUGGUGUUUUCUAAUCCCAUCAAUUUUCCUAGGUUUGAUUCAAAUAAAAUUUAUUUGGAUAGAAAUCCAAGGAGAUUCCAUGUGCUUUGAAAGCUCAUUUUUCCCUUAGUAUUUCAAGAGUUUGAGACUCGUAAAUCGCAAGAAGGAGGGACAAAAAAUUUAGAAAUCUAAGGAAAUUCAAAGCGCUUUUAAAAGCCUCCUUUCGCCUUAGUAUUUCAUACUUUCAUGGCUCGUAAACCGUGGAGUAAAAAAAUUUAAAGUUUUGAAAUGUCCUCGAUUAUAAUCAAGGCUUCUUUCAAGGAUGUGUGCGGAUUUACUACUCCCAAUAAUAUUUUGGAUAUUCGUCCUUUAAGGAUUUCUUUAUCCAAACAUUAGCGAUGAAUAAUAGAUGAAUUCCCCCCCCCAUAAAAGAUUUUUAUAGUUUUUGGAAUAUUGGCCAAUACCCUUUGGAGUUCUACAAACAUGUUGUAAAAUCCAGAAAUGAAAGAAAACAAUUUUUGUGGUGUUUAAGAAAUCCAUGCGAAAACACAUUUUCAAAACUUCCAAUAUUUUUUGUAUAUAUAAAAAAAACAUUUAAAACAUGUUAGGGUAUUGGCCGUAUGCAUGAAAACAAAACAUUUUUUUUUUUAAUAAACAUUUUUUUUGUUGACGAAAACCAGGUAUUUUAAAUGCUAGAUUUCUAAUUUUACCAAAAAGUACACAUGCCUUACCCGGUUACUGUUCAAGUGAAUUAAAUUUCUUAAAUGCAAGAAUGCAUGCAAAAGCUGGGAAUAAAAGGCUUACCUGUUAGACAACGGCUGGAGGCGAAAUGGAGGGAGAAGACUGAACGCUGCUCACGAAGAAACGCCCCUGCUCGCUGGCUGAAAGAUGAUUGUCUCAAUGGUGGCCCUUCAGUGUUGCUACUACCAGUGCCACUUCUGCAGGGAAGAGAAGGAUGUUGCUGAAGGAGUAACCUAUGGCUGAAGAAAAAAAAUUUCUCUGCUGCUGCUGGCCUGCGUGCUCAAAGUGGCUGAGGGGUAGAAGAAAACAACGGGAAAAGGCUGGAAUCGGGGAGAAAGGAGUCUUGGAGCUGUGGUCGGGUGUCUGUGACGGUGGUUAGUGGUGGAGUUGGAGGAAGAUGGCGUCGGUUUCCUGUUGCAGAGGAAGAAAGAAAAAGAAGAAAAAUCUGCAGAAAUUGGGCGAAAAUGCUGGUUUUUGGCUGACUUUGGACCCGAAUUUAUUCUCCCUCAGAUCAUCAAAUCCGACUCUAUUUAUAGGCUGUGGAAGAGGGAAAUCUUGUCUACGUUGGGGAAAAAUUUCAGCCCUUGAUUCAGUUGGGAAGCAUCUCAACCGUUGGCUCAAAGUGUGCACCUCGAGCUGCCAAAUUUGGCAGCUCAAGGCUGUGAACUGCCCGAGGUGGCCACUUUGAGCCACUCAACGGAGCCGUUUCUAACUUUUCCGACCCGACCGGACCAUUCUCCGGGAUAAAGGGGUUUCAUUUGGACAUGUUGGUGCAAGUUUUGUCGGAUUUGGAGACCACACGAGCCGGAAAACGCGCCUGGAAAGCAGCCACUCAGGCAGCUUUUUGAGGAAGAAAGUGAACAGUAAAUUAAGGCACCUUUUCCAAAUUGGUCCCUGGUUUCGGAUUUUCUCAAUUAAGUCCCUAAUUGGCCCUUAAACUUCAAUAUUUAUGCAAUUAAGCCCCUGAUUUGACUUAAUAAAAUCCUAAAAAAAAUAUUUUGGCCCCAGAACUUAAAUUUCUUCUAAUUAAAUCCCAAAUUGACUUAAAAAUCAAUUUUCCUUGCAAUCAAAUCCUCUAUAAAUCCAAUUAAAAAUCCAAUUAAGUCCAUAAACAUCCAAAUUUGGGCUUUUCUCCUCAAAAUAUAAAUUUUCCUUCUAAACAGGGCCCUCAUCCUUCAAGAAUAUACUGUCAAAAAUGCAAUCUUUAUAUCUUUAUACUCCUUGACCAAAAUUCUGACCAUUUUCUAAGUGCUUUUGCCUUCCGUUAUUUUUCUAACCUCCUUUGGCUAUUUAUUUUAUUUUUAUUUUUGUGGGGACCCGAAAAUGGGUUACAACAGAUAGAAUAGCCAAAUAUGAUCUGACAGAACUUGGAUAGAGUUACAACUAAUACACAUCGGCGAAGGAUAAUUCUCUCUUCCAUUAACUUUGAAAUGACAAAAAAUUAAGAGAAGGACUUUCACCAUUUGCACUGAAUGCAACACCCGUAACAAACCCCAUGCUACAACUAGGCACUUGCACACUAAUUGAAGAUCCCUUACUUUGAUGGUUAAACCAGCUUGGAAUUUCAUUUCCUGGAACAACGAUACCAAAUCCAGGUCUUGGAUUAGACAAACCCUGUACCAUGAAAAACCAAAAUGUUAGAUAGAUAGAGGGAGUGGGAGAGAGAUACAAAAAGGUUGGGGUAUGAUUAAGAGAAGACCUUGAGGUAUCUUUCAAGCAUCGUCAAUCCCAUGCUGUCUUGGCCAUUAUGAUUGUACAAUUCCCAGCAGUUAAGACAUAUGAACUCUGAUCUUUUGGAACUGCUUAGCUUUAUCAGAUCUGGAAUGCAACUCCGGGCUCGACUUGGCAUUGAAUGGCUGAAAGCAAUUCUAGUGUCUGCGACUCUGAUGCCAGAGAAAAAAUUAGCCAUCCAUUGAUGGUAAGAUGAAAAAGCUAAAGAAUCUUUAUAUGAAGAAGCUGCUGCUUUGCUUGUAACAAUAAAAUGGGCAGAUGAUUGUGAUGUAAUAUAUAGAGAAGAUAACAAACAGACACCACAAUUCUUCACCUUUACUCUUCGCUCGUAAGAAUGAAAUGACAACUCAAUGUUGCUGAAGGAUCCAAGCUGCCAUUCUUUAAGCUCUUUAAGGUAAUCAAAAGAUAGAUAGAAUAGCCAAAUAUGAUAUGACAGAACUUGGAUAGAGUUACAACUAAUACACAUCUGCAAAGGAUAAUUCUCUCUUCCAUUGGCUUUGAAAUGACAAAAAAUUAAGAGAAGGACUUUCACCAUUUGCACUGAAUGCAACACACGCAACAAACCCCAUGCUCCAACUAGGCACUUGCACACUAAUUGAAGAUCCCUUACUUUGAUGGUUAAACCAGCCUGGAAUUUCAUUUCCUGGAACAACGAUACCAAAUCCAGGUCUUGGAUUAGAAAAACCCUGUACCAUGAAAAACCAAAAUGUUAGAUAGAUAGCGGGAGAGGGAGAUGUCAAGAUAUCAAAUGCUCUGCCUCAGCCACCUCAGCUUCAGCCACUCUACUUUAGCCACCUGUCAAAGAGAAUAGAGAAUAUAAUGGUUAGCAAGUUUGUUAAUAUGGUUAGGCAGUUAAUGAAUUCUGUUACAGUUGAGUAGAAAACGUAACCAAGCUUCUCAUCUUCUGUUGAUAUAUAAAAUGAAUGUAACAGUGCUGGGAAUGUAUCAAGUGAAUAAAACAUAUAUACAUUUUCUUCUUCUUCCUCUGCAUUACAACAAUAUCUUUCUCUACUUCUAUUUUGCUUCUUGUUCAUCUCUGUAACAAUUCUUGCUAGUCUUUCAUGGUAUUAGAGCUUAGGAUUGUUAGUAUCUUGUGAUUUUGUGAUUUCUCUGCUUCUAAUCUCUGUUUUUGGCGUUAUUAUCACCAUAUUCAAUAAAAAAAAACCGAUAAUAAUGAUAUGCCUAUCAUCUGUUUGAUAUAUUGUCAAACUGAAAGACUUCUCGUCAAACACUCUUCUCAAACCUGUGAUUCUCUUCCUCUUCUGUCACUUGAACUUCGAAAAUGGUAACAACUUCUCAACUACAGAUUCUCCAAUCUCCCAUUACCUCUUUACUUCGUACAGUUUCAACAGCAGUAAUCAUUAAAUUGGAUGACACAAAUUACCUCAUCUGGAACUUUCAAAUGCAAAUUCUACUGGAGAGUCAUGGUAUUUUAGGAUUUGUUAAUGGAUCAAGAAAGUAUCCACAUCGGUUUGAUGCAGCUUCUGAUAUUGAAGGUGCUGAAACUAAUGAUCAUAAAAUUUGGAAAAUGCAUGACCGGACAUUAAUGCAAUUGAUUAUUGCUACCCUCUCUUCAACUGCAAUCUCCUAAGUUAUUGGAUGUGUUAUCUCUCAUGACAUGUGGAUUCAACUGAAGGAUAGAUUUUCCACAAUUACCAAGGCACGGAUUUUUCAGAUGAAAAGUGAGCUUCAAACCAUCAAGAAGGGCUCCGAUACUGUGACUCAAUAUUUGCAGAAAAUCAAAGAUGCUCGGGAUCAUCUUUCUAUAGCAUGGGUUUAUUUUGAAGAUGAUGACAUUGUCAUCUUGGCUCUCAAUGGUCUUCCUUCUGAUUAUAACACCUUCGGUGUAUGGUUCGCGACCGAGACAAUGUGUUAUCUCUUAUAGAUUUUCGGUCUCAAUUGUUGGCUGAAGAAGCUACUAUUGAGCAAACUUAUUCUACUGCUUCGUUUGUUCCUGCAAUGAUGGCUUAACAUCAAGUAUCUCCUGGCAAAGCUCUUGCUCUUGAUGAAGGUAACUCUCAUUCUCAUCCUUCUAGCUCUAAGUCUGCUCCACCUCCUGGUUUCCAUGGAGGAUUUAAUGGUCAUAACAGUGGAUUUCAUGGUUCCAAUGGUGGAUACUUUGGCAAUCGGGGGUCUCACUUUAAGGGACGUGGCAGAGGACGUCAUUAGUAUCAGUUCAGUCCACGUCCUUAUCAGGUUCCACCUACGUCUCACCCUGGUAUUCUUGGUCCUGGCAUUGACAUUCCUAUAUGUCAAAUUUGCACUAAGAAAGGUCAUGUAGCUGCUGAUUGUUAUCAGCAUCACACUCUACCUUCUAAUUUUGCCUCUUCCAUUCAAUGUCAAAUCUGUUGGAAAUUUGGGCACAUUGUUGUUCAGUGUUACCAUCGAGGUAAUUUCAGCUAUCAAGGUCAGCCUCCCUCCAGUAAUCUUAGUGCUAUGCAUGCUGCGUUUCCACCUCCUUCUCCUCUGGAACAAUUUUGGGUGGCUGAUACUGGCGCCACAACACAUAUGACCUUUGAUUUGGCUCAACUUAAUCUGGCUGCACCUUUCUCAGGAGCUGAUACUGUUACCAUUGCAGGAGGUUCAGGUUUGACCAUUUCUAAUAUUGGUUCUUCUAUUCUGGAUGUCCCUCAUUGCUCCUUACAAUUAAAGCAAGUUUUGCAUGUGCCAAAACUCUCUCAACACUUGUUAUUGAUUCAUAAGUUGUGCAAAGAUAACACUACCAUUUUAUUUGUGAUGCUUUUGGUUUUUGGAUUCAGGACAAAAUCACGGGAAAUGUCCUCCUCAAGGGACUGUGUAGAGCUGGGUUAUAUCCUAUUCCUUUCUCUUUUUCGUUUCCUUCAUAAUCUCUCUUUCCAAAUAAUCCGGUUUGUUAUCUUGGUAAACAGGUCAACACAAGUCUUUGGCACAAGCGUUUUGGUCAUCCUUCUAACAUAGUCACCUCUACUCUGUUAAAACAAUCCCAGAUUUCUUUCACCUCAGACACAUCCAAAUUUGUUUGUACCACUUGUUUAGAAGGUAAACUUGCCAAACUUCCUUUUCUUUAUCCGGCAGUUAAAUUUGUUAAACCUUUAGAAGUCAUUCAUAGUGAUGUUUGGGGGCCUUCUCCCACUGUAUCUGUUGAAGGUUUCAGAUAUUAUAUUAGCUUCAUUGAUGAAUGUACUCAAUUUACUUAGAUUUUUCCAAUGAUUAAUAAAGGAGAGGUUUAUUCCAUUUUUUGUUUACUUUCAUACCUUCUUAGUUACUCAAUUUCUACUACUCUUCGAGUCUUUCAGAGUGAUGGGGAUGGUGAGUAUCUUAGUAAUAAAUUCAAACAUUACCUCCUUACCAAGGGUAUUAUCCAUCAAAUGUCUUGUCCCUAUACUCCGGAACAAAAUGGCCUUGCUGAGCAUAAACAUUGGCAUAUUUUAGAAACAACCAUCACUCUAUUACAAACUGCCCAUUUACCUCUGAAAUUUUGGUUUCAUGCUUGUGCUACUUCCAUUUAUUUGAUUAAUAGAAUGCCCUGUCAAAUUCUUCAACACAAAUCACCAUAUUUCCUGCUAUAUGGUUUUCCACCCGUUGUUAAUCAUCUGUGAAUUUUUGGUUGUGCUUGUUUUCCUUUACUCAAGCCUUAUAAUUCUAACAAGCUUCAGCCCAAGACUUCCACUUGUAUUUUUCUAGGGUAUGCAGGUCAGUGUAAGGGGUAUAUUUGUUUUUCUAUUCGCACCAAUCGUUUCUUUGUCACUAGACAUGUUCUAUUUGAUGAAUCCAUGUUUCUUUACUCUCAUGUGCUUCAUGUAUCCCCUUCCACUUCCUCGUCCCCUUGUCUACAUCCCAUUGUGUUCCCUCUUAUUUCUCCUCCUCCUCCAGUGGCUGCAUCUCAGACUCCACUAUCUUCCAGUUCCUCUUCUCAGUCUGCUCUAUCUCCUAGUUCCUCCACACAGCCUACACUGUCUCCGCCUCUGCCCACUCUAUCACCUACACAGUCUCCUCUCCUUGUUGAUCCUGACUUCCAGCCUGAGAAUCUAUGUGUGGUCUUACCUCUUUCCCCGCUAAAUCUUCAUCCCAUGACCACCAGGUCUAAGAAUGGUAUCUCCAAAAGAUGGGCUUACUCUGCCUCUGUCUAGUUUGUUGCUUCUUUUCAGGUUGAACCCCAUUCCUUCAAGGUUGCUUCCACCAUUCCUGAAUGGCAGUCUGCUAUGUGGGAGGAGCUUGAUGCUCUUCAUGCCCAAGGUACUUGGGACUUGGUGCCUCUCCCACCUGCCAAAAAUCUUGUUGGCUAUAAAUGGGUCUACAGAAUAAAAAAGAAUACGGAUGGUUCUAUCGCUAGGCAUAAAGCUCGGUUGGUGGCCAAGGGUUUCAGUCAAGAGGAAGGUAUUGACUAUAAUGAAACCUUUAGUCCUGUCAUGAAACCUACUACAGUUCGUUUGGUCCUUGCUCUUGCUGCUCAGUUUAACUAGUCUUUACGGCAGCUUGACGUUACCAAUGCCUUUUUGCAUGGUCUUCUGAAUGAGGAGGUUUAUAUGGCUCAGCCCCAAGGUUUUGUGAGUAAGAUUCAUCCUUCUGACUUUGUUUGCAGACUCAAGAAGUCGUUAUAUGGCCUUAAACAGGCUCCUCAUGCCUGGAAUGAACGCUUUACCAGUUUUUUUUACCAAGUUUGGGAUUUCAAGCAUCUUCUUCUGAUCCAUCUUUGUUUGUUCAACAUUCUUCUCUUAGUGUUGUGAUUUUGCUACUCUAUGUUGAUGAUAUCAUACUUACUGGUAGUCAUGCUUCUCUUCUUUCUUCAGUCAUUGCUGCCUUGAGUUAAGAAUUUGAUAUGAAGGAUCUCGGUAGGUUGCAUUAUUUUUUGGGAUUGUAGAUCUCUUAUCUCCCUUCCGGUUUGUUUGUGUCCCAGACAGGUUACAUCACUGACUUACUUGGUAGAGUUGAUUUAUAGCUUUCCAAAUCUUGUGAUACUCCUUGUCUUCCUCAUCAUCAUUUGCUCAAGGAUGAUGGACAACUCUACUCUCAUCCUCAACAGUAUCGAAGCAUCAUUGGCGCCUUGCAGUAUCUAAUGUUCACAAGGCCUGAUAUUGCCUUCUCUGUGAACCAGGCUUGCCAAUUUAUGCAUAAUCCCAUGCAUUCUCAUGUUGUUGCUGUGAAACGGAUCUUGCGGUAUCUUAAAGGUACCCUUGAUGUUGGUCUUCAUUUUCAUGCUGGUCCUCUUUAUCUACAAGCUUAUAGUGAUGCUGACUGGGCCGGUGAUCCCAAUGAUCAACGUUCUGUCUUUGGCUCUAUUGUCUUCCUCAGCUCCAAUCCUAUUUCUUGGGCUUCUAAGAAACAACAUACUGUUUCUCGUUCCUAUACUUAGGUUGAGUAUCGCGCUCUUGUGAUUGCUACUGCUGAACUUGCCUGGAUUCACCAACUUCUCUAUGACGUUCACAUUCCUUUACAUAUCCCUCCGAUCAUUCAUUGUGAUAAUAUCUCAGUUAUUUCCCUUGCUUCCAAUCCUGUUUUCCAUUCCAGAAUGAAGCAUCUUAAAUUGAUUAUCAUUUUGUUCGCGAACGUGUUAUCAAAGGUGAUUUAUUGGUUCAACAUGUCUCUUCUGCUGAUCAAUUUGCUGAUAUUCUCACUAAAGGCCUUUCCACUCCUUUAUUUCGGCGUCACUGUUUCAAUAUUAUGCUUGGUUCCUCCAAGCAUAUGAUUGCGGGGGAAUGUCAAGAUAUCAAAUGCUCUGCCUCAGCCACCUCAGCUUCAGCCACUCUACUUCAGCCACCUGUCAAAGAGAAUAGAGAAUAUAAUGGUUAACAAGUUAGUUAAUAUGGUUAGGCAGCUAAUGAAUUCUAUUACAGUUGAGUAGAAAACAUAACCAAGCUUCUCAUCUUCUAUUGAUAUAUAAAAUGAAUGUAACAGUGCUGGGAAUGUUCAAGUGAAUAAAACAUAUAGACAUUUUCUUCUUCUUCCUUUGCAUUACAGCAGCAUCUUUCUCUACUUCUAUUCUGCUUCUUGUUCAUCUCGUAACAAUUCUUGCUAGUCUUUCAGGAGAGAGAUACAAAAAGGUUGGGGUAUGAUUAAGAGAAGACCUUGAGGUAUCUUUCAAGCAUAGUCAACCCUAUGUUAUCUUGCCCAUUAUGCUCAUACAAUUCCCAACAGUUAAGACAUAUGAACUCUGGGAUUUUGGAACUGCUUAGCUUUAUCAGAUAUGGAAUUUCUUUUAGGCUUAUACAACCAUUCAAAUUUAUUGUUUGAACUUUUGAUGGAACCUCAGGCAAUGAUUCAAGCAUCGUGCAUGUCGCACGUGUGCGGCGUCGCGGCAAUCGUCCACCCUCAAGGAAAAAUAUAAUGGAAUUUAUUCCUGGAAAAUGUGUAGAGACGAGGAAUUCUUGUCUCUUAUCAGUAAAAUAUAGACUGGGAGUCGCCACCUAGUAUUCUGGUUACUAGGAACCCUAAUUGGUCUCAGAGAUCGGGUAUGGAGACUGGUUGCGUAAAGGGAAGAUAUUAGCGCCCCAACUACACCCUACCUAAGGUAAGCUACAUUGUUUUGUCUGAUAAAAUCUAAAGUCAUGUUGUGGUUUCUAAUUGUCAGUUCGUUUACGGUUUAAGAAAAGUCCUCCUCUGUAAGGAGAUCCUUAUCUUAUCGGGUAAAAACCUAACUAUUCUAAGUCGUCAAAAGAAAAAACCUUUUUAAUAUCGGGAAUACGUUUUACGUAUAAAUUCAUAAUCCCUGAUACUAAAAUCAAACAAAAUAAAAUUUUUGUUGCUUUUGAAAUUUUGGCCAAUGUUCUCUUGACUUUAAUAAAUUGGUUAUUAAAGCCAAAAUGUAUGCUAAAACAUUGUUUUUUGGUGUAUGAAAAAUACAAUAUGAUUUUUUAGUUUUGAGACCUUGUACGUAUGCACAAAAACAUUUUUUCUCUUUUUUCACAUUUUUUUGUAUUUUUUGGAAGUUUUGACGAAAACCGGGUAUUUUAAUACCGGAUUUUGUAUUUUAACUACAUAAAAUACCACCCGAUAUUAAUCAAAAUGACAUAAAAACUACGCGGAAAAAUUAUAAAAUGCUGAAACAAAAUUUUUUGAAUUUUUUCUUUGAAAUGGGCCGGGUUAGUCCCAACUACAUGGGCUGGGCUCGACCCAGCAAACAUUAGCUGGUUACAGUGCAUGAGCACAGUAACCAACUUCUCCCCGCCUGCAGACGUGCACUGAGCACGUCUUGCAUGGCGAGGGAAUAAGUGAAUGCCAAGAUAAAAGGGGGGAGGGUUUAUCUGGAGUGGUGGCGCUGCCGGUGGUUCGCGGUGGCUGGCGGUGGCUCUGUUUUUUCCUUCUCUCUCUCUCUCUCUCUCUAUUUUUAGUUUUCUUCUCUACUGCUUCUUCUUCUUCUUCUUCUUCUUAUUUCUCUGUUCUUUUUUUUUUUUUUCUGUCUCUCUCGCCUCUCUACUCUCUACUCUCUUGUCUCUCUUUCUGUCCCUCCUCUCGGUCCGUUCUCUUCUCUUUUGGUCUCACCUCCCCUAUUUUUAUUGGAGAAAAACAGGGGAGGGACGUGGUUGGGGCGGCCACUGUGCUGCCGCCCCUUCAACACGUGGAAAGUGGGCAAGUGGGUGUCCUUGGUCGGCGUCUUUUUGAGCAAAAGCAGGAAGGGAUGUCAGUGAAAACUAGGAAGAAAAAAUCUUUUUCUUCCACUGCCUUGCGCGUCCAGGGGAAGAAGAAGACCCACAAUGCCGUCAAAACAACACCGUUUUGGGCUUCUUCUUCUAAUUUUUUUUUUGGUGAACAAUAUAUGAAACGACGCCGUUUUGGUCAAAACGCGUCGUUUCAUUUAAAAGGAAAAGGCGCCAAAACACGUCAGAUUCAAAGCAGGCCUCCAAUUUGCACGCGUUUUGCAUUGUAGUCCUUGGUCUUGUAUUUCUUCAUUUAAGUCCCUAAUUUUCCAUCAAACUUCAAUAUUUAUGCAAUUAAGCCCCUGAUUUGACCAAAUUAACUCUAAAACAAUAUAAUUUGACCCCAGAACUUUAAUUUCUUCCAAUUAAAGCCCAAAUUAGCUCCAAAAUCAAUUUAAUUGAGUCCAUAAACUUCUGAUUUUGGACUUUUCUUCCUCAAAUUGAAUUUUCUUUGUCAACAAGACUCUUAUUAGUCAACAAAAUAUUGUCAAAUUUUAAUUUUUAUAUUUUUGAACAUCCUCAAUCAAUUUUUGAUCAUUUUUAGGGCACUUUGGCAUCCUCUUCUCACUGUUAUAUUUUUUUGAUAAUAUUUUUUUUUGAUUUUAUUGUAUUUUAUUAUUUUUUGUGUGGGGACCCAAAAAUGGGUUAAAAUGGGUUACAACAAUGCAAUCCUCCAAGACAAGUAUUUCCAGUUCGAAAAGCUAAUUUAUGCUUUGAGGCAGGCUAACAAAGUUAUUCUGGCUCUGAUCUAAAGACCUCCAAGAAGAUAAGAAGCCAAUAUCUUUAGGAAGUGCCCCUUCUCUUAGAUUGCAAGCGCAUAAAUCCAGUACUUCUAAAGAACACAAACCCGACAAAGAAGGCAACCUGUGAUCCGUGGGAUUCACAGCUAUUCUGAUUCGGGACAAUAAAUAAUAAAAUUAAAGCAAGAAAAAAAGAAGCUUUUAGAGAAAGAAAGAAGCUAAAGAAGAGAAGAAAAGGGGUUGGAGAUAUGCAAAGUCUACAAUAUUUUCAUUAAUCAUCCAAAAUUGUCUCUCAAGAUGACAAAGAAACAUAUAAAUAGUAAACCCUAAAACAUCCCGCUAUUGGGCUCGGCCCAUCAAAUCAAACUGUUUAACAUAAAUAAUAAAAUAACAAUAAGCAGGCCCAAAUGGGCUAAAUAAAUAAAAUAGCAAUGAAAUAGACCCAAAUGGGCUUCGUCUCCCAACCAAAGCUUGACAGUUGAGCCAUCCUCCGUUGUCUCCGUCAAUAUACUCGUGUAGUUUGUGGUAUGGGUCUGGUGUCCCCACCAACUCUCCCGGGGUUAGAGAAACUCGACCCCGUCAAGUGUCGAUUGAGGGCUGAUUUGAAAUUUAGCGCGUUCUGGCGCCAUUUUUAAAUGAAACGGCGCGUUUUCUCCAAAACGACGCCGUUUCAUACAUAAAAAAAAAGAGACCGAACGGUGCCGUUUUGAACGGCACUGUUCCCCUUUCUUCUUCCCCUCCCCCGAACCUGCAACAGGAAGGGAGAAAUGGUUUUUUUCCCUUAAACCUGCCUCUCUGUCCUCGAGCCCACCAACCCGAAGCACUGGACCACCGACCAAACUCAAUGGCCGACCACCGGCCGCUCGCCCUGCCGAAAGCAAGGGAGCGGCGCUUUGCUGUCGCGGGUGGUGGCCGAUCAUUCGCCCGCGAAACCCUCUCCCAGGCACACUAACAAUGGUCCCAACACCCUCUCUCUCCUAUAAAUAGAGAAAAGACCGAAAGAAAGAGGGGAGGAUCCGAGAGGAAGAGAGAGAACGAACGAGAGAGAGGGAAAAGAAGGAACAAACGGAAAGGAAUAAAAGAAAAAAAAACUGAGAAGGGACAGAGGGAACUAUUGAAAACGAGAAGAAAAGAGGAGAGGGGGAAGAAAUCUCUCUUGCCGCCGUUUGAACAGCAGCAACACCGUCCGGAGCCGCCGUCAACGAGCCACGCCAGGUACACGCCCUCCCCCCUGCAUUGCCUUUAGCCUUAUACUUGUUUCCUCCUGCAUGCAGAAUUGUUCUGCAUGCAGGAGACGGGGGGGAGAAAAAUAAUUCUCCCCCCGUUGGACGUCAUUAGCUGGGCCAGACCGUUGCUGGCCCAACCCCACAUGUCUUGGCCGGGUCGGGCCCAGACUGAAGAGAUAGUUUUUUUUAUCGGCCGAGAUCGGCCCAAUCUCCUGUUUGGGCCGAGAUCGACCCAAGUUUUGUUGGGGCUGGGUUUGGCCCAUUCACUUGGGCCGGCCUAGCCCAGCCCAUAUUAUAUUAUAUAUUUUAAUAUAUUAUAUAUAUAUAUAUUCUUAAAAAAAUAUAUUCCAAAAGUCCUUAAAAAUAUUGUUGAUUUUUAUUAGGGUGGAUUAAUAUUGAGUUAUAUUUUUAUACCGUAAGAAUACAAACCCAAUAUUAAAAUACCUGAUUUUCGUCAAAGCAUAAAAAAAUAAUAUUUUCCAAAAAAAUUGUUUUUAUUUUAAAAUACGGCCUAGUCUCUCUAAUAUAUAUAUAUAAAUAUUAUAACAUCAUAUUUUCACAUAACAAAGGAAAUUUUCAAAACAAUAUAUGUAUUAGCAUGCAUUUUGGCUUUAAUAACCAGUUUAUUCAAGCCAUGAGAACUAGGCUAAUAUUUCAAAAAUUCUAAAAAAAAUCUUUUUGUUUUCUUUUAGUAUUUGAGAUUACGAAUUUAUAUGUAAAACGUAUUCCUAAUAUUAUUAUUAAAGUUUUGGUAUAGACAUUAGAACGGUUAGGAUUUUACCCGGUAAGAUAAAGACCUUCUUACCAAGGAGGAUUUUUCUUGAACCAUAAACAGACCAACAACUAGAAGUACAAUAACACCUUAGUUUUUAUCAGACAAUAAAACAAUGCAGCUUACCUUAGGUAGGGUGUAUUUGGGGUGCUAAUACCUUCCCUUUACGCAACCAGUCCCCGUACCCGAUCUCUGAGAUCAGUUAGGGUUCCUAGUGACCAAAAUACUAGAUGGCGACUCCCAUUCCAUUUUCCACCCACAAAAGACAAUAUUUUCUUGUAUCCCCAUAUAUAUAGAUAAAUUUACAUUGUAGAUAAGAAAAAUGGAACAACUAUAUUAUUUUCGCCGCGACGCCGCACACGUGCGACAAAUAGUCUUAGGUUCAGGCCAAUCUACAAUCGCUUGGACUUUUUGGGGGUCAACAGAGACUUCUUUCCAUGACACUAUAAACCCUAAAAAGACCAUUUGAUCUGUAAAGAAGAAACACUUUUUGACAUUGCAAACAAACUUGCCUUUCUUAGGGUGGUACAAACUUGAAUAAGAUGAUCGAAAUGCUCUUCCUUGGUUUUGCUAUAAAUGAGAAUAUCAUCAAAGUAUACCACCAAGAACUUUCCCAUAAAUGGCCGAAGCACUUGUGUCAUUACUCUCAUAAAAGUGCUUGGUGCAUUGGAAAAGGCCAAAAGGCAUGACUAGCCAUUCAUAUAAACCAUCCUUAGUCUUAAAUGUCGUUUUCCACUCAUCUCCCGGACAUAUCCUAAUCUGAUGAUACCCACUCUUCAAGUCAAUCUUAGAGAAGAUCUGGGCUCCUGCCAUCAUAUCUAGCAUGUCAUCCAAUCGAGGAAUUGGAAAACGAUACUUGAUUGUAAUCAUAUUGAUGGCUCGACUAUCUACACACAUUCUCCAUGAUCCAUCUUUUUUGGGCGUUAACAGUGUAGGUACUGCACAAAGACUCAAACUCUCAUAUAAAUCCCUUUUGUAACAACUCACAUACUUGCCUUUGCAAUUCAGCAUGUUCACUCGGGUUCAUCCUAUAGUGAGGCAAGUUUGGUAAUGUGGCCCUAGGGAUAAAAUCUAUGGCAUGUUGAACAUCACGCAUAGGGGGUAAAGCAUCAGGUAGUUCAGAAGGGAAAACAUCUAGAAAUUCUUUCAACACUUCUCUUACCUCUUCAGGUGGCUCCUCUAAAAAGUCUUCUACAAUCUCUUUAGCCACUAUAGCAAACACGACAGACUCCUCACAAAUCUCCUUAGCCACUAUAGCAAACACGACAGACUCCUCAAAAAUCUCCUUAUCAAACUCCCUAAGACUUAUUAUGUUAAGCCCUCCUUCUUUCAGUUUAUUCUUCUUCUGACUAUUAUCAUUAGACCUUGGAGGUAAUCCAAUAAGUUGGAUUAUUUUACCUUAAAAAGUGAAUGAACAAGAAUUUGAUCGUUCAAAGAUUGUAACGUCCAAAUCAUAUAACCAAGGCCUACCCAAAAUGAUGUGCCCUACAUCCAUGGGAAUGACAUCACACCAAAUUUCAUCAUGUUAGUAAAAACUCUUAAUGGGAAAAAGACAUCUCUCUUUGACCGCUAUAGAUGUAUCAUUAACCCAAGACACACUAUAGGGUUUAGGGUGUGGAACAGACUUAACCCUAAGCAGGAUACACUACCCGAGGAAACUGCAUUGAUACAACUACCACUGUCUAUGAUAAUCUUACACCCUUUAUCUCCACAUUUAAUUUAAGUGUAAAAAAUAACAGUCCUUCUCCAAUCCUCAGUUCCUUUAGACUGUGUUAAAGCACAUCUAACCACAGUUAACCUGGUUGUCUUGAUUUGAGUGGAUAUAGACCUAACACAUCCUAGCAAGUUAGAUUCAUCAUCCUCAUCAUUUAGAUCUUGAAAAUCAUCGGGAUUGGGUUCAUAUAUCUUAUCAUCAUAAUUAUCUUCUUCACCCAUAUCCUCCUACCCCUUGAUGAACAAAGCCUUAUUAGGGCAGCUAAAGGAAAUAUGACCAAAACCCUGACACUUAAAACACUGAAUUCUUGAAGUUUUAGGUGCUUCAUGAAAAAUACCCUUACCCUUGUCUUCUCUAGGUAUCUGGGAAAUCAAAGGAUUGGGUUUACAAGGUGGGGCACCUAAUAUGGAGUUAUUACUACCAGGUUGAGAUCUAGAAGGGGUAUUAUGAGUGUCCUGAAGUCUUGUCCACUGGCUUUUUGUGACCAAGUCAUAAUUUUGUACUAGGGUAUAAGCUUCAUCAAGGGUGGAAACACCCCUAAGCACAACCUCUCUUCUAAGGGAAGAGGCAUAGUACAGAUGCCUUUUAUUUCUUUACUUUCGGCAUUCCAACGGCAGAGGCAAAGCAAUAGCCAAAAUGGCUUUUUGCUUUGUCAAGAGCCAUUUCUACAUUUAACUGUAGAAAUGGCCAACGGCUAUCAACAACUUUUUUUUUUUUUUUAAACAUAGAAAAUUUUGUCUAGAAAUACAUGAAGAAAAAACUUGUAGUUUUAAAUUUUGUAUUGUGCCUCACCCUUCUCUCAAAUUUUAAAAAACAAGAAUCGAUUAUUCUCCGUUAAUUAUUAACAUCGGUUGUGUUAAUUAGCUGAAAUUAAAAGGUAUGCUUGUUUAAAAGCUUUUUCUAUUUUCGUUUUAAUAUCUCUUGAUUUUUUAGAACUUUUGUUGUUAAUUUAAUAUUUGUGAUGAGUUUUAUUUCUUUAUUAUUUUAUGUUUUUAAUAUGGGUUAAGUAAGACAAUUUUUAUUUAUGUUGUUAUCUUUGAUAAAAUUGAGAGAAAUUAAUAAUGGUAGUUGAUAUUGAUAAAAAGAUAGAGUUGCAUAUUUAAAAUUUAUUUUUGAUUGUCUGUUUUAAUUUGAGGUCAAUUAUAUUUUGUCUUCUUGAAAAUAUAAUUAAACCAGUAUAUCGAUUCUCUUUUAGUUUCAAAAAAUGGUCAAAUUGUUAUGUUAGAACAAGUAGAAGCCAAUGCUUAUUAUUAAUUCGCAUGUAUGAAAACUACAAAAUUGCUAAACAUUGAAUGUGAGCUUCUUGUUAUGAAAUUGAUAUCAAUUCGUAAUACUUUUAUAAGUUUGAAUUUGAAUUUACUUUUAAAAAAUUAAAUUUUUAACAAUAACAUAUAAAACUUAAAAUUAAAAAUAUUCAUAUAAAUAAAUUUUAAAUUAUAUUUUUUAACUUUUAUACUACUUCAUUAAUUUUAUAUUACUUUUAUAAAUUACUCAUAUUAAUUAUAUAAUUAAUAACAUCAUAAUUAUAUUAUAUAUAAAAUAUCUAAAUUAGUUAUAUAAUUAUAUUAAAAUUAAUUUAACAUGAAAUAUAUUAAAAUAUAAAUGGCUUUUCUAAAUAGCUUGUUACCAUUGCAAUGCAUAUAAUACAAAAAGCUAUAUUUACAUUAUUCAAAAAGCUAUUUUCUUCAUUUGGCUCUUCAAAAUGGCAUUUCCCAUUGGAGAUGCUCUAAGGUCAUCGUUUAAGCCUUUUCGAAAUCUGCUUAGGGUUAUCACUUCAUCCUCCCUAACAGCACACCGCAUCCUAUACUCAUCAAAUUGUGCCACAUAUUAAUUAGCAGACUUGCCUCCUUGCCUCAAGUUAUUCCAUUGGUCCAAAAGAUUUCCUCUAUAAGAACGGGGCAAGUACUUUUCUUCUAACUUAGUCUUCAUUUCAACCCAAUCAGUAAGAAGGGGUUGACCUCUCCUAAUCAAAGACUCUUCUACACUUUUCUAAUAGAGCUUAGCGAUUCCACUAAGUUUCAUCUUUGCAAAUCUUACCCUUCUAUUCUUAGAUAGACUAUACCAGCCAAAAAAUUGAUCCAUGUCACAAAUCCAUCUAUCAAAAAUCCACGGGUCAAGUUAACCCUCAAAAGUUGGGGCUUUCUACCUUGAUAUGCCUCAUGACUCGCUCGUCAGUGUCAUCAUAGUCGUGAUGGCCCUAAUUGCGGUUGUAUUGACGAUUCUAGGAUGAACUGGUCUUUGACGGUAAUCAUUGGAACACUCACUGUCAUUAGGGUCAUCAAAGUCAUUAUGACCCUGGUGUUGGUUAUGGUGGCGGUUCCUACGAGGAACUGGUCUUUGAGGAUUCCUAUGGUUGUUGUUGUAACCCAUUUUUAGGUCCCCACACAAAAAUAAAAAUAUAAUAAUGACAAAAAAAAUAAAAAAUAAUAAUAAUAAUAAAUAAAUAAUAAAAUAAUAAUAAUAAAUAAAUAAAUAUAUAGCCAGAAAAAAUUAGAAAAAAUAAUAGGAGGCUAUGCACUUUUUAAACAAGGUUGAGUGGUUACAAAGAAGGUAUCAUAAAUCGGUCAAAGAUGAAAUUUAAGAAAAGCUACCCCUGAAGUAUAACCUUACCUCUAGAUAGCAUAAUGAAUUGAUAAAUCACCUGUAAAUUUCUUUCAAGAUAAAAAUAGAGUUUAUCAAUCCUAACAAUUUGCAUUUUGAAAUGAGAAAAAUUCAUUAUCCCUUCACUCUCUAAAGAGUUUAUCGUUGGUGGUCCCGUUUGAGCCGGAAUGAAUUUCUUCUUUAAAAACCCGAACUAGGAUCACACACCACACUAGGGGCAAUAAAAGAUAUUUCAUGAAAAGUUUUAAAACGGGAUGAGAGUUCGUAGAUUUGAAAAACAUAAGUUAAAGCAUUUGACAAAAGCAUGACAAAGAAGGUAAUGACAAGUCAUACAUUUUGAAAAAAAAGCUACUUGUAAAAAGUCGAAGACUUCUUCUCAAAGAUAUGAUAGGUAAAAAAUAGGCAACACGAGAAAUGAAUCCAGCAUACGACUUCAAAAGUAAGCUCAUGUCAAGAGAGAGUUUCGUGAAAUAGAAGAAGAUGAUGGGACCUAUAUUUCAAAACUAGGUAAGAAUGCAUGCAUGACAUCUAAUCAUAAAUCAUUGCAUAUGCUUUUGAAUUGUUACAGGAUGAAUCCUUAAUGUAAUCCAACAAGAUUGUGGACGAAGAAAGAAUCAUUGAGUUGAUGAUAGCAAAGAAUCACGGCUUUGAUUCUGGAACAACAAUAAAGUGAGAAGAACCUAUUAAGAAAUUUUUAAAAGAAAACGAAAGGUUCAAACCCUGCCAUCAGGAAGAAAGAUACCGAUGUCAGCUUUGGUUAAAGGAGGUCGCUAGAAGGGAUCUCAUGUUUCAGCUUUGGUCAAAGGAGGUCACCAGAAGGGAUCUCGUAUUUCAGCUUUAGUUAAAGGGAAUUACCAGAUGGGAUUCCAGGUUGUCCGAGCUACAUAUAUAGUUUUUUGGUUAAAAGAGGUCGCUAGAAGGGAUCUCAUAUUUCGGAUUUGGUUAAGGGAGGUCGCUAGAAGGGAUCUCAUUUUUUCAGCUUUGGUUAAAGGGAAUCGCCAGAUGGGAUUCCAGGUUGACCGAGCUACAAAUAUAGUUUUUUGGUUUUGGUUAAAGGAGGUCGCCAGAAGGGAUCUCAUAUUUCGGAUUUGGUUAAGGGAGGUCGCUAAAAGGGAUCUCAUAUUUCAGCUUUGGUCAAAGGAGGUCGCCAGAAGGGACCUCAUAUUUCAGCUUUGGUUAAAGGAAAUCGCCCGAUAGGAUUCCAAGUUGAUUGAGCUACAAUUAUAGAUUUUUGGUUUUGGUUAAAGGAGGUCGCCAGAAGGGAUCUCGUAUUUCGAUUUUGGUUAAAAGAGGUUGCCAUAAGGGAUCUCAUAUUUCAGCUUUGGUUAAAGGGAAUCGCCAGAUGGGAUUCCAGGUUGACCGAGCUACAAAAAUAGUUUUUUGGUUUUGGUUAAAGGAGGUCGCCAGAAGGGAUCUCAUAUUUCGGAUUUGGUUAAGGGAGGUCGCUAGAAGGGAUCUCAUAUUUCAGCUUUGGUUAAAGGGAAUCGCCCGAUAGGAUUCCAAGUUGAUUGAGCUACAAUUAUAGAUUUUUGGUUUUGGUUAAAGGAGGUCGCCAGAAGGGAUCUCGUAUUUUGAUUUUGGUUAAAAGAGGUCGUCAUAAGGGAUCUCAUAUUUCAGCUUUGGUUAAAGGGAAUCGUCAUAUGGGAUUCCAGGUUGACCGAGCUACAAAUAUAGUUUUUUGGUUUUGGUUAAAAGAGGUUGCCAGAAGGGAUCUCAUAUUUCGAAUUUGGUUAAGGGAGGUCGCUAGAAGGGAUCUCAUAUUCUAGCUUUGGUUAAAGGGAAUCGCCAGAUGGGAUUCGAAGUUGAUUGAGCUACAAUUAUAGUUUUUUUGGUUUUGGUUAAAGGAGGUCGCCAGAAGGAAUCUCAAGUUAACCCAACCGUAACACCGAUAUUAGCUUUGGCUAAGGAAAAUCGCCAGAUGGGAUUUUAGGUUGGUCAAACUACAAAUAUAGAUUUUUUUUUUGGUUAAAAGAGAUCGCUAGAAGGGGUCUCUGAUGGAAUUCCAUGUUAAUCAAACUAAAGUAAGAAUUCAGAGGAUCGCCAGAUUGGGAUCUCGAGAUGACUAAGUUUUGAUCAUAGUUUUUGGGCUGAGGAGGAUUGCCGUAAAGACAAAGUGUCGGAUCGAUCAAACUUUGACAAGAUCAGUUUCGGAAGUUCAGUUUUGGUUUAUCUUUAUAAAACUUACUCCGCAAAACCUCUGCUCCAUAAGUAUUAUAAGAGGGGGCAUCUGUUGUAACCCAUUUUUGGGUCCCUACACAAAAAAUAAAAAUAUAAUAAUAAUAAUAAUAAAAUAAAAUAAAAUAAAAUAAAAUAAAUAAUAAAAUAAUAAUAAAUAAAUAUAUAGCCGGAAGAAAUUAGAAAAAAUAAUAGGGGGCAGGGGCACUCAGAAAAUGGUCAGAAAAAUUGAUUAAGGAGGUUAAAAAUACAAAGAUUGAAAUUUUAACAGUAUAUUCUGGAAUGAUGAGAGCCCUGUUGGAAAAGAAAAUUGAAAUUUGAGGAGAAAAGUCCAAAAUUGGAUGUUUAUGGACUUGAUUGGAUUUUAUUGAAGGUUUAAUUGAAUUUAUAGAGGGCUUGAUUUCAAGAAAAAUGGAUUUUUAAGUCAAUUUGGUCUUUAAUUUGAAGAAAUUAAAGUUAUGGGGUCAAAUUAUAAUUUUUAAGAGUUGAUUUGGUCAAAUCAGGGGCUUAAUUGCAUAAAUAUUGAAGUUUAAUGGCCAAUUAGGGACUUAAUUGAGGACCAAAUUGGAAAAGGCGCGUAAAUAUAGGGGCUGUAAUUAACAAAAUCAGGGGCCAAAUUGAAGAAAUUGGAGGUUUAUUGAUCAAUUGAGGGUCAAAUUGCAUAAAUCAGAGGCCAAGGAUCAAAGUGGAAAAGGCAGCCAACUAUAAGGGCGGCGAUUGAAGUUUUCAGGGAUGCAAUUGAAAUGAACAAAAGAUAAUUAAGGACUGAUUUGGAAGUUGACGUGUUGGCACCAUAUUUAAAUGAAACGGCGCGUUUUGUUCAAAACGACGACGUUUCAUGUUGAAAAAAAAAGGAGAGGACAGAACGUUGUCGUUUUGAACGACACUGUUCCUCUUUCUUCUUCCCCUGGACGUGCAUCAGGGAAGAGAAAGCGUUUUCUUCCUAUUUCUUCACACGCCACAUGCCUGCCACCUCCCAAAACCCCACACACUCUCAUUGUCGCACGUCGGAAAAUCCCGCGCGGCAUCGACUGAUGAUUUUUCUCAUUGUUGCAUUGUUUGCUUGAAUUUGGUUCGUUGGAGUCGCCACCUAGUAAUUUAUUGAAGGCUACUAGGAAACCGGAUGUACUGGUCUGUCAGAGAUCGCGGGUAAGGAACUGGUUGUGGUUAGGGAAGGUAUUAGCACCCCUAACGCACCUUACCUGAGGUAAGCUGCUUUGCGAAUUCGAUGCGUUAAAGAAGUUUUAAUAAUUGUCUUUUCAUCGAAAAUUAGAAAUAUCACUUACGUAUAAGUUAAUAAUUCUUAACCGUGAUCCAAUCAAAAUAUUAAAUUCUUCUUUAAUCUUUGCAAUUUUAUCAUAAUUAAGAAAAUAAAUAAGACAUUCAUAAAAAAACAAAUACAAAAAAAAAAAACAUUAGUCUUCUUCUCCUCUGUUUCGGGUUGUAGAUCGGGCAGGGCUGAUGACUGAUGGUGAAUCGGUGGACGGCGCUGCUGCUGGAGGAAGAAAGCGGACUGGUUUGGGAUCUGUGGGUGCUGUUGCCGGGCUGCUAUCGGGCGGCUCUGAUCCGGCCUUGGUGAGCUGGCCGGCUGGCAGUGAAGGAGAUCACCUGCGGCUGCUGGGACCGAAGGAGAAGAAGGAGCUGCUGAGGGGAAAGCUGGGAGACGAUGGUUGUCGUUGAAUUAGGAGAGACGAGACAGAUUUGGGAGCCGUUGUGGGCACGAUGACGGUCGGUCUGUGAUGGGAAAAUGGAGAAGGGCUGGAGGUUUAUUUGUGGCAGGGAAGAGGUGGUCGGCGGGAGGAGAUGAAGGGGACACGGCUGUUAGGAAAGAGGGGUUGUAUUGGCCGGUUGCUGAGGGGAAAAAGAAAUUCCAACCGGCUCCGGGCUGCUGUUUAGCCGAUUGAGGGGGAAGAAAAACAAAGGGUGGGGGCUGCUGUGUUUGGCUCUGGGUGAGGGAGAAGAGAAAAAAUGAGCGGCUGUUUGGGGGAGGGGCUAUUUGGCCGGUGGAGGGGCGCGUCCGACUGGCCUUGGUUUGAGAAACGAAGCUUUGGCCGGGCUGUCGGUGGAAAACAAUUCAAGCCAGGGGAGGGCCUGUUUGGCUGCUGUCGAAAGAAGAGAAAAAAGGGUGGGGGGCGGCUGUGUCUUUGUUUUUUAGGGUUUCUGUUUUUUCUUUGUAUUUUCUCUUGUUUCAAAAUUAACCCCCCUCUUUUGUGUGAGUUAAAGACUAGUAUUUAUAGGCAAAAUGUUGCAAGGUUUUUCAACUUGGUCCCUCAACUUCUUCUUUUUUUUCUUUUUAAAUUUUGAUUUUUCUUAUUUGUUUUUGAAUUUUUUUGAAAACGAGCAAUAUCAAUGUCGACUCAAUGAGGAAAAUCAAUGAUUUUUAAAAUGACGCGUGAAAAGUCGCACGCGUUUGAAAAUUUAAAUUUUUUUUAAACCACGCUGAAAUGCUAAAAUGACGAGAAUAUAUUAAAAAACAUAUUUUUUUGGAUUUUCAUUGUUUUUCUCUAUUUUUUGAUUUUUUUUGAAAAUAUAUCAAAAACAUGGGUCAAAUAUUGGGUAGUAACAGAUGCCCCCUCUUUACAAUGCUUACGAAGCAAAAAUCCUCAAUGUUUUGCAUAGGAAGCUUUGUAAAGAAAAACUUGUAUUUCUGUUUGAUCAAUAUCCACUUCAUCAAAAAAACUUUACUCUGUUCUCUUUCUUUCUUUUUUUGUCUCUCUCUCUUUCUCUCUCUUUUUUUUUUAUUAUUAUCCUGAGAUCCCAUCUGGCGACCUCCUUUAACCAAAACCAAAGAAUGUGUGUAACUCGGUCAACCUGAAAUCCCAUAUGGAGAUUCCCUUUAACCAAAGCUACAUGAGAUCCCAUCUGGCGACCUCAUUCAACUGGAACGAAAAUAUAUGUAACUCGGUUAACCUGAAAUCCCAUCUGGCGAUUCCCUUUAACCAAAGCUACAUGAGAUCCCAUCUGGCGACCUCAUUCAACUGGAACGAAAAUAUUGUGUAACUCGGUUAACCUGAAAUCCCAUCUGGCGAUUCCCUUUAACCAAAGCUACAUGAGAUCCCAUCUGGCGACCUCAUUCAAUUGGAAUGAAAAUAUGUGUAACUCGGUUAACCUGAAAUCCCAUCUGGCGAUUCCCUUUAACCAAAGCUACAUAAGAUCCCAUCUGGCGACCUCAUUCAAUUGGAACGAAAUAUGUGUAACUCGGUUAACCUAAAAUCCCAUUUGGCGAUUCCCUUUAACCAAAGCUACAUGAGAUCCCAUCUGGCGAUUCCCUUUAACCAAAACUACAUGAGAUCCCAUCUGGCGACCUCAUUCAACUGGAACUAUAAAACCAUGUGUAACUCGGUUAACCUGAAAUCCCAUCUGGCGAUUCCCUUUAACCAAAGCUACAGGAGAUCCCAUCUGGCGACCUCAUUUAACCAAAACAAAAGAAUGUGUAAAAAUGGUCUCAUUGUAAUGGGUGACCCACUCAGGUGGAAAGAACAUAAAAAAACGGUCUCAUUAUGAUGGGUGACCUACCCAGAUGGAAAGAAUAUGAAGUGCGGUCUCAUUAUAAAGGGUGACCUCCCCAUGUGGAAAGAAUAUGAAAAAGUGGUCUUGUUGUGAUCGGCGACCUACCCAAAUAGAAAGAAUGUGAAGUGCGGUCUCAUUGUAAUGGGUGACCAAAAACUUGACACGACCAAAAGAUUGAUGUCUUCUCCCAAGUGCAGGAGUGUCGAAGUAAUAAAUAACCCGGCAAGACCGGGGUCGAACCAUAGAGAGGUUAAUUGUAUAAAUUAUAAAUAACAAGAAAACAACAACAACAAUAACAAUAACAAUAACAAUAACAAUAAUAAUAAUAGUAAUAGUAAUAGUAAUAGUAAUAGUAAUAUUAAUAUUAAUAGUAAUAAUAAAAAUAAUAAAAGAAGAAGAAGAAGAAGAUGAUGAAGAAAUUAAUGAGAACUUUGAGAUGGAAGAUUAAUGUAAGGAUUAAACAAUGAUAAAAACAAAUGUCAAGGUUAGAGGAUCCACCAAUGGUAUUUCAAACAAGUAUAAUAUAAACUCUUGUUACUCAAUUUGGAAACCACACACAAAGGAGGUUCCAAUCGAAUGAUUUCUCAUUAAUAGCUCAUUAUAAAUUAUUAACAUGAUCAUAUUAAUUAUCUUAAUUACAUAACACCAAACUUUUAAAUAUUGUCAGGAAUUCAUGAUAUUAACUGAUUUUAACAACAAAUCAAGUUAUUUUCAUAGCCCAGGUGUAGGUAAUACCAUACUGUUGGGCUAUGAGAGUGCCAAGCAUUUGAUGUACCAAAUGUUAUACAACACAAAUCUAGAUUAACCAUUUAACAAGCAAGGUAUUAAGAAUUAGUAAGAUAAAAAGAUAAGACAUGUUAAUAUUAAACAUUAAGAUCCAUAUUGAGUUUACACCAUGUUCUUACACCAUUAGUGUAACCUUUUCACCUUGACAUAAUAAACUUAGCUAAACAUAAUGAAGAAGAGAAACAUAAAUAAACAAAACAAGAACAUAAAUAAGAUACAAGUUAACUAAGAAAAGGAAAGGAAAUGAAAAGCAUAAACAAGAUAUUAAUGAAAGCAAAACUUAAAAAUUACAAAAAAAAUAUAAAGAGAGAAAUAAAGAGCAUGAGCUUGAUCUGAAAAACCAAGCCCCAAAAUACAUGGCAAAUGCCUCCUUUUAUAGGCCAAAAUUCGGAAUUAUUGAUUUGAUGACUAAUUGUUGAGUGGGUGACCAACUUUUGACUUGGUGAAAAUCCUUAUCUUCUUGUCUGAAUAAAACAAAAAUGCUACCAUCCGAACUGGGUCCUCUGGUAAACAUGAAAGUUGUAGGAAAUUGACUCAACUUUCCAUGAAAAAAAAGUAGAGGUCAUUUGGACAUCUAGAACUCCAGAUAUGGGCCAAACAGAACAGUGUUCCAGUUUGGACUGCACCAACAUCUCUUUUCUAAGUUUCACCCUCUCUUUAACUUCACAAAUUUCAGUAGUUGAAUUCAUCAAUCAAUCCUUUGAUUUAUGUGAUAAGCCUGCAUUUAAGAUGAACAUUUACCAUAUAUUAAGGCAUUUUAUAGUAUUAGACUUGUUAUUAUAAAACAUGCUUUAGUUAAGGAGUUAUUGAUACUUUAAGUGCAAAAUGAUGAUAUAAAACCUUGAUAAAUAUGCACUUUUAAGUACUAAUCACACCCCCCAACCAGCUUAUUACUAGUCCCUAGUAAUCAAAGAGUUAAAAUAGAAAAACAAUUUGCAAGUUCCACAAAGCAAGGCAUUCAUCAUUCAACUUCCAUUAAUCUAUCCAGAUAAACAAACUCUCAUUAAAUUCAUUUAUCUGCUCAAUACCUCUUAAACAAGAUAUUACUAAACCUUUCUUUUGUGCUCAAAAUAUCAACAUAUAGUUAUGGGGCUUUACUUGGAAGAAAAACAAAUUUUUGUUCUAAUGUUUAAGGCUAACUUCCUUAGGUUAGGAUUAUUAUCUUUUUUUUGUUUUUUUAUAUAUAUAUAUAUACAUAUAACUUAAAACACAAUGCAUCUUUAACCCAUGUAACGAGCUUUUGGCUAAUGACUCCCAGACCAGUUGGUCUUAGGGCAUUAGGUGUUGAGACACCCCUACGAGCUUAGUAACUCGGGUUGCAGAUACUGAUACGCAGAUAGUGCAAUGUUUGAUUCCCUUAAGCUUUUCUCCUCAACCCAUGUAACAAGCGUUGGGCCAAUAGCUCCCAAGUCAGUUGACUUUAGGGUAUUAAGUGUUAAAACACCCCUUCAGGCUUAAUUGCUUAGGUUAGGGAGGCUACGGAACCAAACUUAUCUACCUUUUUAUUAUCAUUAUUUUUUUGUUUUUUUUAUUAUUAUUAUUUUGGAAAUUAUAUACUAUCCCUUUCCUUUAGUUGUUACCUUUAACAAAAGAACAUAAAUAAUAUAAUAAUCCAAUAUGCAACCCACAAUCAUAUGUUAUAGUGUGUGUGUGAAAAUGAAGAUUUAAGAAUACUUGUUAAAUGAGCAUAUGAGCAGAAUCAAGUGCUAACAAUAUGAGAGUUUGUAAACCUGAAUAUUUCAAGAAGUAUUCUGAUAGACCUUGCUAAGAAUGUCUACUAAGAUGCGUCUCAAGAGUCCUUUUAACAAAAGAACUCCUUUUACUCUGCCAUCCUAGUAACAACAGUUUUGCAAAUAGUUUAUGAAAUAGAAAACACAGUUUUUUUUUUUAAAUAUCAACUACUACCCUUUCCCCCCAACCAAAAUGAGACAUUGUCCUCAAUGUCCUAAGGUAGAAAGAUGGAGUAUAGAAGACAUCACCUGAAACAACGAACACUAACAAACCUGAAACACAAUUAAACAAAUAUAAGAAAUAACAAAACAUAAUAAUAAAAACAAAAGACACAAAGUUUUUACAAACUAAGGCUCAAAUCCAAUUUAAGCUUUUUACGGCUUUCCGUAGUUGACCAAUUUAUACGACUCAUGGAGGGAUCAAUUACAGGGAUGAAAGAUUGUAGUUGGUCAAUCAAUUGUUCAGCAGUAGCAGCAGAGAUUAUGAUUUGUCGUGCCAAAGAUGUUAGAAAUUAUUGUUCCACAGCUUGAUCAAGAAAAGAUAACAAAUUAUCAUAAAAACCAUUAACAUUUAACAGACCUAUGGGUUUAUGGUGAAUGUGCAGUUGGGCCCAAGAGGAAAUAUGAAAGAUCUCUUCCAAUGUGCCCAGACCACCUGGUAAGGCAAUGAAGGCGUCAGCAUGGUUAAACAUUGUAUUCAUUUGAUCAGACAUUGUGGAGACCUGUAGUUCCUCUCCAAUUGUUUUUCCAAUGAUGUCCUCUUUUGCUAAAGCUUUUGGGAUGACCCCCAAAACUUGACUGCCUCCUAAGAAUGCAGCUGUUGACACACUCCCCAUUAACCCAAGGUUGCCUCCCCCAUAUACUAAAUGAAUCUUUCUCUCAGCUAGUAUCUGACCAAGAUGAUUUGCGGAUUCUAUAAACUCUUUUUCUUUCCCAGGACUAGAUCCACAAAAAACACAAAUAUUUUUUAUUUUAAGAGCUGAGGAUCCUACCAUUUCAAGAAGUGUUUAUACUUGUAGAAUGUAUGGGUUGAGUAGAAAUGAAGGGAAGAAGAAGAAGCUUUUAUAGAUGAGAAAAAGGAAAUGCAAUCAUAUCACCUAUAUGGAAGCUAGCUGGAGUCUCUCUCUCUUUCUUUUUCUUUUUUUUUUUGAAAAAAAAAUGUAAAAAAUGUGUAUGUACAGGUAGUUGUGCUUGUGGCUCACAUAUUCCCUUGGUUUUACGUCCAAGAACGGCUUAAACGCCCUCUAUGGGUCGAGGAUAGGCUUCCCAUCCAGUUUUCUUAAAAACUAGCAAAAAGGGUCUUUUUUUUUUAGUCAGAUUCCCAAGACUAUGAUGAGCAUGUUCUUUAUGAAAAUGAGGCCAUAAAUCAUGAACUGCACGAUGCACAUCUCCACUAUGAUGAGACUUAAGAGUCAACAGAAGAUUAUCUAAAGACUCUCUAUGCUUUGAAAUAAAUCCCACCUUUUGAUAAUUUUCACAGGUUUUGCAGAAUGCAUAUGAGUGCUUGAACAUGGUGGGCCAGUAAAAUGCACUUUGUAAGAUUUUUGCAGUCAUCUUUUUUGACAAGAAAUGAUCCCCACGUGCCUCAGAGUGACAAAAUUUAAUGACACUACUUACCUCAUUGUCGGGAAUGCAUCUUUGAAAUAUUUGAUCAGGACAAUAUUUGAACAAGUAAGGGUCAUCCCAAUAAAGGUUUUGCACGUCGCUCAAAAACUUUCUUUUAUCUUGGUUAUCCAAAUGAGCUGGCAAAAAUCCUGAAGCAAGAAAAUUGUUAUUUUUAGCAAGCCAAGGCAUUGAACUAAGAGAAAGUAAAGAUUCAUCAGGAAAGUAAUCAUUGAUUGGUGUGAUGUCGAAUCUAUUGUCAACUUUGAUAAAUGAUCCGCGACAACAUUUUCGGUGUCUUUUUCAUCAUCGAUUGCUUCUUGUUUGGUCAUGGCAUGAGGAAAUGAAAGUGCUGGCAGGGAAUCGGCCUUUUCUUUACAAUGUUCAUAUUCAACCCCUUCCUUACCACUGCGAAGAGUGAUGUCUGAUUUAACUUGAUCCAUGUGUUGACUUCUGGAACUACUUGCAUUUACAUUGUAUUUCUCCUUUGGAUUUUGUUGUGGUUGAGAUGGAAACGUAUCGUUCUCCUGAAAACAGAGAGCAGAUGUUAACUUUGCAAGAGUAUCUUUAAAACCUGUCAUGCUUUGAGCAAGUUGAGUGUUGAUUAUCUCUUGCUUUUCAAUGAAUGAAUGCAAUGUUUCCUCAAGAUUUCUUCUAGAAGGUGGAGCAUAAGGAGGUGCAUAUCCAUGAAAAUUUUGGAAAUUAUGGUGUGCUUGAAACGAUGGCUGUGAAGUUUGUGCAUUAUUGUUAUCACUCUUCCAACUAAAAUUUGGGUGAUUUCUCCAACCAGGAUUGUAUGUUUGCAAGUAUGGGUUAUGAUUGGGCCUUUGGAAACUGUUUAAAGCAUGAGCUUGUUCAUGGAGGCAUUCCUUGAAAGAAGGCAAAGUUGGACAAUCAUUGGUUGCAUGUUCAUUUGUUUCACAGAUUUGACACACAAUGUCUUGAACAAAUUUUAAUUGACCACUCCUUUUCAAUUCUAGUGCCUCGACUUUUCUAGCUAAAGAUGCAGUGGAUUGGAGGUCAUGAUCUUCCCUAAGGUUAUACAUACCUCCAUUAGAUGUAUGAGGUUGAGUUUUACCCGGUGCCUCAUAAAUACCUGUGGUGUCCCAAUUUUGAGCAUUUUCGACUAGCAAGUCUAGGUACUCCAUUGCUUCAUUAGGGUCUUAUCUUCAAAGGUUCCAUUGCACAUCAAUUCAACCAUUUGCCUAUCUCUAGGUGUUAAACCUUCAUAAAAAUGUGAAACCAAUCUCCAUGUUUCAAAACCAUGAUGUGGGCAAGUAUUAAGCAAAUCUUGAUACCUAUCCCAACAUUGGUAAAAUGUUUCUCCUGGUUUUUGAGUGAAAGUUGUGAUUUGUCUUUUGAAAGAGUUUGUUCUGUGAGAUGGAAAAAACUUCUUUAAAAAUUGUUGUUGCAAUUCAUCCCAAGCACGAAUGGAUCCUGGUCUCAAAUUUUGUAGCCAUGUUUUAGCUUUAUCUUUUAAAGAAAAAGGAAAAAGCUUUAAUCUGAUGGUGUUCAUGCUACAAUUUGAGUCAUUAUAAGUGGUACAAACUUCCUCAAAUUCUCUCAAAUGCAAGUAUGAAUUUUCUAGAUCUAAGCCAUGAAAAGAAGGUAAAAGUUGAAUAAUGCCUGGCUUAAAAUUAAAAUGAGAUGCAUCAGGAGGAAAAAAUAUACAUGAUCGCGCAAUUGUUCUUGUUGGAUUCAUGUAGUCUCUAAGUGUUCUAACCCGAUUAUUCUCAUUAUAAAGCGAUUGAUUAUCCUCUUCGGCCAUGUUUUCUAAAAACGAUGAGUAUACUUUACAAAGUUUAUCAUUUCAUGUACGUGACCAAACUCUCAUGCACGUGUAGAAAGAAAAUAAAAGGAAGAAGAAAACAAAACAAAAAGAAACAAAACAAAAGAAACAAAGUUAGAAAAAAAAUAAAAUAAAUACUAUAAUUUAUACAAGAAUUUACCUCCCCGGCAACUGCGCCAAAAACUUGACACAACCAAAAGAUUGAUGUCUUCUCCCAAGUGCAGGAGUGUCGAAGUAAUAAAUAACCCGGCAAGACCGGGGUCGAACCACAGAGAGGUUAAUUGUAUAAAUUAUAAAUAACAAGAAAACAACAACAACAAUAACAAUAACAAUAACAAUAACAAUAACAAUAACAAUAACAAUAACAAUAACAAUAACAAUAACAAUAACAAUAAUAAUAAUAAUAAUAAUAAUAAUAAUAGUAAUAUUAAUAUUAAUAGUAAUAAUAAUAAUAAUAAAAGAAGAAGAAGAUGAAGAAAUUAAUGAGAACUUUGAGAUGGAAGAUUAAUGUAAGGAUUAAACAAUGAUAAAAACAAAUGUCAAGGUUAGAGGAUCCACCAAUGGUAUUUCAAACAAGUAUAAUAUAAACUCUUGUUACUCAAUUUGGAAACCACACACAAAGGAGGUUCCAAUCGAAUGAUUUCUCAUUAAUAGCUCAUUAUAAAUUAUUAACAUGAUCAUAUUAAUUAUCUUAAUUACAUAACACCAAACUUUUAAAUAUUGUCAGGAAUUCAUGAUAUUAACUGAUGUUAACAACAAAUCAAGUUAUUUUCAUAGCCCAAGUGUAGGUAAUACCAUACUGUUGGGCUAUGAGAGUGCUAAGCAUUUGAUGUACCAAAUGUUAUACAACACAAAUCUAGAUUAACCAUUUAACAAGCAAGGUAUUAAGAAUUAGUAAGAUAAAAAGAUAAGACAUGUUAAUAUUAAACAUUAAGAUCCAUAUUGAGUUUACACCAUACUUGUUCUUACACCAUUAGUGUAACCUUUUCACCUUGACAUAAUAAACUUAGCUAAACAUAAUGAAGAAGAGAAACAUAAAUAAACAAAACAAGAACAUAAAUAAGAUACAAGUUAACUAAGAAAAGGAAAGGAAAUGAAAAGCAUAAACAAGAUAUUAAUGAAAGCAAAACUUAAAAAUUACAAAAAAAAUAUAAAGAGAGAAAUAAAGAGCAUGAGCUUGAUCUGAACAACCAAGCCCCAAAAUACAUGGCAAAUACCUCCUUUUAUAGGCCAAAAUUCGGAAUUAUUGAUUUGAUGACUAAUUGUUGAGUGGGUGGCCAACUUUUGACUUGGUGCAAAUCCUUAUCUUCUUGUCUGAAUAAAACAAAAAUGCUACCAUCCGAACUAGGUCCUCUGGUAAACAUGAAAGUUGUAGGAAAUUGACUCAGCUUUCCACGAAAAAAAAGUAGAGGUUAUUUGGACAUCUAGAACUCCAGAUAUGGGCCAAACAGAACAGUGUUCCAGUUUGGACUGCACCAACAUCUCUUUUCUAAGUUUCACCCUCUCUUUAUCUUCACAAAUUUCAGUAGUUGAAUUCAUCAAUCAAUCCUUUGAUUUAUGUGAUAAGCCUGUAUUUAAGAUGAACAUUUACCAUAUAUUGGGGCAUUUUAUAGUAUUAGACUUGUUAUUAUAAGACAUGCUUUAGUUAAGGAGUUAUUGAUACUUUAAGUGCAAAAUGAUGAUAUAAAACCUUGAUAAAUAUGCACUUUUAAGUACUAAUCAGUGACCUACCCAAAAAUGGAAAAAAACAUGAAGUGCGGUCUCAUUGUAAUGGGUGACCUACCAAAAGAUGGAAAAAAUAUGAAGUGUGGUCUCAUUGUAAUGGGUGACCUACCCAAAUAGAAAGAAUGUGAAGUGCGGUCUCAUUGUAAUGGGUGACCUACCCCAAAAUGGAAAAAUAUGAAGUGCGGUCUCAUUGUAAUGGGUGACCUACCCAGAUGGAAAAAAUAUGAUGGAGUGCGGUCUCAUUGUCAUGGGUGACCUACCCAGAUGGAAAAAAAUGAAAAACGUCUUAUUAUGAUGGGCGACCUACCCAGAUGGAAAGAAUGUGAUAUGACAAGUGUGAAAAAUAGGACUUACCUGGCGAAGUCCUGAGGGGAUGACAGAAGAAGGGCUAGAAAACUUGGUGCUUUCUGAUAAUUCCCGAUCAUAGGGUUUGAAAACUCGGUGUUUGCUGACUGCAAGGGUUGAAAACUCGAGGCUUCCCGAUUCCAAGGUUGAUCUUUUCAUUUCCUUGGGAUUUUCCUAAUGGUAGGGUUCAUCCCAUCUUCUUUUUAUUUCAUGAUCAAAACCGAUUCUUUAUUAUCAUCACCACAAUGCUUCUUUCUUCUUCUUUUUUCACCAUCUUGCUGGACCUCAUUAAGGAUUUUCCUAUAACAAUUCAAAAAUAUGUGCAAAUGUUUUUUUUUUUUUUAGGUUAGAUGAUAUGCAGGUAUCCUUACCUGAUUUGAAAUAUAGGUCCCCCCCUCUUUGAUGCUCCAUCGUCAUAGGGUGCCCUUGUUUGCAUCCCAAAGCUUUCUUUGUCCUUCUGAUGCAUUGACUCAUUCAUGUGCUAGUCAUCCACUCAGCUGUAAAUGCAGUGCCCAUCCCGGGCUGUCUUUGACAAUUACUGCUCGCAUCGUUCAUCAAGCUUGACCUUGCCCCUAAGUGUGGUGGUUGCUUGAUCAUCAUGAAGGAUUUUCUCUCCUGGUUCUUCUGAGAAUUAUCUUCUGAUUGAUUGUGUGCAUCAUGCCAACACCCAUCAAGAUUGUUAAUCAGUCAUGAACUUACCUUCGGUUGAAACACCAUUCAAGUAUAUAUGGUCACCAGCCUUCAUGGAGCUACCAGUCGUGCCGACAUGCAUCUCAUACUUUGGCAGGGAAAGGCUCAUCGUUGUAAGCUCAAUGCUUUCCUCAAAAAGUUCUUCUCACCCAUCUAAUCAGAUCUUGAAAAGAAAUGUAUUGGCAUCAUCAAUGAUGUUCAUGUUAUCACCCAUAUUCAUGCGGUGAAGUGUGCAUUUGAGCUUCAAAACAAAUGGUCCCACAGUCAGUUGGUGGGUGCAUCCUUCAAGCAUUCAUGCACAUACAACUAUGUGAUAACAUCGUUCAAAAGUCAUAACCAUGUUGAAGAUGAUAAACCAAGAUGAAAAUAUGAAAAUAUCCUUCUAGUGCAGUGUUGCUCAUCAAUUGCUGCUGAAGUGCACUUGAUCAUGGAUUGUCUUUGAACAACAUUGCCCCCAAUAUGAUUCGUAGGUUCGUUCAUCGAUUUAUACUCAAGAAGGUUUUUCCUUAUCAUUGUCAGAUGCUAAACAUAACUUUGAUGAACUUUGACGACUCAUCAUCUGAUUCUUUCUUUGCCCCCAGGUGAUCAGAAUGUUGUUUGUGUAUUUUCUUCUAAGGGUCCACUGUAUUGCCCCCAGGUGAUCAGAAUGUUGUUUGUUUUUCUUCUAAGGGUCCACUGUAUUGCCCCCAGGUGGUCAACUUUCAAGGAGUUUUGAGAAGAGUUGAUGUCAUUUCAUGUCAAGGAUUCCGCAAACUCAACGAGUGUUCUUCUUUGUUUGACAACCUUUCUUGUUCUAGAAUCAAAUCUCAUACUUCAAAGGUCAUGUCUAUUCAAGUCUAAUUGUUGAAAUGAAAUCAAAGAGAUAUCAUUUUUUGAAAAGUAUUUUUGAAAUUCAAGCUUCUUUGGUCAAAGACCCAAGACACGUCAUUCAAUGUAGUCCUUCGAUUGUCUUGUAUUUUGAAAACAGAAAUCGACUUGUUGUAAGAUUAAAAUGGUCUUUCCCAUGGUUCUUUAUAUCCACUUUAAACUCUGAUUUUGGGUAUAUCUCUUUUUUUUUAUGGUUUGUGAUGAGGUGAUAUUUUUGUGAACUUCAAAUGACUAGAUGCUCAAGCUUGAUCAAGAAAGGUUGUUUCUUUUCUCAGUAUUUAUUUUAUCAGCAUGCAUAAUAACCAAUAGCUUAAUUCAUGAAGUCACGACCCUUAUGGAAAAGCUCUUCAAGUUUUGAGAGCGCCAUUUAUCGGUUCAGAUUGCUUACUUGAUCAAAAAGGGCUUUUAAAAAGCACGUAAUGUAGGCUAUGGUUCAUGGCUAUAAAAGAAAGGAAUUUCAUAGGCUCAAAAGGUGUUUGAGGGUUUCAACGACAUAGGACCAACAUUAACUAUUCAUCGAUUCUCUUUCUCUUGUUGUCAUUGUAGAGAAAGUGACAUACAACCUUGUUAAUCUCAAAUAUCAGAAUUCUCUUAACAUAGGUCAUAAUGCAAAUCCAACUUUUUCUUUGAUGAAUAACUAAUCUAAUUUUUUUAUUUUUUUUGAAGACAUUAGAGGCUCUAUCUAAGACACACCAAAAGAUAUGAAGCAUCGAUUUUUCUAGUGUUGACUUUUGGCAUUUGCUGUCUUUUCUCAAUUUGAAAAUUUUCUUGCCUCUCUUAGAAUUGAUAGGCAUUCUCCUUCUUUUAUCUUUAACUUGUCUUUAAGUGAAGGCAAUUUCAACUCAUAGCCUUCCUCAAAAUUUUCUUAUAUGCCCCUAGUCUAUGUGUUUUCUUUUAGCCCUCUCUCAAUCAUUGGACUUUUGUUCUAAGCCUUCCCUUUAUCCAUUAAUUAUAUUAAUACCUUCAAAAUAUCUCUCAUUUGCCCCUAGUGUGGGGUGUGAUCCUAGUCAGGGUUUUUAUGAAAAGAAAAGUCUAUCCAGCUCAAAAUGGGACUACAAGGGAUAUAAUCUUUAGAAAGUGAAGGGAUAUCAAAGACGGCCUUUUCUCAUUUCAAGCAAGGUCGGUUAGAACCGAUAAAUUUUGACCCCAUCCAGUGAAUGAUUGAGACUUGUAAGAAUCAUGAUUCAACGAGUCCAUAACUACUGAAUCCACUACAUGUCAUUAUGCAUACUGCUAAAACUUAGCUAUAUAAUGUGUGGUUCAGUUUCAAGAGGUAUGAGUUCAAAAUUGUUUGGUCACCUCAUGUCAUUUUCAAGCAUCGAGUCAUUUCUGCAAUCAAAAUAAUUUUAAUCUUCAGGAUUGAUUAUCCUUAAUUUUGCAUGUUGGAGUUUGAUCAAAAUAUUUUAUCAAAAUACCCUUUGAAAGAAGUAUCUCUUGAUUUCAAAACAACAAGAAGACAAAGGGAAUACCUGUUUCAUUCAAGGAUGAGAUGCGCCCCAAAACAAAAUGCAAAACUCCAUAACAAUAUGAAUGACAGCUCAUCACCAUUCUUGAAUCAGCUUUUCUGGCAAUAUCUGUGUUUUGCCAAGCACCUUCAAUCAAAUGUCAUUCUGAAGAUUUUCGGGAGGCAAUAUAGCCAAUGACACCCUCCUUCACAAACUCUACUUGUCUCUUGCUCUCCAACUUCAGGACUCGCUUCUUGAAAUUCUUGCAACUGUUCAAUUGAAAUGGUUGAGGACUCCACCAUGACAUCACAUCUCUUGUAUGGAUUAUACCACAUGGCAAAUGAACAUCUAUCUUUGGCAAAGACAUUGGAGUAGUCAAUGAUACAGGGAGACUUGGCUAGACCACAUAAUCAAGGUUUCCCACCGUCAGAGUCUUCUUUUGAUUCAUCUCUCAUCAUUGUUCUGGAAUCCUUGGCAGAACCUUCAAUCUUUCCUCUCUUCAUAACUUGUUCAAUUUCGUCAGCAAUCCUCACAACAUCAUGUCAAUCUUCCAAUGUUGUUGUGGUUUGAGGAUUGUUGGAACCCUCUUAAUAUCUAGGUAAUCCUGGCAGUGCCCAAAACAAAAGGGUGUGGAAUCACACAUUGUCAAAAUUAGAAGAGAACCCGAUGAAUCUACAACAUCUUCUAUUUCCUCUUUGAUUCCUCAUUGACGGUGCAGCAAACAACUACUUUUGUGUUUUAAUGCCAAUACUGGAAGGAAACAAUUAUGGACAAUUUGAAACCCCUGCAUCCCUUCUUGGAUUUCCCACUGCAUAUCCACAAACAGAUUCCUGCCGAGAGAUCUCUGCUACAUUGAAGUUUGAUAUUUGCUCAUGUUUUUUCAAACAAAGUUUGGCUCUUCAACCUGCUACAGUUUCUUCGUGCUAAAAUUGAUGAGAGAAAUAUUUGUAGCAUAUGCAAUUAGUAAAUCCCUUCUUGCACUCUUAACUUGCAGCAUCAUAAACAGAUUUUUGUAGAGAGAGCUCUUCUGCCUACUACUCAUAUUUUCAGACCAGGUCUGACUCUUCUGCCUACUACAAUGUUUUGCUGGUGCCACUGGUGGGAGAAAGUUUCAAAGUAUAUGAAAAUACUACAUCCCCUCUUGCAUUCCCCACUAGCAGAUCCAUAAAUAAAUCUCUACAAAGAGAGCUCUACCACGUAGAAGUUCAGUGUUUAAUCAUGGUUUUUUUUUUUUCAGACCAACAUCUUGUGCUGCUGAAAUGGAAUUGAGCUCAUAAUUGGGGUAACUUCAAAGAAGCCUAAUGCACCAUGUACAUGAGGCUAGUAGUCGUUUGGUUACAUUAGAUGAUGUGGAGGCGAUGAACACUUAACAGUGCAACUGGACAAGAAUCAGAGUUGUCAUUAGUUGAUGACUGAAGGCAUUGUUGCUAUUGUUCAUGACUAAAAAGGAGAAAUACAGCUUCAAUUGGACGUGAACAAGCAAUGUUCCCACAGAAGACUGUGCAAACACUCUCUUUCCAUUUGAUGCUCAACACUUGUUCGAGCAAAUCUGAGUCCAGCUACUUCACCUUUGAUGCUCUCAACCUUAAUCUGAUAAUGAGACUCUAUCUGACACCUUUCUUCACUUCCAUUAUCUUUCUUCAAUCACGUGCAGCACAGCUUGUGUGGGGGACCUACCUUUCAACCCGGUUCAUACAUGAUAAAUGUAUGAACAUGUAAUCUAUAUGAUGAACUCGCCCUUCGAGGGGUGACAAUACGGUCGUAACUCUUGUAUGAUGGAACAAGAAUCGUGAUUCUUGCCCAAACUCUACAAUGAAAAUUUUCGGAGUGACGGCCAAUGUGUCACCCACAAGUCUUCAGUUCAAGAUGCUUCAAGAAGGGUUUGCCCUAAUGCAAAUAACGAUAGCACAUACAACCUAAGGACAUGUUCUAUUCAUUAUGUGAACAUGGUAGGUUUUCUAUCUGGUCUCAAGAGGGUCUCAUAUCUGCCCAGUGACGUUCUUCGUAAAGACAAUAUGGGGGCGUUGCAAGGGAUGGUUAAGGCAUGUAUACCCACCAUUACCAAGCAGGCACUCAGAUAUGAUUUGGGUGUUUCACGCAUCUAAACCUUGACCAAUAGUCUUAGGGCAGAUCGCUAGUUCCCCACCUAACCUAGAAGCUUGUGUGUGCUUUCAAAAAAUAAAUACAGGUGAUGCAUGAGACAAUUCUAUAAAAUGCAUGGGAAAAAAAAUUAACAAAAAGAUAAAAAUACAAAAACUAAAACACAUCAAAUACACAAAGCUUAGUCCAAUAAUGUUAGAAACAGUACCUUCCCCAGUGGAGUCGCCAUUCUGUCGCACGUCGGAAAAUCCCGCGCGGCAUCGACUGGUGAUUUUUCUCAUUGUUGCAUUGUUUGCUUGAAUUUGGUUCGUUGGAGUCGCCACCUAGUAAUUUAUUGAAGGCUACUAGGAAACCGGAUGUACUGGUCUGUCAGAGAUCGCGGGUAAGGAACUGGUUUGGGAUCUGUGGGUGCUGUUGCCGGGCUGCUAUCGGGCGGCUCUGAUCCGGCCUUGGUGAGCUGGCCGGCUGGCAGUGAAGGAGAUCACCUGCGGCUGCUGGGACCGAAGGAGAAGAAGGAGCUGCUGAGGGGAAAGCUGGGAGACGAUGGUUGUCGUUGAAUUAGGAGAGACGAGACAGAUUUGGGAGCCGUUGUGGGCACGAUGACGGUCGGUCUGUGAUGGGAAAAUGGAGAAGGGCUGGAGGUUUAUUUGUGGCAGGGAAGAGGUGGUCGGCGGGAGGAGAUGAAGGGGACACAACUGUUGGGAAAGAGGGGCUGUAUUGGCCAGUUGCUGAGGGGAAAACGAAAUUCCAACCGGCUCCGGGCUGCUGUUUAGCCGGUUGAGGGGGAAGAAAAACAAAGGGUGGGGGCUGCUGUGUUUGGCUCCGGGUGAGGGAGAAGAGAAAAAAUGAGCGGUUGUUUGGCCGGUGGAGGGGCGCGUCCGGCUGGCCUUGGUUUGGGAAACGAAGCUUUGGCCGGGCUGUGGUGGAAAACAAUUCAAGCCAGGGGAGGGCCUGUUUGGCUGCUGUCGAAAGAAGAGAAAAAAGGGCGGGGGCGGCUGUGUCUUUGUUUUUUAGGGUUUCUGUUUUUUCUUUGUAUUUUCUCUUGUUUCAAAAUUAACCCCCCUCUUUUGUGUGAGUUAAAGACCAAUAUUUAUAGGCAAAAUGUUGCUAGGUUUUUCAACUUGGUCCCUCAACUUCUUUCUUUUUUUCUUUUUGUAAAUUUUGAUUUUUUUUUUUUUUUUGAAUUUUUUGAAAACGAGCAAUAUCAAUGUCGACUCAAUGAGGAAAAUCAAUGAUUUUAAAAAUGACGCGUGAAAAGUCGCACACGUUUGAAAAUUUAAUUUUUUUUUUAAACGACGCUGAAAAUGCUAAAAUGACGAGAAUAUAUUAAAAAACAUAUUUUUUUGGAUUUUCAUUGUUUUUCUCUAUUUUUGGAUUUUUUUUGAAAAUAUAUCAAAAACAUGGGUCAAAAAUUGGGUAGUAACACUCAUGAUGAUAAACCGAGGGAGUCAGCAAUAGGGCGGCAACCCGCUGUUGUGGCAGGGCAGCCAGCCUUCAUCCCCAGGCGCUGCCAUAGGCGGCAAUAGGGACGCCCCCGCUCCCUUUGCCCUAUAAAUAUGACCAAGCACCAGCACACGGGGAAAAAAAAAGAGGGUGAGGAGAGAACGAGCCAAAGAGAGAAAUGAAAUAAAGAGAGAAAGGAAAGAGUAAGGGGAAGCUUGAAACCGGGAGGGAAGUUUUUUAAAACAAAACCGAGAGGACAAAGGGAUAAUCACGGGUAAACGAAACAUAGAAAGAAAAAAUGAAAAACCAGAGGAGAGGGGAAGAGGAAGAAAUCUCUCUCUCUCUCCGCCGCUUGAACAACAACAUCACUGCUUGGAGCCGCCGUUCGUGAGCCAUGACAGCGCCACUGCCUCCACCACAGCACCCCAAUGAAGCAGUCAGGACAGCAAAGCAUCGCCUCCUCCGCGCCAGGUAACUCUUCCUUCCUUGCCGCCUGUAUUUAAUUCUCGGCUUCAUUUCCUCCUGCAAAUAAUUCCCCUCCUUGUUUUUACCUUCCUGGGCCAGGCCGAUACCAGGCCGACCCAGUCCAGAAGAAGCAGAAUGAACUGUUGGGCCGAUAUCGGCCCAACCCCAUUUUGGGCUGAGAUCGGCCCAACCUUUUUGGGGAUGAGUCCGGCCCAGUUAUUUGGGCCGGCCUAGCCCAGCCCACCUAAUAUUAUAUAUUAUAUAUUAUAAUAUUUUAUAUUAUUUAUAUAUAUAUAAAAAAUAAAAAAACAAUCUGAAAAAAUCUUUGAUUUUUUUUUUAUUUUCCUGCAUAUUUUUAUCAAAAUUGCUUAAUAUUGGUUUGUAUUUUUAUACCGUAAAGAUACAAAUCCAGUAUUAAAAUACUCGAUUUUCGUUAAGACAUCAAAAAAACAUAAAAUUAAAAAACAAAAUUUAAAUGCAUACGGCCUAGUCUCUCCAAAUUAAAGAAAAAAAAUAAAUCAUCACAUCAUAUUUUCCUAUAACAAAAAAAUCAUAUAUUUUUUUACGCAUAAAACAAAAACAUUCAAAAAGGUUUUAGCAUGCACCUUGGCUUUAAUAACAAGUUUGUUAGAGCCAUGAGAACUCGACCAAUAUUUCAAAAAUUCUAAAAAUAUAUUUUUUGUCUUUUUUAGUAUCUGGGAUUACGAAUUUAUACGUAAAACAUAUUUCUGAUAUUAAAAAUAUGAUUUUUUUGUAUAGACGUUAGGACAGUUAGGAUUUUAUUCGAUAAGAUAAGGACCUUCUUAUUGAGGAAGACUUUUCUUGAAUCCUAGACGGACCAAUAGUUAAAUAACACCAUAGCUUUUUAUCAGACAAUCAAACAAUGCAGCUUACCUUAGGUAAGGCGUAUUUGGGGUGCUAAUACCUUCCCUUUACGCAACCAUUCCCCGUACCCGAUCUUUGAGACUAGUUAGGGUUCCUAGUGACCAAAAUACUAGGUGGCGACUUCCAUUCCAUUUUUCACUGAUAACAGACAAGAAUUUCUUGUCUCCCCAUAUUUGCUAGAUAUAGAUACAUAUUUUAGACUUGAAGUGGAAUAUUUCGCCGCGACACCAUACACGUGCGACAGUUGUCAUUAGAAUGCUCAGUCUCACUAGACUGUCUUAUUUGCAAAGUUUCUAUGUACUCCAUCCUCCCAGAAAGGUUGUUCAUUUGAUUGGACAUGUUACUCAUUUCCGUACGCAUAAGUUGUAAUUGUUCUUGAAUAUCUCUAAGAACAUUACUAGAGUUCGGGUCCAUGAUAGCUAUGACUUCUAGAUUGUGUACUAGACGAUCACUACGUAAAUGCAUGGAAAAAAUAAUCCUGAGACUGAGAUCACAAAAUAACACUUGCAAGUAAAACGUAAAAUAAAAUUAUAGCUAAUAAUAAAAUAAUAAUAAUAAAGAAAAUAAUUUUUUUAAAAAUAAUUUUAUUAUGAUUAUUAUUAUUAUCUUGGAAACUAAGUAAUGACAGAUUAAACCAGGAAAAUGCACACGCAUGCAAUGUAAGUCCUCUAAAUGCACACAAGUAAUCUAAACACAAUGUUUUAGUUUUCCCACUAAUUUAACCAAGCUCCAUAAUAAUUAAAAGGAUCAGAUCUUCAAUGGCUCAAAAUUAAGGUAAUUCAAUUUAAAAAUGGGCUAUGUAAUUUAGUUAUGGGCAAGCACAAAGAAUAAUAUUAAUGCUAAAUCUUGGUUAACAAGUGUAAACAUACCAGGAAUGAUGAUUUUCAAUAGGUAAAAAAUUCUGACUGGAUGAUGUGGCAAUUAAGGCUUACGUGGCAGCUGACAUGGCAGGCUAUGCUGGUAAGGCAGAUGAUGUUGCAGGAUACGCUGAAGUGGCUGGAACUGAUGUCGUGGCAGAUGACAUGGCAAGAACUGGUGAUGUGGCGGAUGACGCGGAUUCUCUAACGUGGUUGGGUUAAUUAUUUUACCAGCUUCUGUUUCUGUCUUCCCUACCUCCUUACUUCUUAUUGCUGGCAACGCAGUGUGACUGCUGAAGACGAGGACCACUGCAGUCUGUUGAGGGUGGUGGUUGCCGCCGGUCGGCUCUACUGCUCUGUCUGUUGCUCAUGGUGGUUGUCGAUGGUACUGUGCACGGUGCCAGCUGAAGCUCAAUCGCUGGUACCGAAGAGGACGACAAUGGCUGAGGCGCUACCUUUGCUGGGAGGAACCAUUAGUCGGUACUGGCAGUGAUAGGUUUGUGGGUGGCUGUGGCUGAUGGUUUUGUGCCGAUGGUUUGGCUGCUGAAGUCACAGGUCUGUUGUGGUUCUGUGGUCCUGUGGAGGCGCCGCUGAAUACGAUUUGAUGUAAUCUGUUGGUGGCAUGGGGAGUGGCCUUCUGUAGGAGAAUCUGUCGUCGUGGGUCUUGGUGUGACCAGCGUUGAGGUAGAGUUUCCAAUCGGCGUUGAUGCACACAAUUUUGAUGAUGAACAAUGAUUUUUUUUUUUUGUAAUCAACACAGUAGGUGUUUUUUUUUUUUUUGAAUAGUUAAUGAAUUUUUUUUUUUUUAGAUCAAACCAAAUCUAGGGUUUAGCAUAAACAUUGUGGGUCGUUUAAUUGUAAGAACAAUUAAAACCCUAGCUCUGACAUUAAAUUUGAUGCGGGACAAUAAAUAAUAAAAUUAAAGCAAAAAAAGAAAGAAGCUUUUAGAACAAGAAAGAAGCUAAAGAAGAGAAGAAAGGGGGUUAGAGAUAUGCAAAGUCUGAAAUAUUUUCAUUAAUCAUCCAAAAUUGUCUCUCAAGAUAACAGAGGAACAUAUAAUAGUAAACCCUAAAACAUCCCGCUAUUGGGCUUGGGCCAUCAAAUCAAACUUUUACCAUAAAUAAUAAAAAAACAAUGAGCAGACCCAAAUAAGCUAAAUAAAUAAAAUAGCAAUGAAAUAGACCCAAAUAGGCUUAGUCUCCCAACCAAAACGUGACAGGCUGAACCAUCCUACGUCACCUACAUCCAUAUACUCAUACAACUUGUGGUGUGGGUCUGGUGUCCCACCAUAUUCUUUUGCACCCAUCAAAAGAUAAUACUUUAAACUCUUUAAAAGAAAAAUGGAUGCUGGCAGUUGUCUUAUUGAAGUUUCACUUACAUCGAACUCCUCCAAACUUCCAACUUUCCCCAAAUUCUUCCAAUUUUUAAGUUCAGAGCAGCCAGACAGAUUGAGUUUUUUAAGGGAUUUCAAACAACUUAUACUACUCGGAAUGCUUUCAAGGUUCUUAUAGUUGUUCAUGCUCAAUAGACCUAAGCCAAUCAAAUGAUGAAUCGAUGAAGAUAUUUUAGUAAUACCAGCCUCAUCAAACAGUUCAUGUUUCCUACUACAUCUAGAAACUUCUCAAGUUUUGAGCAACCAUUGUUGUAACCCAAUUUUUGAUUCACUAAGAUUUUCUUGAAUGUUAUUUUAUUUAUAUUAUUUUUCAUAAAAAUCCAGAAAAUAAAAAAAAAAGUUUAAAAUUCAAAAUAUAUUUUUCUCGAGUCAACUGCAUCUUUCCAUAAAAAUCGAUUUCACCGGGUCAAACCAUGUCGACCAGGGUAAAAAAUUAGUUUUCAUGACGUUUCGGCUCAAAACCGUAAUUUUUUAUCAAAACCGAGUCCACCGGGUCAAUACGAAUCAAACAAGUCGACCAGUGUAAAAAGUGAGUUUUUGUGACGUUUCGGGUCAAAACCGUCAUUUUUAGUCAAAACCGUCAAUUUUCAUAAAAAACCGAUUUCACCAGGUCAAUAUGGGUCAAACCAUGUCAAGCAGGGUAAAAAAUGAGUUUUCAUGACGUUUCGGGUCAAAACCGUUAUUUUCGGUCAAAACCGUUAUUUUCGGUCAAAACCGUCAUUUUCGGUCAAAAACCAGUUCACCAGUUUGAUACCCAUCAAAUGUUUUUUUUGUAUUUCAAUAUAACUUUCGGUAAUUAAAAUUGGUUUUAAAUGGUUGAAACAGGCUUUUCUAAUACUGAUUUGAGUUUUUAGUUUUACCCAUUUAAUAUUUAUUAUUAUAUAUAAUAAAACAAAAUUAAUAAUGCAAAUUUCUUUUGUCAUAGCAGGCAGGGCAGUUGUGCCGACAGUUUUUUUUCUUACAAUCAGAUAAUGAUAAGAUUUUAUGUCCCCUGCUCAUUGGCUAUAAAUAGCGAGUGAAAAUUCGCUAGAAAAGAGAAGAAAAGAGAGGAGGAUGAAAAAAGAAAGAAAGAAAAGAUAGCAUCACUGUUUGAAUUUUUUUUAGUUUUUCUUCGCGAGAUUAAGAUAUUGUUUUUUAUUAAAAACAAUUUGAAAAAAUACCAAAAAUAUCAUAACCGUUCGAUUAAUCGUGUUAGUUCUGGACCUUUGAUUUAAUAGGAUACAAAAGGGCUCACUACACUACAUUAAAACCCAAACCCAUCUUAGCCUUUGAAAUAAUCUGCCCUUUGAUCCCGUUGUGCCACGUCACUCGGUGUAUCGAGCUUUCGGUGCACUGCGCCACACCAGAACAAGCCAAUCACUGUCGAACGAUUGUUUCAUCCGAGAUCCAACGGCUCACAGCCUUCAGCUGCACCAGCGUACCAUGCUAGCAUUCACACCGUAGCAAAACCUCAAAGCCUCUCUCUCCUCUCGCCGGCAACUCCCUCUCUCUCAUUCGAUCUCCCAUUUCCGGUCGUCUUAAGCCUUCGAACCACCAUAGAACGGUUAAUAGCCUCCUAUGAAGCAAACCCCCGGCUAUUUUUAGCGUUUUCGCCGCCUCAUCUGGCCGAAAAAAGGUCGCGAUCUUCGUCGGCCACCGACACUUCAAGUCGACCAUUCUCCCUCGUCAGCCAUCAACGACCAUUGAGACCACCAUUAUCAGAAUCCUCUACCUCAGAUCUACCAUAAUCGACCAUUCGUUGGCCAGAAAGCUCGCCAGAAAAUUUCACAGCUGCCAACAGUAACUGCGCGUGAGCCACACGUGCCGCUAGUGGCAUUUUCGUAAAUUUUUGAGAAAUCUGAGGGUAUUUCAGUCUUUUACCUAUACAGUGGCACUCAGGUAAUUUUUUUUGGAUUUCUAACAUUUUUUUAUUUUGUAUAUAAAUUUUCUUGCAUGUAAAAAAAACAAAAAUAAAACCAAAAACAAGUAUAAAAGGAAUAACGACGCGGGUCCAACACCUAUCUUAUCAUGUUAUUGUUCGUGGGUCCAAAGCCCAAUUCUCGAAUAUGGUUAUACCUAUUUCUCAACGAUAUCAAAAUAUUUUUUGUUUUAUAAAUGAAUAUUAUUUGUCGACACGUCUUUUUUUACAGAAAAGGACCGAUGUCAAAAGUUUAAAUACCAAAUAUGGAUUAUGUCCAUAAUUGUUUUGGUAACUCAGACGUACUUCUCCUUUUUAGGGUUAAACAUCACUAUUUUAGACAAGUCUCCUAUUUUUAGGGGCUGAUGUCAUCCAUUUUUUGAUGCAUCUCCUACGAAUAUUGUCUUUCAACAUGUCUCUUUUUACAGAAAAGGACCGAUGUCAAGGGUAUUUAUACCAAAUAUGGAUUAUGUCCAUUAUUUCCUUUUGGUAACUCAUACGUAAAUCUCCCUUUUAGGGAUAAACGUCGAUAUUUUAGACGAGUCUCCUAUUUUUAGGGAUUGAUGUCAUUUUUAACGUGUCUCCUAUUUUUAGGGACCGACGUUAACCAUUUUAAAAAAACAAAAUUGCAAAUAAGCUCGAAAUAUAAUAUCAUUUGAAACAAAUAGAAAACACACAAGUAAGGGUAACCUUUCUCUUGAAAGGAUGUUUUAAGGGUGGUGUCUACCUUCCCUUAAUCAUAACUAACCAGUACCCGAAUCUCUGAGACCAGUGUCUAAUUUGGGAUUUCUAGUUCCCUCAUAUUACUAGAUGCCGACACCAAUAAAAUCUUCAUUUCCCCCAAAUCAAAAAAAAAUCUUUUUGUUAAAUAAACAAAAAAGUGGAGCCGUCGUCCGACGUCGUGUAUCGACAUUUAUUAUUGUGGUAAUAUUAUUGUUAUAACAAUUAUUUUUUAAAAUAUUUUUUAUUUAAAAAUACAUUGAAAUAAUAUUUUUUAAUUUUUUAAAAAUUAUUUUUGAUAUCAAUACAUUAAAAUAAUAAUAAAAAAACUUAAUUUAAAAAAAAAAAAUAAACUUAAUUUUUUAAAAAAUAUUUUUAAUAUAUAAAAACAAAGAGACAAUCUACCCGACAACCUUCAAAUCAUUAGGAAAGGCGGCAUCUUUAAUUUGUUACUUUUACGUAAAAAGUGUUAGUUUUUUCCUUCUCGAAAACAGAAAACCACCUUCGAUGUGCAACGCAACAUUUCAUGCCCCAAGUCAGCUAGCUGCUGUCAAAACCCUGAAAUAUUGGAAAUUAAAGUUUGCUGGUAGUAAUUUUUGGUUCUAUCUUUGGUGAACACCUUGGAUUCAAUUUGCCAAAUUCUCAGUUAUUCUUGAAUUAAUAUAAAUUUUGCAACUCAAGAUAAUUUUUUAUUUUUUUUUACAAAGACUUAUUUUUCAAGUUGAUACAAUGAAUGAAUUAAAGAGUUUUUCAAUUUUCCUUCUUUUGAAAAUGAUUUGUAAACAAGCUGAAUGUUUUUUUCUUCCUCUAUAUUUGUGGUUGGAUUGCUCGAAGUUCACUCACUAUUUUUAAAUUCAAUAAAAAAUGGUGUUUGAUUAUUAUUAUUUUAAAAUAAAAAAAUAAAAACAACAAAAACAGAGAAAAUGUAUGUACAUAUAAUUUAUGUUUUGGAUUUUAUAUAUUUCCUUUUAUUUUUUAGUUAAAUAUAUUUUUCUUUUUUUUACUAAACAAACACAACAUACAUGUAAAUAUAAAUUCAAAAUAUCUUUACUCUAAUAAAAAAAAUUAAUUUAGUAACAAUUGUUAUUAUAAGCCUACAAAUUGUCGCUUCGGUAGGCAUGCUUUUCUAUGUAUUUCUUUAUUAAUUAAUAAACUUCUAUACUUUUCUCUUAGAUGCACCAACAAUUUUUAUUAUUAAUAGCUUUAUAUUUACAACUAUAUAAACACACAAAUUGUCGUUUGUAACUGGUUUGAGACAAGAAUAAUAAAAUUUAAUUCUACAUUCCUAAUUAUGCUCUGCAAAUUACAAACAAUAAACAUUAAUAAAAUUAUAUGCCAAAAUUAUUUUUCUUUGUUAUUUCAAAUUGGCCCAACUUUCUCUUAAGAAUCAAAUUUUGAGAAAUAGUGGUGGAUUUUGUCCAAGAGGGUAUGUGAGUGUAGCUGAGGCAUUGUCAUCAACAGAUGUUGAAGAUAAUGUGUCUGGUGCGGAUGAAUUGCUGCCAGAAAUGAGGAAAGAAGAGGAGAAAGAGGAGCACUUUAGGAGGAGGAGGCUACAUGCUAACCCUGGAAUAGGGUCAAGGAAGCAUAGGGUCUUAAGGAGAAGGCAAGUGAAGAUUGAGGCGAAGCAUGGGAACUGACAACGAAAGAAUAUAAGGAGCUUUUGAAGGAUAUGUGUGAGCAUAGAGUUGGCUCCUAAUUUGCCCAUAUAUGAAGAAGUUUGUUCCUUGGUUGGUUUUGAGCCUUUUACAGACACAAUUGCGAAAAGAGCAGGAGUUGAUUAGAACGGGGAAGAGUAGGCAAGGUUAUGCUCCGUAUUUUGAUCUGUUGCCAGCUGACAAGAUGUCUGUUAUUGCAAUGCAUCAACUCGCAGAAAUGGUAAUGACAGGUGGGGAACAUGGAUGUGCAAGAGUUGUGACUGCUGCUUGUAUGAUUGGUGAUGCAAUUGAGCAGGAGGUAAGUAAUUUUUAAUGUUUUAUUUGCUUAUUUUUACUUGCGGUUUGAUUUGUAGACAGAGGAUAAUGAGUGCCCGUAUAAAAGUAUUGAAAGAUAAGGGAAAACAUAAAGUUUCUUAAAUUUACUUUUAGACAACCUUCAUCUGAGGUGAUGAACUAGGAAGAAAGAUGAAAGUUACUAUGUACACAGGGGCGGAGCUAGGAUUAUUUGUUAGGGGAGGCCAUAAUUAAUAUAAUAAAAUAUAAUAUUUAUUUUAAUUUAUUAUAUAUGAGUUGUAAAAAAAGCAUGUAUAAUUUAGUUUUAUUUAAAUAACUUACUACAAAUAUAUAAUGAUCUUUGUAUAAAGUAAAAGGUUCGUAACAAUAUCAAAUUGAGUUAAAAGCAACGAAGUUAAUUUCAUCUUCAUAAUAUGUUCAUCACUUUAAUGUUGUUAGUCUUUAUAUCUAACAAAUAUAAUUAUACAAAGUAUAUAAGAAACAUUACCUAAAGCGAAGUAUUAUUUAUGUUCGAUAAACUUUGAAAUAAAGCAAAAAAAUAAUAAAGAAUGAUUCUCACUAAUCAACACGGGUUCUUUGUAAAUUGAAGUGCAUUGGAGUUGCUCAACUAUAACUUUAACAUUACACACUGGAGUUGGUUCACUAGGUUGCAAGUUAUCAAUAUUUUUUUUCAAAAAAAAAAAUCAAAUUCUUUUUAUUUUAUUCAUGGUUCAACCUAAAAUCAAAACAUAUAUCGUGAGAAAAAAUUGAUAAUUUGGAUGGCUCUGCUAAAAACAAAACAUAAAAAAAUCCAAGUAUAAUCAAAACAAACCAAUAAAAAAUAUAUAAUUAAUUAGAAAAAAAAAGCAUUAUAACAAGAAUUCAAAAAACAAUUGGUAAAACUAACAAAUCUAAGAAAAAAAAUAAAGAGAAAAUGGUAGAAUUAUAUAUAAAAAAACACCUAUCAAAUUAUUAACAAACAUCUCAAAACAAAACAAAAUAGAUUUUAAAAUUAAGUUACCUUGUUUUAUUUGAUGAAAAAUAAAUUAAUUGAUGGCUCUGCUUCAAUAUUUUCAUUGAAAAUUUUUACUUGUGAUUUAUAUUUAUAUUUUUGUUUUUGACCUGCUGCAAAAUUUAUUGUGCAAAGUAAUGAUUUUAUAUUUACUGUAUUUAUAUUAGAGCUGCGCAAAUUAAUUCAAAAAAAAUCAAGUUGAAAAAUCACACUUAAUUACGGUAAGAAAACUCACAUUUGUAGAAUAAAAAACCUCCUCCACACUUUAUAUAUAUAAUAUAUAUAUAUAUAACCUAGUAUGGUUUUGGAAAGACAACGUCUUGGUUUUGUUUUAUCUCACGUCUUACAUUUUGUACAUAAUGCUCAUAUGGCACUAAGUCAGGAGAUGCAUUAGUAUUAUCAACAGGGGCGAAGAUGCAUUAUAUAUGCAAGCAUGGAUGGAAGUAGAGGGGGGGCCCGGGCCCCUGCUUGCCCCCCCUUCCCUCCGCCCCUGUAUGUACAAUUAUGAGAUAAAAAUCAGCUAUGGAGCUAGUAGUGCCUGGAAAAUUAGAUUUUGAAGUUACGUUCCGUAAAGUUUUGUCGAAUGUUGAAUGGGGUUUUUCUGGAUAUCUUUUUUAUAUAUCUAUAGUUUUUACUUUCAGUCCAAGUUCUUCUGCUGUUCAUGGUUCCAGGGAGGACACUAAAUGUAGGUACGAAAAACAAUGCAGUGUAAGAUCCUUUAGAUAGUAAGUUUUUACAAUUUUUUAUUAUGUGUUAAACUUUUCAUAUCACGGGCCUUAUUAAGCUGAAUAUUCUAUUAAGCCUUUCUUUUUUGAGCUACAAUUUCUUCAAAGCAUGGGCAUGGUGGACUCAGCUGUGAGGAAGAUUGUGAAGGGGAAGGAUGAUUCAAAACCAUGGAAUGCAGAUGCUAGGGUUAAGGUUUGUGUGCUUAUAAUCAUUGAUAAAGGCUAAUUUUCUUGAACAGAUGUAUCAUGUAAGAAAUUGAUUUCUGUCCUUGCACUUUGCAGGUUGGAAGCCGUCUAAUUGAAUUGCUGUUACAAACAGCUUAUAUACAGCCUCCCUGUGAUCAGUUAGCUGAUAGUCCAUCUGAACCUCGACCUGGAUUUGUACAUACAUUCAGAACUGUGUCAAACGAAAAUAAGUAUGGAGUCAUUCUUUAAUUUAUCUUUUCUUCCUUGUAAUUGCUCCUAACUGAUGCACAAUGGCCUUUUCUUAAACAGGGAGGGCGCAAAAAAAUAUGGUGUUAUUCAAUGUGACCCAUUAGUCCUCAAAGGCCUAGAGAAAACUGUGAGUAACCCUAUCAUAUCUAGUUUUCAUAUUUUAUCAUCCUUUAUGACAUGAACUUGUGUCGGGUGCCAUAUACUUUCAAAGCAGAUAGGUUAGUUUCUAGAUUUUAGAGCUGAAACAGAUAAGAUUUGCAGGCAAUUUCCAUAGUGCCUCUUAAGCUGCAGAUGUUUUUCUUUCAUUCUUUUUUCUUGCACAAGCAGCAACGUGAAGCAGUUAAGAGGGCACCUAGGAAGCAGCUACAAGCAGUUUUUGAGGUCUGUACAUAUUAGAUGCAUUGCAUGGUUACUGAUGCAUAUUGUAUUGUUUAGACUAAAUCAUAUUUUGGUACUAAGAUGUGAUGUUCUUUGAACAAAAUCUCAUACUGAUAAUUUUGUAUACCUUCACAUGUGUAGAUUUUACCAGCUUAGCUUCUGGUUUAACAAGGAUUCUCUUUUGUUUGAAUUAAUUUUCCAGGCCCUGGAUACACUAGGGAAUACCAAAUGGAGUGUAAAUAAGAGGGUACUUAGUGUUGUUGAUAGAAUAUGGAGUAAUGGAGGCUGUCUUGCUGAUUUGGUAAACCACAGUGAUGUGAGUAUCUUUUCUAACUUUCCUCAAUGUAACUCGUGCUUUUUUUUGUAGAAACUCCUUUACCUUUAUGUUCCAAGAAUUGAUCAUGAUUACUAUAGCAAUUAAAAAACCUUUCUUGUUUAAUUUCUUCAUUCUGGUUUCCUUUACCUGAGAGGCCAGAAACAGAGUUUCUUAAUUUUCCUUCUUUUGGAAAUGAUUUGUAAAAAAACUGUGUUUGGAUUGCUCCAAGUUCACUUAUUUUUUUAAAAUUCAAUAAAAAAAGACAGAAAAUAUAUCACAAUAUAAUUUAUGUUUUGAAUUCUAUAAUUUUCUUUUUAUCUUUUUUAUAUUUAAAAUACUAAACAAACACAACAUACAUGUAAAGAGAAGCCAUCGCCGGACGUCGUGCAUGGACAACCAUUAAGAGUGAAAACUUUAAGCGAUUCCAUUUCAAGGUUGCUUGGGAGAAUCCUAAUACUUUCGCAAUUCACAAGAUUCACAUAUUGAAGAUUCUUCUGACUUCCAAGUGAUGGAUGGACCUCAAACAAACUUGUACAACCUUCAAGAAUCAGACUCUCGAGAUUUGAAAUUCCAGUAAGAUCUAGAGUACUGGACAGUUUAGUGAGUUGCUGAGAUUGAUGAUUUUCAAAUUAACUGCACUCUGCAAUCAGGCAGGAGAGAAGAAAUGUGGAUGCUACUAUCAUACAUACAUAGAAAAACAAUAAAAAGAAAUACAAAGGCCCUUAAAUUAAUUGAUCUCACCUUAUACUCAUACCAUAAUUGAUCAAUACUACUAUUAGCCAUGUGAAGUUCAACUAGCUCAUCCACCUAUAAACUAGCUGGCAACGAUUUUGAAGGGUAAGAAUGCCAUGCAAGAAAUCACAACUUAUUGGAAAGAUCUUCAGGUCCUUUAGAAAGCUGCACGUUGUCGACUUUGAGCAAUCUUAGUCUGCUCAUUUUAGAGAAGGCUUCCAUGUUCCAUUGUGACUCUUUUAUUCCAGGCAUGUCUAAGAAAAUGGCUUCUAUUUUUUCUUUUCUCUGUCAACCAAAAGGGGAAUAUAUGUAAAAAAAUCAAAUACAAAGUAGAGAUGGAGCAUUAUGAAAUAAACAUUAUGAAAUCUUAUGGAUAAUGUUCUCUAUCAGCUACCCAUUAAAAAUACUAUUAUUUAUAUUAUAAAUAUUAUUACCCCAAACCAAAACCAUGUGCAAAAACAAGGACCACUACUAGCAUGAUUAAAAUCCUUGCUAUGUUUUUUCCCUCGUGUUCGCUGCUUUGAUGAACAUGCAAACAAGAAGGAAGAUCACAUGAUGUCUUGCAAUCACUGCUCACUGUACUUUGAUGGUAAUUAACAAGGGAAAAAAAUCAAGAGCUGAUAAGAAAUUAGAUCCAUGGAAAACUGACGAAGAUCUUCAAGCUAAAGCAAGUUAGAUUCCUAACCAAAACUCAUACUGCUGCUCCAGCUGCUCAAGCCGCUGCUCCCCAAGCCGCUGCUAAUCAAGCCGAUGCUCCCGCGCCAGCGGAUGCUGAUCAAGCCGCUUCUCCAGCGCCAGCCGCUGCCCCCGCACCAGCCGCUGCUCUCUCGCCGCUGCCUCUCCCGCUCCCGCUGCGGCCCAGCUCCCGCAGCCUCCGCCACUCCCGCAGCCGCUGCUUCCGCAGCUGCUCGCAAUUCUGGAUCCAAUGGAUCCGCUCCUCGAGCAGCUGGAGCCAUCCCUGCCGCCGCUCCUCGAGCAGCUGGAGCCAUCCCUGCCGCCGCUCCUCGAGCAGCUGGAGAUGCUGGAUUCGCUGCUGCUGCUGGUGGAGCUGGAGCUGGUGGUGCUCGAUCUGCCGCUGGAUACACUCGAUCUGCCGCUGCUGCGUUGCUGGAGCUCCUAUGCCGCUAAGAGUGAGAAGGAGAAGUCAGAAGUGCUCUGUGUGUGUGUAUAUAUGGCUUGGCAUAAUGGGAAUUUUUUCAAACUUUCAAAUUAUUAAUGCAUUUUGGGAAGGAGUGAACAGUAUCCCUCCAGACCCAAAUGAAUAAAAGAAAUUUAUAUCUUUCGGUUCAAGUAAAAUUGUCAUAAAAAAUAGAUUAGAUAAAAAUCACGUGAAAAUUAAACAUUCUUUUUCCCAUUAAACUAUACAUGGAAUUAAUUAUUGUUAUUUUAAAAUUCAAAUAGUAUAAAGUUUAAAUUUUUCAAUUAUGAAAUGAAUAAUUUACUAUAUAAUUUAAAACUCAUGUAAGUAUUUAACAAUUCAUGACUUUCAAAAAUAUAUUUCCUAAUGGUCAUAAAAAUAAAUAGAUUAGAUUUGUUAACAUUAAGUUCUGAAAGCAACACUAAAUAGAUUAGAUUUGUUUCGUUUAUUACCUUUUCAAUGAUCUCGUUCCAGAUGAUAUCUCAACUGCACUCAGAAUAUUCAUCCAUCUUUGUACCUUCUCCUUGUUUUCCCUGAAAUUAUCUUCAUUCUUAUCAAAGACAAUUGUGUAACUCUCUGUUUGAUCAUCUAUCUUUGAUUCUUCGACAUCAUAAGAAACUGGAAACACAGUGUCCGAUCUCAUCUCAUCCAUGAAUCCGACAAUCUUGACAAGCUCUUCAAAGCACCAAGGUAAAGAAGCACAAUCUCUUGAAAAUAUAAUAAUUGACAGCACUGAUUCUUCAAUGGCCUCAAAGAGUCUUGAUCUAAUUGCCAUUACUUUCUCUGGUUCCUUCUCGACUCGCAUAAUGAAUCUCGGGGCUAGAUCUGCGACUUUGGUGAUAGGGAAGACAUUGGCCAUCCAUUGAUGGUACGACGAAGAAAAAGCUAAAGAAGCUUUAUAUGAAGAAGCUGCUUCUUCGCUUGUAACGAUAAAAUGGGCAGAUGAUUGUGAUGUAAUAUAUAGAGAAGAUAACAAACAGACACCACAAUUCUUCACCUUUACUUGUUCCUUGCAAGAAUGAAAUGACAACUCAAUGUUGCUAAAGGAUCCAUGCUUCCAUUCUUUAAGCUCUUUAAGGUAAUCAAAAGAUAGAUAGAAUAACCAAAGAUGAUCUGACAGAAGUUGGAUAGAGUUACAACUAAUACACAUCGGCAAAGGAUAAUUUUCUCUCCCAUUGGCUUUGAAAUGACAAGAAAGAGAAGGACUUUCACCAUUUGCAUUGAAUGCAACACAAGCAGCAAACCCCAUGCUCCAACUAGGCACUUGCACACUAAUUGAAGAUCCCUUACUUUGAUGGUUAAACCAGCCUGGAAUUUCAUUUCCAGGAACAGCAAUACCAAAUCCAGUUCUUGGAUUAGACAAACCCUGUACCAUAAAGAACCAAAAUGUUAGAUAGAUAGAGGCAGAGGGAGAGAGAGAAAAAAAAAGUUGGGGUAUGAUUAAGAGAAGACCUCGAGGUAUCUUUCAAGCAUGGUCACCCCCAUGCUGUCUUGGCCAUUAUGAUUGUACAAUUCCCAGCAGUUAAGACAUAUGAACUCUAAUCUUUUGGAACUACUUAGCUUUAUCGGAUCUGGAAUUGUUUUUAGGCUUAUACAACCAUUCAGAUUUACUGUUUGAACUUUAGAUGGAACCUCAAGCAAAGAUUCAAGCAUCGUGCAAUCCUCUAGGACAAGCAUUUCCAGCUCAAAAAGUUGAUUUAUGCUUUGAGGCAGGCUAACAAAGUUAUUUUGGCUCAGAUCUAAAGACUUCAAUGAAGAUAAGAAGCCAAUAUCUACAGGAAGUGCCCCUUCUCUUAGAUUGCAAGCGCAUAAACUUAGUACUUCUAAAUAACUCAGACCAGGCAAAGAAGGCAGCACAUCUAUUCUUUUGCAUCCAUCCAAAGAUAAUACUUUAUGUUUCUUUAAAAGAAAAACGGAUGCUGGCAGUUGUCUUAUUGAAGUUCCACUUACAUCAAACUCCUCCAAACUUUCAACUUUCCCCAAAUUCUCUGGUAUAUAUUUAAGUUCAGAGCAGCCAGACAGAUCAAGUUUUUUAAGGGAUUUCAAACAACCUAUGCUACUGGGAAUGCUUACAAGGUUCUUGCAGCUGUUCAUGCUCAAUAGACCUAAGCCAAUCAAAUAAUGAAUUGAUGAAGAUAGUUUUGUAAUACCAGUCUCAUCCAAACGUAGCACCAUCAAAUAGUUCAUGUUUCCUACUAUAUCUGGAAACUUUUCAAGUUUUGAGCAGCCAUCAAGAGUGAAAACUUUAAGUGAUUCCAUUUCUAGAUUGUUUGGGAGAAUCCUAAUACUUUUGCAAUUCACAAGAUUCACAUAUUGAAGCUUCUUGUGAUGUGAAAGUGAUGGAUGGACGUCAGACAAACUUCUACAACCUUCAAGAAUUAGACUCUCGAGAUUCGGAAUUCCAGUAAGAUCUGGAGUCCUGGACAGUUUUAGUGAGUUGCUGAGAUUGAUGAUUUUCAAAUUAACUGCACUCUGCAAUCAGGCAGGGGAGAAGACAUAUGGAUACUUCUAUCAUAUAUAAAUAGGAAAACGAUAAAAAAAAAUAAAAAAAUAUAAAGGCCCUUAAAUUAGUUGAUCUCACCUUACACCCAUACCAUAAUUGAUCAAGAGUACCGUUAGCCAUGUGAAGUUCAACUAGCUCAUCUACCUGUAAACCAGCAGGCAAUGAUUUUGAAGGGUAAGGAUGCCAUUCAAGAAAUCACAACUUAUUGGAAAGAUCUUCAGGUCCUUCAGAAAGCUGCACGUUGUCGAUUUUGAGCAAUCUUAGUCUGCUCAUUUUAGAGAAGGCUUUCAUGUUCCAUUGUGCCUCUUUUAUUCCAGGCAUGUCCAAGAAAAUGGCUUCUGUUCUUUCAGUUCCCUGUCAACCAAAAAGGAAUACAAGUAAAAAAACAAAUACAAAGUAGAGAUAGAGCGUAAAUUAAAAUAAACUUUAUGAAAUCUUAUGGAUAAUGUUCUAUAUCAGCUACUCACUGUGUUGUCCAUCAGUGCAAGGCAGACAUCCUCGUAUGUCCACAAUCUACUGCGCCUUCCAGGCUCUUCAGGGGAUUCACAACGAACAAUUUCCUUACCCAUUAUCUGUAAUAAAUUAUGCAUCCAGACUUGAUCCCCAUAGAUACUUAUGAGAGAUCUCUCAAUAAGUACUGGUAUUCCAAUACCUGCAUGGAAUCCACGGCCGUCAAGUAUCCUUAUUAUUCGAUCUUUUUUAAACCCCUUCAGGAAACAUGCAAUGUCUAAAAAUAUUUUCUUCUCUAAUUCAUGGAGGCCAUUGAAACUAACGCGAAGCACAUCAAUAAUUUCACGGUUAGGAAUCUCAUUUAGUCUAUUAAUCGCACUUUCCCAUUCAAGGAUACUUCUUCCAUGCAUGAAUGAACCUAUAACUUCAAGAGCCAGUGGAAGGCCAUUAGCAUAACCCACGACUUGCUUGGAUAGUUCCAUGAAAUCUUCAGCAGGUUGGUCAUUUAUGAAAGCUUUCUGGCUAAACAACAUAAGAGCAUCAUCAUCAUUCAAUUUCUCAGCCUCAUAAAUUCUAGCAACACCAUUUCUAGUCAACACUUGUCUAUCUCUGCUUGUUAUGAUAAUUAUGCUCCCUAGACCAAACCAUUUACUCUCCGCAGCCAGGGAUUCUAGUUGUUUAUGGUCAUCUACAUCAUCAAUAACAACAAGAAUCUUUUUACGUUGUAACCUCCGCUUUAUCAUUUCAAUUCCUCUAGAAGAAUCACAUAUAUUAGCACGUUCCAUUAAGAUUUCAGAAAGAAGUUGCUCCUGCAAACGGAGUCGUCCAUCUUUCUCAGCAAAAGCUUCUCUGACAUUUGCUAAGAAGCAGCUACCUUCAAAUUGCCAACGAAUCCUAUCAUAUACUACCCUUGCAACAGUCGUCUUACCUAUGCCACCCAUUCCACAAAUCCCUAUGAAGAUUGCUUCGCCAGUUUCUUCACCUAUAUAACCAUCUAAUACCUCUACACGAGAAUCCAUUCCAACCAAUUUUUUGCUAAUUGUUGAUAGAGUGAUUCUUAGUUUGUACGAUAUGUAUUCAGCAAUUAUUUGAAUUAAUUCUGAUUCAUUCCUGCAUAGGAGGGUGCAAAAUAUUAAUCAUCCAGUGUGCAGAAAUCAAAUCAGAUAGUGAUAAUGGGAAAAUAAACAUUAGCAUAUUGUAGCUCGAAAAUGUAUUGUUGUUAGCAAGAAAUUAAUACACCAAUGUUUGAGAAAGAUAGGGCCCUGAUAAUAGAUAGCUUCAAGAACAUAGAAGAAAAGGAAAGAAUAAACUGAAAAAGGAACUAGGAUUGUAUUGAUGCGAAGAAUGAUUCGUACAAUAGCUAUCUUAUUGCCUAUAGAAUCACACAGUUACUAAAUAAGCAUGCAUACAAGAACAAAAGCUAGGAAAUAAAAUAUCCAUUAAGUUUGGUUUUAACAGACCAAAAGUCAAAAGGAAUUCUAUCAUAUUUUUUGUCGACCACUAAGUUAUUUUUAUAAUUAUUUUUAACAAAAAUUUCAAUUAUCUUGCAUAAUUAUAUGCUUCUCAAGUGGUUGCGCAAAUUCAAUCCACGCACCUUGAGAUGCACUGAUAUCACAUAUGCUUCUCACAACUCAAAUUUUCACAACCCAUUUCUUCGUCUUUCUUCUCUAUUUAAUAUUUUAUUUGGUCUUUCAAUUUGUAUACAAUCUUAAUAUUAAUUUCAAUAUAAUGAUCAUUUCAUUAAUAUAAACUUAUUUUUAUUUAAGUUGGGCAAAAACAUAAAAAUAUUUUAGGCAAAAAUUAACUCGUUUUUAGCGAUUGCAUUUGAAAUAAAUAUUAACUUUAAUUCAUAUAUUUUUUGUGUGCAAAAGAAUAGAUGAAAUGAUCGUCAUAUUGGAACUAAAGUUAACUAAAUAUAAAAAUUGAGGGACCAAACCAACAAAAUAAAAAAGAAAUGAAGAUUUUUUUGACAUGUGAAGACCUGCAUGUGUCAAGUUGCGUAAGUUGAGACCUAUGCUAGUUUGAAAAAGUUUUUUCCCACCUAUUAGUAUUUUGAGAAAUAAUUUUUUUCAUGGGAAAAAAUUAAUAUAGCUUGUAUGUCAUACCUUAAAAACUGAACCAUAGAUGAUAAACUAUUAAAAUUACUAAUGAUAAGUUGCCACUUGUUGAAAACUUCACUUUAAUGUGUAGUUCUUUAACUAGAUUUUUGGCCUCAAGGGUUGGAUUAUAUUUUUUUAACCUUUUAAAAAUAUAAAUAUUUGAAAGUAAAAAAAUUCAACACAUGCUAGAAAAAACACUUUUAAAAUAUUAAGAUAAUAAUAUAUUGGAUGAUAUAUUUAUUUAAAAAUAUAAUUGUGACGACAACACACUAGAUCGACCUAGAGUAACUUUGGUUAACUUGGAAACUCGCGAUCCGAAACACAAAUCCAUGAAAACUACGUGGAACCAUAUCAAAAUAAAAUUGCGCCCGAUUUCAAUCAACCAAAUAUUUAAAUCUAAACAUAAAAACAUUAUUCAAUUAAAAAAGGAUUUUAAAAAAAAUAGCAGCUAAAUUUAACAAAGAAUGAGAAUAAAAGACUUAAGAUAACCCUGAUUAUUUUUAAAUUUAUUUAAAAUCUUAUAGAAGCAAAUAAAAAAAAUUAAUAGAGCUUAGUCUUUAAUUAAAUUAAAUAUUGAAUAAUGAAACUGGAAAAAAAAUGAGUUUUUUUUUUUAAAAAAAAAAAAAAACAAAGCUAGACAAAUCUCCUAAAUCUAGGUUAGUGUCUCAAAUUCUCAAUCCGUUAAAUCCUAAAUCCAGACUCAACCAAAAACUUAAUUCAAUGUUAAAGUAUGAAAUCAGAAAUAAUAUAUAUAUGCCAAAUAAAUAAUAAUAAAAAGAAUGAGAAUCAAAUCUAAUAGAUUAAAAAAUUUAAAAGUAUAAAAUUAACAACAAAUUUCAAUUCUAAAAAAUAAUUCAAAUAAAAAAAUAUCAAUUGAAAGAAAAUAAACCAAAUAUAUAGAAAGAAAAACUAGAUUUAAAGGUUACUAUACAAGUUUAGAAGGUCAGGUACGGAAUUCAAGUAUAAAGACAAAAGAAAAGAAAAGAAAGUUAUUUGGUGCCAAACCAUAAAGAAUUACUCCACACAUGCAACACAAAGAGGUAGGUCAUGUUAUGGUGAAUCAAAAAACAUCAAUGAAGGGCUUUUCAUGGGUGUCAUAAGCCAUUGCUCAUGCUGCUUAAAUAAGUAGUUUAUUGUUUUUAGAAGAAAAAUUAGUAAAUUCAUUGUUACAAUCCAUUAGUAAAAGAAAGACUGAUUAGUACUUAAAAGUGCAUGUUUAUCAAGGGUUUAUAUCAUCAUUUUGCACUUAAAGUAUCAAUAACUCCUUAACUAAAGCAUGUUUUAUAAUAACAAGUCUAAUAUUAUAAAUUACCCUAAUAUAUGGUAAAUGUUCAUCUUAAAUGCAGGCAUAUCACAUAAAUCAAAGGAUUGAUUGAUGAAUUCAACUACUGAAAUUUUGAAGAUAAAGAAGGGUGAAGCUUAGAAAAGAGAUGUUGGUGCAGUCCAAACUGGAACACUGUUCGGUAAUUGGGUCAUAUCUCGAGUUCUAGAUAUCCAAAUGAUCUGAAAUUUUUACAGAGAUUUGAUAAGACAUAGGCCUACAACUUUCAUUUGGACAUCAAGAUCUAAGAAGGCCGUUUUCAAGUCCAAAUAAUAGCAACAACGGAGAAGUCCGAAGCUGUCCUGCAGCCCAAACACUAUUCAGUGUUCAGCCCAUAUCUUGAGUUCUAGAAGUCCAAAUGACCUCAUCUUUUUUUUUUUCUGGAAAGCUAAGAGAAUUUCGCAGAACUUUCAUUUGGACAUCUGGACCCAGUUCUGAUGCUAGCAUUUUUGUUUUAUUUAGACAAGAUGAUAAGGAUUUUCACUAAGUCAAAAGUUGGCCACCCACUCAACAAUGAGUCAUCAAAGCAAUAAUUCCGAAUUUUGGCCUAUAAAAGGAGGCAUUUGCCAUGUAUUUAGGGGCUUGGUUGUUCAGAUCAAGUUCAUGCUCUUUAUUUCUCUCUUUAUAUUUUUUGUAAUUCUUAAGUUUGCUUUCAUUAAUUUCUUGUUUAUGCUUUUCAUUUCCUUUCCUUUCCUUAGUUAACUUGUAUUUUAUUUAUGUUCUUGUUUUGUUUAUUUAUGUUUCUCUUCUUCUUUAUGUUUGGCUAAGUUUAUUAUGUCAAGGUGAAAAGGUUACACUAAUGGUGUAAGAACAAGUAUGGUGUAAACUCAAUAUGGACCUUAAUGUUUAAUAUUAACAUGUCUUAUCUUUUUAUCUUACUAAUUCUUAAUACCUUGCUUGUUAAAUGGUUAAUCUAAAUUUGUGUUGUAUAAUACUUGGUACAACAAAUGCUUGGCACUCUCAUAACCCAACCGUAUGGUAUUACCUACACCUGGGGCUAUGAAAGGUACUUGAUUUGUUGUUAACAUCAAUUAACAUCAUGAAUUCGUGAUAAUAUUUAAAAGUUUGGUGUUAUGUAAAUGAGAUAAUUAAUAUGAUCAUGUUGAUAAUUUAUAAUGAGCUAUUAAUGACAAAUCAUCCGAAUGGAACCUCCUUCGUGUGUGGUUUCCAAAUUGAGUAAUAAGAGUUUAUACUAUACUUGUUUGAAAUACCAUUGGUGGAUCCUCUAACCUUGACAUUUAUUUUUAUCAUUGUUUAAUCCUUACAUUAAUCUUCCAUCUCAAAGUUCUCAUUAAUUUCUUCCUCCUCUUCUUUUUAUUGUUAUUAUUAUUACUACUAAUAUUAUUAUUAUUAUUAUUAUUAUUAUUAUUAUUAUUUACAUUUUUGUUAUAUUUUAUGUAUGUUAAGUAUGCUCUGUGUUUGAUCAAGGAUCCUGACAUUGUUGGUCUUGCCUUGUUCAUUCACAUCAGAAAUCUGUUUAUAUUAUAUAAUAUAUCUCUUUGAUCUUUCCAUAAACUCAGUAUAUAGGCUGGAAACCUGUGACCCGAUCUUUUAGAUCAUUCUCAGGUAUAACAACGCCACGUACUGAGUAUUAUUAUUAUUAUUAUUAUUAUUAUUACUAUUAAUAUUAUUAUUACUGUUAUUGUUAUUAUUAUUGUUGUUAUUUAUAAUUUAUACAAUUAACCUCUCUGUGGUUCGACCCCGGUCUUGCCGGGUUAUUUAUUACUUCGACACUCCUGCACUUGGGAGAAGACAUCAAUCUUUUGGUCGUGUCAAGUUUUUGGCACCGUUGCCGGGGAGGUAAUUUCUUGUACAAAUCAUAGUAUUUAUUUUGUUUUCUCUUUUCACUUUUCUUGUAUCUAACUUUGUUUUUCUUUUUUUUUUUUGUUUCUUUUUCUUUUGUUUUCUUCUUCUUCUUUUUUAUUCUCUUCUACACGUGCAUGAGUGUUUGGUCACGUACAUUAAGUGGUAGACUUUCUAGGGUAUCCUCAUCAUUUUCAGAAAAUAUGGCCGAAGAAGAUAACAAUCACUUCAUAAUGAGAAUAAUGAGAAUAAUAUGAGAACCGUGUUAGGACACUUAGAGACCACAUGAAUCCCACAAGAACAAGUGCACCCUCAUGCAUAGUUUUCCCUCCUGAUGCAUCUCAUUUUAAUUUUAAGCCAGGCAUUAUUCAACUUUUACCUUCUUUUCAUGGCUUAGAUCUAGAAAAUCCAUACUUGCAUUUGAGAGAAUUUGAAGAGUUUGUAACACCUAUAAUGACUUAAAUUGUAGCAUGAACACCAUUCGAUUAAAGCUUUUUCCUUUUUCAUUAAAAGAUAAAGCUAAAACAUGGCUACAAAAUCUUAGGUCAGGAUCCAUUCGUGCUUGGGAUGAAAUGCAACAACAAUUUUUAAAGAAGUUUUUUCCAUCUCAUAGAACAACUCUUUCAAAAGACAAAUCACCUUUCACUCAAAAACCAGGAGAAACAUUUUACCAAUGUUGGGAUAGGUAUCGAGACUUGCUUAAUACUUGCCCUCAUCAUGGUUUUGAAACAUGGAGAUUGGUUUCACAAUUUUAUGAAGGAUUAACACCUAAGAUAGGCAAAUGGUUGAAUUGAUGUGCAAUGGAACUUUUGAAGAUAAAGACCCUAAUGAAGCAAUGGAGUACUAGACUUGCUAGCUGAAAAUGCUCAAAAUUGGGACACUAAGGGCACUUAUGAGGCACCAAGUAAAACCAACCUCAUACAUCUAGUGGAGGUAUGUAUAACCUUAGGGAAGAUCAUGACCUCCAAGCCAAGUUUACAUCUUUAGCUAGAAAAGUCGAGGCACUAGAAUUGAAAAAGAGUGGUCAAUUAAAAUCUGUUCAAGACAUUGUGUGUCAAAUCUGUGAAACAAAUGAACAUGCAACCAAUGAUGUCCAACUUUGCCUUCUUUCAAGGAAUGCUCCAUGAACAAGCCCAUGCUUUAAACAGUUUCCAAAGGCCCAAUCAUAACCCAUACUCGCAAACAUACAAUCCUGGUUGGAGAAAUCACCCAAAUUUCAGUUGGAAGAGUGAUAACAAUAAUGCACAAACUUCACAGCCACCGUUUCAAGCACACCAUAAUUUCCAAAAUUCUCAUGGAUAUGCACCUCCUUAUGCUCCACCUCCUAGAAGAAAUCUUGAGGAAACAUUGCAUGCAUUCAUUGAAAAGCAAGAGACAAUCAACACUCAACUUACUCAAAGCAUGACAAAUUUUAAAGAUGCUCUUGCAAAAUUCACAUCUGCUCUCAGUUUUCAAGAGAAAGGUAAGUUUCCAUCUCAACCACAGCAAAAUCCAAAGGGGCAAUACAAUGCAAAUGCAAGUAGUUCUGAAGCCAACACAUGGAUCAAGUCAAAUCAGUCAUCACUCUUCGAGUGGUAAGGUUAUUGAAAAACCCACUCUUGAACCUUGUGAGAAAGAUGAUGAGUCAAUCUCUGAGGGUAAGGAAGGGGUUGAAUGAACAUUGUGAAGAAAAGACUGAUUCUCCGCCAGCACUUCCAUUUCCUCAUGCCAUGACCAAACAAAGGAAAGUCAAUCACAAUUGAAAUCUUUGAAAUUUUCAAACAGGUAAGGAUCAAUAUACCUUUGUUGGAUGCUAUUAAACAGGUACCUUCCUAUGCUAAAUUUUUGAAAGAUCUAUGCACUGUGAAGAGAAAACUGAAUGUGAAAAAGAAAGCCUUUUUAGCCGAACAAGUAAGUGCCAUUCUUCAGAAAUAAUGCUUUGAAAUAUAAAGACCCUGGUUGUCCUACAAUUUCUUGCUUUAUUGGAGAACAUAAAAUUGAAAGAGCUUUACUUGAUCUUGGAGCUAGUGUGAAUUUACUUCCAUAUUCGGUUUUUCAAAGUCUCAAUCUAGGUGAGUUAAAACCAACUUCUGUAACUCUUUUACUUGCUGAUAGAUCUGUAAAAGUGCCUAGAGGAAUAGUUGAGGAUGUGUUAGUACAAGUUGAUAAAUUCAUUUACCCUGUAGAUUUUAUUGUCUUGGAUACACAACCUGUUGAAGCAUGUAAUUCAAUUCCUGUUAUUUUAGGACGUCCAUUUCUUGCAACUUCUAAUGCAUUGAUUAAUUGUAGGAAUGGACUGAUGAAACUAUCAUUUGGAAACAUGACAUUGGAGAUGAAUAUUUUCAACAUUUGCAAGCAACCUGGAGAUGAUAAUGAUUUACAGGAAGUGGACUUUAUUGAAAAAUUAGUUCAUGAUCAAUUUCAAACCACUUCUAGUGAAACUAGAUUGAUGAACUGACGAUUUGCAAAUGGUUUAUUUUCAGGAAGAAGCAAAGGCAUGUAAUUGGAGACCACAAAUUGAAGAAUUGCCAUCACGAUCAAUUGAGUCUAUACCUUCAAGUGUUCAACCACCAAAACUGAUUUGAAGCCGUUACCAGUCAAUCUCAAAUACUCAUUUUUGGGAGAAAAUGAAACUUUUCCGGUAAUAAUCUCUUCCAAACUUAAUGCACAUCAAGAAGGUAAGUUAUUACAGACUCUGAAAAUGCACAAAAAUGCAUUAGGAUGGACCAUAGCUGACAUAAAAGGAAUUAGUCCUUUGAUUUGCACACACAGGAUUUAUUUGGAGGAAAAUGCUAAACCAUCUAGAGAAAUGCAACGAAGACUUAAUCCUAAUAUGAAAGAAGUAGUGAAAAAUGAAGUCAUUAAGCUUCUAGAUAAUGGAAUCAUUUAUCCUAUUUCUGACAGCAAAUGGGUAAGUCCUACCCAAGUUGUACCCAAAAAGUCUGGAGUCACUGUGAUAACAAAUGAGAAAAAUGAGUUAAUUCCAACUCGGACUAUUACUGGUUGGCGCAUGUGCAUUGACUAUAGGAAACUUAAUUUAAUGACUAGAAAAGAUCAUUUACCUUUCAUGGAUCAAAUCCUAGAAAGAGUUGCAGGUCAUGAAUUUUAUUGUUUCCUAGAUGGCUAUUCAGGUUACAAUCAAAUUGAAAUUGCAUUGGAAGAUCAAGAGAAGACUACUUUCACUGUCCAUUUGGUACUUUUGCAUAUCGAAGAAUGCCUUUUGGAUUAUGUAAUGCACCAGCCACGUUUCAAAGAUGCAUGCUUAGCAUAUUCAGUGAUAUGGUUGAACGUUUUCUUGAGAUUUUUAUGGAUGAUUUUUCUGUUUUUGGUGAUUCAUUUGAUGAUUGUUUAACUAACUUGGAAAAGGUUUUGAACAGGUGUGAAGAGAAGAAUCUUGUACUGAAUUGGGAAAAAUGUCACUUUAUGGUAACAAACGGCAUUGUACUUGGUCACAUUGUUUCAUCGAAGGAAUUGAGGUUGACAAAUCUAAAAUCGAGUUAAUUGCCAACUUACCAACACCAAAAUCUGUUAAAGAUGUUAGAUCAUUCUUAGGACAUGCUGGUUUUUACAGAAGGUUCAUCAAAGAUUUUAGUGUAAUAUCUAAACCAUUGUGUAACCUUCUAUCAAAGGAAAUGUUUUUGAAUGGACUGAACAUGUGAAAAAGCCUUUGUUAAACUUAAAAACUUGCUUACUUCUGCUCCUGUCAUUCAACCUCCUGAUUGGUCAUUACCUUUUGAAAUAAUGUGUGACGCUAGUGAUUAUGCCGUGGGUGCUGUCUUGGGACAAAGAAAAGAUAAGAAACCUUAUGUGAUUUACUAUGCAAGUAAAACUUUAAAUAGUGCUCAAAUGAAUUACACUACCACUGAAAAAGAAUUACUUGCAGUAGUAUUUGCAUGUGACAAGUUCAGAUCUUAUCUUGUUGGCUCACCUGUUGUUGUUUUUAGUGAUCAUGCAGCAUUGAAAUAUCUUCUCUCUAAGAAAGAUUCUAAGGCUAGAUUGGUGCGGUGGAUUUUGUUACUUCAAGAAUUUGAUAUCACAAUCAAAGACAAGAAAGGCACCGAAAAUGUUGUCGCGGAUCAUUUGUCAAGAUUGACAACCGAUUCGAGAUCUGACAUCACACCAAUCGAUGACUACUUUCCUGAUGAAUCUUUAUUUUCUGUCUCUACGAUGCCUUGGUUUGCUAAUAUUGUUAAUUUUCUUGUUUCAGGACAAUUGCCAGCUCAUUGGAGUACCCAAGACAAAAGAAAGUUCUUGAACGAAGUGAAGAACUUUUAUUGGGAUGACCCUUAUUUAUUCAAAUAUUGUCCUGAUCAAAUAUUUCGAAGAUGCAUUCCUGACAAUGAGGUAAGUAGUGUCAUUAAAUUUUGUCAUUCUGAGGCAUGUGGGGGUCAUUUCUCAUCAAGAAAGACAACUGCAAAAAUCUUACAAAGUGGAUUUUACUGGCCCACCAUGUUCAAAGACUCACAUGCAUUCUGCAAGACUUGUGAAAAUUGUCAAAAGUUGGGAUCUAUUUCAAAACGUCACAUGAUGCCUUUAAAUCCUAUUCUUGUCAUUGAGAUCUUUGACUGUUGGGGUAUAGAUUUUAUGGGUCCAUUUCCUCCAUCAUUUGGUUUCUUGUAUAUAUUGGUCGUAGUAGAUUAUGUUUCAAAAUGGAUAGAGGCAAUUCCAAGUCGAACCAAUGAUCACAAAACAGUGAUAAAGUUUUUGAAAGAAAACAUUUUAAGUCGAUUUGGAAUCCCUCGAGCCAUGAUAAGUGAUGGUGGAACACAUUUCUGCAACAAGCCAUUUGAAUCUUUAAUGAAGAAAUAUGGAAUCACACACAAAGUUUUCACCCCUUAUCACCCUCAGACAGUGGACAGUAGAGCUUGCUAAUAGGGAGAUCAAACAAUCUUGGAGAAAACGUGAACCCUAAUAGGAAAGACUGGUCUUUAAGACUUAAUGAUGCACUUUGGGCUUAUCGAACUGCUAUAAAACAUCAUUAGGUAUGUCACCUUAUAGACUAGUCUAUGGAAAACCUUGUCACUUGCCUGUGGAAAUUGAACAUAAAGCUUAUUGGGCUAUUAAAGCUUUCAAUUCAAACAUUGAUGAUGCUAGUCAGCUGCGAAAAUUGCAAAUAAAUGAGCUUGAGGAAAUAAGAAAUGAUGCAUAUGACAAUUCAAGAAUUCAUAAAGCAAGAAUCAAAGAGUUUCAUGACAAGAAAAUACUGAGAAAAACAUUCAAUGUUGGUCAAAAAGUCUUGCUUUAUAAUUCUCGACUCCAUUUAUUUCCUGGAAAACUAAGAUCAAGAUGGAGUGGUCCUUUUAUUGUGAAACAUGUGUAUCCAUAUGGGGCCUGUGAUAUCGAAAUCCAAAGAAUGGAAUGUUUUCAAGGUAAAUGGGCAUCGUUUAAAGUUUAUUUUGACAAUUUUUCAGUUGAAAAUGACUCUAUUGAAUUGAGUGAUCCUGUAUAUAAAGAUUGAUUCUUUUUCUCACAUUGUUUUUGUGUGACUUUUUUUUGCUAGUCUCUCACCCCGGUCAAAUGGCGGAUAACGGUACUCCGUGACUUAAGUCGGUUCUUUCAGUUUCCCAAUAACUGAUAUCUGUGUAUAUAUUUUGCAAUUCUUGCUCUUUCUCCUUCUUUGAAUCUCUCCCCAAUUCUCAGUUGAAAAUGGACACCACUCUUGAAAAAUUGAAAAAUAUUUUCCCGCUCUGCCUCAAAUGCGAUUACAAAAAUUUACCGUGCUAGAUGUGCAAGAUUGAGGUUGUUAAUGAACAUGGAAUUCCUGAAGAUAUUCGCUGGCUAUUGAAGCAAAGGUCCGAUUAUCAGGUGAGUCCUCCAAUUCUUUCAUUUCACACAUGCCUGGAACAGGUAAAGCACUUUUGCAAAGAAACGUCGUGCAAAACGACUGAAAGUCUGUCACGAUGUGCCAGAUGGACUUGUAAUGCGACAUGUCGUUCUUUAGGAAUGGUAUCUGUAAACCGUGAAGAUAAAUACAAUUCAUUAAGGAUGGCCUGAGUAAGGGGUCUUUAGAUAAUCUUUUAUUGACCUUGAGACGCACCUAGUGGAGAUGUGCAUCGUGCAAUUCAUGAUUUAUGGCCCAAUUCCAUAAAGAACAUGCUCGACUUAGUCUUGGGAAUCUGACUAAAAAAGACCCUGUUUGCCAGUUUUUAAGAAAACUGGAUGGGAAGCCUAUCCCCGACCCAUAGAGGGCGUUUAAGCCGUUCUUGGACGUAAAACCAAGGGAAGAUGUGAGCCAUAAUCACAACUACCUGUACAUACAUGCUUUUUCAAAAUAAAUAAUUAAUAAAGAGAGAGAGAGAGUGUGUGUGUGUGUAGACUACAGCUGGCCUACAUAUAGGUGGUAUGAUUGCAUUUUCAAUUUCUCAUCUAUAAAUUCUUCUCUUCCUUCCCUUCAUUUCUACUCAACCCAUACAUUCAUCAAAUACAGAAGUGUGUAGAAAUGGCAGGUUCCUCAAGUCAUCACAUAAAAAAAUUUGUGUUUUUGGUGGAUCCAGUCCGGGAAAGAAAAAGAGUUUUUAGAAUCAGCAAAUCAUCUUGGUCGGUACUAGCUGAGCGAAAGAUUCAUUUAGUGUAUGGAGGAGGAGCCUUGGGUUAAUGGGGGGAGUGUCAAUGGCUGCAUUUUUAGGAGGUAGUCAAGUUUUGGGGGUUGUCCCCAAAGCUUUAGCACAAGGGGACAUCAUUGGAAAAACAAUUGGAGAGGAAUACAGGUCCCACAAUGUCUGAUCGACUGAAUCCAUGUUUAACCAUGCUGAUGCCUUCAUUGCCUUACCAGGUGGUCUGGGCACAUUGGAAGAGAUCUUUCAUAUUUCCUCUUGGGCCCAACUGCACAUUCACCAUAAACCCAUAGGUUUGUUAAAUGUUAAUGGUUUUUAUGAUAAGUUGUGUCUUUCUUGAUCAAGCUGUGGAACAGGAAUUUCUAACAUCUUCGGCACGACAAAUCAUAAUCUCUGCUGCUACUGCUGAACAAUUGAUUGACCAACUACAAUCUUUCAUCCCUGUAUUAUCCCUCAUGAGUCGCAUAAAUUGGUCAACUCAGGAAAGCCGUAAAAAGCUUAGAUUGGAUUUGAGCCUUUGUUUGUAAAAACUUUGUGUCUUUUGGUUUUAUUAUUGUGUUUUGUUGUUUCUUCUAUUUGUUUAAGUGUGUUUCAGGUUUGUCAGUAUUCGUUAUUUCAGGUGAUGUCUUCUAUACUCUAUCUUUCUACCUUAAAACAUUGAGGACAAUGUCUCAUUUUGGUUGGGGGGAAAGGGUAGUAGUAAAAAAAAAAAAAAAAAAAAACUGUGUUUUCUAUUUCAUAAACUAUUUGCAAAACUGUUGUUGCUAGGAUGGCAGAGUAAAAGGAGUUCUUUUGUUAAAGUGACUCUUGAGACGCAUCUUAGUAAACAUUCUUAACAAGGUCUAUCAGAAUACUUCUUGAAAUAUCUAAGUUUACAAACUCUCAUAUUGUUAAAACACCCCUUCGGGCUUAAUUGCUUAGGUUAGGGAGGCUACGAAACCAAACUUAUCUACGUUUUUAUUCAUCAUUAUUAUCACAAUUUUUUUUUGUUUUUUUGUUUUUUUUGUUUUUUUUAUGCAAAUUAUGUACUAUCCCUUUCCCUUAGUUGUUACCUUUAACAAAAGAACAUAAAUAAUGUAAUAAUCCAAUGUGCAACCCACAAUCAUAUGUUAAAGCGUGUGUGUGUGAAAAUGAAGAUUUAAGAAUACUUAUUAAAUGAGAUGUUGGAUGCUAUUGUGGAGAGGAUUGGAGAGGAAAAUAUGGUGCAAGUAGUCACUCACUGACAAUGCUGCAAAUUAUAAGGCAGCAGGGCAAUUGUUGAUGGGAAAAAGAAAAAGAUUGUUUUGGACACCGUGUGCUGCCCAUUGUAUUGACUUGAUAUUGGAAGAUUUUGAGAAGAAACUUGAGGUCCAUCAAGUAACUAUUGCUAAUGGGAGGAGAAUCACCUCAUACAUAUAUUUAAGAACUAUUCUCAUUUCCAUGCUCAGACACUUUACAAAAGGAAAGGAUUUGAUUAGGCCUGCUGCCACUAGAUUUGCUACUGCAUACUUAACUCUUGGAUGUUUGAGUGAUUGUAAGAUACAAUUGAUGACAAUGUUUACUUUCAUCCAAUGGAGGUCAUGUAGGUUUUCAAAAACAGAAGAAGGGAAGCGAAUUCAAAGUUGUGUUUUAGACAACAAGUUUUGGCAUGAUGUUACUACAUGUAUUAAGGCAGCAUAUCCUUUGAUAAAAGUUCUUUGAUUAGUUGAUUCAGAUGAAAAACCAGCUAUGGGUUUUAUAUAUGAAGCAAUGGAUCAAGCAAAAGAGAAAAUACAAGUGAAUUUUGGUUCUGUGAAAAAAAUGUAUUGAUUAUAUAUAUUGCUAAUUAUUUAUUUACUAUUAUCAGUUGAUUAUAAUGUUUACCAGCUAGGUCAUAUAAUGUUGAUGAUAAUAUUCUUAUUUUUAUUUUGUAGUUAUAUGCCUAUAUGGAAUAUCAUUGAUGCAAGAUGGGAACUUCAACUUCAUAGACCUUUACAUGCAGCAACAUAUUACUUGAAUCCUCAUUAUCAUUAUAACUCUAAUUUUAAAGUUAAUGCCAACAUUAAAAUUGGAUUAUAUUAAUGCUUAGAAAGGAUGGUGCCCGAUGCAAGUGAAAGGUGUAAAAUUGACUUGCAACUUGAUUCAUUCAAGGAUGCAAGUGGGUUGUUCGGUAUUAAGGCUGCCAAGAUAACAAGGGAUAAAAAGACUCCAGCUAAAUGGUGGGAUUCUUAUGGGGAUGAAUGUCCAAAGCUACAAAAAUUUGCAAUUCGAGUUUUAAGCUUGACUUGUAGUUCAUCUGGAUGCGAGCGAAACUGGAGUGCAUGUGAGAUGGUAAGUUUUUUCCUUUUUAAUUUUAAUGUUUUUAUAUUUUAUAAGAAUCUUAUAUGGUAUUAAUUUGAAUUUCUUACAUAGGUUCAUACAAAACGAAGAAAUCGUUUGCACCAGAAAAAAAAAGAAUGACUUGGUAUUUGUAAUGUGCAAUAUGAAAUUAAAUGAUAACCAAGUCAAAAGGCAAGCUAAUGAUUUUGGUGAAGUUUUUUAUCAUCUCUCAUCUGAUGAUGAUUGGAUAACCGAGGGAGAGAAACAUGAUGGUUCAUCCAACUUUGACUUGCUUGGUGUCAUUGAUAGUGCAACACGAAGGAAAAACGGCAAAGACGAUGAAAGUGAUGAUGAAGAAAAUCUUAAUGAUGUUGGGAUGGAGUGUCAUGGAACUGAAGAUGAUUUAGAGAUUCAGAAUGAUGUCAAUCCAAAUAAUUCAAGGAGCUUGGAGUUAAAUAUUGUUGACAAUAUUGGUGUUGGUCCUGGUACUAGUAGUAGCACUAAUGUUCCUAAUAUCGGUGUUGGUAAUAGUAGUAGCAGUAAUAAUCCUUUAGAUGGUAAUGAUUUUGAUGACUGUUUUAGGAAUAAUGAGGGAGACAAAGGCAAUGAGGGUGUGUUUAGUUUACAUGACACACCUACAAACUGUUUAUUUUAGAUGUGUUAACUUUUAGUAAUUAUUGAAAUACUAUGGACAUGUAUGAAUUAUGUAUUUUAAGAUGUUUGGAUAUUUGUAUUGUUUAUUUUACUUUUAUUUGAAUUAUGUAUUUUAAGAUAUUUGGAUAUUUGUAUUGUUUAUUUUACUUGUAUUUGAAUUAUGUAUUUUAAGAUGUUUGGAUGUUUAUUUUGCAAUUUUACGAUUUUAGUUAAAAUAUUUUACUUGCGAUUUUACGAUUUUUAGUUAAAAAAUUUUACUUCUGAUUUUACGAUUUUACGAUUUGAGUUUACGAUCGAGUUUAUAUUGUAUGUUCCGUGUCGUGUCAAAAAAGCGUUUUUGACAACCUUGCUUGGGGCUAUAAAUUGCAAGUCCUGGGUGGAUUCUUAUGAUAAAGUUGGGCCAAUUUGAAAUAACAAAGAAAAACAAUUUUGGCAUAUAAUUUUAUUAAUCUUUAUUGUUUGUAAUUUGCAGAGCAUAAUUAGGAAUGUAGAAUUAAAUUUUAUUAUUUUUGUCUCAAACCAGUUACAAACGAAGGAAGUCCAAUUUUGGAGUAAGUGAUUAUACAUAUUAAUAUUUAUGUGUUUAUAUAGUUGGAAAUAUAAAGCUAUUAAUAACAAAAACUGUUGGUGCAUCUAAGAGAAAAGUAUAGAAGUUUACUAAUUACUAAAGAAAUACCUUCCGAAAUUCAUAUUCUAUUUAAGAGCAUGCCGACCAAAGCGAUAAUUUGUCAGGCUUAUAAAACAAAUUAUUACUAAAUUAAUUUAAUUUAUUAGAGAAAUACCUUUCGAAAUGCAUCAUUAUAAGUAUGUUGUGUUUGUUUAGUAAAAAAAAUAAAAAUAUAUUUAACUAAAAAAUAAAAGAAAAUAUAUAAAAUCCAUAACAUAUGUCCAUACAUUUUUUCUGUUUUCAUUGUUUUUAUCUUUUUUAUUUUAAAAUAAUAAUAAUCAAACACCAUUUUUUAUUGAAUUUAAAAAUAGUGAGUGAAGCAAUCCAACCACAAAUGUAGGGGAAGAAAAAACAUUCAACUUAUUUACAAAUCAUUUUCAAAAGAAGGAAAAUUGAAAAACUCUUUAAUUCAUUCAUUGUAUCAACUUGAAAAAUAAGUAUUUGUAAAAAACAAUUAAUAAAAAAUUAUCUUGAGUUGCAAGAUUUAUGUUAAUUCAAGAAUAACUGAGAAUUCGGCAAAUUGAAUCCAGCAAACUUGGGGCAUUAAAUGUUGCAUUGCACAUCGAAGGUGGUUUUCUGUUUUUUGAGAAGAAAAAAACAAACACUUUUUACGUAAAAGUAACAAAUUAAGGAUGCCGCCUUUCAUAAUGAUUUGAUAAUAGGUUGUCGGGUAGAUUGUUUGUUUGUUUUUAUAUUUUAAAAAUAUUUUUUAAAAAUAAAUUAAGUUUAUUUUUUUAUUUUUUUAUUUUAAAUUAAGUUUUUUAUAUAUAUUAUUUUAAUAUACUGAUAUCAAAAAUAAUUUUUAAAAAAUAAAAAAUAUUAUUUCAAGUAUUUUUAAAUAAAACAUAUUUUAAAAAAUAACUGUUACAACAAUAAUAUUACCACAAUAAUAAACAGGCUCUUAAAAAAAAGAACCGUGAGAAUUGUUUAGAAUGAUUAGAAUGCAUGCAUACAACUCGGUCGCAUGUAAGAUCAAUUUUCAUUUAUUUUGAAUGUAAAAUGCAUGUCGUUGGUAUUAAAAAUAAUAUAAAUUAUAUCUUGAAACCUCACUUAAUAGUUUAAGCAACCAAGUUACAUAGGUUUUUGUCAUUAUAUUAGAGCCUUGAUGACCAAACGAUCACGAGUUCAAAUCUCAUCAUUCUCAUUUAUUUAAUAAAAAUUAAAAACAAGGUAAUGUGGCCUUAUGUAAAUUCAAGUCUAAAAUGCUUCCACUUGAGAGGGGUGUUAGAAAAUAAUAUAAAUAAUAUCUUGAGACCUUACCUAACAAUUUAAAUUAUUGGAUUGAAUUAAUUCUUUAACAGUUAGGAGAAAUUAGUUUUAAAACGUAGUUAUUGUAUUUAAAUUAAUGAAUUAAGAUUUUGUUGAAAAAUAUUUUUUUGCAUGAAUAUUAAUUAUAACAUGAAAUAUUAAAAUACUUAAAAUUAAUUAUAGAUAAAUAAAAAAUUAAUUUCAAAGAAUUCUGAAUGAAAUUGAUGAAAAAAAAAUCAUAUUUUUUUUGGAUAAAAAAAAAAUCAUAUUGAUAAGAAAUUAUUGGUUUUAUCUUUUAGAAAUAUAUAUUAUUUUUAAUUUAAAUCUAACACAUACACCCAAAACCAGAGUUACAAAAAUAGGCAGACUAGCGUUUCCAAAAUAAUGGUAUGGUUGAAAUUUUCCAGAGCACGUGCUUUCCGCAAUGUAAAAGUUUUAAUAUGGAAACAAUCCUUCCAUCCGCAAACAUGGGAUUAUCCUAAAUUUAAGAAGAAAAUCCAUACAUAGUAAAAUGUGAAUCUAAUUACCCCAAACCAAAACCAUGAGCAAAAACUGAUGAAGAUCUUCAAAACCCAGGUCGCUGCUGCCGCCGCUGCUGCUGCCGCAACUGCUGCCGCAACUGCCGCACCAGCUGCUGCCGCAGCUGCUGUCGCUGUCGCCGCUGCCGCAGCUGCUGUCGCUGUCGCCGCUGCCGCAGCUGCUGUCGCUGUCGCCGCUGCCGCAGCUGCCGCACCUGCUGUUGCUGUCGCAGCUGCUGGAGCACCCGCUGCGGCACCGGCUGGAGCACCCGCUGCUGCACCGGCUGGAGCACCUGCUGUUGCUGCUGCUGCUGGAGCACAUGCUGUUGCUGCUGCUGCUGGAGCACAUGCUGUUGCUGCUGCACCAGCUGGAGCACCCGCUGCUGCUGCGGCACCGGCUGGAGCACCCGCUGCGGCUGCGGCUGCUGGAGCACCCGCUGCGGCUGCGGCUGCUGGAGCACCUGCUGCUGCUGCAGCCGCUCCUCAUCAUCAAGCGGCUGCUGCCGCAGAUCCUCAGCAUCAAGCGGCUGCUGCUCCUCGAGCAUCAGCUCCAUCUUAGGUAUAGUCGAACUGUACAUGGAAUCGAUGUUACAUGUUUUGUUGGGUGUUAAAUUUUUUUUUUAAUAAAACAUUAACAGAUAAAUAUUUUCAACAUGUUUUUGUAUUUAAAAAAUUCUAGUGAAAAAAAAAUAUAUACAUAAAUGUAAUCAAAUAAAUCAAGAAUUAUGUGUGUUAAAAAAAAAAACAAUCAUAAACUAUAACUAAAAAUAAAAGUGGAAAAAUCGAGAAACAAGUGUAGAUUAAGAUAUUUAAUUUCAAAAGACGAGAUAUUUACGCGAUUGUAUUUACUAAAUUUAUUAAUUAAAAUAAGUUUUUUAUUCAAUCAAACGAUAAUAAAAAUAGAUAUACACAUUAAAUUGAUUGAAUAAAAUAAAAUAAAAAAAAUAAUAUACAAGGCUGCACAUAUUAGAAAUAUUAUUUGAAAAUAAAAAUUUUCAAAUAAAAAAAUUUAAACUGUAAAUUAAAAAGCUUAUACAUACAUGUAAUCAAAUAAAUUGAUAACUAUGUGAAUUAAUAAUAACAAAAAUAUAGUAACGAUAACUAAAAAUAAAAUUAAAAAUUCAAAUGUGUUAAUAACAUAACAUUUACACAGUUAUAUUUUUUUAAUUGAUUUAUUAAAAUUAAUCUUUUUACUCAAUCAAAUGAUAUUAAAAAAAUACAUGUAUUAAAUUGAUUAAAUAAAUUAAAAAUAGAAAAAAAUAUUACACAAGGUUGUUGUACAUAUUAUGUUAUCUGAAAAUAAAUAUUUUUUUAUUUUUUAAAUAAAAUUCUUUUAUACAAAAAGAUAAAAAAAAAAAUCAUUGAUGAAUCAUAAUACAUUUUUCAAAAAUUAAAUACAAACAACACCAUAAAAAAAUAUCUAUCCAAAAAUAAAUAAAUAAACAAAAAAAUAAUCAGAGAUGAGGAAUAUUAAUUAAAACAUAAAUUUAAAAAAUAUAUAAAAACAAUAUCAGAAAAAAUAAACAUUGUUUUGUUGUUGUGGCUUAACUCGUUAAAUCCAUGACCUGGAGUAUGAACUCAAUCGGGUUCAAUAUUGUUUUUCCUUUAAAUUCGUAUUCAACCUUUAACCAAAAAGAAAUUAAACAUGUGACCCAGACCAUGAACUCAACCAGACUAUAUUAUUUUCUCUUAAAUUUAUAUUCAAUCUUUAAAAACAAAUACAUACAACACUAUCAAAAAAUAAUUUAUAUUAAAAAAGGAUAUAUAAAAAAAAUAUCAGUAAAAAAAACAACAUUAGAAAAAAAAUAAUUGUCCAGUUAUUGUGGCUUAACUCGUUAAACUCAUAACUCAGUUCAUGAACUCAAUCGGGUUCAAUAUUUUUUUUCUUAAACCUUAAAAAAAAUUAUUAUAUGACCCGGAUCAUGAAUUGUUCAAUAAUUGUUUUUUCUUUAAAUUUAUAUUCAACUUUAAAAAAAAUUCAACAAUUAAAAAUGCACAACACUAUAAAAAGAUCAAUCUUUAUAAAAAAAACCUCAACCGGGUUGAAAUUUUUUCUUCUUAAAUUUAUACUCAACUUUAAAAAAAACUCGUGCCCUAGAUUAUACACUCAACCAGUUCAAAAAAAUUUCCCUUCGAAUUUGUAACAAACCUAAAAAACAAAAAUAAAGUAAACAAUAAUGUCCAUAUUAAAGCAUUUUGGUUUAAUCGAGACCAUAAACUCCAAUGAGUUUAAUAUUAAUUUUUCUGAAAUUCAUAAUCUACCUUGAAAAAAAAAACUUGUAACCCCAUUGUGUACUGAACCUUGCGUGGUGCUUUUCCCAUGCAAAAAAAAAAAAAAAAACAAAUUUGUUAACAUACCUUUGCGAUCCAGAUGAAAUCUCAAUUUCACUGAGAAUAUCCAUCCAUCUUUGUACCUUCUCCUCGUUUUCCCUGAAUUUUCUUCAUUCUUAUCAAAGACAAUUGUGCAACUCUCUGUUUGAUCAUCUAUCUUUGAUUGCUCGACAUCAUAAGAAACUGGAAACACAGUGUCCGAUCUCAUCUCAUCCAUGAAUCGACAAUCUUGACAAGUUCUUCAAAGCACCAAGGUAAAGAAGCACAAUCUCUUGAAAAUAUAAUAAUUGACAGCCCUGAUUCUUCAAUGGCCUCAAAGAGUCUUGAUCUAAUUGCCAUUACUUUCUCUGGUUCCUUCUCGACUGGCACAAUGAAUCUCAGCUAGAUCUGACUUUAAAUAGGUGACAGCAUUACUAGGGAAAACAUUGGCCAUCCAUUGAUGGUACGACGAGAAAAAGCUAAAGAAGCUUUAAUGAAGAAGCUACUUCUUUGCUUGUAACAAUAAAAUGGGCAGAUGGUUGGUGUAAUAUACACAGAAGAUAACAAACAGACACCACAAUUCUUCACCUUUACUCCUGGUGGAAAGAAUGAAAUGACAACUCAAUGUUGCUAAAGGAUUCAUGCUUCCAUUCUUUAAGCUCUUUAAGGUAAUCAAAAGAUAGAUAGAAUAGCCAAAUAUGAUCUGACAGAACUUGGAUAGAGUUACAACUAAUACACAUCGGCGAAGGAUAAUUCUCUCUUCCAUUGGCUUUGAAAUGACAAAAAAGAGAGGACUUUCACCAUUUGCACUGAAUGCAACACAGCAACAAACCCCAUGCUCCAACUAGGCACUUGCACACUAAUUGAAGAUCCCUUACUUUGAUGGUUAAACCAGCCUGGAAUUUCAUUUCCUGGAACAGCGAUACCAAAUCCAGGUCUUGGAUUAGACAAACCCUGUACCAUGAAAACCAAAAUGUUAGAUAGAUAGAGGGAGAGGGAGAGAGAUACAAAAGGUUGGGGUAUGAUUAAGAGAAGACCUUGAGGUAUCUUUCAAGCAUGGUAACCCCAUGUUGUCUUGGCCAUUAUGAUUGUACAAUUCCCAGCAGUUAAGACAUAUGAACUCUGAUCUUUUGGAACUGCUUAGCUUUAUCGGAUCUGGAAUUUCUUUUAGGCUUAUACAACCAUUCAAAUUUAUAGUUUGAACUUAGAUGGAACCUCAGGCAAUGAUUCAAGCAUCUGCAAUCCUCCAAGACAAGCAUUUCAAGUCCAGAAAGCUGAUUUAUGCUUCUAGGCAGGCUAACAAAGUUAUUCGGCUCAGAUCUAAAGACUUCAAUGAAGAUAAGCAGCCAAUAUCUUCAGGAAGUGCCCCUUCUCUUAGAUUGCAAGCACAUAAAUCCAGUACUUCUAAAGAACACAGACCGACAAAAAGGCAACCUUUGAUCCGUGGAUUCUCAGCUAUUCUUUUGCAUCCAUCAAAAGAUAAUACUUUAAGAUUCUUUAAAAGAAAAAUGGAUGCUGGCGGUUGUCUUAUUGAAGUUCCACUUACAUCAAACUCCUCCAAACUUUCAACUUUCCCCAAAUUCUCUGGUAUAUUUAAGUUCAGAGCAGCCAGACAAUCAAGUUUUUUAAGGGAUUUCAAGCAACCUAUGCUACUGGAAUGCUUUCAAGGUUCUUGCAGUUGUUCAUGCUCAAUACUUCUAAGCCAAUCAAAUGAUGAAUUGAUGAAGAUAGUUCUUCAAUACCAGUCCCAUCCAAACGAAGCACCAUCAAACAGUUCAUGUUUCCUACUAUAUCUGGAAACUUCUCAAGUUUUGAGCAGCCAUCAAGAAUGCAAACUUUAAGUGAUUCCAUUUCAAGGUUGUUUGGGAGAAUCCUAAUACUUUGCAAUCCAUAAGAUUCACAUAUUGAAGCUUCUUGUGAUAUGCAAGUGAUGGAUGGACCUCAGACAAACUUGUACAACCUUCAAGAAUAGACUCUCGAGAUUUGGAAUUCAGUAAAAUCUGGAGUCUUGGUCAGGUUAGUGAGUUGCUGAGAUUGAUGAUUUUCAAAUUAACUGCACUCUGCAAUCAGCAGGGAGAAAAAUAUGGAUACUAUCAUACAUAUAUAGGAAAACGAUAAAAAGAAAUACAAAGGCCUUUAAAUUAGUUGAUCUCACCUUACACCCAUACCAUAAUUGCUCAAGACUACUUAGCCAUGUGAAGUUCAACUAGCUCAUCCACCUGUAAACCAGCUGGCAAUGAUUUUGAAGGGUAAGAAUGCCAUUCAAGAAAUCAACUUAUUGGAAAGAUCUUCAGGUCCUUCAGAAAGCUGCACGUUGUGAUUUUGAGCAAUCUUAGUUGCUCAUUUUAGAGAAGGCUUUCAUGUUCCAUUGUGCCUCUUUUAUUCCAGGCAUGUCCAGGAAAAUGGCUUCUAUUUUUUCUUUUCCCUGUCAACAAAAGGAAUACAAGUAAAAAAAAAUACAAAGUAGAGAUGGAGCGUAAAUUAAAAUAAACUUCAUGAAAUCUUAUGGAUAAUGUUCUCUAUCAGCUACUCACUGUGUUGUCCAUCAGUGCAAGGCAGACAUCCUCGUAUGUCCACAAUCUACUCCCAGGUAUUCACAACGAACAAUUUCCUUACCCAUUAUCUGUAAUAAAUUAUGCAUCCAGACUUGAUCCCCAUAGACACUUAUGAGAGAUCUCUCAAUAAGAACUGGUAUUCCAAUACUGCAUGGAAUCCACAGCUGUCAAGUAUCCUUGUUAUUCGAUCUUUUUAAACCCCUUCAAGGAAACAGCAAUGUCUAAAAAUAUUUUCUAUCUGAUUCAUGGAGACCAUCAAAACUAAUACGCGAAGCACAUCAAUAAUUUUGCCGUCAGGAAUCUCAUUCAUUCGAUUAAUUGCACUCUCCAUUCAGGGAUACUUCUUCCAUACAAAAACGAACCUAUAACUUCAAGAGCCAGUGGAAGGCCAUUAGCAUAACCCACAACUUGCUUGGAUAGUUCAUGAAAUCUUAGCAGGCUGGUCUUUUUGAAAGCUUUCUGGCUAAAUAACAUAAGAGCAUCAUCAUCAUUCAAUUUCUCAGCCUCAUAAAUUUUAGUAUCAUCAUUUCCAGUUAACACAUUUGUAUCUCUGCUUGUUAUGAUAAUUCUGCUCCCUGGACCAAACCAUCCAGGCUCCUCAGCCAAGAAUUCUAGUUGUUUUUGUCAUCUACAUCAUCAAGGAUAAGAAGAAUCUUUUUAAGUCGUAACCUCCGCUUUAUCAUCUCAAUCCCUCUAAGAAUCCAUACAGAAGCACGUUCCAUUAAGAUUUCAGAAAGAAGUUGUUCCUGCAAACGGCGUGGUCCAUCUUUCUCAGCAAAAACUUCUCUGACAUUUGCUAAGAAGCAGCUACCUUCAAAUUGCCAACGAAUCCUAUCAUAUAGUACCCUUGCAACAGUCGUUUACCUAUGCCACCCAUUCCGCAAAUCCCUAUGAAGAUUGCUUGCCUACUUCUUCACCUAUAUACCAUUUAAUACCUCUAGACGAGAAUCUAUUCCAACUAAUUUUUUGCUAGUUGUUGGCAGAGUGACACUUAGUUUGUACGAUAUGUAUUCAACAAUUUUUGUAAUUGAUUCCAACUCAUUCCUGCAUAGGAGGGUGCAAAACAUUAAUCAUGCAGUGUGUAGAAAUCAAAUCAGAUAGUGAUAAUGGGAAAAUAAACAUUAGCAUAUUUUAGCUCGAAAAUGUAUGGUUGUUAGCCGGAAAUUAAUACACCAACCUUUGAGAAAGAACAGAGAGGAAAAGGAAAGAAUAAACUAAAAAAGGAACUAGGAUUGUAUUGAUGCUAAGAAUGGUCCUAACAAUAGCUAUCUUAUUGCCUAUAGAAUUAAUCACACAGUUACUAAAGAAGCAUGGACACAAGAACACAAGCUAGGAAAUAAAAUAUCCAUUAAGUUUGGUUUUAACAGACCAAAAGGCAAAUGGAAUUCUAUCAUAUUUUUUGACGACAACUAAGUUAUUUUUAAAAUUAUUUUUAACAAAAAUUUCAAUUAUCUUGCAUCAUUAACUUUUAAAAAAUAGCUUUAAAUUUAUUAAUUUUUAAGUUUUUUCCCAUAUUAGCAUAGUCCUUAAAAAUUUCCCAGACUAACAUAGUUUAAGUGGUUGCGCAAAUCCAAUCCACGCACCUUGACAUGCACUGAUAUCACGUAUGCUUCUCACAACUCAAAUUUUCAUAACCCAUUUCUUCGUCUUUCUUCUCUGUUUAAUCUUUUAUUUGGUCUUUCAAUUUUUAAACAAUCUUAAUAUUAAUUUCAAUGUAAUGAUCAUUUCAUUAAUAUAAACUUAUUUUUAUUUAAGUUGGACAAAAACAUAACAAUAUUUUAGGCAAAAAUUAACUCGUUUUUAGCGAUUGCAUUUGAAAUAAAUAUUAACUUUAAUUCAUAUGUUUUUCGUGUGCAAAAGAAUAGAUGAAAUGAUCGUAAUAAUGGAACUAAAGUUAACUAAAUAUAAAAAUUGAGGGACCAACCCAACAAAGAAAGAAAGGAAGAUUUUUUUGACAUGUGUGAAGUUGCCUAAUAAUGAUCGUAAUAAUGUGAAGUUGCCUAAGUGAGACCUAUGCAAUUGAUGAAACCGUGCUAGUUUGAAAAGUUUUUUCCCACCUAUAGUAUUUUGAGAAAUGGUUUUUUUUCAUGGGAAAAAAUUCAUGUAGCUUAUAAUUUGUCAUACCUUAAAAACUAAUGAUAAGUUGCCACUUGUUGAAAACUUCACUUUAAUGUGUAGUUCUUUAACUAGAUUUUUGGACUCAAGUGGACUAUUUUUUUCUAACCUUUAAAAAAUAUAAUAGUAUUUGAAAGUUAAAAAUUCAAUACAUGUAUAUUAAGAUAAUAAUAUAUUGGAUGAUAUAUUUAUUUAAAAAUAUAAUUGUGACGACAACACAUUAGAUCGAACUAGAGUAACUAUGGUUAACUUGUGAAACUCGCGAUCCGAAGCACAAAUCCAUGAAAACUCCAUGGAACCCAUAUCAAAAUAAAAUAGAGUCCAAUUUCAAUCAACCAAAUAUUAAAAGCUAAACAUAAAAAAAUUAUUCAAUUAAAAAAAGAAUUUAAAAAAAAUAACGAGAAAUAAAAAGACUUAAGAUAACCCUGAUUAUUUUUAAUUAUUUAAAAAUCUUAUAGAAAGAAAAUAAAAAAAUUAAUAGAUCCUAGUCUCUAAUUAAAUUAAAUAUUGAAUGAUAAAACUGGAAAAAAAACAUGAGCUUAAAAAAAAAACCUAGACAAAUCUCCUAAACGUGUCCCAAAUUCUUAAUCCGUUAAAUCCUAAAUCCAGACUCAACCAAAAAAAUUAAUUCAAUGUGAAAGUAUUAAAUCAAAAAUAAUAUAUGCCAAGGUAAAAAAACAUAACAAUAAAAAAUGAAGGAUGACAUCGUAAAAAAAAUAUUAAAAAAUAAUCUCACAUAAAAUAAAUAGUAAUCAAAAGAAUGAGAAUCAAAUCUAAUAGAUUAAAAAAUUAAAAAGUAUAAAAUUAAAAACAAAUUCAAUUCUAAAAAAUAAUUCAAAUAAAAAAUAUCAAUGGAAAGAAAAUAGACCAAAUAUGAAAAAAAAAAAAUCAAAUUAAAGGGUUACUAUACAAGUUUAGAAGGUAGAGUGCGGAAUUCGAGGAUAAAGACAAAAGAAAAGAAAAAAAAAGUCAUCUGGUGCCAAACCAAAAAGAAUUACUCCACACAUGCCACUAAGGGAGGUAGGUCAUGUCGUGGUGAAUCAAUAAACAUCAAUGAAGGCCUUUUUUGGGUGUCAUAAGCCAUUGCUCGUGCUGCUUAUUAGGAGUGAUCAUUUUCGGUUCGGUUUGGGUUCGUUUCGGUUCGGUUUUUUUCAGUUUCAGGCUUAAAAAUCUGAAACCGAACCGAACCAAUCGGUUUUUUCAAAAUUUUAAUCGAUUUUUUUUCAUGAUUUAUUUUUUUAGUUAUUUUUCCGGUUUCCGGUUUUCCUGUUUUAAUCGGUUUUCAGUUUUUUUUCUUAUCCCUACUGCUUACAUAAGGCAAAACAACUUACUCGCUUGUGUGUUCUACAAAAAAGCCAACCACUUUUCUUCUUCUUCUUUUUUUAAUCACAAAAAAAACAAAAAAACAAAAGCAUGAAUAAGCCAUUGAAAAAAGGUAAGUAUUUUUAAUUUUAAAAGAAAUAAAGUUAUUUUAUUGCACCCCGAAAAGUGAAAAAUCUUUAAAAAGCCCAUAUAGCUAAUUUAUUUAUUUUUACUUUUAAGAGCAACUAAGUAAUUAUACCGUAAAAAACAAUACCUAACUAUCCCUAUCAAUUCUAUAAUGACUAUUGGCCCUUAUAAGAAGACCCUAUUAUCCCUAAGUAGUUUAUUUUUUUUAGAAUGAAAAAUUAGUAAAUUCAUUGUUACAAUCCAUUAGUACAUCAAGACAUUUCUCAAGGAUUUUAAAUUUUUGUUAAUACAAUCGAUAAAGUUAUCCUCUAUUAUUCUAUAAUACAAUCAGGACAAAAAUAUUCUAAUGAUACUAAAAAUGUCUUUGUAAUAUUGACUUUUUCUAAAGAUGCCUCAAUAAAUUCAAUUUAGAUAAUUGAAAUUUUAUUAUCGAUCUAUUAAAUAAUAGAAAUUAGCAAAAAGUUCAAGAAUUUUUUUAAUUUGUUUUCAAUUUUUAUUUUAUAAAAAUUGUGACAAUUGAGAUUUGAGACGUGCUCUCUUUUAUUUUAAAAGUCAAAAUUAAAGAAAAACUAGGUUGAUCAUAGACAAAUGGGUCGUUAAAAAGCUAUUUAAUGAAUCAAAAAUAUAUACUAAUAAUUAUUUACUCAAGAAUUAGUUUUGAAACUCUUGUUGCAUUGUGAUUAUUUUGAUAUUUAAUCACACGUUUAAUUGAAAAACAUUGCAAAAAAAAGCUAUGAUCAUCAUUGAAACAAUACAGGGAGGAUUUGAGAAUAAGAAUAAGUAAAUAGAUGUUUACCUAUUCCGUACGUCCCAGCCUGAUAGAUUGGUCACCGUAGAGAGACAAUCUUUCCAGAUCUGAACCUUCUCCAAAUUUUCCUUUUGUUCAUGCUCAGCGAAGGCUUUCUCAUAAGUAUCUGAGGGAUCCACAUCAUAAAAAACUGGCAGAACAGUGUGCCCCAUCUCUUUCAUGCACUGAACGAUCUUGACAAGUUCAUCCAAACACCAUGGUGAAGAAGCGUAAUCUCUUGAAAAUACAAUGACAGAAAACCUUGAUUCUUCGAUGGCCUUCCAGAGAGCACGUUCUAUGGUCUUUCCUCUCUCGAGCUCCCUAUCAUCCAUGUAUACAUCGAUGCCUCUCUGUUUCAGAUUAGAAUAUAGAUGACUAGUAAAGUUGUCCCGGGUGUCUUUGCCUCUAAAACUAAGGAACACAUCAUACAUAUAUUGUGGAGGAGAAGAAAUGAAGAUGAGUAUUCCUUGCAUGCUGCUGGAAGCCAUGAAAAUCCCUAUAGCGAUAAAUUAGUACCGAUCCCUUCUAGCCUCAACUAGCUAGCGUGUAAGGCCUGCUCCUGUGGUCAAACAUGAAGCAGAAUGUAAGAUCGGGAAAUUUGGCAAUUAAAUCUACCAAUUAGCAAUUUCAAGCUCGAACAUGUACAAUUCUACUUAGAAAUCAGAAAACACCAAAUUUCUACGAGUAUUUCACGAAUCUAGACGAAAACAAACCGUGUGGUAAGUGUCGACUAAAGAGGCACAAGAUCCAGCCAAGCCCAAUAUUUUUUCUUCUUCUGGUAUCUUAGUAACCAACUUCGAAGCCCUUUUCUUUCUUUUUAUUCCAAUGACUUCGAAUUUCUUCCGGUUUCUUUAGAUCAAGAACUCGUACUGGUAAGUUUCCUGGAUUUUCUUACGGAUCUUUUUCUUACACUGUAAAGAAGAUGGAGUUUCGGUGGAGAAAAAGCAAAAAGAGAAAUGAAAGGGAUAUCGAAAUUUGAGUUGCACUGGCGGCAGAGGCACCUUCCUGUCAAGAGCAGGGGUUGGGCCACACACAUCACAAUUGAGUUGAUUUAUAUAUUUAAAAUAAAUAUUUUUGGACUUCUUUUGUCUCUUUCCCUUUGUUGCCUUCCUCUCCCUUAUAUAAUUCUGCACAAGAGCAACUCCAAUAAAACAUGCUAUUUUAAAAAGUUGAAAAUUAAAUUGAUAAAAUGGUUUUUAAAAUAAUAUAAGUAUAGUUUUAUUUAUUUUUGUGUAUUUCAAUGGUAAAAAUCCAUUUAGAAGAGCUAAUUAUAUUUUAAUAUAUUUUAUAUUAAACUAGUUUUAAUAUAAGUAUAUAACUUAUUUUUUAUAUAAUAUAAUCAUGUUAUUUAUUAUACAAUUAAUAUGAGUAACUUAUAAAAUUAAUGAAGUAAUACGAAAGUUUAAAAAUAUAUUUUAAAAUUUUAAAUUUUAAACUUUUAAAAUCAAAAUUUUUUAUAUUAAUAUUUUUAAUUUUUAAUUUUAUAUAAUAAUGUUAAAAUUUUUAGGUUUUGAGGUUGGCAAGCUUCUUUUCUUCUUGUUGUUCUGUUUUUAAAGAGAGAAACAAAAGCCAACCAUAGAUAAAGAGAUGUUGGCUAAAGGGUAUAUAUACUUUCUCCUUGUUUUUGACUUUUAUAUGUAAAUAUUUAAAAAUAGUAUUUUAGUAGAAGAAAAUAUAUUUUGGUUUUCUCUUUCCAAUGACCUCUUGCAUUGUAGUUGCUCUACUGCUUUUGAUGCUCGAUAACUUUUCGAACAAUUGACUUCAAAUUAUAAAUUGGAUGACAAAAUUUAACAAUUUAAGGCAUAAUAAAAUAUAAUUCAUAAUAAAUAUCAUAUUAAUAGCUUUGUUUUAAAUAUGUAUAUAAUUUUGUUGGUCUAGUAGGAUCGAAAAAGACCCUUUAAUGUAUAAAUUAUUGUUGUUGUUUAAAACAAUAUAUUUAGUCUAAAAGUUAGAAAAUAGCAUUGUUUUAAAUAUUUAUAUUAUUUUUUUCACAUAAAAUAUAUUAGUUAACAAAAAGCUAAAACAUGCAGUGAAAUUACUGUAACUAAUAAAACACUGUAGGUUUUGUCUUUAGUUUGUUGGAAAGUAAUGCCUUAUUUGUUUAAAGGAAACUCAAUUUCAGGAAUUUAUUUUCCUCAUUUUCCCUUGUUUCGCAACCAUCCGGAAAGUUAGUCAAAGGAAAGUUAAUUCCAGUCAACAAAAAAAUUGCUUUUACCUGCAGGAAAGUGUUUUCAUUUCCUUGUCAAAAGGAAAACACUUUCCUUUACUGAUAAAACACAUCUCAACCACUCUUUGUGUCUCUUUCUGAGAACAGUUGAAAAGCAAAGAAGAUCUGGAGAAUCACACUAACAUUUCAAGUAUUUUUUCCCUCAAAUUUCUCUAUUAUUUCUCUUUAUGUUUUUAUCUUCUUCGUAUUUUUUAGAUCUGUAAGAAUUAUAGCAAAAAAUCCUUGAUAUUGUUUAAUUUGUUGUUUGUUCCGAAAAAAACUAUUUCUUUGUAUUUGUAUAUGCUAUGCUAACAAUCCAUCAUGGUUGGGGAAGCUGCCUGUCAAUUUUUUCCCAGACCCAGUUUUCUUCUUCAUCUCCUCGUCACAUUCAAAUAAGCUCACAGAAAAACCCAACCAAAUUCAGCACAAGCAAAACAUAAAAAACACAAUUUUUCUUGCACAUUCGACAGCUUCCCCAACCAGUUAUACCCUGUUUCCCCGAACAAAGAGAGAUACGCAAACAGGAGGGGAAACUGCCGGGGGAGAGAGGGAUGAGAACUGGGACUGAGGAGCAGAUCCCUGAGAUAUUAGUUGUCCUGCCCAUUGCCCCUUGAAUCUGUGAUGUUGUCCUGCUUCUUCAGAAAAUAGGGGAAUGGCGAGAGAGAAUCGAGAGAGAACAGGGGAAGAGAAAGAGAGCCGAGAGAGAACAGCCACGAGAGAACUGUGUAUGCAGGAGGGGAAACCGAAUGAGGGGAAACCCAUGGGAAUGACAGGGGAAUGAGGGGAAACUGAAUGACAGUGGAAUGAGAGGGGAAUUAGGGGAAACCGAAUGAACUGGGGAAUGAUAGGGUAAUGAGAGGGGAAAUGAGGGGAAUGACAGUGGAAUGAGAGAAACCGAAUGAGAGGGGAAUGAAGGGGAAUUUGUGAGAAACCAGAAGAACUGGGGAAUGAGGGAAUUUGUGAGAAACCGAAUGAGAGGGGAAUGAAGGGGAAUUUGUGAGAAACCGGAAGAACUGGGGAAUGAGAGGGGAAUGAGGGAAUUUGUGAGAAACCGAAUGAUGUCUUUAAUUAAGUUAUGGGAGAGAGUUAGAGACUUGCAAUGCAAGAGCUGGGAACAGUGGGGUUUUUUUUAUAAUGCAAAGAUAUAGGCUGCUAUAGUUUGUUCAUGUGGUUGUAGUAGAACGCGGCACAUAUCAUGAGAACUAAUUAUAUUAUAUUUGUAAUUUCAGUUAUAAAUUAUGUGUUUAGUAACAUAAUGAAAUAUAAUGUAAUACAACUCUAAGUAGGUAUUGUUCCCCUAAAAAUAGAAAUUAACAAUAAAAUCUCUCUAAUUUGUAAUUGAUGAUUGGGUUGAUUAGUUUGUUUAUCAUACAAAUAUUAUGGACCAGCCUUGCCUAUCUAUUAGUGCCUAAACUCAACAAUCUCCAUUGUUACAACUAACAAAUCAAAAUAAAUAGAAUUGAACCUGGCCAUGAACUCGAUCUUGUGUUGUGUUGCUGCAUCACGAGGUGAUUUUCAAACUUAUGUUUAUUUAAUUAUUCGAUAAUCACAUUAUUUUUAAGAAUUAAAAUGAUUGAUCUUAUUGAUCGUUGUGAACUUAUGAAUUGUAUAUUGUCAGCUUCUUUGAGUAUAAUUUAUUGUAUUGAUUAUGUAAGUAUUUUAUAUGGAUUUUUUAAUAUUUAUUUCCCUAUAUUUUUAGGUUUUGUUAUCGGAAAACUUCACUUUCAUGUUAUGGAUAGUAAGAUAAUUCAUGCAGCAUGCAUUGGAGCAAUUGUAACUGUGAUAGCUACAGGGGUAGCUAUUAUUGAACAAGAAAAAAAAUACAAUUUAUAUACCAAGAGAACCAUGUAUAAAUGCAGUUGCUCAACGAGAAUUCUAUAUUGACAGCAUUUUGAAUCGAGGUGAUAGACAUUGCGUUGAACAAAUUCAUAUGAAACCUGUUAUCUUAUAUAGAUUGUAUGAUGUUCUCAUAAGUCGUGACCUGUUAUGAUCAACUCAAAAUGUAUCUAUUAGGGAGCAAGUAAUUGUGUUCUUACAAAUUGUAGGCCAAAACCAAAGAUUUCGGGUUAUUAGUGGUAUAUAUUAUAGGUCUGUUGAAACUAUCCAUCGUUACUUUAGAAUUGUUUUAAAAGCAAUUCUUAAGUUAUACAAACACCUUAUUAAAAAUCUAGAGGAUAUAGUUCCAGCAGAGAUAAUGAAUAAUAGAAGAUUCUAUCCUUAUUUUAAGGUAUGAAAACAAUACCAAUAUUUUUAUGAAUUAAUUAAUUACAUUAAGAAGAAAAGGUUAUAAAUUAUUUUUUCAUGUUUAUAUAGGAUUGUGUGGGAGCAAUUGAUGGUACCCAUGUUCCUACAAAUGUUCCUGUUGAGAUUCAAGGAAAGUUUCGAGGUCGAAAAGAAGGAACAACACAAAAUGUUUUAGCAGCUAUAACUUUUGAUUUGAAGUUUAUAUAUGUUUUAGCUGGCUGGGAAGGAAGUGCCCAUGAUUCACGGGUUUUAGGUGAUGCAUUAUCAAGAUCUAAUGGUCUAAAAAUUUCAAAAGGUAUAUAAUAAAGUAUGUAUUAUAUGCAAUAAACAUAUAAAAUGUCUUAUUACAUAAAGAUAGUAAUAGUUUUUUUUUAAUUUGUAGGGAAAUAUUAUCUUGGUGAUGCUGGUUACAGUAUUCGAAAAGGAAUUAUUUCUCCUUUUUGUGGAGUUCGAUAUCACUUGAAUGAUUUUAGAGAACGUUCACCAGAAAAUAAAAAGGAGCUAUUUAAUCUUCGACACUCUUCAUUGAGAACCGCUAUUGAGCGAGGGUUUAGUGUUUUGAAGAGUCGUUUUAGAUCAAUUGAUGGAAAAUCUUUUUGGUCUUAUGAAACACAAGUAGAUGUUGUGCUUGCAUGUUGUAUUAUUCAUAAUCACAUAAUGGGGGUUGAUCCUUACAACUUUCUUAUGGAAGAAAUAUGUUCGGAUAGUGAACCAAUUAGACGAACAAUCAACUUAAGUCAACGGGAGGAAAGGGAAGAGAAUAGGGAGUGGAUAACAAAAGGAGAAAUGAUUGCCUCAACCAUGUGGAAUGAUUAUAACACUCAAAGAAAUUAGUAAUUGAGUGUUAAUUAUAUGUGUUUGUUUAUAUUAUGUCUUGCUUGAGUUUGUAUUAUAUUUGUUAUGUAUUUGGAGUAGAUGUUGACCUUAUUAUAAUUUCUCUUUUAAUCAUUAAUUAUAGUUUUUAUAUGAAAUUUAUUAAAUCUAAAUAUUGUAUGAUUUUAUUUUGUAUAAAUUUGUAAUUUCUUUUUUGUAGAAAUGAGUUCCACGCAGAAUGAAAAAUGCAAGGGCAAGCACUUCACAUGGUCUAAGCCUAUGUCUCACAUGUUGCUUGAGAUAUUAGCUGAGGAGGCACUUAAAGGAAGCAAACCAUCUUCCACUUUAAAGCAGAAUCUUUUGUUAAGGUGGCUACAGAAAUCAGUCAAAAGUUCAACGUGCAAUGCGAGCCUAAGCAUGUGGACAAUCAUCCCAAGACUGUGAAAAAAGAAUGGGGAAUAAUAACCAAGCUUAAAAAUAAAAGUGGCUUUGGCUAGGAUGAUUGUUUGAAGAUGAUUACAGUUUUGAAAGAUAUAUAUGAUGAAGAAGUAAAUGUAUGAUAAAUAUUAUACUCUUUGUAAUUUUUAUAUUUACUUUUGUUUCUAAAAUGUUAUACAAUGAACUAAAAAAUUGCAUAUUCUAAACUUUAUGAACAGACACAUCCCAAUCAUGACAAGUAUCUCAACAAAAAACUUGAUAUGUACGAGGCAAUGAUAAUUGUUGUUGGAAAAGACAUGGCAACCAGAAAUUAUGCCAAAUUAUAUGUUGAUGUCAACUUGGAAAAGAACACUGAAGAGCAAUCAAUUUCAAUUGAAAAUGAAGGGAAUAUGAAGAAACUUCUAAGGGAAAAGAGACAUCUUCCUCUAGUACACAAAAGAGGCAAUAUAGGAAGAGAAAUCGCAAGUAUGAAGAUGAUGGUGUUGAAAAGUUGUCUAAACAGAUUGGAGAUGUAGCAUUUGCAAUUCAAAGUCUCAGCAAAAAUUAACUUGAUGUUAAUGCGUUGUAUGCGGAAGUGAUGAAAGUUGAAGGCUUUGAUGAGAUAACUCUUGGGGAUGCAUUUGAUCAUUUUGUCCAAAAUGAAAAGUUGGCAAAAGCAUUUAUGGCAAAAAAUGCUAAUUUGAGGAAAAUUUGGGUUCAGAAUUUUGUGAACCAACACUACUACAGGCCUGCUUGCUAAGAUGGUUUGACUAUGUUCAAAAUUUGAGUUCAGACUAUGUUUGUUAUUUGACAAGUAUGUUUACUUGUUUAAUUCGGUCUAGCAUGUUUAUGUUUGUAAUUUGAACUAAUAUGUAUGUAUAUGACAUCGAAACGUAAUAUUUAUGCAUGCCUAUGUUUGAUGUUAGGUAUUUAUAUUUAUUUCUUGAUGCUUAUUUGAUAUAUAUUAAAGGGAUAAUGACCUUUACCCGUAAAAAAAAAUAUUUAUCCAAAAAACCCAUCAAAAUAUUUUUGUAUCUAUUUAUCUUUUAAAAAAUACUUCAUACCAAAAAAAAAACCUAAUAUAUAAAUCUUACCAUAAACUAAUUUGGCUUUCUUCAUAUGAAAAAAUAAAAAACUUAUUUUAAGCUUUUAAAAUUAAAAAAUAUAUAUUAAUAGGUUUUACUUCAAAAAUAUUUCACAAGCUUAUUUCUAUAUAAUAUGAUAUGACAUAUAUAGUUAUAUUUUAUAAAAUAAGCUAUGUAUGAAUAUAACAUAUAAUAAAAAAAAAUUCAUCAUUAUACUUUUUAGAUUUCAUUCUUUUAUUGUAAGUAAUUAAAUAUUUAUAUUAAAUAUUAUAUAUAUAUUAGAUAAACUUGAAAAAAAAAUUAAUUCAUUAAUAAAUUAUUUUCCAGUUUAUUUUCCAUAACAUAACCAAACACUGGAAAGUAUUUUCCAGUUCAUUUUCCAUAACACUACCAAACAUCAAAAAAUACUUUUCCGGAAUUCACUUUCCCCGGAAUUCACUUUCCAAAAGGAAACAACUUUCCUGCAAACAAACGGAGCCUAAGGUUAUUUUUUAGGGUUGUUUUGGUCUUUUUAACAGGGAUAAAAAAGAGAGGUGAUGAUGAUUUUUGACCUAAGAAAAAGAAGAAUAGGAGGAAAGACGAGCUUGGAUUCAAUAGCUAUUGCGUCUUGUUCCCAGUUUCUUAUUGGUCAGGGCUUGUGCACUUUGAUUUACAGUUGGUUAGAAAAAAAAAAUGUUCAUCUCUAUGGCAUGCAGGGCGUUGUUUGUAAUGCUUCCUGUUUUUUGGAUCAUCAAUUUCCAAAUGAUUUGGAUGAACACCCUAUUUAUAUAUAUGGAUUGUGUUGUUCUUGCUAUUUUAGUUAAUGAAAGCAAAUAUAGACCCCUAUAACUUGCUUUCUGAAUCAGUUUUUUUUUUUUGUUGCUAUGAACAUGUUUUAUAAUGAAGUCCAAAAAAAUCCAAGUAUUUUAGAAAUAGGUUUUCAAGUUGAAUAAUUAGUUAAUUAAAUGAUCUUAACAAUCUGAUUCAUUAAUAGCUUCUGGUUAGUACCAGCAAAAGAUCUAAUUUGAUAAAGGUGAGAACCCUUUAAUACUUAAAUAAGUAUCUUUUAAAAAAAAAAAAUACAAUAAUAUUCUAGAGAGAGAUGCUUUGAAAUAUAUAUAAUAAAAAAUGAAGAUUAUGAACCUCUCUGUUUUGAAGGUCUCAUUGAGAAUUAUGUGUGUUAAUAAGUGAAAAAUAUCAUAAACGAAGACUAAAAAUAAAAAUGAAAAAAAUCAAGAGACAAGUGUAGAUCAAAAUAUUUAAUUUCACAAGACAUGCCAUUUAUACGGUUGAGUUUGCUAAAUUUAUUAAUUAAAAUAAUUUUUUUAUUCAAUCAAAUGAUAAUAAAAAUAGACACACAUAUUAAAUUGAUUGAAUAAAAAAAAAGAAAAAAAAUAGUAUGCAAGACUGCACAUAUUAUAAAUAUUAUUUGAAAAUAAUUUUUUUAUUUAAAAAAAUAAAGUUCAUCUAUACAAAGAUUAAAAAAAAAAUCAGAAAAACAUCCAAAAAAAUUAAAAAAUAAUUGUCAUUUCAAUUAGGCUUUCUGAAUAUCAUAAAAGAGAAAACACAUAUUGAUCUAAAUAUAAAUAAAAUAAGAUUAAGAUAAAUUUAAAAAAAUUGAAAAAAAUUUGUUAGCUUUUUCUUCUUUUUAGAUAUUCAAACAUAUAAAGAUUUGAUAUUUGAGGGUUUUGUUCAGGUUUUUAAGUGACUGUAUCAGUUAUUGGGAUUCUCAAUGAAUUGUUAAUGAGGUUAGAGGAAAAUAAUUUCAUGAGAACUGUCAUAACCCAAUUAUGGGUUAUUCCCCAAAAAUAACUUUUUUUGCAAAAUAAAAAUAAAAUAAUAAAAUAAAGGCUGGAAAUAUGGAGAAAGCAGGCCGGGGAAUCAAGCUGUAAUUUUUUUUUUGGAGGCAAUUCAAGGCCUAAUUGUACCCCAUCAUACCAAAAAUGGAGAAAACAAUGCAAAUUCAAGGUCAAAUUAAAUGAUUAUUGGACAAAUUUGCAUAAACAUUAAGUCUAAGGAUAAAAUUAAAUUUUUAAUAGGCCAAUUUGAUUUAAUCAUGGGCCAAAUUGAAUUUUAAUUAUGUUUGAGAAUUAAUUUUGGUUCAAUUAAAGGAUUUAAUUAAGUGCAAGGACUUAAUUAUACUUUAAAUGAGUCAAAUUAAUUUUAUUUGGGGCUUAAUUUGUGAAAAUAUUAAGUCCAAGGACAUAAUUAAUUUUUUAAUAGGCCAAUUUGAUUUAAUCAUGAACCAAAUUAAAUUUUAAGAAUUACUUUGGGUCCAAUUGAAGGAUUUAAUUAAGUGCAAGCACUUAAUUAUACUUUAAAUGGGUCAAAUUAAUUUUAUUUGGGGCUUAAUUGGUGAAAAAUUAAGUUUGGGAGCUUAAUUUGGGUUUAAUUGAGAAGAUUGGAAUUUUAAGAGACCAAAUUUAAUUUUUUUACCAAGUUAAUUGGUUGAAAUUAGGGUCCAAAUUGCAAGAAAAUUAAAGUUUUGGGGUCAAUUAGGGGUUAAAUUGACAAAAUUCAAAGCCAAGGACCAAGAUGCAAAAGGCGCCAAACUAUAGAUGCUUAAUUGACAAAAAUCGGGGGGCAAAAUUGAAGAGAUUGGAAGUUUGAUGGUCAAUUACGGGUUAAUUGGCAAAUUCCGAGACCAAGGACCAUAUUGUAAAAGUCGCGUAACUUCGGGGUUCCAAUUGAAGUUCAUCCAGGGGGUUAAUUGCAAUAAAUUAGAAGUUUAGGGUCAAUUAAGGGUUCAAUUGAAAGCCAUUGAAAGCUUGAGGACUAAAUUGAAAAUCAGUUUAAAUCCCUAAUUACCCCGAAACGGCGUCGUUUUAUGAAAAAAAAAAAAACAAACGACGCGUCGUCUAGCAUUGUUCAUUAUCUUCCCCGAUUUUGCCCGUGAAUGCUGCCUGGGCAGCUACUUUUCAGGCGCAUUUAAUGCUUCUUUUCUACAUCAAAUCUAACAAAACGUGCAAGCAAAUGAUCCCCCACAGUUUCCUUACAACCCCAACUGAGCAUUUCAGUCUAAAUAUCAACCAGACGGCGCCGGCUUGAACAGGCCAACUCGGGCAGCUUUUUUCUGCAAAUUAAACAGCUCAUGAUGCUCACUUUGAGCCAACGGUUGGGAUCCUUCUCGACCGAAUCAAGGGCUGAAAUUUUUCCCCAAUGUAGACAAGAUUGCUCUCUUCCACAUCCUAUAAAUAGAGGCAGAUUUGAUGGUCUGGGGGCGAAGAAAAUUGAACCCAAAGUUGGCCGAAAACCAGUCUUCCCUGCCUCGUUUUCCUACAACCAACCCUUUCUCUUCUUUCUCUCUCCGCCGUGGCCAUCAGCCACCACCACCAUCAUCACUUGUCUUCUCGCCGUCAUCUCCACCUCAAGCAGCCGUCAAAACAUCACCUGUGGUGGUUGCACCACUUAUCUCUCUCUCUCUCCUCUGUAAAACGCUUCUUCUCUGCCACCGUGGCCCCCGCAGCAGCCGCAGCAACCACCUGGCCCAGAAGCUUUGGUUCUUCCCAAAGGCCGCCAGGACAGUAGCAACCCUCUCCACAGCCACUCCAACAGCUCCAACCGCGAGUUUCCCCUCUCCUUUGCAAGCCUCUGCUUCUUUUUCUUCCAACUGCAACCAGAGCUAGCUGCUGACCUCUCCACUUCCAGCCGCUCCAGGGGCCACCAGCCAGGCCGUCAGCUCCUUCAGCGCCAGGUAAGUCUCCCUCCUCUCUUCUCCUUCUUCUUCCCUUCACUGCCAUUGCUGCACAUGAACAGUGCAACAUGAAUUAUAAUUCACGUUGCACUGUUUCAUGCAACUUAGUCACUGGGCUGUACAGUGACUAAGUUGCUUCGGGCUGGACCUGCCCUAGCCCAGCCCAGUUGGUUGGGCCGGGUCCAGCCCGUUCCUAAAAUACAGGGAGAAGGAUAUGUUGCGCCGAGUCUGGCCCAACUAGUUUGGGCCGGUAUCAGCCCACUUGUUCAUGGACCUGUUCUGGGUCCAGCCCACCGGUUUUAAUAAUGUUUAAUUAAUAUAUAAUGUUAUAUUAUAUAUAUUUUCUUUUUUAAAAAAAAAAAAUUCAAAAAAACGAAAACAAUUCCAAAAAAAUUCAAAAAAUCCUUUGAAAAAAAUUGUGAUUUUCUCAAAUAUUUUUCUACCAAUUUUGCGUAAUAUCGGGUUGUAUAUUUACACUGUAAAAUACAAAUCCAGUAUUAAAAUACCGUUUUCUCCGAAAUAUUUCAAAAAAAAAUCAAACAUUUUCAAAAAGAAAAAAUAUUUCAUUGCAUACGGCCAAAUCCUAAAAUUUUUCCAAGCAUGUUUUGCAUAAAUAAUAAUAGAAAUAAAAUAAAAAAAAAAAUAGAUAUCGUAACCAGUUUAUGAUUAUCCCUUAGGAUUUGGCCAACAUGUCAAAAAAAGUUUUCCAAUAUUUCUUAAGGUCUAGAUGUAAACUUUAAUAUUUGUGGGGUGUAAAAUUACACGAUAAAGUACACCCUCAAGUAUUAAAGAUACAAGAGGUAAAUAAAUGCGAUGCUAAUAUGCAGACUUUAGAACGGUUGGGAUUUAACCCAAUAAGGUAGAGACUUUCUCAUGAAGGGAGAUCUACCUUAAGCCUUAGAAAAGACCAACGAUUUGACACCCGACCUAGAAAAACAAUCAAACAACAAUGCAGCUUACCUUAGGUAGGGUGCACUGGAGGUGAUGCGUCUUCCCCUUGCACAACCAGUCCCUUAUUCAGACUCUUGCAGACCAUAGGUUCCUAGUGACCAUAAUACUAGGUGGCGACUCCUAAACAUUAAUCAUAAUUUUAUGAUUAAAUUCAAAAACCUUUCCCAACGCACAACACCUCUCACACAGGAGGCACGACAGAGAGCCUCCGCCGUUGCCAGACGAUGUCCCCCCGCGACAAGAACAACCAGACAGUACUAUUGUGCUUCUUAUAAUGAUUCAGGAGUUGCUUAGAGUUCUUGAAAACGGGCAUUUCUUGCAUUGAUGGAUGUCUGCUGUAUAUUUGUUUAUGACUUUUUAUUCUUUUGUGUGAAUAGCCCCCUUAUUCAUAAAAGCCUUAUGUAAUGUUGAAUUAAUAUGCAUAUCAAAAUAUUAAAAAAUGAAGGAGAAGGAGAAUAUGCUUUGUGGGAUUCAAUAGCUAUUGUAUGUUGAAGACAUUUUCAGAUAUAAGGGGUCCCAAAACAAGCGUGGUGGAAAACAGGUGUAUCUGUGGGAAGUUCAAAGCAAGCUGAUUCAUUGCAUUUAUGAGUGUUUGAUAUGUGGAAAAGUUAUUGUUGACUUUUAUAUAUCAUUUAUCCCAAAUUUAUUUUUAUAAAUAAAGAGUAAUAUUUUCUUUUGAGCCUCGGUUAUCUGCCUCUUCCUCUUAUAUAAAUUUCUCUUAAGUCUAGAUAAACAAGUAAUUUCUUUUGCUUUAUAUUUUAGGUAAAUUUCUUUCAUCUUUUCUAUUUAUUUUAUUGUUUAAUUUUACUUUUAUUCUUUUAUAAUUAGUUAUUAAAAAUAUUAGGGUUUAUGAUAAUUUAGGGGUUUUGAUAUGAAUGUAUUCAAAUAUAUUCAAAAUAAAGGUUUGAAUUUACUAAUUUAAUCAAUUAAAUGUUUCUUUUAUUAUUAUAAAUUAAUUAAUUAAUGUUCAUGCAAAACUACUAUUCUUGACGUUUCUUGUACUGACAAGGUAGAUUAUUAAAAUUAUUUAACUGAGAUCUCUUAAUUUACAAUAAUCAUGGAUUACUUAUUUUAUUAAGGUCUCUUAAUUUACAAUGUACAUAUAUUGAUUUUCAUUUUAUAUCACAAAUUUGUUUGUAAUUAAUUGUUAAUGAGAUGCUUGGAGUUAGGAUAGGGUAUCGGUUUAAAUCCCAUAAGCUACACUUUUUCCAUCUUGAUAUUUUGUCUUAUUUGAAAUUAGAGUUUAGUAUUAAAACUUGUUUCACAUAUUUGACUUAGUGAGUUCAUUCAAUUUUUUUGUGUUUGUCUAGAAAUAAUUUAAAUGUUUAGAAAUGAUUAAGUAUAAUUUUAUCAACAUACUUAUUAUAUGCAUAUAGAUAUGAAUUGAAAUGAGUUUUGAUAAAUUGAUGCGUAUUUUGCUAUGAAUUUAUAUAAAAAAUUUAAAAUUAUUGUGUAAUUCAACUAACUUUUGUUUAACAGUGAAUUAUUGUGUAGUUAUGUUGAUUAUUAUGUAGACAUUAAUGAUAAUAAAAAAAAUCAACAGGUUCAAUUAAAUCAACAUGUUACUAGACAAGUAUUUCAAGCAUAAAUCCCUCGAGGAUGAAGAGUUAUUCAAAGCUUCAAAUUAUGUAACUCAAUUAAAUUCAAAUAAAAGUCAUAUUAAAAAGUUAUAUAAUUUUUUUUUAGUAAUUUUCCCUCUCAUCUAAAAAACUUUGGCUCCGCCACUGUAUAGGCACUUGGAGCUUUUCCUGAAAAAGUUGUUGAUUGUGAUGGCGAAAUCAUCUAUAAUGUUUUUGAGGUGUUUUAAAAGAAAUAUAUAAAAUAAAAAUAUAAUAAAUUAAUAUAAAAUAAACAUAGAGAUCAUUUUUAGAAACUAAUAAAAAUCUAAAUCACAAAUAAAAUAUAAAAAACUUCAUAUAAAAAUAUAUAUAAAAAAGAAAAAUCGAUGUUUUAGCGAUGCUUUGAUAGCUAGAAAAUCGAGAGCCACCAUUCCUGGGCAUGCAAAAUGCCAUUUUCAAUUAUUUUUCAACUUUAAAAUCAAUAGCUAGAAAAUCGAGAGCUACCAUCUAAAUUUUUAAUUUAAUUAUUUUUUAUAGAUUAAAACUGAACUUAACUGAAAAUAAUUGCUUCUAAUUUUUAGUAUAAAAACCUCAAACCCAUCCUAAUAGUUUUUAUAGACCCAUUUUCAACUUCAAAAUCUAUUCUAAUCCACUUUAAAUGGUUUUAAAUUGAAGUUAAAGUUUCGAAGCAAAAAACAUAUAGGCUUUCAUCUAAAUUUUAGAUCAUGGAUUGGUUGUUCAUGGAAACUAAUCAAUUCAACUCAAUCAUAUGACUUAUAUUAUAUUUUUUUAUUUUAUUAUUAAUUAAAAUAGAUAUAACAUUUUAAAAUUCUUGAACUUUCUUAAAAAAAAAAAUUGUUGAAUUGUGGCCCCCCUAUCUUUUUCUCUCUCCUCAUCCAAUAUUGAGUGACUUUCUUUCUUCUCUUUCAAACAUAAGAAAUAUUGAAAUAUAAUUUUGGAUCAAAACUUAAAAUGCUAAAAUUAUAGAAACAAAAUGAAAAAUAUAUAAAGAAAAAGGAACAAAAGUGCAUUUCACUCUAAACUUUAGAAAGGUCAUGUGUUUUCUUUUAUCUUUUUUUUUUUAAUUUUGUCUUUAUGGAACAAAUUCAAACAUCAUCUUAUUAAAUUUAAAUUGAUUUCAAAUCAAGUUUCAAAAUCUAAUAAUAGAAAAAAAAGUAUGAGGAUAAAGAAAGGAAUCACUAUGAAUAAUUUUGUUACACUAAUAUGAUUGAAAAGACACUUUAAUGUAUGAACUGCUAGCUAUUGGUUAGUGCAAUAAGUGUUUAUAUAAUUAUUUUCACGAGAUGUAUGUUUCUAAAACUCAAUAUUUAUAUUUUUCAAAUCACUUCACGUCUGCUACAAAGAACAUUCAUCACAUUAAAGACGAUUAAUGACCUCUCUGACUGUUUUAAAAACUAAAACUGAAUUGAACUGGAAAUUUUUUAUUUUUUAAUUAAUUAAUUUGAUUUUUUUAUUUAAUGUUUUCAGUUGAUUUUUCUUAAUUGAUUUUUAAGUUUUCUUGAGUAUCAUUAAUGCUUAUUAUACUGAAAAUCAAGAAACCAAAUACCUUGAUAAAGUCUGCAAAAAAGCAAAGGGAUAAUUUGAUAUUAUCAGCAAGGAUAAUCAAAGAAAAAAAAGAUUAAAGCAUGCAAAACAAAAUAGCCAAGAAAAAACUAUCUAACUAAAUUAAGGAAGUUUACUUUUCAAAAAUAAAAUAAAAAUAAAAAUGAGAUGAACCAAUUAUAAGCACCUAAUCUAAUUUCAAUUCACAUAAAAGAGCAUAAGAGAUCAUCUCAGUGGGACAGUAUAAAAAAGCAAAAGAAAAAUUUAUUCAAGAGCGCAUGAGUGAUGAAAGUUAAUUUUUUGGUUACAAGAGAUCAAAUAUUUUAAAUUAUAUUUAUCCCUCAGUUUUUCUUGAUUUAGUCUUCACUUUACAUCAACAUUAUAUUCUAACAUUUAUUUUUCUAUUAACAAUAAAAAAAUAUUUCUUCAACCUAAACAAAAGUUAACAGUGCUAUUUUUGGUUACAAGAUGAAGAUGAGGUCAUUCAUUGCGCGCUGGUGGAAGCCAUGAAAAUCCCUAUAGCGAUAAAUUAGUACCGAUCCCUUCUAGCCUCAACUAGCUAGCUUUGUUCAGCCAUUGCUUUCCACGCUAUUGUGUAAGGCCUCUCCUGUGGUCAAACAUGAAACAGAAGGUAAGAUCAGGAAAUUGGGCAAUUAAAUCUACCAAUUAGCAAUUCCAAGCUGCAACAUGUACAAUUCUACUUAUAAAUCAGAAAACACCAAAUUUCUACAAGUAUUACACGAAGCUAGACGAAACAAACCGUGUGGUAAGUGUUAACUAAAGAGGCACAAGAUCCAGGCAAGCCCAAUAUUUGUUUAUUCGUCUGGUAUCUUAGUAACCAACUUCCAAAGCCCUGGAUUUUCUUACGGGUCUUUUUCUUACACUGUAAAGAAGAUGGAGUUUCGGUGGAGAAAAAGCAAAAAGAGAAAUGAAAGGGAUAUCGAACGCGCAUUGGGCAGCAGAGGCACCUUCCUGUCAAGAGCAGGGGUUGGCCCCACACAUCACAAUUGAGGUUUGCAGGCUUCUUUCUUCUUUUGUUUUUGGUUUUUAAGAGAAAAACAAUGCCAACUGUAUAUGUACUUUCUCCUUGCAUUUGGUUUUUUCUACAUAGAGAUGUAAAAAUAGUAUUUUAGUAGAAAAAAAAAGUAUUUUAGCGAUUCAAAUAGCUAUGCUCCAAUGACUUUAAAUUAUAAUUUGGAUGACAAAAUUUAACAAUGAAAGGCAUAAUAAAAUAUAAUCUAUAAUAAAUAUCAUAUUAAUAGCUUGUUUUAAAUAUUUAUAUAAUUUUGUGGGUCUAGUAGGAUCGAAAAGACCCUUCAAUGUAUAAAUUAUUGUUGUUUAAAACAAUAUAUUUAGUCUAAAAGUUAGAAAAUAGCUUUGUUUUAAAUAUUUAUAUUAUUUUUUUCACGUAAAAUAUAUUAAUCAACAGAAAGCUAAAACAUGCAGUGAAAUCACUGUAAAAUACUGGAGGUUUUGUCUUUGGUUUGUUGGAAAGUAAAGUUGUUUUUUGAGGGCUGUUUUGGUCUUCUUAAGAGGGAUAAAAAAGAGAGGUGAUGAUGAUUCUUGACCCAAGAAAAAGAAAAAAGGGAGGAAAGACGAGCUUGGAUUCAAUAUUGCGUCUUGUUCCCAGUUUCUUAUUGGACAGGACUUGCGCAAUUUGAUUUACAGUUGGUUAGAAAAAAAAAAGUUAUAAUCGAUCUUUCAGUUUUUCUUGAUUUAGUCUUCACUUUACAUCAAUAUUAUAUUCUAACAUUUAUUUUUGUAUAUAAUUCUUGAUAUCACAUGCAUCAAUUCUUCUAUUAACAAUAAAAAAAUAUUUCUUCAACCUAAACAAAAGUUAACAGUGCUCGCAUAUUUUUGCAAGAACAUGGUGUGCUGUGGUUUCUUCGAUGGUCAGAAAAUCAAGGGCCAUCAUCCAUGGGCAUCCAAACACCUUUUGCACUGUAAAGAAGAUGGAGUUUCGGUGGAGAAAAAGUGAAAAGAGAAAUGAAAGCGAUAUCGAACGCGCACUGGGCGGCAGAGGCACCUUCCUGUCAAGAGCUGGGGUUGGGCCCCACACAUCAAAAUUUAAAAUUUUAAAAUUGAAACUGAACCGGAGAAUUUUAAAACUGUAACUGAAUUGGAUUGAAUUUUUAUUUUUUUUAUUUAGUUUCUUUUCGUCAUUUGGUUUUUCUAGUUGAUUUUUUUUUUAGUUUAAUCAAUUUUUCAGUUUUCUUGAAUAUCCCUAAUGCUUAUUAUACUGAAAUAUGAUACUUGAAACCAAGGUUGUUAAAAUCGCGAUUUUAGAACGAAACGAAAAGCCGUUCACAAAAUCGAAUCGUAAAAACGGAUCGUAAAAUCGUAAAAUCGUAAGGAAUUUUAAAAUACAUUAAAAAAUUCAUGUUUCAAAUAAAAAUUCAUACAUAGUUCAAGCAAAUUAAAAAACAUGUUUCAAAUAAAACUUCAUACAUAUUUCAAGCCUUCAAAUAAAAAUUCAUAUAUAGUUCAAGCAUCUUAAAAUACACCAAAUAUUUAUGACAUUAUCUAACAUAAUAAAUUAAUAAAUUAUUUUUUAAUUUAUUUUUUAUGACAUUAUCAUAUAUUUAAAAAUAUUUUUCAAUUUAUAUGUUAUAAUAUCACCAAAUAUUAAAAAGUAAUUUGCCUUUCAUAAAUCCAUUUUCUAUGAAAAUUAUUUUCCACUACUUUUAUGAAGCAGUUUAGUUCUUCUUCUUGCUUACGUGCUCUUACACUAUUUUGCUGAACAUCACAUCCAAUCAUGUUUUCAGGUCUGUGAUAGGCUAUUCAGUAAAUUGCAGGAAGCAAUGAUGAGGCAGCCUGACAGGUGGAAUACCGAAGCAGACGUUAAUGGGAUGGGAUCAUUAAAUUAACUUAAUCUGAAGACCGAAGCGAAGACCGAAGACUGAAGAGUCACGUAAAUGGGAAAAGCAAAUUCCAAUAGGCGUCUGACAGGUGGACAUUAGGGGGGAAUUUUCAGUGCAGCAAUUCUAUUGAAAUCGUACAAUCGGUCCUGAUAUCGCGAUUUGACGCGAUUUCAUUUGAUUUUAACGAUUUUACCCGAUUUCAACUCGAUUUUACUCAUUUUUGAUUUUUUCAACCGAUUCAACCCGUAAUGCAUGUUUUGACUCGUAAAAUCGUACGAUUUUACGAGUCAAAACGCGAUUUUGACAACCUUGCCUGAAACAUUUCCGCUUUCUUUAUAAAGGUUAUAAAGCGCAUAACAAUCCUGCACAUUUGUGCAUCCUUGAGUUCUUUUUUAUUCAAAUUAUAUUCUUUUGAUCAGUAUUACUAGUUAAGCACAAUCACAUUAAAUAAUAAAUAAUCAUCAUUUUCAUGUAGUAUUAAGUAUACCUUAUUUGCAGAAACAAUUCUUGUGGGAAUUGGCCGAAAAUUUUCUUUGAGAGUGUAUUUACCUCUAUUUUGUUCUACAUUCUUUUCUUUUCAAUGUUUUUUUUCUUACUUGUCUAUUAAUACUGUAAUGUGGGAUUAAUACUGUGAAUAUAAAAUAUAUAUACUAAAAGACUUCAAGCAUAUAACAGACAUAAUUACAAGGGUGAAGAGUGGUGAAUUAGAAUUAUAACCUUUAACGCUUAUUGUCAAGAUGUAACUUUUAUCUUUUUUUCUUAUAUUACUUUAUUAGUAUAAAUAAUAUUACCCAAAUCCAUUUUUCUUCAACAAUAUUCUCUCCGUCAUCUACUAUCUCCCUCGUCUUCUUUCCUAUUCUACAUCAAUAGAAAAACUGACUAGUUCAAACACAAAUAUGAAAAAUUGCAGCCUAAGUGGAGAAUUGAGUCAUUCGCCCAUCUGUUAGAUUACUGUUAGAAAAUAACUAGGGGAGGAGGUAAGAAGAAAAGCACGGUACGUGAUAAUAGAACUCUUUCAUAUCAUAUACCGUAUUAUAAUUAUAAUUAUAUAUAAAAAAAACCCUAAAAGAGCUCAUGAAAACACUAUAUAUCUACUCUACUUUUAUUAUUUUACUGUGAAUUCUAGUAGUAUUUUUUUGUUUAUAUCGCAGGCUUUCUCACAUUUUUUUUUAACUCUCAUCUCUUUUGUUUUUCUGAACUUAUGUUGCUUGAAAAGAGUUGUUGGAUGCCCACCACGUUUAUUUUUUAAACUUUGUGUACUCUCUCUCUCUUGCCAUUUAUUUUUUGUUUUUUUUUUAAAAAAAUCGAAAUUGAUAUAUUAAAAGAUUAACCAGAAGAUAGCUAAAAAUAAAAUAUACAAAAGAAAAAAAAUUACAAAAACAUAAAGCAGACGAAAAAAGAAAAAAAAUAAAGAAAACAAACCAACAGAAACAUAACAGAAUGAAAAAUACAUCAAGUCUUAGCCCUUUCACAUAAGGGAAUGUGAGUUAGGGAAAUACUCGGUGUUUUUCUUAAAAUACACGUUUUUUUAACUCUCAUCAAGCCUUUGAGGACUAGUCGGUCACAUUGAAUAACACCAUAUUUUUUUGCGCCCUUCCUGUUUAAGAAAAUGCCAUUGUGCAUCAGUUAGGAGAAUUGAGCUCAUCGAGUCCUAAUGGGCAUUUUACAACCAAAAGCAUGUUUCUAAAACUAAUUAUUCUAAAACUAAUUAAAGAAUUGAGCUCAAUAUUUAUAUUUUUCAAAUCACUUCACGUCCGCAAUAAAGAACAUUCAUCACAUUAAACACGAUUAAUGAAAUUUAUGGUUAGAUUUUUCAAUAAUCACUGCUCACUGAACAAAGCUCAAUUUUUCAUUCAAAGAAUGAGCGAAUAUUUUUAGACCUGACUUAACAGCAUAAUAUAUCUAUUGUUCCACUUUUUACGAGCUAAUUUCUUGACACAUGAGAUGUAAUAAACACACAAACAACAAUUCAAAAUCACACUCAUGAACAAUCACAUAAUACACUCUUUUAGGUUCUUGUUCUCAUUGUUAUACAUUUGUUUUCUCAUGUGUGGUUGUUAACUUAGUUAUCAGAGAGUUGAGUUCUCUGUCCCAUGAAAAACUUGUUUUGUAGGAAUUCAUGAACCACAAGCCUAACCCAACUUAAAAAUUUUCAAAAUUCAUUACACCAGUCAUGUAAAAAUGGAACUCUCGUAAUUAAGGCCGCUAUUUUAUUAUGUAAAAACUCACAAGGAGGAAGAGAACCAACCAUCAGCGGCAUCACCCUCUUUGGGACCUUGAUUUUCAUCGGAUUAGCACACAACACAUCAAGUUGGCUGGAAAGGACUGCCAAGGUGUGAUUCUGCAUAAUUAUUUUGCUAUGAUUUUUUAAAUUAAGAUAGAAAAAAGAAGUAAAAAAAUUACAAAUAAAAAUAAUAAUUACAAAAUGGAAAUUUGGCAGAAGACUCCUUAUUUAAUUCCGUUCUCUUUCAUGUCUCUCUCAGAGUUUGAUUUCCUGUGUUGUUAUGAUCCUCAUACAAAUGAAGAGAGUAUGGCUAUUGCUGGUAUGGAUUGAUUUGUAAUGGUGAAUCUCAAAUGCGGCUAUCUGGUGGUUGUUAGUGUUUUGUUUUCUGUAUGUGUGGUGGCUAACGGGUGUUGCUUUGGUGGUUAAGAAGAUGCAUUGGAACUAUGGUGGGUCACAAUGAUCACAAGUCUCUUCAUUCAUUCUUGUUCAAUGCAAGAACCCAGCGAAGCCUAUUCCCAGAACAAAAUAAAUAUGCUUGCUAUACAACAGCAUUCAGAGCUGAGUCAAAACUCACAGACCAAAUGAAGAUCUUCAAUGCUUGACGACUCCUUUCAAGAAACUAUAUACAAUAGAGAGGCUAGUCUCUAGCAGGCAGUUCUUCAUUAGAUCACAGGUUUCCAUAGCCAGGCUUGGCAAGGAACAAAGAAUUAAUGACACCCAUAAAAGAAGGGGGCCACGUUGGUGUAGCAAUGAGAGGAGGACCCCUUGCACUGAAUCAGUUAAAGAAAUAAGGUGAUUCCAACACUUCCCUCAGCUCAAAGUCUCCCCGGUCAGGCAAAGGCGGAAAAGACAACGUGGGAAAAGACUUUUCAAAGCUCUCCAACAACUGCAUACAAAUCCAACAGUAUAAAUGAUGAGUUCUGCUAAAAAAGAAAAAACCCUCAGACUUGGAUUUGACACUGCACAAUUCUUUUAAAUGCUAAUUCAAGUUGAAAUUUAUAGGCAUUUUGUUUUAUCCCAAAACAUAAUUGAAACAGCAGAUGAGAACAUAUUAUAAGGAAUGCUUUAAUUAACUGCAACAAGUGUUGUUUCUUUAAACAUAUGGUACGUAUCUCUUUUCUUUGUUCUUUUAUUCACAACCAAAACAACCGCAAUCGAAUAAAGCUAGUAAAAAAUAAUUAAUUUCCUCUUAUCCGCUCUGACAAAUAAACUUCAAAAAUAUUGUAUUGGGUUUUUGCCUUCUACAAAUAUAUAAUGAUGCCAAUGAAUGGGCCAUUGCCCUUAUGAGUUUUAGAACAAUAUAGCAGUGCUAAUACUUACAUUCUCCAAUAUAGGUGUUUCAUAGAGUUCAACAAACUUUUCCCUCAGUAUCCUGUUCAUUUCAUCCACAUCACAUGCAUGCGUCCAAUAUGAAUCGUGAACUCCUGUGAUGGUAUGCCAAUAUACAGUAAUGAGAAAUCAAAACUAGGAAUAGGACAGCAAUUGAGACAAAAUCCAGCAAUGAGUGAAAAACCUGCAAAGUUUAAGCCUGCCCCUUUGCAGGCAACUGCAGUCAUCAUCAUAUGAGAACUAUCAAGGGAAUGAACAAAAUUUGGUGGGAAAGCUGUUCUCUGUCGUUGGACCAUAACCUGUAACAGUAAAAGAACUGCCAAACUUUGAGAUCCAAGAGCCAGAAGGUACAACCUUUUCCCCCUUUGUUUGAGUAUUUUGGUCACAGUCCAGACUAAAUAAAGAAAAAAAAUCAGGGCAAUUUAGCUAGACAAAAAGCCAAGGCACCCACUGAAGUCUACCAGAAGUCAUGUUCAGAAAAAUUGGUUCAGAAAAUGGGGAAACAGCUAGCAGAAUGUACCAAUGUAAGAUACUAUAUCCUCAAACAACAUUUCAGCAAUAAAAACAGGUUAUUUCAGAUUUUUCACAAUUUCAUGUGUUAUCAACAUCUUAGCACAGACUCGAAGUCAAAGUAAAUAUUAUGGAAUCUUGAUUACCAAAGCAGAAACAAGCAACAAAGUUAAGUAACGUUACCUUGUCAGUUUCUUUUUGUAGUAUUAAAACCUGUAGGGAAGUUUUGAUCUGCAGCAAUUGCACAAAAGGAAGAUAAGAGUACUCAAAAUGCCCUCUCUAUCGAUAUGAAUGUAACAAAAUGCCGAUCAUUUUUUUUUUUCAAGACUUUGAGAUCCAAGACUAAAUAAAGUAAAAGAACUGCCAAACUUUGAGAUCCAAGAGCCAGAAGGUACAACCUUUUCCCCCUUUGUUUUAGUAUUUUGGUCACAGUCCAGACUAAAUAAAGAAAAAAAUCAGGGCAAUUUAGCUAGACAAAAAGCCAAGGCACCCACUGAAGCCUACCAGAAAUCAUGUUCAGAAAAAUUGGUUCAGAAAAUUGGGAAACAGCUAGCAGAAUGUACCAAUGUAUACUAUAUCUGUGAUGUUUUGUAAUAAAAAGGAAUGAGAAAAUACAAUAAAGCCCUUGGAGGCUUAAAGAGAGGGUAAAUGAUUGAAGGGUAUUGUGGUAAUUGACCAAUAGUUGAUAAAUAUAUAUAAGAAAAAAAAAAAAAAGAAUGAUCUGAUUUUGAGAGAAAGAGAGUUACGGGAGAAGAGAAGAAAAGAGGAAGAAGAAGAAAAGAAAGGAGAGAAGGAAAGAAAGGAGAAAAGAAGUAGAGGAAAUAAGUAAAAAGGUAAGAUUUAUGGUUUUAAGUGUAUAAUAUGUUAAAUUUCGGUUUUGAUUAAUUUUGAGAGUUUUGAAGUUUGUAUUUUGAGUUAAUUGAUGAAUUAGUUUGAAUUAAGGGGUUGAUUGAUGUGGAUAUUUGAUUAAUUAGUUGAUUUUGAGAGAUUGAAUUAAAGGAUAAUGAUUUUGAGUUAUGAUUUUGUUUAAAUGGUGAAAUUGUGUUAGAAAUCAGGGGAUAACAGUAGGUGAUCUGUUGAAAUUCUGAGUUUGAGGUUGAAGAUGACGAAAAUUCAGUUUGGUCCCUCAAUUUAUGGAAAUUGCAGUUUAGUCCCCGAACUUUGGAAAUUUUACAGAUUGGUCCCUGGGGCAUAAAUUGAGGUUCUGAACAGAACUGAGGAUGAUUUAAGGACAAAAUUCCAGUAUAAUUAAUAUUUUCAGUUUGGUCCUCCAAUUUGACAAAAAGUAUAAUUUGACCCUAAAAAUUUGGUAAAGUUCCAGAAUGGUCCUUGGAGCAUAAUGAUAUAUCCUGGACAGAAUUGAGGAUUAAUUAUGGACAGAAUUUCAGUAUGGUUAUAUAUUUACAAUUCAGUCCUCAAAUUUUGGUAAAAUUACGUUUUGGUCCCUGUUUUGGAAAAUUGUCGUUUUAGUCCCUAAACUUGGGAGAUUAAGCCCGGUUUAUUUUAUGCUUUGGGAUCUUUUGUUUGAUCUGUUUUUGAGUAUAUUUCAUAUAUUUAUUGUAGGUUCUCCUAACGAUCCUUAAUCGGAUUUCCGGGUCUUUUGUCUGACAUUCCUUUUAGUUCUAUAUUGUCCGGGUGAGUGGAAUAAUCUUUAAUAUGCAUAUAAUAUAAAUAAAUAUGUAUGUUGAUUAUACAAUGAGUACGACUAGUAAGUUUCUUGAAUAUUUAUAUAUGUUGCUUUAUUUUUCGAGUACUCAUUUAUUCUUGAAUUUGCAUUCGCAAUCUGUCAAAGUAAAUUCUAUUUGAUAUGAUAUACGUUUCUUUGAUGAUUAUGUGAAUAUCUGUUAUGCCUUGAUAUGGGACUUGUCAGUACUCCAUGCUAACGGAGAAUAGUUAGCCUGUGUGCACAUAGUAUUCUGUUACCUAACUGGUGAGAGAGGCAUCAGCCUGUGGCGAUUGAUCAUCCCAUAGUGGUCACCGACGGGUGUCAUCUGGUCACCUUCGGGUGUCAUCUGAUCUCUGACAUGUAAUCCACUACGUUAUGAUAAUAUGUUACGUUAUGAUAAUAUGUUUAGUAAGUAUAUGUAUACGUAUAUGUAUAUUAAGAUAAAUCAUCUUACAAAUUAUAAUAUCUGAAAUAUCUGAAAUGUAUAUUAAAUGUUAUUCCCCUCACUGAGUUGGUUGAACUCACCCUCAUUUUUAAUAUUAUUUCAGGUUCUUAUUCUUAGUUUCUGAUAGCAGUUGGACUUUGUUGAGUGUUUCCGCUUCUUCAGUUCUGGUCGGUAUGCCUUGCUUGUUCGCGAGGUUUUCCUUUCAGUUUUGAUUUGAUGUCUUAGACGCUCCACUAUUACCUUAUUUUAAUUACGUUUGGAUUUUGACAAUGUAAAUGUAUUAUGAAUUAUUAUUUUUGUUUUAAUAACUAUCUUUCGGUUUUAUCAGUAUUUGAAUAAUAUAAUAUUUCUGAAUAUUAUGAGCCGCUGCGUAUUUUGGAACAAAUUGUUCUUUUGAUAUGUCUGUUCUGAGGCUUAGCGUAGGUGAGGUGUCCUUUCGACACCGCUCCUGCGUUGCCGGUCACGGAUCCGGGAUUCGGGUCGUGACAAUAUCCUCAAACAACAUUUCAGCAAUAAAAACAGGUUAUUUCAGAUUUUUCACAAUUUCUUGUGUUAUCAAAAUCUUAGCACAGACUCGAAGUCAAAGUAAAUAUUAUGGAAUCUUGAUUAUCAAAGCAGAAACGAGCAACAAAGAUAAGUAACGUUACCUUGUCAGUUUCUUUUUGUAGUAUUAAAACCUGUAGGGAAGUUUUGAUCUGCAGCAAUUGCACAAAAGGAAGAUAAGAGUACUCAAAAUGCCCUCUCUAUCGAUAUGAAUGUAACAAAAUGCGAAUCAUUUUUUUUUUUCCUGUCAGUACUAUAUGAUCUACUAUGCUUCUGCAAAUGUUAUAGAACUCACACUUCGCGUCCCUAAUUUACGAUAAGGUUGUACAACAGGAAGUCCUAGGGGAGUUGUCCACCGCACUGGCUCAUUUUCAGAUGCGAUAAUCUGGUCAGGUAAAAUGCAAAGAGAAAAUGUAAACAGAAUGUCAGUUGUUGGUAUAGAAACUAGAUAAAAAAAUAACCAAAAAAGGAAAAUCAACAUAAAGGAAAAACAAAUAAAUUGAGACAGACUCACCUUUGCACAAUCCCCAAGCCAGUUCAUGAUACUUCGUGCAGCUUCAAACAUCUCUCCUAAGGCAGUUAAGGUCACCUGAUCAAGCAACAAUAUAAAAUAUUGUCAGUGACAUGUUCUAUGAAAAAGAGUAAAGCUAAGGAAUUAUGAAUCAUCACUGUUGGGACGCUCCCUUCACACCUUUGCAGCAUAGCAAGAACAACCAAAGAUAUCUGACUCCUCUGUGAUACCACGCUCCUUUAACCUCCUUUUGAUCUGGUCUCUAGCACCAAUGUAAGUUACACCAUAUACAGAUGUCAUCACUGUCUGUUUCACCAAUUUCCUAUCCACCUAGAUGGAGUCAAACCACCAUUAGUUUGAAAGUAAAAGAACUUAUUCACAUUGAAAAAUGGCAAGGUACACCCUAUCUUUUGAAUGGGCCAAAAAAAAAAAAAGGAAAAGCAUGAAACAGUGUUGACCCAAUAGUAACUAAGCAAUCCCUUAGUGACAGGAGACCACUAUGAUCAACAAUCAAAGCAUGCAAAAAACCUGGUUUAUUAAUUCUUUUGCACGCAAUGCAUCAGGAAAAACAUCUGGAUCUUUCUGUGCAUCCCUCCGCAUGAUAUCAAGUACUCUGCUUCGCAAAAGUGCAUGUUUAUCAUAGCAUCCUUUUGCAGAUAUCUGCUUGCUUCACAUCUAGAAAUGCACUACAGAAAUAUAGGAUUGAAAAAGAAAAAUUCUUGUAGAGGCUUUACAAAUUUGGCUCCAAUCAAACAUAUCCAAUGAAUACUACAGGACUUUGACUACUGCACAUGAAGGGCUAACAUAUUUAUCUGGUCAAAGGCCAUGAAAUAAGAGCAUUGCUGACUAAAGUUUUGCUUUGAUUGAAUUGAAACAAAUUAAAGUUCCUAAUUUAAGCAGAAAUAUGAAGCUUCAAUUGGAUGUUACUACUUCAUUACAAAUACCUGGAUUUCCUUGAAAGCCAGAAAACUCGGCCAGUGAAAUACAUUCUUCUUUUAGUUUUGUGAGAGUAGGGCUUCCAAACUCUUAGUCUUUGGGAUGAUAAUGUUAAUUGCAGAUUUCUAUUCGAUCCAAUACAUGCUGGUAGGUAUGCUUCAGAAAAACUCGGACCCAAUUAGGAAGCAUUUUUGGUUUAUAUCCCUAGGAUCAUAUUUGCGGGUCAUCCUAUUAAGAGUUGGUUAUAAAUCUAAAAAUUCAGAUUCUGUCCUCAUGUAAUUAAAUGGAACUUCAGAUUUAAAGAAGAGUAUCCCUUUAUUAAGCCCUCUAACCAAGAGUUUCCACAAUUUUCAGCACAAGUUCUUUAGUUCCUCAAAAAAUCUCUGCGUUUUCAAAUCUUCGACCUAAUCUUUAAAUCAGUCUGAGUAAAAACAACCAGCUCCAUUGGUUUGCUUCAACAAAAGCUCAUCUUAGCUCAAAUCUUUUCUACUGUAUCAUGAGGAAACCCCUUACCUAGCAGCUAUUCCCGAGUAGACAUCUGCAGGCUUCUCUCCUGCAACUAGAUUAACAGCAGCUGCUCCCAACUGUUCAAGAUUCCAAUGAUUUAACAAAAGCAGAGGGAUUCAAAAUAUAAUCAAAUGCAUUACUUUCCUAUUCAAAAAUAAAAACGAAGUUCAAAAAAUAAAAGUUUGCAGACCACUUCUAAAAAACACGACUUGAAUUCAACAAUGAUUGGCAUCAGCACAGUGCCUUAGGAAACGAAAAUCAGACAAAAAGAUGGUUUUGUUUAUCAGCAGUAAUCAUAAAGAAAAGAAAAACUUCAUAACAUCAUCCAAUUCAAGUUAAGGACGUUACCUUGUCUCUUCCAAGUGCAGCGUAGUGUUGUAGGCCAUUGCAGGAACCAUCCUACAAAAAACCAUAAGAGGGAAGGUGUACAUCAGAAGGCAGAACAGGUUAUGAGAAAAAUUAUAGGCCAGAAGAACAAAGAUAAGCCCAGGGAAGAGUACUUAAGUUGAUUGUCCCACAUAGUCCAACAGUUUUUUAUGUAAUAGAACCAAUAGAAACCACUUAAGCUUAUCAUUUUAUUUGUUUUCCUAAAGCAUACAAGGUACAAUAACAAAGAAUUUUGACUCUCCUUUUACCAUUCAUCUUCCUAACACCUCUGCCUCUCUCAAUCCAUUCCCUAACAUUCCAGUAAAAUUGUGCUCAAUUGGGUAGGAUGCUUUACAAUCCUUAAAAAAUGUCCAUAAAAAGUUUAUAUGAGCACAAUGCAAUACAUUGAUAAGAUAUACCUGAUGAACAGGAAUAUGUGAAAUAUAUGUUUCUGGCGAGGAGCUUCUCAAAGCUUCAGUCAGGUUAAUGCACACAGCCAAGAACUGAAAUGGAUCUUCUGCAUGCAACCACCAACGCUUUCCGUCAAGUGGUUUGUCUGCAGAAUCAAAUAUAUCAUCAAGGUGAUUCUCAGUAAAAGCUAUCCGUCCCUCAUAAGAUAGCUUGUCUACACCACCAGCAAAUAGAUUUGCAAUGUGUAUCUUCAGCCAGCGUAAGCCUGACUUUCCAAGAGGGCAUCCCUCUGCGAACUCCAAAAUCCCCCGGCACAGAUCUGAUCCAAGAUGGUUUAAGUAUGGGUGCAUGGGGUAGGCACGCCCACGAAAGUCAAUAUUGUGUGGAUAAUAGAAACCUUCUUCAUCUUUCAUCUUCCGUGCUACCUGGAGCCAAUUAAGAAUGAUGGCAUGAACGCCAUCAAGAAGAUUGAAAGUGUACUGUCUAAAAUAAAGUAAAAUGAGUCUUACAGCAAGUUUAAGUUCUAUGUCACAACGCUGUGCAUGUCUUUCCCUGUUCUCUUUUUUCACUCCUCUGAGUUUCCACUUCCACUUCUUAAGUAGUGCUUCAUCUUCUGUUUCUGGCUUCUCAGGCAAAGGAACCUGAAAUAAAGAAAUUAAAUGAGAAAGGUUUUUUAGUUGCUAUAGACAUCAUGAUCAAUUCUUGGAAUACAAAGGUAAAGGUAAAGGAGUUUAUCAGAAAAAAAAAAGUUACAUUGAGGAAAGUUAGAAAAGAUACUCACAUCACUGUGGUCUACCAAAUCAGCAAGAUGACCUCCAUUACUCCAUAUUCUAUCAACAACACUAAGUACCCUCUUAUUUACCCUCCAUCUGGUAUUCCCUAGUGUAUCCAGGGCCUGGAAAAUUAAUUCAAACAAAAGAGAAUCCUUGUUAAACCAGAAGCUAAGCUGGUAAAAUCUACACAUGUGAUAGCAUGUGAAGGUAUACACAAUUAUCAGUAUAAGAUUGUGUUCAAAGAACAUCACAUGUUAGUACCAAAAGAUGAUUUAGUUCAAACAAUAAAAUACGCAUCAGUAACCAUGCAAUGCAUCUAAUGUGUACAGACCUCAAAAACUGGUCGUAGCUGCUUCCUAGGUGCCCUCUUAACUGCUUCACGUUGCUGUUUAGCACCAUGUAUCCGCAUGACAUAGGAUGGUAAGAACAAGUGAGCUCCUUUAUCAUAACUGCAAAGGGCAUUGAGGUUAUGCUCGACAUGAGUAAGAGAGAGGUAAAUAUCACAAGCUAUGACACAAUUAUCUAAGAAGAGCUUAGAACACACCAAAAAGCUACUUAAAUGUCAGGUCCUGAUUUGUUACUAGAAGCAAUAGUGGUGUUAAGAGUUGCUACAACUACAUGGGAACCAGAAUCCAACCACAAACUCAUUAAAUGCCAGAUUAAAGUAGCGUAUGUAAGGAACAUGUAUGAAGAAUUUGUAUCUUCCAAAUUUGUAUACAAGGAUCUAAAAUUAAUUUUAGUGGGGACUAUGCUAAUGUGCCUCCUGCAACUUGCAUGAUGAUUGAGUGAAAUAGCCAAGACCCACUAUAAACUUGCUGGUAAACAAAGUGCUCUUUCCCCAAAACCAAUUCAUGAAAUGGUUUUCGUCUGAUGCUCCAUCUGAUCAAAUUAAGAUAUUCAGAGUGCAAUCACUGGUUUAAAUCUUUUCUUUUUGUAGAUAGAAAGUGUGUCCAAGAAUCUCAGUCCUAAUGGGCAAUUUACAACCAAAAGCGCUAGGGAGCUUAUCAGAUUUAAAGGCAAUAGGUUGAAUGGCAGAAGCUGCCAUAGAGGCCUCUUCAUAUUCCAAAGCAUGUGUAGUUUUUCCAAUGAGGAUUGUGAUCACCUAUUCAAGAAAAACUUAACCAAAGUCCAUGAAAAACAUAUCCUAACUAACUUGCCAAACAAUAAGGUUCAAAAAUCUCAGUUUGACAGCAGAGAUCUGUCUGUGCCCAUUUCUCCCAUGUAAUCAUCUGUUGUCUCCUUGCGCUUCUGGUACAUUUGAAAUUUGAAAUAAAUACCUAUAUAUGAAUCAUCACCUAAAGAAACUAAACUACUACAAUCAAGUUCUCUAUGUACUAUCCUAAUCCUAAAUUAACUACAUGUCUGACUUCACAUGAAAACAACAAUUCGAUACUCUUAUCUUUUCUUGAGCUUAAACCACAGCAUCCUUGUAGAAAACCUAACACCUUUUCUUUCUCUAUAUUUUAUCUCUAACUGCCAGCCAUUCUUUUCCAUGAAGUAUACCUCUCCCUUUAACAUCAAAAACAUUAUAAUAAAGAAUUCCAUAGCAAUCCCUAAAUUCUCCUGCCUGUGGCAAUAAUGUUCAUUUUCCGGUAUUAGACAUGGCUGUGAUUAGCAAAUGCUCUUCAAUGUUUAAAGACAGUGUUCUCUGUUUUGUUGAGAAUCCUAGACAAAACCUUCCAUCUCAUAUCUCACAUUCACCAUGUUUUGAAUAAACACCUGCAAGACAAUUAGUUUCCCUUCCAAUGGAGGUUACAGAAAUGGAGAGGCAGAGCCUUGAAACAUGCUGAAAUGUUAAUUUCAAUUAACUGAAAUUGGGAUAGGAAUUCCAGUCUUUAUAAUCAGAGAUUCACCCCUUCAUCUAUUAUACCAUUUUAAGCAUUUAACGUGACAUGAAAAUUGAAAACAGCUCCAGGCAUCAAGCAGAAGUAACCAAAACACUAUGUUAAUAUUUCUGAACUUGGAAUAUAUCCAACUAGAAAAUAUAAAAUUAAAACAAGACAAUCGUGGAAAAACUGUAAAUAUAAAACAAGCUAACAUACCCUCUCCAUCUAAGUGGUGGCACCAACAUUGGCAUAUAAGGAAUCACCAUGUGCCUAGCCUGUUUGGAGAAACAACAUUUUUAUGACUUCUUAUGCAAGAAAAAAGAAUGAAAGACAAACAUCUGCAACUUAAGAGGCACCGUGGAAAUUGCCUACAAAUCUUAUCUGUUUCAGCUCUAAAAUCUAGAAACUAAUCUAUCUGCUUUGAAAGUAUAUGGCACCCUGACACAAGUUCAUGUCAUAAAGGAUGAUAAAAUAUGAAAACUAGAUAUCACUAGAAGAACAAAAUAUGACAGGGUUACUCACAGUUUUCUCUAGGCCUUUGAGGACUAGUGGGUCACAUUGUAUAACACCAUAUUUUUUCGCGCACUUCCUGUUUAAGAAAAGGCCAUUGUGCAUCAGUUAGGAGCAAUUACAAGGAAGAAAAGAUAAAUUGAGCUCAUCGAGUCAAUUAAAGAAUGACUCCAUACUUAUUUUCAUAUGACACGGUUCUGAAUGUAUGCACAAAUGCAGGUCGAGGUUCAGAUGGACUAUCAGCUAACUGAUCACAGGGAGGCUGUAUAUAAGCUGUUUGUAACAGCAAUUCAAUUAGACGGCUUCCAACCUGCAAAGCGCAAGUACAGAAAUCAAAUUCGUACACAAUACAUUUGUUCAAGAAAAUUAGCCUUUAUCAAUGAUUACAAGCACACAAACCUUAGCCCUAGCAUCUGCAUUCCAUGGUUUUGAAUCAUCCUUCCCCUUCACAAUCUUCCUCACAGCUGGCAGCUUUUGUUUUUUAAUCAAAUCAGUAACCUUUUUUCUUAGGUUUUCUUGUUCCUUCAUGACAGCAGGGGAUUCACCUUCUACACCAUUCUUGCUAUCAUUAGUAUUUUCCUUUUUCUUCCUUGUUUUCUCCAAGAUAUUGUGUAUUCUAAUCUGUUUCAUCACAGAAACUGUUACAGAUUCAGUCCUCAGUUCAAAGAAAGAGAACAAGACUGAAGAGUUAGGAGUUCCAAAAAAUGGAUUAAGAAUGGUACACCUAAAUAUCUCUUCAUUGUAUAGUUCUUUUUUUAAAAGAAAAAAAGGAAACGAAAAGAGGAAGCAGCUCCCAUAGUCAGAAGAGACAGUAGAGCAAAGUGUUGCGCAUGCCCUUAACAUCUAAACUAAGAGAAAAACUUAAACAACUUACAAAACAAAGGCACAAACAAGAACACACAUAAUUGCAUUGAUAAAGAUAAUUGCUGUCCCCAACAGGGAAAUGCAAAAGUAUAAAUCCAUAGUGAAACAAUGUCGAAGGAAAGUUGAAUGUCACUCUUAUUAGUCCACCAUGCCCAUGCUUCGAAGAAAUUGUAGCUCAAAAAAGAAAGGCGUAGUAGAAUAUUCAGCCUAAUAAGGCCCGUGAUAUGAAAAGUUUAACACUUAAUGAAAAAAUUGUAAAAACUUACUAUCUAAAGGAUCUUACACUACAUUGUUUUUCGUACCUACAUUAGUGUCCUCCCUGGAACCAUGAACAGCAGAAGAACUUGGACUGAAAGUAAAAACUAUAGAUAUAUAAAAAUGAAAUCCAGAAAACCCCCAUUCAACAUUCGACAAAACUUUACGGAACGUAACUUCAAAAUCUAAUUUUCCAGGCACUACUAGCUCCAUAGCUGAUUUUUAUCUCAUAAUUGUACAUAGUAACUUUCAUCUUUCUUCUAGUUCAUCACCUCAGAUGAAGGUUGUCUAAAAGUAAAUUUAAGAAACUUUAGGUUUUCCCUUAUCUUUCAAUAUUUUAUAUGGGCACUCAUUAUCCUCUGUCUACAAAUCAAACCGCAAGUAAAUCUAAAACAUUAAAAAUUACUUACCUCCUGCUCAAUUGCAUCACCAAUCAUACAAGCAGCAGUCACAACUCUUGCACAUCCAUGUUCCCCACCUGUCAUUACCAUUGCUGCGAGUUGAUGCAUUGCAAUAACAGACAUCUUGUCAGCUGGCAACAGAUCAAAAUACGGAGCAUAACCCUGCCUACUCUUCCCCGUUCUAAUCAACUCCUGCUCUUUCGCAAUUGUGUCUGUAAAAGGCUUAAAUUGUUAAAACUUUGUGGAAUUAUCGAAUUACAUGUUCUGUUUUGAAAUAAUUAAUAGCUUGCUUAAUGAGUCAUUUUUAAGUUUUAUCGAUGGUAUUGCAGAGUGGUAAUUUCUGCUAAUUUAUAUAUAUUAAUUUGUAUGGACGUUGAUAAAUGAUAAUGAAUAUUUAAUAUUUAUGAGAAGUUGUGAUUGGUUUGUUGGAUAAUCUCGAGGUAAAGUAAUAUUUUUGCAAGUUUAUUUACCUAACUUAGUUAAUUAAUACAUGAUGUCAUCAUAAUUUUAUAGAGGUUCGAUAGAAGUCAUGGAUGAUCGUUCAUGGAUGUAUCUAGAUUCACCCCAAGGAUUGCGGAGGAUGGAUUAUUGUAAUGGGGUUUAAGGUUUUAUUAAUUUCGCAACAUCUAUUCCCAGAAAUUUUAUUGGAGGCGGUAUUAGGUGUCCAUGUAGGAAGUUAAAAUAAAAAGUAUAUGCAUCCAGAUGUUGUAAUGAUGCAUCUUCUACAGAAAGGGUUUAUGGAGGAUUAUCAGUGUUGGUAUGCACAUGGAGAGGUAUUUGUUAGUAAUAGGAGAAUGGGAGAAACGGUGGUUGGGUCAACUUCUAGUGCUAGCAACGUGCAUGAAGCAGCAAAUGACAAUACUAAUCCUUACAAAAAUAUGGUUAUGGAUGCAAUGAGAAUGAAUCAAGGUAAUGUCAGUCAAUGUCCAAUCAUAAAAGAAGAACCUAAUGCAGAGGCAGCUAGGUUUUUUGAUUUGUUGAAAGAUUUUGACGAACCAUUAUGGGAUGGCUGCACAAACCACAGUAAAUUAUCGGCGUGGCACAAGUGUUCACCAUCAAGUCAGAUCAUGGGCUGAGUGAGGCCGGGUAUGACAAAAUUAUUGAUUGGGCAAGAAGCAUUUUACCUGAAGGGAACAGGCUGAAAGAGAACUUCUAUGCUGCCAAGUCCAUGAUGAAACCCCUUGGUUUAGGAUACUAGAAAAUUGACAUGUGCCCUAACUUCUGCAUGUUAUACUACCUUGAAAAUGCUGAGAUGACCGAGUGCAUAAAAUGCGGGCAUUCCCGUUACAAACCCAGAACUGGCAGGGGAAAAACUCUAGUGGCGUAUAAAAAACUUAGAUAUUUUCCGAUCACACCUAGACUGUAGAGGUUAUUCAUGUCACGAAGGAUUGCUGAGCACAUGACAUGGCACCAAACAUAUGAUGCGGUUGAUGGUGUAAUGGUGCAUCCUUCUGAUGGCGAAGCAUGGAAACGCUUUAACAAUGUGCAUCCUGACUUUUCAACUGAAUCAAGGAAUGUCCGUCUUGGGUUGUGUACAGACGGAUUCAACCCAUUUGGGUCAUUUGCUGCUCCCUAUUCUUGUUGGCCGGUCAUACUCACAGUUUAUAACUUGCCACUGGGAAUGUGUAUGAGGCCGGAGUUCAUGUUUUUAUCUACUAUCAUACCUGGUCCAAGUAGCCUGGGGCGGAAUAUAGAUGUUUGUCUUCAACCGUUGAUUGAUGAGCUAGCGCAGUUGUGGUCCUCCGGAGCUCUGACUUAUGAUAUAUCGAGGAAACAAAAUUUCCUUCUGAGGGCGGCUUUGAUGUGGACUAUCAAUGAUUUUCCAGCUUAUGGAAUGCUUUCUAGUUGGAGCACACAUGGGAAACUCGCAUGUCCAUAUUGCAUGGAAAACAACAAGGCAUUCACGCUAGCAAACGGAGGUAAAGCUUCUUUUUUUUAUUGUCACCGUCGCUUCUUGCCACUUAAUCACAGGUUCAGAAAGAACAGAAAAGAUUUCUUUGUUUCCCCGCGUCUUUCUGGUGAAGAAUUGCAUCAUGUUGUAUCAGAGUACGAUGACAUUGUGUUUGGCCUUCAAUCAGGUAAGCAAAAGUUUCCUGGUUUUGGUUUGACCCAUAAUUGGGUAAAGCGAAGUAUCUUUUGGGAGCUUUCUUAUUGGAAGACCAAUCUUCUCCGCCAUAACCUUGACGUCAUGCACAUCGAAAAGAACGUGUUUGAGAAUAUUUUUAACACCAUCAUGGAUGUGAAGGGGAAGACAAAGGACAACAUCAAGUCUAGAUUGGAUAUAGCUUUAUACUAUAACCGUAAAAAUAUGGAGUUGGUUUAUGAGGAGUCAUAGGUCGCAAAACCAAGGGCAAGCUUCGUGUUAGAGAAAAACGCACAACUGCUAGUCUACAAAUGGCUUAAGAGUCUGCGUUUUCCGGAUGGACAUGCAUCGAACAUAUCAAGGCUUGUUAACAUAGAGGACUGCAGAUUGUAUGGAAUGAAGAGUCAUGACUACCACGUGUUUAUGCAAACACUCAUCCCAUUAGCUUUUCGUGAUUUGUUGCCAAAGGGAAUAUGGGAUACACUGACGGAGAUCAGUCAUUUAUUCAGAGAUAUACCAGCAAGUUGAAUGUUGAGCACAUUGAGAGGCUUCAAACGAAUAUCAUCGAGACACAAUGCAAACUUGAGAUGAUAUUCACUUGCCUUCUCCUUAAGACCCUAUGCUUCCUUGACCCUAUUCCAGGGUUAGCAUGUAGCCUCCUCCUCCUAAAGUGCUCCUCUUUCUCCUCUUCUUUCCUCAUUUCUGGCAGCAAUUCUUGCACUUCAUCCGCAGCAGACACAAUAUCUUCAACAUCUGUUGAUGACACUGCCUCAGCUACACUCAGAUACCCUCUGGACAAAAUCCAGCACACCGACUCCCAUUAGUACCUUCACUAUUUCUCAAAAAAAUAGAACUGGGUUUUCCCAUAAAAUCUUCAUGGGUUGAUAUUUCGCCAAUUGCUCGAAAACCAAGUCGUGGACUUGUGUUAUUAAGCGAAUGGAACUUGAGUUUCUAAAAAAAGAUGGGUUCUUUAGAGGCUCCUAAAAAGCUGCAAGUUCUUGGAAAUGAAGGGAAAUUGAGGGACUUUGAUUGGGAUUUCAAAGUGGCUUGUUUUGCGAUGUUUCUCCACAUAACUGUGGAUGGUUUAGAGAUAGAAUUGUGGGUUUCUUAUCAAAAGUAAUCAAAGGAUCAAAAUUUUUGGUAGAAAAUAUAUGGGAGCUGGCCCUCUAAUUAAAGGAAAUUAAAAAAAGAAAAAGAAAUGGAAUUGAAGUGAUUGAGAGAUGAAUUGAAAUGCGCGGGUAAUGCAGCUUGAGAAAAGAAACGAGUUCAUAGAGAGGUAUGGUAGUGGUAUUAGCAUACCGGCCGCUUUAAACCCUGCAUAAAUUGCAAGGGCUUGGGGUUAUAAAUUGCAAGUCCUGGGUGGAUACUUAAGAUAAAGUUGGGCCAAUUUGAAAUAACAACGAAAAACAAUUUUGGCAUAUAAUUUUAUUAAUCUUUAUUGUUGGUAAUUUGCAGAGCAUAAUUAGGAAUGUAGAGUUAAAUUUUAUUAUUUUUUCUCAAACCAGUUACAAACGAGGCAAGUCCAAUUUUGGAGUAAGUGAUUAUAUAUAUUAAUAUUUAUGUGUUUAUAUAGUUGUGAAUAUAAAGCUAUUAAUAAUAAAAAUUGUUGGUGCAUCUAAGAGAAAAGUAUAGAAGUUUAUCAAUUUGUCAGGCUUAUAAAAAAAAUUGUUACUAAAUUAAUUUUUAUUAAAUUAUUGGAUUAAAUUAAUUCUUUGAUAAUUAAAAGAAAUUAUUUUUAAAACGUAGUUAUUGUAUUUAAAUUUUAAUCAAAAAUUAAAUUGAUGAUUUAAGAUUUUGUUGAAAAAUAGUUUUAUGCAUGAAUAUUAAUUAUAACAUAAAAUAUUAAAAUACUUAAAAUUAAUUAAAGAUAAAUAAAAAAUAAUUUCAAAGAAUUCUGAAUGAAAUUGAUGUAAAAAAAUUCAUAUUCAUAAGAAAUUAUUGGUUUUAUCUUUUAGAAAUAUAUUAUUUUUAAUUUAAAUCUAACACAGACAUCAAAACCAGAGUUAAAAAAAUAGGUUGUCAAAGAACCAUCUCAAUCCAAUAGCUUAACUUGAUAGGUAAGGUCAUGCUUAAGUGAAAGUUCUUUGAGCUUGAAACUUGUACAUGUUCAUAUUAUCUUGUGCUUUAAUGCUUAUUAAAUAAAUAAAGAUAAUGAAAUUUAAACUUAUGACUGUAUACCACGUCAAAAAACCAAUUCAAACUAAUAAAAUUUUAAAAUAUAAUUUAUAUCAUUAAUCCAAAAUAAUGGUAGAAAUUUUUCAAGGAUGGGCUUUUCGCAAUGUAAAAGUUUUAGAGCUUGUUUAAUAUGGAAACAAUCCUUCCAUCCGCAAACAUGGGAUUAUCCUAAAUUUAAGAAAAAAAUCCAUACAAAGUAAAAUGUGAAUCUAAUUGCCCAAACCAAAACCAUGAGCUAAAACUACCGAAGAUCUUCAAGCUAAAGCAAUAGCUGGAGCAGCUGCCGCUGCUCCUGCUGCAGUUGCCGCUGCUCCUGCUGCAGCUGCCGCAGCUGCACCUGCACCUGCUCCUGUUGCAGCCGCUGCAACUGCACCUGCUCCUUCUGCAGCCGCUGCAACUGCACCUGCUCCUGCUGCAGCUGCUGUUGCCGGAGCACCUGUAGCAGCCGCUGCACGAGCACUUGCCACCGCUGCCGGAGCACCUGCCGCUGCUCAUCAAGGUCCUGCUGUUGCCACUGCCGCCGCCGCUCAUGGAGGUGCUGCUGCCGCUGGAGCACUUGCUGCAGCUGCUCCUCCUCCUGCUCGAGCAGCUCCUCCUCCUGCAGCUCAGGUAUAGUGAAACUGUACAUGGAUUCGAUGUUACAUGUUUUGUUGGGUGUUAAAAAAAAAAUUAAUAAAAAAAGUAUAGAUAUAUUUUUUCAACAUGUUUUUGUAUUUAAAAAAUUCUAAGUGAAAAAAAGAAUAUAUAUAAAUAUAAUCAAAUAAAUUAAGAAUUAUAUGUGUUAAUAAAUAAAAAAACAACUAUAAACUAUAACUAAAAAUAAAAAUGAAAAAAUUGAGAAACAAGUGUAGAUUAAAAUAUUUAAUUUUAAAAGACGAGAUAUUUACGUGAUUGUAUUUAUUAAAUUUAUUCAUUAAUUUUUUUUUUAUUCAAUCAAACGAUAAUAAAAAUAGACAUACACAUCAAAUUGAUUGAAUAAAAUAAAAUAAAAUAUGCAAGGCUGCACUUGUUAGAAAUAUUAUUUGAAAAUAAAAAAUUUUAUUUUCAAGAAUAAAGUUUAUUUGUACAAAAAGUUAAAAAAAUUAUAAAUGAAUUAGAAAAACUUUCUCAAAAAUUAAAUGCAUAACUAAAAAAUGAACAAUCAUUUCAAAGAGGAUCUCUAAACAACAAAAAAAAAGAAACAAGGGAUAUUAAUCUAAAUAUAAAAUAAAAAAACAUAUAAAAAUAAAAAAAAAGAAAAAAGAAGAAGCAAAGGUCAUUCGUUGUUGGGACUACUAAGUUAAGUGAGUCCAAUUGCCGUAUUUUGUUAAGGCCCCUACUCACUAACCUUUUUUUUUUGUUGCAAGAUGUUUGCAAAAAAAAAAAAAGAUGACGGUCUUUUAUAGACUAUAUUUUUUUUUCUCUUACAAAAAAGAUGUGCAUGCAUGUUUUUUCGAUGCCAAUUUAUUCAUAAAAAAAUUUAAAUGUAAAUUUAAAAGCUCAUACAUAAAUGUAAUCAAAUAAAUUGAUAACUAUAUGAAUUAAUAAUAAAAAAAAAUAUUAACAAUAAAUAAAAAUAAAAUUUUAAAAAAUUCAAAUGUGUUAAUAAACGGAACAUUUACCUAGUUAUAUUUUUGAAUUUAUUUAUUAAAUUUUAUUUUUUUAUUCAAUUAAAUGAUAUUAAAAAAAACACACACGUAUUACAUUGAUUAAAUAAAAUAAAAAUAGAAAACAUAUUAUGCAAGGUUGCUGUAUAUAUUAUGAUAUAUGAAAAUAAUUUUUUUAUACAAAAAGAUAAAAAAAAAUUAUCAAUGAAUUAUAAUAAGUUUUUUAAAAAUUAAAUAUGAACAACACCAUAAAAAAUAAUAUCUAUCCAAAAAUAAAUAAAUAAAUAAAUAAUAAUAAUUACAAAUGAGGAAUAUUAAUUUAAACAUAAAUUUAAAAAAUAUUUUUUAAAAAAUAUAUAAAAAGGAAGAAUUAAUUAUUACCUUUUCGAUACAGAUGAAAUCUCAACUUCAUUAAGAAUAUCCAUCCAUCUUUGUACCUUCUUGUUUUCCCUGAUAUUUUCUUCAUUCUUAUCAAAGACAAUUAUGUAACUCUCUGUUUGAUCAUCUAUCUUUGAUUCUUCGACAUCAUAAGAAACUGGAAACAUAGUGUCCGAUCUCAUCUCAUCCAUGAAUCUGAAAAUCUUGACAAGUUCGUCAAAGCACCAAGGUAAAGAAGCACAAUCUCUUGCAAAUAUAAUAAUUGACAGCCCUGAUUCUUCAAUGGCCUCAAAGAGUCUUGAUCUAAUUGCCAUUACUUUCUCUGGUUCCUUCCUGACUGGGAUAAUAACUCUCCGAGCUAGAUCUGACUUUAAAUAGGUGAUAGCAUUACUAGUGUCUGCGGCUCUGAUGCCAGGGAAAACACUAGCCAUCCAAUGAUGGUAAGAUGAAGAAAAAGCUAAAGAAGCUUUAUAUGAAGAAGCUGUUUCUAAACUUGUAACAAUAAAAUGGGCAGAUGGUUGGGAUGUACUAUACAGAGAAGAUAACAAACAAACACCACAAUUCUUCACCUUUACUCGUCGCUCGUAGGAAUGAAAUGACAACUCAAUGUUGCUAAAGGAUCCAUGCUUCCAUUCUUUAAGCUCUUUAAGGUAAUCAAAAGAUAGAUAGAAUAGCCAAACAUGAUUUGACAGAACUUGGAUAGAAUUACAACUAAUACUUAUUGGCGAACGAUAAUUCUCUCUUCCAUUGGCUUUGAAAUGACAAGAAAGAGAUGGACUUUCACCAUUUGCACUGAAUGCAACACACGCAACAAACCCCAUGCUCCAACUAGGCACUUGCACACUAAUUGAAGAUCCCUUACUUUGAUGGUUAAACCAGCCUGGAAUUUCAUUUCCUGGAACAACAAUACCAAAUCCAGGUCUUGGAUUAGGCAAACCCUGUACCAUGAAGAACCAAAAUGUUAGAUAGAUAAAGGGAGAGGGAGAGAGAUACAAAGAGGUUGGGGAUUGAUUAAGAGAAGACCUUGAGGUAUCUUUCAAGCAUGGUUAACCCCAUGCUGUCUUGGCCAUUAUGCUCGUACAACUCCCAGCAGUUAAGACAUAUGAACUCUGAUCUUUUGGAACUGCUUAGCUUUAUCGGAUCUGGAAUUUCUUUUAGGCAUAUACAACCAUUCAAAUUUAAUGUUUGAACUUUUGGUGGAACCUCAGGCAAUGAUUCAAGCAUCCUACAAUCCUCCAAGACAAGCAUUUCAAGUCCAGAAAGUUGAUUUAUGCUUUCAGGCAGGCUAAUAAAGUUAUUCUGGCUCAGAUCUAAAGACUUCAAUGAAGAUAAGCAGCCAAUAUCUUCAGGAAGUGCCCCUUCUCUUAGAUUGCAAGCGCAUAAAUCCAAUACUUCUAAAGAACACAGACCCAACAAAGAAGGCAACCUGUGAUCCGUGGGAUUCAUAGCUAUUCUUUUGCAUCCAUCAAAAGAUAAUACUUUAAGAUUCUUUAAAAGAAAAAUGGAUGCUGGCGGUUGUCUUAUUGAAGUUCCACUUCCAUCAAACUCCUCCAAACUUUCAACUUUCCCUAAAUUCUCUGGUAUAUAUUUAAGUCUAAAGCAGCCAGAUAGAUCAAGUUUUUUAAGGGAUUUCAAACAACCUAUGCUACUUGGAAUGCUUUCAAGGUUCUUGCAGUUGUUCAUGCUCAAUAGACCUAAGCCAAUCAAAUGAUGCAUCGAUGAAGAUAGUUUUGUAAUGCUAGUCCCAUCCAAUCGAAGCACCAUCAAACAAUUCAUGUUUCCUACUAUAUAUGGAAACUUCUCAAGUUUUGAGCAGCCAUCAAGAAUGAAAACUUUAAGUGAUCCCAUUUCUAGAUUGUUUGGGAGAAUCCUAAUGCUUUUGCAGUCCAUAAGACUCACAUAUUGAAGCUUCUUGUGAUGUGCAAGUGAUGGAUGGACCUCAUACAAACUUGUACAACCUUCAAGAAUAAGACUCUCGAGAUUUGGAAUUCCAGUAAAAUCUGGAGUCUUGAUCAGGUUUAGUGAGUUGCUGAGAUUGAUGAUUUUCAAAUUAACUGCACUCUGCAAUUAGUCAGAGGAGAAGAAAUAUGGACACUACUAUGAUACAUAUAUAGGAAAACGAUAAAAAAAAAUACAAAGGCUCUUAAAUUAGUUGAUCUCACCUUAUACCCAUACCAUAAUUGCUCAAAACUACUAUUAGCCAUGUGAAGUUCAACUAGCUGAUCCACCUGCAAACCAACUGGCAAUGAUUUUGAAGGGUAAGAAUGCCAUUCAAGAAAUCGUAGCUUAUUGGAAAGAUCUUCAGGUCCUUUAGAAAGCUGCACGUUGUUGAUUUUGAGCAAUCUUAGUCUGCUCAUUUUAGAGAAGGCUUCCAUGUUCCAUUGUGAUUCUUUUAUUUCAGGCAUGUCCAAGAAAAUGGCUUCUAUUUUUUCUUUUCCCUAUCAACCAAAAGGAGAAUACAAGUAAAAAACAAAUACAAAGUAGAGAUGGAGCAUAAAUUAAAAUAAACUUCAUGAAAUCUUAUCAGCUACUCACUGUGUUGUCCAUCAGUGCAAGGCAGACAUCCUCGUAUGUCCACAAUCUACUGCGCCUUCCAGGCUCUUCAGGGGAUUCACAACGAACAAUUUCCUUACCCAUUAUCUGUAAUAAAUUAUGCAUCCAGAUUUGAUCCCGAGAUACACUUAUGAGUGAUUUCUCAAUAAGAACUUGUGUUCCAAUAUGUGCAUGGAAUCCACAGCUGUCAAGUAUCCUUAUUAUUCGAUCUCCUUUUAAAUCCCUUAAGGAAACAAGCAAUGUCUAAAAAUAUUUUCUUCUCUAAUUCAUCAUCAAAAACUAAUGCGAAGCACAUCAAUAAUAAUUUAGUCUAUUAAUCGCACUUCCCCAUUCAAGGAUACUUCUUCCACGCAUAAACAAACCUAUAACUUCAAGAGCCAGUGGAAGGCCAUUAGCAUAACCUACAACUUGCUUGGAUAGUUCCACGAAAUCUUCAGCAGGUUGAUAAUUUUUAAAAGCUUUCUGGCUCAUCCAUCAUCAUUCAAUUUCUCAGCCUCAUAAAUUCUAGUAACACCAUUUCUAGUCAACACUUGUUUAUCUCUACUUGUUAUGAUAAUUCUGCUCCCUGGACCAAACCAACUCUCCGCAGCCAGGGAUUCUAGUUGUUUAUGGUCAUCUACAUCAUCAAGAACAACAAGAAUCUUUUUACGCUGUAACCUCCGCUUUAUCAUUUCAAUUCCUCUAGAAGAAUCACAUAUAUUAGCACGUUCCAUUAAGAUUUCAGAAAGAAGUUGUUCCUGCAAACUACGUGGUCCAUCUUUCUCAACAAAAACUUCUCUGACAUUUGCCAAGAAGCAACUGCCUUUAAAUUGCCAACGAAAGCUAUCAUAUACUACCCUUGCAACAGUCGUCUUACCUAUGCCACCCAUUCCACAAAUCCCUAUGAAGAUUGCUUCACCAACUUCAUUACCUAUAAAACCAUUUAAUAUCUCUAGACGAGAAUCUAUUCCCACUAAUUUUUUGCUAACUGGCAUAGUGACACUUAGUUUGUAGGAUAUGUAUUCAACAAUUAUAUUAAUUGAUUCCGAUUCUUUCCUGCAUAGGAGGGUGCAAAACAUUAAUCAUGCUGUGUGCAAAUAAAAUCAGAUAGUGAUAAUGGGAAAAUAAAUAUGUAGCUCGAAAAUGUAUGGCUGUUAGCCGAAAAUUAAUACAUCAAUCUUUGAGAAAGAUAGGGCUCUGACAAUAGAUAGCUUCAAUAACAAAGAGAAAAGGAAAGAAUAAACUAAAAAAGGAACUAAGAUUGUAUUAAUCACACAGUUACUAAAGAAGCAUGCAUACAAGAACAAAAACUCUCCAUUAAGUUUGGUUUUGACAGACCAAAAGGAAAAUGGAGUUCUAUCAUAUAUUUUUGCCGACCACUAAGUUAUUUUUAUAAUUAUUUUUAACAAAAAUUUCAAUUAUCUUGCAUAGUAAACUUUUAAAAAACAACUUUAAAUUUAUUAAUUUCCGAGUUUUUUCCCAUAUGCUACCCAAAAAACAUUUCUUAGACUAACAUAGUUUAAGUGGAUGCCCAAAUCCAAUCCACGCACCUUGAGAUGCACAAAUAUCACAUAUGUUAAUAUUCUUCUUUUUUUUGCAAAUUAAUGGAUGAAAUAAUCGUAAUAAUAGAACUAAAGUUAACUAAAUAUAAAAUUGAGAAACCAGAUGAAUAAAUGGGCCAAUAAAAAAACAAAGGUAGAUUUGAUUAAAACGAUCAAAACGAUUUGAAAACAUUAAAAAAAAAUAAUUCAAAAUAAUUCAAAAUUUAAAAAAACACGGCAAACCACGUUCCCAAACGGAUUCUACAACUCGUGAAACAAUGCUAGUUUGGAAAGUUUUUUUACCCACCUAUACUAGUUUGAAAUUGUUUUUACAUUAAUUUUAUAUUUUUUUUACAAAAAGGCACCUAUCAAAAUUUAAUUCCAAAUUAAAAAGGAAAACAUAAAAAUAAAAAUAUUCACAAUAUAUAUAUAUAUAUAUAAAUUUCUCUUUUAUUUAUAAAUAGUUGGAAUUUUUUAAUUAAUUCAUGAUGGAAAAUAUUUUUAUUUUAUUUUGAAAAGUUAAAACCAAUAUAUUCAAAACAUUUAGUCAAUUUUUUAUUCUUAUGAUGAAUAUGUUGUCAUUUCUUCACAAUUUGUUUUUAAGCUAACUUUUUAUUUGUUCUUGCUAGAUUUGUUUUUCAAAUUUUUUAAAAAAAUUUCAUUUUUCUAUCUGAUAUUUUUUUUAUUUUCAAAAUAUAAAGAAAAACCAAAGAAAACAAAGGAAUUUUAUGUAAAUAUAAGAAUGCUUGAUCACAUAAGAUCAAUAUUUCAUAAGAAUUAAAUUCUAAAAAUCAUGCAUAUGAAAAAAUAUACAUUUACUACCAACUGUUUCAUCAUGGAAUCCAUAAUUUUAUCAUUCAUUGAAUAUUAUUUACCAUUUUUUUAUUAACAAAACUCAAAGAACACUAAAGCAUUUGCUAAUUGAUUUGCGAUAAAGAAUAUAUAAUAAAUUGAAAAAUAAAUUUUCUAGUGUGAACAAAACAUUCAAAAAAGAUUAAAAAAAAACAAACAAAAGGAUUUUCAUUGGUAAAUAAAUGAAAAAUUAGCAAGAAAUUUGAGAUUUUUUCUUUAAUUUUUUGUUCAAUAUGUAUUUCUUAAAAACUGUAACAAUUGAAAUUUGAGACGUGCUCCUCUUUUAUUUUAAAAGUCAAAAUUAAAGAAAAAUUAGUUAGAUCAUAGAGAAAAGAGUCGUUAAAUAGCUAUUUAAUGGAUAAAAAACAUAUACUAAUAAUUAUUUAUUCAAGAAUUAGUUUUGAAAUUCUUGUUGUAUUGUGAUUAUUUUGAUAUUUAAUUACACGUUUUAAUUGAAAAACAUUUUAAAAAAUAUAAAAGAAGCAAAGUUGAAACACUACAGGGUGAAUUUGAGAAUAAAAAGUUGUAGGUAGACGAUUUACCUAUUCCGGACGUCCCAGCCUGAGGGAUCCACAUCAUAAAACUCUGAGGGAUCUACAUCAUAAAAAACUGGCAGAACAGUUUGCCCCAUCUCUUUCAUGCACUGAACAAUCUUGACAAGUUCAUCCAAGCACCAUGGUGAAGAUGCGUAAUCUCUUGAAAAUAUAAUGACUGAAAACCUUGAUUCUUCGAUGGCCUUCCAGAGAGCAGGUUCUAUGCUCUUUCCUCUCUCGAGCUCCCUAUCAUCCAUGUACACAUCGAUGCCUCUCUGUGCCAGAUUAGAAUAUAGAUGACUAGUAAAGUUGUUCCGAGUGUCUUUGCCUCUAAAACUAAGGAACACAUCAUGCAUAUAUAGUGGAGGAGGAGAAGAUGAAGAUGAAGAUGAGGUUAUUCCUUGCACGCUGGUGGAAGCCAUGAAAAUUCCUAUAGCGAUAAACUAGUACCGAUCCCUUCUGGCCUCAACUAGCUC